UUUUCGGAGCAAAAGAAGAGAUGAUUGCUGUACCCAGUGAACAUGAAAAAUCAAGCAUGAAAGCUCUAGCAAAGCCACAAUACCCUGAAGAAAAGGCUAAUCCACGGCAUGCUGUCUGAAGAUAAAACUAAUUCACAGUAGAAUAUACUACCGUUUAUGUCAGACACACACUAAUAAUAACUUGGAAAUUCAACAGGGUUUCAACAACAUAACAAACUUGCUAAUCCAGCAGGAGUUCAAGAAAUUCAGCAGGGUUUCAACAACAUAACAGACCACGACAGUACCAAGGGAGUGCCACUAGUGAGCAUCCGACAGAUUACUGCUGCACACCAUUACAGCAGCAUACACACACAUGCACAUAACAAAACGGAGGAGAGGCGAAAGCAUCAACUGAAGGCCGUCACUCAGUCAGUGGCGACCAGCGGCCUGUUUCUGCGGUCUGAUCCAGUCGUGCAGCACCAUGGUCACCCUGUCGUGCUGCCUCACGGAGGAGCCGUGCAGGAGCGGGGCGGCGCCGGCGAGGACGCGGUUGUAGUGGACGUACUCCUUGUGCCGGAACCUCUCCUGCUCGGGCGGCGUCAUCUCCUCCCACUCGGCGUGCAGCUUCUCCGACAGGCUCCAGUCGAUGUUGUACCUGGUGGCGCCGAAGCACGUCUGGCUCAGGACCCGCCUCGCCAGGGUCUGCAGGUCGGGCACGCGAGCCCCAUGCGUCGACCACCACUGAACUGCAAUUUCAAGUGAGAAACGUGGUAAGAAGAUAGUAAUUCAUGUACAGUAUGAUGUGAACUGAUGAAUGAAAUGAUGAUGGUCUCAGUGAGGGUAAGCUUGGGUUUGAAAGUUGAAGUGAAAAUGGAAGAAGAGAAGGCUCCUGUACAGUUUAAGCAGACCAUAUACCCCAGUUUGCAACUUGCAACUAACUAAGCAACUAUGUUGACAAGCUUAGGCUGAUGCAGAGAAGUUGAUCAUUCUACACGUUCAUCUGUAAACCUUUUAACUUCUCUACUACUCCCUCUGUCCCAUAAUGUAAGACGUUUUUGCAAGCACGUCUUACAUUAUGGAAUGACAGGAGUAUUUAUUUAAACAACCAUGUCGACAAGUUAGGCUAAUGCAGAGGAGUUGAACUUUGAAUAGAAGUGCACUUAUGACAUGAUAUAUUUGUGCCAUGUUCACAUGCUAACUAAAUAUGUUGGCGCACUGUAUGUUACGGUGCACAAAUGCACAUAUCAGAUUUUGUGGAGGACCUCAGACACUAUUCCAGCUCACUCUAAAGAUUGGAAAAAAUCAAGUACAUAUGACACAUAAAGGCACUACCGUCAGUGGCUUGUUAGGGAGUGGUCAUUUUGCAAGAGGUUAGGGUGUAGCUUACCUUGUGGUAAUUCCAUGAUUUGCUGCAUUGCUGGAUCUGUGUCGAAAUAGCCCAACUUCUUUUCAUACACUUCCAACUGUGCAGACGCUUUUCUGGCAUUGUAAUGAGCCUUGCCCAGUUGGAUUGUACAGGUCGCAAUGCCGCUGCUGAUCUCAGCAUCAGGCUGGAAUCCAGCUGUGUAAAAGAUCCUUGGGUUUAGCAUCUGACCAGCAGCAUGGAGAGGACUAUGCAAGUAACCAUCCCAUAUACUGUCAAUCAUACACCAAUAGAAGUCACUUUCAUCUCCAACAUUGAGAAAUAUCUCUUCUUUUGCUCUAUCCAUGGCUUCAUACAGGAUACCCAUCGGACAGAUAUCAGAUUCCAGUUUAUACAACACACUGAGAAGUGGUUUUGUAACCUUCACGACUUCAGCAGCAGCAUGCCAAAAUUCAUCGUCUGUCUUUACUAUACUCUGGAUACGCUCGAACAAAUCAAGACAAGCCCAACCAGAGGGAACCCAUUCAGGUGAGCUAAUCAUCUGCACCAGACCUACUCUUGCAGAAACUAACCUCUCUAAUGUGAUGAACACUGCCACAAAUCUCAGAUAAGAACUGCUCAAAAUCUCCUCCUGAACAUAUCUUCCUUUCAGUUUCAUUGGCAGUGCAUAGCCAUAUAAAAACCUUGUAAUUUCCCUUGCCUUCAUUAGGACUUCACUGACAUGCUCGAGCGCUGCUAUUUUCUCAAGCAGAAGGUUGAUGCAAUGGUCAGCACAUAGCACGAAGAAAAAACUGUCAUAUUUAUUUAGCACAUACUGCCGUGCCAUCUGCAUAUGGGGUGACACGUCAUUCAUGACAAUCUGAACAAUGUUAUGGGCACCAACAUCAUCAACCACGCGAGAAAGCAUUGAUUCUAGCUCAUCCAAGUCCUCAGUGAUUUCAGAGACGUCAAUGGAUCUGAGGAACUGCGUACCUUUGCUGCAGUGCACCAGGACACUUACGAAGCUUUUGUCACACUUGCUCUUCCAACUAUCCACAAUUACAGUGCAGCCACUUGUUUGCCACUCUUGCUUGAGUUCCUUUGCGCGGUUCUCAGUUUCUCUUAGUUGCUCCUGCAGAACAGCUUCGUACGUAGGCAUUACAGCCCCAGGCCCAUGGGGAAACACAACCAUCUCCCUCAAAGAUGAUGAAUGGAGAACACCAGGCUCAGGUCCAGCUUCAGAGAAGAAUUUGCCUAUUGAUUUUGCUGACGCAGAAUUGAAGUAAUCACUUUUCUCAACCUUGGGUUUCAGUUGACAAGAACUAUAUGUGAUUUCCUUGGGCUGCGUCAGAUCCGGUGGAUAAUGAAGAAAGCAGCGGUUAUUGGGCACAGUUUGUUGUAGCUGUGGUUGCUGGACUUGAGCAGAUGGAAGGGCUGGGCUUGUGUGAGGAACCUCAUCAUGUUCAUGCUUCCAUUUCUUCAUUUUUCUGAGCAUCCAAGCUUUCUAUUCUUGCGAUCCACAAGUGAACUCCUUAAGCUUGUGCUGACAUUGCCCCUGAUGCCUGCUAAAUGGUGCUCUAGGCGGUUGUAACUCGAAACCACCUUAACGCAGUAAUGGCAGCUCACUCUGCAACCUUCCUCACCAAUGGUUUUGCCAUGCCUUGCUUUUCCACGGUUACUUGUCUGAGGAUAUUGUACAGACAAAACCUGAAGGAAAGCAAUGAGAGAUACUUCAGUAAUGCAAAAAUUAAAAUGUCAAAUUCCAAAACAUGAGUGCAACAUUUCACCAAUGAUUAGAUUUCAUCUGCUUCCUCUUCAUGACAGCACAUGAUGUACUGCUACUGAUGAAUUUACCACAUGUCAACAGAGAAGACUGUGAUCCAACUAAACACUGUACCUUAGAAGUUUAAACACAGUAUUACUGGAUGAAACGGUUUGUUCUGUAUUUUUUUCCAAUAAAGAACAGUUUGUCUGUAUAACUCUUCAAGAAGAGCACAUAGAGGCGUGGCCAGUGGGUCAUAGUAUAUUUACCAGCGGACUGGAGGCAUGAGCUUGUUCACAAAUUACAAGUUCAUUAUCACCAGGGCAACAAAUCCAUGGGCACCGAUGCGAUGAAUUAACAGUAACUCUAACAGGGCAGUCAACCAUUGGCCAUUUUCACCAUGGUACACUCCAGAAACAUGUAAGUUCAACUAGAUUAGACAGUUGUUCCUCACAAACAGUCUAAAGUUUGAUGUUUGCAAUCCUGAAGGAUUCAAAUGAACCAUACGAAAUAGGCCGGUGUAAAUAUGUAGUUUUUCACAGAUUAGUGAUGUGGUAUAAGCAUAAGACUGCACGAUGAUCUUACAAAGCCAGUAACAUACACCCUCUCCCCCGCCGCAUGAUCUCCCUCCUCCGGCCAAUUCCUCCACAACAAAGAGCAGAUCCGGAACCCUCUCUCCACACAUCCCGAAGUCCAGCGGCGCCGUCACCAGGGUCGGAGCCGCCGUCCACCUCGACGCCUGACUUCAUCCCAGCUCGCUCGCUCCCGUGUGGCCCCGUCGGCCGGCGGCGGGGCCCUGAACUGUCUUGGCGGCGCUGGUUCUCGGGGCUCGACGGGGGCCACGUGAUCCCGUGCGGUGCUAGGCGCGCUUCCAUGGCGGCCCGCGUCGGUGCUGCUGGAGGCGGGGGAGGCCCGGUUCUGCGGCUGGUGGUGGCGUUGUGGUGGCGUGGCGGCAGUUGACCUCGCGGAAGCCACUCGAAAAAAGAAAAAAAAACUUGACCUCGCGGAAGGUUGUGUAACUCGGCAAUAUGAUUUUCGCUCGGUGUUUCCUAAUUAAUUAAGAUCUUCUUAAUGAAUGCACAAAUGGUCAUUCGAAAAAACAAUACCCCUCUGAAACAAAUGGCGUGCAGUGACUUCUUCCUGAUACUAAAAUUAAAAAAAAUCAUAGUUUUAGCAAUUCCUUUAAAUCGUCUCAAACCCCUUUCAAAAUCUAACAUUACGCUGCCCAAUUCAAAAAAAAAAAAACCAGACAAAAUCUAAAAGGGAGAAAGGGGAAUUCUUCCUGGGCAUGCUCCAAUGCACACCCUCUGUGCAGAAGAAAGUCACAAACGACUUUGAUUGUUUACCAUUUCUGGACAUUGAUGAGACGACGGAUUUAAUUGAGGAAAGGACAUUCACUAGUGGGUGGGUGGUAAAAGAAUUUUGCUGGAUAACAACAUUUCAUUCUUUUUACCAUGAUAUGCUUUUAAUAGUUAGAUCAACAAUUAUUCAUGAAAUUCCGGCCACCAAAAGAGGCAACACAAACUUCGGUGGAUUACCGGGGCAAGGUGAACCGAGCAUGGUUCGAAAGAGAAUCCGACGGGGGUGGAUGUGUACAUUGGAAAACAAACAAACAUAGGCUAGAAAAAAAUGUAAAACCCAAGUGAGAUGGGUGUUGUGUUGAAUACAUGUUCCCUUGAUUGGUUACUUCAGAGAACUUCAUCAGCAUAAACACACAAUUCCAAAGAACACCUUGGAAUAAUUCUAGUUCUUAAUGUUGCACUUGAACAAUGAGAUUUCAAAAAAAAAAGCCUGAGAAACAUGCAUUUAGAUCUAACAUAUACUCCCUAGAAAAAAUAGAAAUGGUAUCAACAAAAACAUUUUAUGCUCCUAGUGAAUAAAUUGCUUUUCCUUACCUUUGACUUUAGAUCUCGUCUUCUCAGUUCCAAGAUGUAAAUGAUGGCCUAAAAAUGGGGCAAUGGCUGUGGUGCGCUGGAAAAGGGUGAAUGGUGGAAGCCUGGGAAAUAUGCAUUUAGUUCUAAUAUGCUCCCUAAAAACAAAAAAUGGUAUGAACAAAAUCCUUUAUGCUCCUAGAGAAUACAUUAUUUUUUUCUUACCUUUGACUUUGGAUCUCGCCGUCUUCGUCCAAGAUGUAAAAGGAGGAUGGCCUGGGCAGCGACUGUGGUGCGUCGGGAAAGGGCGGAUGGUGCAGUGCAUCAGUACCUUUGAAUACCACAAUCUCAGCUAAGAGGAAAACAUAGAUUAUGGAUUUACGAGGGCAAACAUAUCUAGAGAGUGGAAAUGGCGGCGAUGGAUGGAGAAGAAGAUAGUUAGAUCUAGACAAUGUUCAUGGUUGACGGUGGAGGAGAAGAUAGUUAGGUCUAAGGAGUGGUGGUGGCGGCGACGAGUGGAGGAGAAUAUGGUUAGAUCUAGACAAUAUUGAUGGUUGCAGGUGGAGGAGAAGAUAGAUGGAUCUAGAUAAUGUUGAUGGUUGUGUCGUGGGGGGGUGGCUUUAUAGCCGCGCGGUUUGGGAUUAGGGGUGCGACCACGAUCCGCGUGAUGCGGGGUGCGGGCCGUCAGAUUGAGAUGGGUGGCGGAUAAUGGGGUAAAUGGGGUGGCGCGGAUAGGUGACGUGGCGAGGGAGCUGUGUUUCUUUCUAAGGGUGAGGCAGGGUGCGGGGAUGCGAGGAAUGCAUGUGUCUCGGGUAGGUGGAUGCCAGUUGGGACCGGGCAUUUUUUGGAUUGAUUGCUUUUGCGUGCGGCGUCGCUCGCUGCCGCAAUUUUUGGAUGGAUAUCUGGUCGAUGGGCCCAUGAGGUGUGUGGUCGUGACGAGACUAGUGCAAAGGCGUAAAAUCAGAUUAUUGCUAGGACAAUUUGGAAAGCGUAUUUCUAUCUUUUCCACGAUCAAUUGAUACGAGGGGUGCUUCUUUCUCGUAUUGUAUAACAUUCCUCAACAAAAAAUCCCUUUGUUCAACUAUUAUGUCGGGGGUUGGGUGCGACAUAUGCCAAAGGAUGGCUUAUCAUGGUGGGAGCGAGUAGAACGUCGCCGGUGCCUGGAAGCGGGAUAAGGCGUAGACACGAACGCCGGCGUACUUUACCCAGGUUCGGGGCUCUCCUAGGAGAUGACACCCCUAGUCCUGCUCUGCGGGGUCUCCGCAUGAUCACUAAGGCACAAGUGAUACAACGUGCUCCUCGAGCUGUUUGCUAUUGGCAGAGGGAGGCAAGCCUAGCUCUCUUCCUGCUCAGGGGGUGGCUAGUUCUAAUGGGGUCGAACCCUUCGCAUGGGUGCCCUGGGGGGUUUAUAUAGGCCUACCCCCUAGGGGUACAAUGGUAAUCUGGCCGGCUGCUGGGCCCGGCUGUCAGCGUCUUCGGCCUCCAGCUUCUCCGCCGACCAUUGGGGCCCGCCGCCUGGUGGACCCCGCCGACUGGUUGGUGGUUGUUCACUGUAGUCGUGUUGUUGGUGAUGGGGGCUUGGUCAUCCCGGCAUGGCUACAGUCCCGCUGCCUGGCGGGAGGACACUAUAGCCGCACCUGGUCUUAUCAGCUUAAUGGCGUGCUUGCCUCGGGACGAGGGACGGCCGCUUGCUGGAGGCCGGCCACUCUCUAAUCCGCUUAGUUGAGCCUCCACCGUCUUCCUUGGGGUCACUGCCUGAUAGGGCCCGCCUCCGGCAGGCCGUACCGACAGGCCGUCGUUCGGAACAGGGCUCCGCCUACCCGGAGUGACGUCGGGGUAGAUACGGCACAAUGCUCCAUCGUGCGGAGAUCUCUGUCUGUACGGAGCACUGUAGCCACACCUGUCUUGAAUGUGUGAGGCGUCGUUCCUCACUGUAGCCAUGCUUUGACUUGUACUCUUAAUGGGAGCUCGGCCGCCCCGUAGUCGCGAGGUGGCCGCCUGCCCGCGCCGCCCUCUCUGGAAGGCGACCGCCAGGAGCCGGCCACUCGGAGCGUCGUAGUCUUGGGUCACCCGCCCUCUGGCAGCCGGCCGCCGAGCCGGCCGGCCCCAGAGGGCGGAGUUUUGGUUUGGGGCUCAGCUGGACGGAGCUGGCCCAAAGUCUUGAUAAUUCUAGGGAGUCGGGUGAGCCUACCCAUGGCCCAUUACUCCGAAAGUAGUCCCCAAAGCCGGUGAUGCGUCGUGGUCGAGGGGCCGCAAAGUCUCAGCGGCUUCCUCCCUCACCGAGCUCUGGGAGAGUGUCGAUCCAUCUUGCGGUUAUCCGACUGCUCAAGCCCGCCUCGCCCAGGCGGAGCUAUAUGGUUGAUUUUGAACUCCAAGGCGGGAAACAGGUGACGUGCCUGUUAAGCUUCCCAGGCAGCCGCCCGCCACGGACGUGCCACGGGCGCACGUCAGCCUGGCAAGCCUGCCACCCCACGUUCUGGACGGGACAGGACACCGGGCUGGGCCCGCCACUACCAUGCCUCGGCAACUGGGCGGAUUCACUAUGCCGGAGGGGGCGGUUGCCGUUCCCACCACUGUUCAUGAUGGGGUAAGUGCGCGCGGGAGACGGGGGUUCAUGGGGACGUGGGCGCAGUUAAUCCCACGACCCCAUGCCCCGCCCCCUCGGCUACAUAGCCCGGAUGCUAUAAGUAGGGAGGGGGAGGUGCGGCAAAGCCCCUGCGCCCCCUCCGACUCUUCCUCUUCUCUUCUCAGCCUCCGCUGCUGCGGCUGCCAUAGCGUCGUCGUCGUCGCUCGUCACCGACGCGUCUCUCCCUUCCGUGCCGCCAGCCGGAGCCAUGGGCGACUGGGAUGGAUCGACCGUGAUCGAGGAUCACAUUACCUUCCUCCGCGACACGCGCUGGAUGCCCAGUGCGGCCUUCGUCAAGGCACGGGUGCCGCCGGAGACGGAGAUCUCGCCGGGUCGUCUUCCGCUCGCAUUUCCUGUGGGGCUUCGUCCCCCUAGCGAGCGACUUCUUCCGCACCUUCCUCAACUUCUACAACCUUCAACCUCACCACCUCACGCCCAACGCCGUGACCUUGCUCUCCGCCUUCGUCACGGCGUGCGAGGGCUACCUCGGCAUCCUCCCCACAAUCGAGCUAUGGGGAGCAUUCUUCUACGGAAAGCUCGGCACCUCCACCAAGGAGACGGCGGCCGAGUGCGGGGGCUUUGUCGCCGUGCGCCGGCCGGCGAAGUAGAACGCCUUCCCCGUCAUCAAGCUGGUGCAGUCGGUGAAGAUGUGACAGCAGUCGUAUUUCUAUGUCGAGAACAUGGACCCUGCUGCCGACCUCCUCAACCUGCCGGCCUACGAGGCCGCCCCCCCCCACCGGAGCUCGCGUCUCCUGGAAGUACAAGCCGAAGCCGGUGUCGGCGAACGCGGCGGCUGCCAUCGGCCGACUCCGAGUGCUCCAAGAGUCGGAGGGGCUCGUGGCCUCUGACCUUCUCGUCGCCUUCGUGGAGCGCCGGGUCCUCCCGCUCCAAAGCCGCCGUCAUCCGAUCUUCCGGAUGGGCGGACACCUCAACCCGUGCCGACUGUGCACGAAGGGAAUGCCGCCUGCUGAAGUCUCAUGGAUGGUGAACGAGAUCUCCGACCUCAAGAUGUCGGAGAAGGAGUGGCGGUACGGGAAGCGGCCGUACUCUCGCCACAACCCGCCCCCUGCUGUAGGUUUCUUCUUUUUGUCCUUUGAACUGCUUCUUCUGCUCUGCUUCUCUUUGUGACGCCGCCCUUCAAGACUUGUUUCCUUCUCGGUUGCAGAUUUAUAUGUCCGAGGCAACGGCUGCCCUCCUGGGGCCGGGUGAUAACCUCCAGGCGGACAGGGCGGAGAGUGACUUGGACGACCCCGACUUGGGGGCGGCCGCCCUGGUCGACGACGCGACAGGCGGCGGUGGCGGAGCGGACGACGGUGGUGGAGCAGGCGGCUUCGAGGGAGGCAGCGGUGUGGAGGCCUGGCUCGACGACGAUGAAGACGAAGAUGAGCCGCGCCCCUCCCGGAGCUCCGCCACCACUGGCGCUGGUCCCUCUUCUGGGCCGCCCGCCCCAGGCAGCAAGCGCAAGCGAAAACAGGGCUCGACCCUGUUCGGCAGCGCCCCAAAGAAGCCCAAGAAUCCGGCCGCGGCGACCAGGCAGAAAGAGACCGCGGCCAGGGCGACCCAAUAUCAGAGGCAGCCGAAGGUGCCAGUUAUGGUGUCGGCGUAAGCAUCAUUUCCUUACUCCUUGUUUUUUCAUCAAUCUGGUGUGAAAAUAUUCUGACUUGUCUUCUCAUUUCAGGGCGCCGCUAACCCUCGAGAAGUUGGGCGCCAGCUCGGUCCUCAGGUUGGCAGCGACCUCUUCGACCAGUCGGCGCAACGACCCGACCGCCGACCUCCGUGAGGCGACAGAGCGGAAUGCGCGAGAGGCGCGCGAUGAGACGGAGGCCGACCACCUGGCCAAGGAGCAGGCGGACUUGUCUGCCGCGUCUGCUGCGAGGGCGUUGGCGCAGGCAGAAGCCCAGGCCGCGGAGAAGGAGCGGUUCGCGGAGGCCGCCCAUUGCCAAGAGCCGCUACUCGUGGCCUCCCUCAACACCGUGCCGCCUUUGCCUGAUUUUGAGGCGACAUCCGGAGGAGCCGGCGACGACUACCCGAUCUGGGAGCAGGGGGGUGGUGACGCAGCCAUGCCGAACGUCUUUGUGCCGCCGCCCCCGCCCCCACCGCCUCCGCCAGCCAGCGAGCCGCAGGACGAGCAGCCAGUGGCAUCGCCGGUACCGCCAGUGGCGCCGCCGGUGCCGCCAGUCGACAAUACGGUGGUGACGGUCCUGAUUCCUUCGGCCCGCAUCCCCACGCGCCGCUAUCUGGAGAAGGCGGCCUCAGCACCGCGACCGCAGGAGAUCGGCACCACGAGCUCGUCGGCCCCCGACACCGAGGCGACCAGCGCCGCGCCCGUGGGUUGGGUACACGGGGGCGGGACUGGUGCCUUGAACCAGGCGUCUCUUGCCGUCCAGGCCAAGCUUCGGGCGGAGGUGGAGGCGCUCAAGCGCUGCAAUGAGGCUUACUUGGAGUCGCGCAUCGCCAUCCGGGUAAGUUGUCUUUGGGCUCUUUCUUCGAAUGAUCUUCUUUGCUUCUCUCGUGGGGCGCGCAAGCACACGCACUAGGUGUAGUCCCCAAGUUCCGGGCCGGCUACUGAGCAGGCGGGUUGGAACUUUAUUUUACAAUUGCCCGACUGCUGAUUUUAUCCGAUGCUUCUUCCGCAGGAUUAUCACAACCUCCGCGCGACCGCCUACAACUCCAAGGUUCGGGAGCUGGAGGCGCAGACGGCCCACCUGGCUGAAAGCCGGCGUAAGUUUCUGUCCUCUUUCUUCGCGGGGGCGUGCUGGCGCACCCGCGGGCUGUAGUCCCCGAGGUUCGGGCCGACUGAUGAGCAGUCAGGCCGAAUCUCCUCAGUUGUCUUUUUCCCUUGUCAAACACUUCUUUUCCGCGGGGGCGCGCUGGCGCACCCGCGGGCUAUAGUCCCCGAGGUUCGGGUCGACUGCUGAGCAGUCGGGCCGAAUCCCCUCGGUUAUUUCUUUCCUCUGUCUUGUUCGCUUGACUGAUGCCUUCUUCUUUUCUUUCUUUCUUCAGAGGCCAAUGCCGACCUGCAGCAGCAGCUGGGCGAAGCCAAGACCGCCCUGCGUGGCAAGGAGGCAGAGUGCAGCAAGCUGGCGAAGGAGCGGGACCGCCUGGCCGCCCAACUUGCCGAAUAGGCGGAAACCCUUAAGGCGGCCCAACUGAAGGCGGAAACGGCGGAGACCAGCCUCCUUGCCGAGUUUGAGCUCGAGCACUCCGCCUGGGCCGACAAGGAGGCCCAGGUGACGGCCUGCUUCAGCAGCAUCGAAGAUUUGGUCGAUGGUAAUCCAUAUUCUCUUGGUUUCUUGCUUUGAGUUAUCAGCCCUAGCUUAUAGCCUUGGCCUUUUCCUUCUUCCACCCGAGCAGACUUCUUCCCGGGCCAUUCUGUAGCCGCUACCCAGAUGAUCGAGGCCCAACGGAGGAGCGAAGGGCAGAGGGUGUGCAGAUCGCCGCUGAUGCCCCCCAGACCCUCGGUGAACAGGUCCUCAGCAUUCAGGCCCGACUUCGGCCUGCUCACCGCUUGCUGCGCCGCCUGCAGCGCAUCAGAGCCUAGGCGGUCUCCGCCCUCUGGCCAGGCUUGCCGGCCCCAUGCACCCCAAGUCGGACUGCCGACUGGCUGAAGGUGGCGGCCGGCCGCCUGGAGGCCUGGAAGGGCUCAGCAGCCCGGGCAGGAGCGCGUCGGGCCUUGGAAUUCGUCAAGGUGUGGUACCCUGGGCUAGAUCUGGCCCAGUUAGCCACGUUCCGACUGGAGGCGCAGGAGGAGCUGGCGGUGGUGGAAACUGAGCUUGUCAGCAGGGCCGCGGCGAUCGCGGACUUCACCAACACCAGCGUCUUCGUCCCGGAGAUGGUCGAGGAAGGCGGUGAAGCUCCGCAUGAAUGGCUUGGGCUAAACCCAGAGGAUAGCGAAGACUCCGCUGAAGUCAUCGACUCCAGCGACAAAGGGGAGGACCGGGAGGAGGAAGAGGAGGAGGAGGAGGAGGAAGACGAGAGCGAUGUCGACAUGCCGGAGGUCGGGGCGGACUGUCAGCCCCAACCUGACCGGGCCUCAAGCAACGAGCCGCGCACCGAGGUGCCGCCCACUACUGGAGGCGUUCAAGUGGGGGCGGACCCGCUGCCCGUUCCUCCGACGGAUGCCACCGGCUCCGUCCUCCAGCACUCCAAUGCCCCGCCUGCUGCCGGCAAUUCCUCUGCCCUUGGCCACGCCAUCCGGCACCGGCCAGCCGGAUCCUUCUGCCGCGCCAACCGGCACCGCCCAGCCGGAGUCCUCUGCUGCGCCAACCGGCACCACCCAGCCGGAGUCCUCUGCUGCUCCUUAGGAUUUUAUCUGCUUUCUGUUUGUUGUUCUGAACAUUUUGUUAAAUUCGUGCAAUUCCACCCUCAGGGUGUAUAUCAAACUCUGUUUGAAUGCUGGCCAGGGGCCUUUAUCCAUGUAAAUAUUUUACCAUCGCUUGUGCUUGUUGUGCCGACCUCCACUCUUUUUUUCCUUUUGCUCCUUGGUUUUUUCCUUUGCCGCCGACCCUUUGGCUUUGCUUUUACCAGCCAGGCGUCCGCUCUGUGGACCGUGGCUGGUUUGAGCACUCUAGCCGUUUGUGAGGGGGGCUAGGACUUAGCCAUUCGGAGCUUUGGGUGGUAAAGUGGAGGCCGGCCGUCUGGCUGCCAAGCAGUCAGAUGGCUAGGUGCGAUGCCCCCUGCUACUAUAUGUGCUUUUCUCCUUAGUCUUUUUUUCGUGUGGGGCACCUAUUUGCAACGUUUUCCCACCAUGCAAUCGCUCUGCGAGCUGUGGCUUCUGAUAAAGGAAGCUUUGGGUGCCGUCACACUACUUGUUCGGCUGCAGGAGGCGGCAUAUUGUAGAAGGUGGCGAGGCUCCGGGCCGACUGGUCGAACCCGGUGCCAGGCGGAAGAAAUAGACUAUACAUUCUCAUAGGCAUGAUACUUAUCAUAUAGAUAAAAGAGGGCAGUCCCCAGCUCCUCUCAGGGGACCCGGAGUCUUUAUACAUUGUACAAAAGGUAGCGUGAUAUAUACUACUUUCAACUGUAAAACCUUCAGAGGAGGUUUGCAUUCCACGGCCUCUCCGUUUCUUUGUCUGAAUCAUCUCUCUUGCGCACUCUGGGCUUCUAGGCAUCGAUCAGAUAGUAGGCAUCGUUGCCCAACACCUUACUGAUGAUAAAAGGGCCUUCCCAAGGUGCCGAGAGCUUGUGCUGUCCGGCUGUUCGCUGGAUCAGCCAGAGCACAAGGUAUCCCUCCAGGAAGGACCUUGGCUUCACCUUGCGAUUGUAGUAUCGGCGCAGGCUCUGCUGGUAGAUGGCCGACCUGCUGAGUGCCAACAGCUGGCCCUCCUCCAGCAAGUCGACACCGUCUUCUCGUGCCUCCUUGGCGUCCGCCUUGGUGUACAUGGUGACUCUUGGGGAGUCGAACUCAAUAUCCGUCGAGAUGACGGCUUCGGCACCGUAGAUGAGGAAGAAAGGCGUAAAGCCCGUUGAUUUGUUUGGAGUUGUGCGCAAGCUCCAGAGGAUGGCCGACAUCUCGUCGAGCCAGCAGUCAGCCGAACGCUCCAGAGGCUCGACCAGUCGGGGCCUGAGGCCGGACAAAAUUAGGCCGUUUGCACGCUCCACCUGGCCAUUUGACUGUGGGUGGGCAACGGACGUUAAGUCCAGGCGGAUGCCCUGCGUUGCACAGAAACGAGCCAAGGCUCCUUUGGCGAAGUUGGUGCCGUUGUCGGUGAUGAUGCUGUGUGGGAUGCCGUAUCGCGUGGUAAUGUCAGCGAUGAAGGUCACGACAGUCGGCCCAUUCAGCUUCUUGAUUGGUUUUGCCUCUAUCCACUUGGUAAACUUGUCCACCGCAACCAGCAAGUGAGUCAUGCCACCGCAGGCCGUCUUGAAUGGUCUCACCAUAUCCAAUCCCCACACAGCAAAGGGCCAGGCUAUGGGAAUGGUCUUGAGUGCAGAAGAUGGCAGGUGUGGCUUGGAGCGGAACCUCUGGCACCCUUGACACUUCUGAACCAGCUCUUUGGCUUCUUCCAGGGCAGUCGGCCAGAAGAACCCGUGGCGGAAAGCUUUGGCCACAAGUGAUCUUGAAGCCGCGUGGUGGCCGCACUCGCCCUGGUGGAUAUCUCUAAGUAUUUCUUGGCCUUGGUCCGACUCCACACAUCACUGAUAAACUCCUGUGACACUUCUUCGCACCAGCUCUUUGUUGACUAUGGUAUAAGCUACAGCUCGCCUCUGUACUUGUCGGGCUAAGAUUUCAUCGGUUGGCAGCUCCUUGUUCACCAAAAACUUGAGGAUCGGCUGAGCCCAUGAGGGCGCCACAAUUUCUUCAAUUGCGACCACUGCAACCUGUAUGAGGGCGGUUAGGCCGGGAGGCGACGGGUUGGCAGCUGCUUCUGCCUGCUGUGCUGGAGAAGUCCCCAGGCCGACUGCUGAAGUCCCCGGGUCGGGCUCCGAAGUCCCCGGGCCAGGUUCUGAAGUCCCUGGGCCUAGCGUGGCAGCAGCAGUCCCCGGGCCGCCUGUCGAGAUCCCCGUGCCGGCCUCUAGGGUAGCCAAGUUGGAUCCGACUGCUUCGGGGGGGGGGGGUCGGCACAAAGAUGGAGUCUGAAUCAGAAGACGGCUUGACAGACGACUUCAGAAGGCGGCGUAGGGCAACGCCGACUGGUAUUGCUUGUCGGGUGGAGCCAAUCAGUGCUAAGGCAUCUGCUUGCUCGUUGUCAUUCCUUGGCACGCGAAGGAACUCGCACCCAUCAAAGUAUCCGUUGAGUUGCUGCACGAGGAAACGGUAGCUCGCUAUAUUUGCGUCCUUGGCGUCCCAGUCGCCUGAAGACUGCUGGACCACCAAGUCGGAGUCACCAUAGCACAGGAUCCGGCGAAUGCCGAGUUCCUUGGCAAGCCGGAACCCGUGUAUGAGUGCCUCGUAUUCUGCUACGUUGUUGGAGGCGGAGAAGUGGACUUGCAAUACAUAUUUAAGCUUGUCGCCCUUGGGAGAGGUGAGGACGACGCCGGCUCCCAGACCUGUGUGCAUUUUUGAACCGUCAAAAUGCAUCCGCCAAUGAGUGGAGUCUGGUGCAGGCGGCAAAUAUUGGGUCUCGGUCCAAUCAACGAGGAAGUCGGCCAACACUUGUGAUUUGAUGGUGGUGCGAGGCUAGUAGUAGACGGUGUAAGGGGCCAGAUCAAUAGCCCAUUUGGCGACUCGGCCAGAGGCAUCCCGGCUUCCAAUGAUCAAAGCGAGCGGGGCUGUGCAGACGACAGUUAUGGGGUGCUCUUGGAAGUAAGGUUUCAGCUUCUUGGCGGCAAAAUGCAUGCCGUAACACAUCUUCUGGUAGUGGGGGUAGUUUUGCUUGGAGGCGGACAAUACUUCGCUCAAGUAAUACACCAGUCUCUGGACCGGCAAUGCUUUGUCCUUCUCCUUGCGCUCUACCACCAUGACUAUGCUAACAACCUGACUGGUGGCUGCAAUGUAGAGGAGCAUGGGCUCCUUCUCAGUCGGAGCUGCCAGGACAGGCGGGGUUUCCAACAUCUUCUUGAGUUGGAGAAAUGCUUCAUCCGCCUUGUUGUUCCACUCGAAAAAAGUGGUCUUCUUCAUGAGUUGGUAUAGGGGAAGAGCCUUCUCGCCCAGCCGGCUGAUGAAACGGCUGACUGACGCCAGGCAGCCGGUGAAUUUCUGCACGUCCAGCAGUCGGGUGGGCACCUCCAUCAUCUCAAUUGCCUUGAUCUUCACAGGAUUGCACUCUAUAUCGCGCUCUGAGACCAAGAAACCGAGAAGCUGGGUGGCUGGUACUCCAAAGACACAUUUCUCCGGGUUGAGCUUUAUCUGGAAUCGGCGCAGGUUUUCAAAGGUCUCCUUGAGGUCCUCUAGCAGAGUGCCACGCUUCUCUGUCUUCACCACCACAUCAUCCACAUAUACGUGGGCAUUUCUGCCGAGUUGCUUAAGGAGGCACUUCUGCAUGCAACGCUGAAACGUGGCGCCGGCAUUUCUCAAGCCAAACGUCAUGGUCAGGUAGCAGAAGGCUCCGAACGACGUGAUGAAGGCGGUCUUCAGCCUGUCGGCCGGGUUCAGCUUUAUCUGGUGAUAACCUGAGUAUGCAUCUAGAAAACUCAACAGCUCGCAUCCGGCUGUGGAGUCUAUCACUUGAUCAAUCCUUGGCAGAGCGAAGGGAUCUUUGGGGCAGGCUUUGUUGAGGCUGGUAUAGUCAAUGCACAUGCGCCACUGCUUGUUCUUCUUCAAUACUAGGACUGGGUUGGCCAGCCACUCUGGGAAGAAUACUUCCAUGAUGAAUCCGGCUGCUAGGAGCCGGGCUAUCUCUUCUCCGACAACUCUUCUCUUCUCUUCUGACAAGCGAGGCAAAGGCUGCCUGACUGGCUUGGCGUCAGGUCGGACGUGUAGCUUGUGCUCGGCGAAAUCCGUCGGAACACCCGGCAUGUCCUUGGGGGACCAUGCGAAGAUGUCCCGAUUCUCACGGAGGAAAUCGACGAGCUCGCCUUCCUAUUUGCUAUCAAGGCCUGUGCCUAUAACAACGUGCCUCUCCGGGUGCUCUGGGUCCAAGGGUAUUUUCUUUGUUUCCUUGGCCGGCUUGAAUGAGCCCUCAGCAUCCGACUCCUGGGGUGUGGGUGACAUUUCCGGCUUCUUGCCUGCCAGUGCCACCACCCGGUCAAGGAGCCGCUUCUCGGCAGCGAUCACGAGGGACUCGGCCAGCCGGCUGCUAUCUGUGGCGCAAGCGAUCGACUUCUUAUAGUCUCUGGCGACUGUCAAGAUCCCCUUGGUACUCGGCAUCUUCAUCUUGAGGUAGGUGUAGUGGGGGACUGCCAUUAAUUUGGCCAGAGUAGGCCGGCCUAGCAGUGCAUGGUAGGGGCUCUGAAGGUCCACCACUUCAAACCAAACUGGCUCUCGGCAAAAGUGAUUCUUGUCUCCGAAGAGGACGUCAAUCUGGGUCUUGCCGAUUGGUGAGCAGGAAAGGCCAGUGACUAUGCCAUGGAAUACAGUCCGACUGGGAACGAGCUGCUUCUGCUUGAUUCCCAACUUCUCCAUUGUAUCGUGGUAUAGGAUGUUGAUGCUGCUGCUGCCAUCUAUCAAGACUCUGGAGAAACAGGCUGCUCGCCUCUCCGUUGCAAGGGUCGCUUCUAGGACCAGGGCAUAUGAACCAGGGGAAGGCAUCACUUCCGGGUGGUAGGCCCUGCUCCAACUGAUAGGCUUCUCGGACCAAUGCAUGAACUCAGGAGUGUUGGAGGCCACUUCUUGCACUUCUUGUUGUUGUUGCCGUCUGCUGCGUCUGUCAUCGGCCACACUGGUGAAAACAACAUAAGCUCCGUGUUCCUCUGGGUACUCGUCUUGUAAGGCGCUGACUGGACGGGCCGCCGGCUAUUGGGGCUGAGGAGGCGGCGGUCCAGUAGGCGGAGGAGGCAGGAGUCCAUCUCCCUUGGCAAUUCUGGUGAGCCAGUGACACUUCCGAGUGGUGUGGUUGGAGGGCUUAGCGCCGUUAUGGAACUUGCAGGGUGCAUCCAAGGUUUGCUCGUAAGAGAAGGCGGACAACCAAUUGGACUUGCCGCCUUUCUACCAUUUGGGGGCAGGCCGCCCUUCUGGUUGCUGAUCCUCGACCGUCGCCACCUGCCGGCUAGUGGAAGCCGGCUGGGUGGCCUUUCGCUUGUUAUCACCUGGCUGCUGUCGCCGGCUGGUGUCACCUGCCGGAGUCCGAGGUGCCUGAAGUGCCACCUUGCCGGAUGCGUCAACCAGGAUUUCCGCCUUCAUGGAGUCGGCCAUGGCGUGCUUGUCGGCGAUGACCAGCAGCUCAUCGAGGGUCUCGGGCUCGUCGCAGAGGAGUCGAUGCUUGAGGAGGGUGCCCUCUCGGCACCCGGCAGUGAAGUAUUCAAUUGCCUGCACCUCGUGCACGCCUUCGCAGGAAUUGCGCAGCUCGGUCCAGCGUGUGAGGUAGUCGCAGGUUGACUCUGUAGGCCCUUGGACGCAUAAGGAGAGUUGUCGGGGCUUGGGGGCCCGCUUGUAAGUGUUGGUGAAGUUGCGGAUGAAGACCUCGGUGAAAUCGACCCAGCUGUUGAUGCUGUGGGGCUUCAGGCUGUUGAGCCACGUCCGGGCCGUGCCCUGAAGCAUGAGCGGGACGUACUUCACGGCAACGCGCUUGUUGCCGUUUGCUAUGCUGACAGCUGUGGAGUAGUCGACCAGCCAGUCCUCCGGCUUCACGGAGCCGGUGUAUUUGGGCGUGUCUCGCGGGAGGGUGAACCCCUUGGGGAAAGGCUCAUCGCGGAUUCGGGGGCCGAAACAGGGCGGGCCCAGCGCAUCUUCUUCUUCAAGCGCCAGGGAUCGGUUGAGACGAUCGAUCCGGUGGUGAGCAUCAUUCUCUACGACUCCCUCUCGGCGACCAAGGUGGUCGCCGAGUGUCGGGUGCGUGACAGGAGCCGGAGUGGGGUGUCUUGCUCCACGAGGCGGGGGAGGCGGCAGGUCGCCUUGCCGCUCUACAGCACGAGGGCGGCCUUCCUCGUCCCGCUCGAUGGAGAUGUGUGUCCGACUGCGGCUAGCAACCGUCUCAUUGCCCUUUCCUCCGCGGGCGCCACCAAUCGGCGUCCGGGAGGUCGCCCCAUGAUCUCGGCAUGGGGGCGGCUCGUUGUUUCGUCCGGCUGGGUCUUCAGUCCGGCAAACGGCCUUGUGCUGUGUGGCAGCCGCGUCCAGGAACUGUUGGACUCGCUCCGUCAUGUGGCGGAGCUCGUCGCCGUUGUACUUGUUCAGCUCAUCCGUUACCGCCUGGGCGGCCCGGAUGUUCUCUGCAGGCGUGGCGUAGACGGGGCGCUCCGCCCCGAACAUGGUGGUGAUGGUCGCGUCACGCUGCCGAACUGUGCCGAGGCGGCUAGGCCCCUCCGGAGCCGGCGUGCCGCCUACGGCCCGGUCCAUCUCACGCCGAUAGGCGUCCGACAACCGGCACAUGCUGGCCAGGCAGCCAGCACUCUCGAUAAGCUGGAGGCGGCGUGCCUCCAGCACCUCACCAUCCGCGCCCUCGGGAAUGGGCACCGUGAGGUCGCGCAGGGUGGUCUCGAGGGGAUCUUGAGCACGCCCGUCCGAGUGCUCCUCGCUGUUGAUAACGAGCACCUCCGUGACGGUGCUCCCAUCGCUGUACUUGCAAGGAGGCGGCUCGUCGUAGACAACCAUGUUGGUGGGAAACGCGUCGAGCGACGUCGUAUCAGAGUCGACGAUCAUCGGAUCGGUCGAGCCGACAGACUCCAGGUCCACAGCAGGCUCGCUGGUGACACGGAGCUGGUCGAGGAGGCUGACAAGGCGGCUCUCAGGGCAGCUUGUGCCCGUGUCAGAGGCCGGCUCGUCGGAGAGGUCGAUCUCGCCGACGAGGUCAGUGAGGCAACUCGCCGCGCAGGCGAUCUCCGCGCCGUGCAGCGCGUCGAGGCUGACGCCAUCCGGCGUGCUGGGCUGGCUUCGCUCGCCAGAGAGGAACAAGGUUCCCAUCCAGAGCAGAUCUCCGGGAGAUGGUGCACCUCGCCCCAUGGUGGGCGCCAAAUGUCGGGGGUUGGGUACGACAUAUGCCAAAGGAUGGCUUAUCAUGGUGGGAGCGAGUAGAACGUCGCCGGUGCCUGGAAGCGGGAUAAGGCGUAGACACGAAUGCCGACGUACUUUACCCAGGUUCGGGGCUCUCCUAGGAGAUAACACCCCUAGUCCUGCUCUGCGGGGUCUCCGCAUGAUCACUAAGGCACAAGUGAUACAACGUGCUCCUCGAGCUGUUUGCUAGAGGCAGAGGGAGGCAAGGCUAGCUCUCUUCCUGCUCUAGGGGGUGGCUAGUUCUAAUGGGGUCGAACCCUUUGCAUGGGUGCCCUGGGGGGUUUAUAUAGGCCUACCCCCCAGGUGUACAAUGGUAAUCUGGCCGGCUGUUGGGCCCGGCUGUCAGCAUCUUCGACCUCCAGCUUCUCCGCCGACCGCUGGGGCCCGCCGCCUGGUGGACCCCGCCGACUGGUUGGUGGCUGUUCACUGUAGCCGUGUUGUUGGUGACGGGGGCUUGGUUAUCCUCGCGUGGCUAUAGUCCCGCCGCCUGGCGGGAGGGCACUGUAGCCGCACCUGGUCUUAUCAGCUUAAUGGUGUGCUUGCCCCGGGACAAGGGACGGCCGCCUGCUGGAGGCCGGCCACUCUCUAAUCCGCUUAGUUGAGCCUCCGCCGUCUUCCUUGGGGUCACUGCCUGAUAGGGCCCACCUCCGGCAGGUCGUACCGACAGGCCGUCUUUGGGAAUAGGGCUCCGCCUACCCGGAGUGACGUCGGGGUAGAUACGACACAGUGCUCCGUCGUGCAGAGAUCUCCGUCUGUACGGAGCACUGUAGCCACGCCUGUCUUGAAUGUGUGAUGCGUCGUUCCUCACUGUAGCCAUGCUUUGACUUGUACUCUUAAUGGGAGCUCGGCCGCCCCGUAGUCGCGAGGUGGCCGCCUGCCCGCGCCGCCCUCUCUGGAAGGCGGCCGCCAGGAGCCGGUCACUCGGAGCACCGUAGUCUUGGGUCACCCGCCCUCUGGCAGCCGGCCGCCAAGCUAGCCGGCCCUAGAGGGCGGAGUUUUGGCUUGGGGCUCAGCUGGGCGGAGCCGGCCCAAAGUCUUGAUAAUUCUAGGGACUCGGGUGAGCCUACCCGUGGCCCAUUACUCCGACAUAUUAUCUAGUUGUUUCUCAGCAGCGGUCGUAACACCACAACACCUCGACUUGCCACCUAGGGUCUCAGCAGCCCCGAUGUUUGAUGGCAAUGAUGCCCCCUCCUCUGCUUGUUGUGUUAUGUUUUCUGGUUGCUGCUGUACUCUAGCCUUUUCUUUCUGAUCAACGUGGCGCUCAGUGGUGGCAGAGAGGAGGGAGGAGGUGGCAAGGGGGAGGAACGGACUGGGAUUUUGGGGGUGAGAUGGAAAGGACUUUGUUUGUUUACCAUUUCCAGAGAUAGAUGAGACCAGGGGUUUUAAUAGUUGGAAGGAGAUCUACAGGUAGGUGGGUGGGUGGAACAAUUUUCUUUGGGAGAAAUAGCUUUUCCUUUUUUACGCCUGAUAUAUUUUCAAUAGCUAGAUCAACAAUUAUUCAUGAAAUCACGGUUACAUCAUCAGUAUAACAUCCAAUAGAAACUUUGGUGGAUUAUCGGGGCAAUCCUUGACGAACCAAUGAUGGUUCGAAAGAAAAUUCAAUGGGGGUGGAUGUAUACUUGAGAGACAUUGGAAGAGAAAAAAUAUAGGUUGGAAACAAAUUUAAAUCUCGAGUGAGGUGGUUGUUGUGUUGGAUACAUUUGCCCUUGAUUAGCUACUCCAUACAAGUUCAUCAACAUAGACACACAAUUACAAAUGCCAACUCGCCAGAAUCCUAGUUGAAUAUAUUAACGCUCUUACUGCACUUGAACAAUGAGAUUUUGACAAGAAGUCUAGGAAGCAUGCAUUUAGUUCUAAUAUAAUCCCUAGAAAAAAAUGGUAUCAACAAAAAUCGCUUUCAUGCACCUAGUGAAUAAAUUGAUUUUCCUUACUUUUGUUAUAUGAGAGAGGGGAAUUUUUUCGAUUAAACUCACAUUCAUGCUUAUAAAUUUGUGGUGAAUUUAAAAUUCCAUCCAAAUCACUGAGUCUAUUUGCUAUAAAUUUGACAUGACCUUUGCUCUUAUUUAGAGUUUUGUUUCAUUCUCAAAUUAGAAAUAAUAUGAAGGGCUUUGAAGUCAAUAGUACAAUUCAAUAUGAACUGGAAAUUCAUUUAUAAAUAAUAAACAACUGGAUAAGGGGAAAUCAAACUUUAUUGAUAAUUGGGAAAUAAUACAAAGUUAUGUUACAAAAAAGGAAACUUUAUUAAAAAAUAUCAUUUUUUGACAAUGGAAACAGUAGGAAAGGCUCCUACUAUAUAUAUAUUAAUAUGGUAAUCAAUAUACAAAUUACGUCCUUUCUGUAUGGAGAGAAAUGAGGUGGGGGUGUGGAGACAAGGAGGUGUUUGUACUAAAGUGUUUUAGCUAAGGUAUGGUGUCCAAGAGGGUAGUAAUAAACUGCACUUUGGAGGGGUGUACCCUAUAUAUUAGAUUAGAGAAAUCAAUCUUGAAUCUUUGUUUCCAAGAUGUUGCAGUGGGCUUCACCUUUCUGAAAUGAUUAUUGUUGCAUUCUUUCCAAUGUCUCCAUGCAGACACCAAGAAUAUAUCCAUCCACAACUUGUGGGGGUGAAGCAUUUUCUGUUGGCUUAUCAGCUCUAGCCUAUGAUCAUGAGUGGACCAAUGGAUGGCGAGGGAUCUCCAACAUUCCUGGCUGAAAUUGCAAUGGAAGAACAGGUGCUCCACAGUUUCCUCCACGUGCUCCCCACACAGCAGGCAGUCAAAGUUGUUACCAAUAUUUUAGUGUCUCUGUUUGAGCAUGUUUCUGGUAUUAAGGCCGUCAGCCAGAAGAAACCAACCAAAGACUUUAUUAUUGGGCAUGCAUUUGGCUUUACAUAACCACCUGAAUGCCUCAUGGGCGACCACCUCACUAAAAUAGAAUAUGUAAUAGGCGGUGAUUUUGAAUUUGUCACUCCCCCCCAAACGUACGUCCAAGUAUCAUGCAGAUCCGAAGGAAUAGUGGUGGUCACUUCAUCUUGGAUUUUUCUUAGUUCAACAUGUGCUUGUACCGAGAGGCGAAGGUGAAAAGUUGCAUGCAAGUCAAUGGUAGCAAGGAAAUCGUUCACUGAGGCGUCUGAUACGUCUCCAAUGUAUCUAUAAUUUUUGAUUGUUCUAUGCUAUUAAAGUAUCAUUCUUCGAUGUCUUAUACUCAUUUACUAACAACUUUAUAUCAUUUUUUGGGGACUAACCUAUUGACAUAGUGCCUAGUGCCAGUUGCUCUUUUUUGCUUGUUUUUUACUCCGCAGAAUAUCAAUACCAAACGGAGUCCAAAUGCCACAACACUUUUUGGAGAUUUUUUUUCUGCCCAUAAGACACCCAUGAGGCCCAAGAAGUGCACUAGAGGGGGCCUGUGGGGCCCACUAGGCACCAGGGCGCACCCUGGUGGGUAGUGGAGCCCACAUGCACCCCUCCACCGACCUCUACCUCUAUAAAUACUCUAAAAUACCAAAAACCCUAAGGGAGUCGACGAAACACAAUUCCAGCCGCCACAAGUUCCAGAACCACGAGAUCCAAUCUAGGGGCCUUUUUCGGCACUCCGUCGGAGGGGGCAACUAUCACAGAUGGGUUCUUCAUCAUCACCCUUGCCCCUCCGAUGAUGCGUGAGUAGUUUACCACAGACCUACGGGUCCAUAGGUAGUAGCUAGAUGGCUUCUUCUCUAUUUUUGAUCUUCAAUACAAUGUUCUCUUCGAUGUUCUUGGAGAUCUAUUUGAUGUAGUGACUUUUUGCGGUGUGUUUGUUGGGAUCCGAUGAAUUGUGAGUUUAUGAUCAGAUCUAUCCAUGAAUAUUAUUUGAGUCUUUGCUGAACUCUUUUAUGCAUGACCUUUAUAGCCUCGUAUUUCUUCUUCGAAACUUUGGUUUGGUUUGGCCAACUAGAUUGAUUUUUCUGGCAAUGGGAAGAGGUGCUUUCUGAUGGGUUCAAUCUUGCGGUGCUCAAUCUUAGUGACAGAAAGAGACAUGACACACAUGUAUAUUUGCUAUUAAGGAUAAAAAGAUGGGGUCUAUUCCUACAUGAAUUGAUCUUAUCUACAUCAUGUCACCGUUCUUAUUGCAUUACUCCGUUUCUCCAUGAACUUAGUACACUAGAUGCAUGCUGGAUAGCGGUGGAUGUGUGGAGUAAUAGUAGUAGAUGCAGGUAGGAGUCGGUCUACUAAUCUUGGACGUGAUGCCUAUAUACAUGAUCAUUGCCUUGGAUAUCGUCAUAAUUAUUUGCUUUUCUGUCAAUUGCCCAAUAGUAAAUUGUCUACCCACUAUAUGCUAUUUUCUCGAGAAAAGCCUCUAGUGAAAUCUACGGCCCCCGGGUCUAUUUCCUAUCAUAUUAUUUUCAGAUCUAUUUAUCCAAAAAUCCAAAAAGACCUUGCUGCACUUUUUCUUUAAUUAUUUUAUUUUGUGUUUUUGCUAGACCUAUUUAUCAAACCUCAUACAAUUUAAUAUAUCUCAAUACUGAGGAGGGAUUGACAACCCCUCUUACGCCUUGGGUUGCAAGUUUUUGUUGUUUGUGUGUAGGUGAUAUUUUGUAGGAUCGAAAGUAUGUCUAAAGGGGGGGGGGGGUGAUUAGACUACUUGAACAAAUAAAUACUUAUCCCUUUCCCAAUUUUAGUUCUUGGCAGUUUUUAGCAACUUAGCACAAGUCAAGCAAUCUUAAUACAAUUCAAGCAAGCAUGCACAGAGUAUAUAGGCAGCGGAAAGUAAAGCAUGCAACUUGCAAGAAAGUAAAUGGGAGGAGUUUGGAGGGAGCAAACGCAAUGUUGACACGGAUAUUUUUGGCGUGGUUCCGAUAGGUGGUGCUAUCGUACAUCCACGUUGAUGGAGACUUCAACCCACGGAGGGUAACGACUGCGCGAGUCCACGGAGGGCUCCACCCACGAAGGGUCCACGAAGAAGCAACCUUGUCUAUCCCAUCAUGGCCAUCGCCCACGAAGGACUUGCCUCACUAGGGUAGAUCUUCACAAAGUAGGCGAUCUCCUUGCCCUUACAAACUCCUUGGUUCAACUCCACAAUCUUGAUGGAGGCUCCCAAGUGACACCUAACCAAUCUAGGAGACACCACUCUCCAAAAGGUCGUAGAUGGUGUGUUGUUGAUGAACUCCUUGCUCUUGUGCUUCAAAUGAUAGUCUCCCCAACACUCAACUCUCUCUCUCUCACACAGAUUUGGCUAUGGUGGAAAGAUGAUUUGACUGGAAAGCAACUUGGGGAAGGCUAGAGAUCAAGAUUCAUAUGAUAGGAUUGGAAUAUCUUGGUCUCAACACAUGAGUAGGUGGUUCUCCCUCAGAAAAUGAGUAGUGGAAGUGUAGGUACGUUCUGAUAGCUCUCCUCUGUAAUGACGAAUGGGUGGAAGGGUAUAUAUAGCCUCCACACAAAAUCUAACCGUUACACACAGAUUCCCAAACUUGGUGGGACCGAAACAGCAAACUCGGUCAGACCGAUCCAGGUAAAAAUAUGAACGUUAGAGUUUUCGGUGGGACGGAUAUAGUCAUCCCGAUGAGACCGACAUGCUAGGGUUUGGGCAUAACGUAAUAUCGGUGUGACCGAUCGCAUAAACUCGGUGGGACUAAUUUCAACAGUAGGUACACAGAGGGUUGGUCAGGCAAACUUGGUGGGACUAAUUCGCUCACUUCGGUGGGAUCGAAGUGUUAAAAAAGGAAACAUGGAGUUUGCAAUGCAGACACGGUGGGACCGAUUUGCUCAUUCCGGUGAGACCGAAAUGUUACAAAAAGCAAAUAGAGAGUUUGCAAUCCCAUCUCGGUGAGACCGAGAUCCCUAUCGGUGAGACCGAAGUAACUAGGGUUUGUGGCAAUGGCUAUGUCAAAUGAAACUCGGUGGCGCCAAAUAGAUCAAAUCGGUGGGGCCAAAUUUGACUUUUAGGUUUAGGACAUAUGUGGAAAUGAGAAAGUGGUUGAGUGUUUUGGAGCAUAUCACUAAGAAUUUUGAGCAAGUAAGCCAUUAAGAAACACCUCACCUCCUUUUAAUAGUAUUGGCUUUCCUAUGGACUCAAUGUUAUCUUGGAUCACUAAAAUGAAAAUGUAGAUUCUUGAGCUUGUUGCCAAUGUAUGUCCUUUGCAUUUUGAGGGGUCCACAUCUCUAGUCCAUGCCAUGCCAAUCAUUGAACUUUCUGAAAUGAUCAUCUUGAAAGAGCAUUAGUUCAAUGAACUAUAUGUCGUUAAGAAUUACCCAAACCACCCAGGGAUUAGUUGCACUUUCAAUCUCCCCCUUUUUGGUAAUUGAUGACAACAUAUAGAUCAAAGCUUUGACAAAUGAUAAUAAGAAUGAAGUACAUUGUCGCUUUAAGAAGUAUGUGAUAAGGAAGAGCUCCCCCUAAAUUUGUGCAUUAUUUAGAAUUUGCUUUGGACUGCAAAUGCAUAAUCUGUUAGGAUCAUGGGUUACUCUUCCAUGUCACAUACAUCUUGAUGGAGCGCUCAAAAUGACAAUAAAUAAGAACAAGCACUCAUCACCAAGGCAAAGUGAAUGAUCAUACAAGAGAUAGAUAAUGUCAUCAUUCAAGCAUAAGUAUAAAGUAUGAUAUGAUCAAGCACAUGAUCAUACAACACACAUGCAUAAGGUAUCUCAAACAAGCAAAUAAAACAAAUGAGUAGCAAAAAGAAUCAAAGCUCUCUCUCCCUCGAAGCCUAUGAUCUAUACACUUUCUCCCCCUUUGGCAACAAGUUACCAAAAAUCUUGAAAAUGCAUAGUCCUAUGCGACUCUGUAGGCUUGAUCUUUGGAAGGAGGUGUUGAGAUGACUCCAAGGACGAAUGCAUCUGUAGAUGAUGUUGGAGCUGGAGGGGUUGCCACUCGAGGGCUAACUGGAGCUAUAGGAGCUGUGGCUGCAGGUGCUGAAGAUGUUGCUCUUGUGUCUGGUGAUACGUCCAUUUUGCAUCAUGCUUUUAUAUCAAUAUUUAUUGCAUUAUGGGCUGUUAUUACACGUUAUGUCACAAUACUUAUGGUAUUCUCUCUUAUUUUACAAGGUUUGUCAUGAAGAGGGAGAAUGCCGGCAGUUGGGAUUUUGGCUGGAAAAGGAGCAAAUAUUGGAAACCUAUUCUGCACAACUCCAAAAGUCCUGAAACUCCAUGAAAGUCAUUUUUGGAAUUAAUAAGAAUUAUUGAGCGAAGAAAGUACCAGAGGGGGCCCACACCCUGGCCAGGAGGGUGGGGGUGUGCCCCCCUACUAGGCGUGCCCCCUGUCUCCUGGGCCCCCUGGUGGCCCUCCGGUGCCCAUCUUCUGCUAUAUGAAGGCUUUUACCCUGAAAAAAAAAUCAUAAGCAAGCUUACGGGACGAAACUCCACCGCCACGAGGCGGAACCUUGGCGGAACCAAUCUAGGGCUCCAGCAGAGCUGUUCUGCCGGGGAAACUUCCCUCCGGGAGGGGGAAAUCAUCACCAUCGUCAUCACCAACGAUCCUCUCAUCGGGAAGGGGUCAAUCUCCAUCAACAUCUUCACCGGCACCAUCUCCUCUCAAAACCCUAGUUCAUCUCUUGUAUCCAAUCUUGUAUCAAAACCACAAAUUGGUACCUGUGGGUUGCUAGUAGUGUUGAUUACUCCUUAUAGUUGAUGCUAAUUGGUUUACUUGGUGGAAGAUCAUAUGUUCAGAUCCUUAAUGCAUAUUAAUACUCCUCUGAUCAUGAAGAUGAAUAUGCUUUAUGAGUAUUUACGUUUGUUCCUGAGGACAUGGGUGAAGUCUUGCUAUUAGUAGUCAUGUGAAUUUGGUAUUCGUUCGAUAUUUUGAUGAGAUGUAUGUUGUCUCUCCUCUGGUGGUGUUAUGUGAAUGUCUACUACAUGAGACUUCACCAUUAUUUGGGCCUAGAGGAAGGCAUUGGGAAGUAAUAAGUAGAUGAUGGGUUGCUAGAGUGACAGAAGCUUAAGCCCUAGUUUAUGCGUUGCUUCGUAAGGGGCUGAUUUGGAUCCACUAGUUUCAUGCUAUGGUUAGGUUUACCUUAAUACUUCUUUUGUAGUUGCGGAUGCUUGCAAUAGGGGUUAAUCAUAAGUGGGAUGCUUGUCCAAGAAAGGGCAGUACCCAAGCACCGUUCCACCCACAUAUCAAAUUAUCAAAGUACCGAACGCGAAUCAUAUUAGCGUGAUGAAAACUAGCUUGACGAUAAUUCCCAUGUGUCGUCGGGAGCGCUUUUCUCAUUAUAAGAAAUUGUCAAGGCUUGUCUUUUGCUACAAAAAGGAUUGGGCCACCUUUCUGCACCUUAUUUACUUUCAUUGCUUGUUACCCGUUACAAACUAUCUUAUCACAAAACUAUCUAUUACCUACAAUUCCAGUGCUUGCAGAGAAUACCUUACUGAAAACCGCUUGUCAUUUCCUUCUGCUCCUCGUUGGGUUCGGCGCUCUUACUUAUCGAAAGGACUAUGAUAGAUCCCCUAUACUUGUGGGUCAUCAAGACUCUUUUCUGGCGCCGUUGCCAGGGAGUGAAGCGCCUUUGGUGAGUGGAACUUGGUAAGGAAACAUUUAUAUAGUGUGCUGAAAUUUUCUGUCACUUGUUACUAUGGAAACUAAUCCUUUGAGGGGCUUGUUCGGGGUAUCUUCGCCCCGACCAGUAGAGCAAAGAGUUGCUCCUCAACCCUGAAAAUGUUUACUUUGAUAUUCCUUCGGUUAUGAUAGAGAAACUGCUAGCUAAUCCCUUUGCAGGAGAUGGAACAUUGCAUCCCGAUUUACACCUUAUCUUUGUGGAUGAAGUUUGUGGAUUAUUUAAGCUUGCAAGUAUUCCCGAUGAUGUUGUUAAGAGGAAGGUCUUUCCUUUAUCUUUGAAGGGAUACGCAUUGACAUGGUAUAGGCUAUGUGAUGAUACGGGAUCUUGGAACUAUAAACAAUUGAAGUUGGAAUUUCACCAGAAGUUCUAUCCUAUGCAUCUUGUUCAUCGUGAUCGUAAUUACAUAUACAAUUUCUGGCCUCGCGAAGGAGAAAGCAUCGCUCAAGCUUGGGGGAGGCUUAAGUCAAUGUUAUAUUCAUGCCCCAAUCAUGAGCUCUCAAGAGAAAUGAUUAUUCAAAAAAUUUAUGCUCGACUUUCUCUCAAUGAUCGCACGAUGCUUGAUACUUCAUAUGCUGGUUCGUCUAUGCUGAAGACUACUGAAUUCAAGUGGGAUUUAUUGGAAAGAAUUAAACAACUCUGAAGAUUGGGGUUCCGACGAUGGUAAGGAGUCAGGUAUGAUACCUAAGUUUGAUUGUGUUAAAUCUUUUAUGGAUACAGAUGCUUUUCGUGGAUUUAGCGCUAAAUAUGGACUUGACUCUGAGAUAGUAGCUUCUUUUUGUGAAUCUUUUGCUACUCACGUUGAUCUACCUAAGGAGAAGUGGUUUAAAUAUAAUCCUCCCACUGAAGUAAAAGUAGUUGCACCUAUUAUAGUUGAAGAAAAGACUAUCACUUAUAAUGAUCCUAUUGUUCCUACUACUUAUGUUGAGAAACCACCUUUGCCUGUUAGAAUAAAGGAUCAUGCUAAAGCUUCAAUUGUGGUUCGUAAGAGUAAUACUAGAACAUUUACACCUCCUGAGCAAAUUAAAGUUGAACCUAGUAUUGCUAUGGUUAAAGAUCUCUUGGAUGAUAAUAUAGAUGGGCAUGUUAUUUACUUCUGUGGUGAAACUGCUAAUAUUGCUAGACCAGAUGCUAAGAUACAUAGACCUGUUGUAGGCAUGCCUGUUAUUUCUGUUAAAAUAGGAGAUCAUUGUUAUCAUGGCUUAUGUGAUAUUGGUGCUAGUGCUAGUGCAAUACCUUUUUCCUUAUAUGAAGAAACUAUGCAUGAUAUUGCAGCCGCUGAAAUAGAAGGUAUUGAUGUUACAAUUAAGCUUGCCAAUAGAGAUACUAUUACACCAGUUGGGAUUGUUAGAGAUGUUGAAGUCUUGUGUGGGAAAGUUAAAUACCCUGCUGAUUUUCUUGUUCUUGGUUCCCCACAAGAUAGCUUAUGUCCCAUUAUUUUUGAUAGAACCUUCUUGAAUACUAUCAAUGCUAAGAUUGAUUGUGAAAAGGACGUUGUUACAAUUGGCUUGGGGGAUAUGAAACAUGAGUUUAAUUUCGCUAAGUUUCGUAGACAACCCCAUGAUAAAGAAUUGCCUAGUAAGGAUGAAAUUAUUGGUCUUGCUUCUAUUGCCGUGCCUCCUACUGAUCCGUUAGAACAAUAUUUGCUAGACCAUGAAAAUGCUAUGUUUAUGAAUGAAAGAAGGGAAAUAGAUGAAGUAUUACUUCAACAGGGUCCUAUUCCGAAACACAACUUACCUGUUGAAAUCCUAGGGGAUCCCCCUCCACCCAAGGGUGAUCCCGUGUUUGAGCUUAAACCUUUACCUGGUAAUCUUAAGUAUGCUUAUCUUGAUGAAAAGAAGAUUAUCCUGUUAUUAUUAGUGCUAACCUUUCAGAGCAAGAAGAGGAGAGAUUAUUGAAAACUUUGAAGUAGAACCGUGCCACUAUUGGAUAUACUCCGGAUGAUCUUAAGGGCAUUAGUCCCACUUUAUGCCAACACAAAAUAAAAUUGGAAAAAGAUGCCAAACCAGUUAGAGACCCUCAACGGAGGUUAAAUCCUAAGAUGAAAGAAGUGGUAAGAAAGGAGAUACUAAAGCUCCUUGAGGUAGGUAUAAUUUAUCACGUUACUGAUAAUGAUUGGGUAAGUCCUGUCCAUUGCGUUCCUAAGAAGGGAGGUAUUACUGUCGUUCCUAAUGAUAAAGAUGAAUUGAUCCCGCAAAGAAUUAUGACAUGUUAUAGGAUGGUAAUUGAUUUCCGUAAAUUAAAUAAAGCUACUUGCUACAUCUUGAACUUGUGAUGGUUUUCCUCGAAGAGGAGAGGGUGAUGCAGCAAAGUGUAGCCUAAGUAUUUCCUUCAGUUGUGAGAACCAAGGUAUCAAUCCAGUAGAAGGCUCCUCAAAAGUCCCACGCACCUACACAAACAAACUGAGAACUCGCAACCAACGCAAUAAAGGGGUUGUCAAUCCCUUCACUACAACUUGGGAGAGUGAGAUCUAAUAAAGAUAGUAUGAUAAGAUAAAUAUAUUUUUGGUAUUUUAUAAUAUAGAUGCAAAAAGUAAAGAUGCAAAUAAAGAUAGAUUGAAAGCAAAUAUUGAUAAGAGAUAGACCUGGGGCCAUGGGUUUCACUAGAGGCUUCUCUCAAGAUAGCAUAAGUAUUACGGUAGGUGAACAAAUUACUGUCGAUCAAUUGAUAGAAAAGCACAUAGUUAUGAGAUUAUCUAGGCAUGAUCAUGUAUAUAGGCAUCACGUCCAUAACAACUAGACCGACUCCUGCCUGCAUCUACUACUAUUACUCCACACAUCGACCGACUCCUGCCUGCAUCUAGAGUAUUAAGUUCAUAAGAACAGAGUAACACAUUAAGCAAGAUGAGAUGAUGUAGAGGGAUAAACACAUGCAAUAUGAUAUAAACCCCAUGUUGUUGUCCUCGAUGGAAACAAUACAAUACGUGUCUUGCAACCCUUUCUGUCACUGGGUAAGAACACCGCAAGAUUGAACCCAAAGCUAAGCACUUCUCCCGUGGCAAGAAAGACCAAUCUAGUAGGCCAAACCAAACUGAUAAUUUGAAGAGACUUGCAAAGAUAACUCAAUCAUACAUAAAAGAAUUUAGAGAAGAUUCAAAUAUUAUUCAUAGAUAAACUUGAUCAUAAACCCACAAUUCAUCGGAUCUCGACAAACACACCGAAAAAGAGUUUACAUCGAAUAGAUCUCCACAAGAGAGGGGGAGAACAUUGUAUUGAGAUCCAAAAAGAGAGAAGAAGCCAUCUAGCUAAUAACUAUGGACCCGUAGGUCUGUGGUAAACUACUCACAACUCAUCGGAGGGGCAAGGAUGUUGAUGUAGAAGCCCUCCAUGGUUGAUUCCCCCUCUGACAGAGUGCUGGCGAAGGCUCCAAGAUGAGAUCUCGCGGAUACAGAAGGUUACGGCGGUGGAAAUUGUGUUUUGUGGUGCUCCUGGAUGUUUUCGGGGUACGUAGGUAUAUAUAGGAGGAAGAAAUAUGUCAGUGGCCGCCCGAGGGUCCCACGAGAUAGGGGGCGUGCCCUACAAAGGGGGGGGGGGGCUAUCUCGUGGGGCCCUUGGAAGCUUCUUGACUUGCACUCCAAGCUCUCCGGAUCAGAUUUGUUCCAAAAAUCACGCUCCCGAAGGUUUCAUUCCGUUUGGACUCCGUUUGAUAUUCCUUUUCUUCACAAUACUGAAAUAGGCAAAAAAACAGCAAUAUGGGCUGGGCCUCCGGUUAGUAGGUUAGUCCCAAAAAUGAUAUAAAUGUGUAAAAUAAAGCCCAUAAACAUCUAAAAGGGGUAAUAUAAUAGCAUGGAACAAUCAAAAAUUAUAGAUAUGUUGGAGACGUAUCAAGCAUCCCCAAGCUUAAUUCCUGCUCUUCCUCGAGUAGGUAGAUGAUAAACGGAGAAUUUUUGAUGUGGAAUGGUACCUAGCAUAAUUCAUAAUGUAAUUUUCUUUAUUGUGGAAUGAAUGUUCAGAUCCAAAUGAAUACAAAAUAAAAGUUCAUAUUGACAUAAGAAAUAGUAACACUUCAAGCAUACUAAUCAAAGUAAUCAUGUCUUCUCAAAAUAACAUGGCAAAAGAAAGUUCAUCCCUACAAAAUCAUAUAGUUAGGCUAUGCUUCAUUUUCGUCACACAAAGAUGUUCCCAACUUCUAUACCCCCGAUGACAAGCCAAUCAAUUUUUUCAUACUUAAAUAAUCUCAAACUUUUUCAACCUUCACGCAAUAUAUGAGCGUGAGCCAUGGAUAUAGCACUAUGGGUGGAAUAGAAUAUGAUGAUGGGGAUUGUGUGGAGAAGACAAAAAAAAGAGAAAGUCUCACAUGGACGAGGAUAAUCAAUGGGCUAUGGAGAUGCCCAUCAAUUGAUGUCAACAUGAGGAGUAGGGAUUGCCAUGCAAUGGAUGCACUAGAGCUAUAAAUGCUUAACAAAAUAAAACUAGUGGGUGUGCAUCCAACUUGCUUGCUCACGAAGACCUAGGGCAUUUGAGGAAGCCCAUCGUAGGAAUAUACAAGCCAAGUUCUAUAAUGAAAAAUUCCCACUAGUAUGAAAAAGACAACUUAUGAGACUCACUAUAUGAAGAACAAGGUGCUACUUUGAAGACAAAAUAUGAGACUCACUACAUGAAGAACAAGGUGCUACUUUGAAGCACAAGUGUGGAAAAAGAGAUAGUAACAUUGCCCUUUUUAUUUGUUUUCUUUUUUUCUCUCUUUUUUUCUUUUUUUGGGCCUUUCCUUUUUACUUUUUUGUGCCUUUCUUUUUUUUCUUUUUUUCUUUGGGCAAUGCUCUAAUAAUGAUGAUCAUCACACUUCUAUUGAUUACAACAUAAGAAUUACAACUCGAAAGUAGAACAAGAUAUGACUAUAUGAAUGCCUCCAGUGGUGUACCGGGAUGGUGCAAUGAAUCAAGAGUGACAUGUAUGAAAAAUAAUGCUUGGUGGCUUUGCCACAAAUAAAGAUGUCAACUACAUGAUCAUGCAAUGGCAAUAUGACAAAAGUAAAGUAUGUCAUGAAAAUGAUGAACGGAAUGGUGGAAAGUUGCAUGGCAAUAUAUCUCGGAAUGGCUAUGGAAAUGCCAUAAUGGGUAGGUAUGGUGGCUGUUUUGAGGAAGAUAUAAUGAGGUUUAUGUGUGAUAGAGCGUAUCGUAUCACGGGGUUUGGAUGCACCGGCGAAGUUUGCACCAACUCUCAAGGUGAGAAAGGGCAAUGCACGGUACCGAAGAGGCUAGCAAAGGUGGGAAGGUAGAAGUGCUUAAUCCAUGGACUCAACAUUAGUCAAAAGAACUCAUAUACUUAUUGCAAAAAUUUAGAAGUCAUCAAAAACUCAAGUACUACGCGCAUGCUCCUAGGGGGGUGGAUUGGUAGGAAAAGACCAUCGCUCGUCCCCGACCGCCACUCAUAAGGAUGCACAAGCCAAGUACACUUCAUGUUUCAAAUUUGCUACACAACUUUAACCAUACGUGCAUGCUACGGGACUUGCUAACUUCAACACAAUCAUUCUUUGAAUUCAUAAUCACCCAAAUAGCAUGACUUUAAUAUCACUACCUCCAUAUCUCAAAACAAUUAUCAAGUAUCAAGUUGAUCAUAGAAUCCAAUUCACUUCCUAUGAUAGUUUUUAUUAUACCCAACUUGGAUGCUCAUCAUUCUAGGACCAACUUUAUGAUAAUAGCAAAUACCAUGCUGUUCUAAAAGACUCUCAAAAUAAUAUAAGUGAAUCAUGAGAGACUAGUAAUUUUCUUCAAAAUUAAGACACCACCGUGCUCUAAAAGAUAUACGUGAAGCACUAGAGCAAAAACUAUCAAGCUCAAAAGAUAUAAGUGAAGCACAUAGAGUAUUCUAGAAAAUUCUAAUCAAAUAGGCUUCUCCAAAAAGGUGUGUACAGCAAUGAUGAUUGUGGUAAACUAAAAAGCAAAGACUAAUAUAAUACACGACGCUCCAAGCAAAACACAUAUCAUGUGGCGAAUAAAAAUAUAGCUCCAAGUAAAGUUACCAAUGAACGAAGAUGAAAGAGGGGAUGCCUUCCCGGGGCAUCCCCAAGCUUAGGCUUUUGGCUAUCCUUGAAUAUCUUGGGGUUCCAUGGGCAUCCCCAAGCUUAGGAUCUUGCCACCCUUUAUUCCAUAGUCCAUAAAAGCUUUACCCAAAACUUGAAAACUUCACAACACAAAACUCAACAGGAAAUCUUAUAAGCUCCAUUAGUGAAAGAAAACAAAACCACCACAUAAGGUACUGCAAUGAACUCAUUCUUUAUUUAAUUUGGUGUUAAACCUACUGUAUUCCAACUUCUUUAUGGUUCAUAGACUGAAUUACUAGCCAUAGAUGCAUUGAAAUAAGCAAACAACACACGAAAAACAGAAUCUGUCAAAAACAUAACAGUCUGUAGCAAUCUGUAACUAACGCAAACUUCUGGAACUCGAAAAAUCCUGCCAAAAUAGGAGGUCCUGGAAAAUUUGUCUAUUGAACAGCAUCAAAAAGAAUCAACGCAAAAGAAAGUUCCUGUGAUUUAAUAAAAUUAUAUUUGUGCGCGCAAAGUUUCUGUUUUUCAGCAGAAUCAAAUCAACUAUCAUCGUAGGUUAUCCUAUAGGUUCUACUUGGCACAAACACUAAUUAAAAGAUAAAAACACAUCUAAACAGAAGGUAGAUUCAAGAUUUAUUACUAAACAGGAGCAAAAACAAAAAACAUAAAGAAAAUUGGGUUGCCUCCCAACUAGCGCUAUCGUUUAACGCCCCUAGCUAGGCAUAAAAGCAAAGAUAGAUCUAACGAGUGCCAUCUUUGGCACUAAAUUCAUAAGUAGCACGCAUGAUAGAUUCAUAAGGUAAUUUGACUUUCUUUCUUGGAAAGUGCUCCAUGCCGUUCUUUAAAGGAAAUUGGAAUCUAAUGUUCCCUUCCUUCAUAUCAAUAAUCGCACCAAUCGUUCUAAGGAAAGGUCUACCAAGAAUAAUAGGGUAAGAAAGAUUGCAAUCUAUAUCAAGAACGAUAAAAUCUACGGGCACCAAAUUUCUAUUUGCAACAAUAAGAACAUCAUUGAUCCUUCCCAUAGGAUUUUUAAUGGUGGAAUCCGCAAGGUGCAAAUUUAAAGAGCAAUCAUCAAGAUAAUGGAAACCUAGAAUAUCACAUAAAGUUUUCGGAAUCGUGGAAACACUAGCACCCAAAUCACACAAAGCAAAACACUCAUAAUCUUUAAUCCUAAUCUUUAUAGUAGGUUCCCACUCAUCAUUAAGUUUUCUAGGUAUAAAAACUUGCAAAUUAAGUUUUUCAUCAUAAGAUUGCAUCAAGGCAUCAACAAUAUGUUCGGUAAAAGCUUUAUUUUGACUAUAAGCAUGAUGAGAAUUAACAACGGAUUGCAACAAGGAAAUACAACCUUUUAAAGAGCAAUUAUCAUAAUCAAAUUCCUUGCAAUCCGAGAUAGUAGGUUCAAUAUUAUUAUAAGUUGAGGAUUCCCCAAUCUCACUUUUACCAAAUUUAGCAUCAAGAUCUAAAGACUCCGAAUUUUUGGGACGCCUUCUAGGCAAAGUUGAUUCAUCAUCACUCCCAUAAUCAUCAAAAUUCAUAUUGCAAAACAUAGAUCUAAUCAGAGACACAUCAAUAACUUUAAGAUUCUCAUCAUUAUUUUCACGAAGACUAGAAGAACACGCUUUUAUAAAGCUUUCUUUUUUAGCAUGCAAUCUAGUAGUUCUUUCCUUGCACUCGUCAAUGGAAAUUCUCAUUACUUUGAGAGACUCAUUGAUAUCAUGCUUAGGAGAAGAAGAUCCAAGUUUAAGAAAAUUAACAUCAAGCGAAAGUCUAUCAACGUUCCUAGCCAAAUCAUCAACUUUGAGCAUUUUUUCUUCAAGCAAAGCAUUAAAAUUCUUUUGAGAAAUCAUAAAUUCUUUCACACUAUUCUCAAAAUCAGAGGGCAUCUUAUUAAAAUUACCAUAAGAAUUAUUGUAGGAAUUUCCAUAAUUAUUAGAGGGAUUACUAGGGAACGGUCUAGCAUUAAAAUUUCCUCUAUAAGCAUUGUUUCCAAAACUAUUCCUACCAACAAAAUUCACAUCCAUAGAUUCAUUAUUAUUCUCAAUCAAGGAAGACAAAGGCAUAUAAUUUGGAUCAAGAGGAGUAUUUUUAGUAGCAAACAUCUUCAUAAGUUCAUCCAUCUUUCCACUCAAAACAUUGAUUUCUUCUAUAGCAUGUACUUUUUUACUAGAAGAUCUUUCGGUGUGCCAUUGAGAAUAAUUAGCCAUAAUAUUAUCAAGAAAUUUUGUAGCAUCUCCUAACGUAAUUUCCAUAAACGUGCCUCCCGCGGCCGAAUAUAAGAGAUUUCUAGAAGCAAAGUUCAAACCGGCAUAAAAUUUUUGUAUGAUCAUCCAUAAAUUCAAACCAUGAGUAGGGCAAUUGCGAAGCAUCAAUUUCAUCCUUUCCCAAGAUUGGGCAACAUGCUCAUGAUCAAGUUGUUUAAAAUUCAUAAUAUCGUUCCUAAGAGUGAUGAUCUUAGUGGGAGGAAAAUACUUAGAGAUAAAAGCAUCUUUGCACUUGUUCCAGGAAUCAAUAAUAUUUUUAGGCAAAGACGAAAACCAAACUUUAGCAUGUUCUCUAAGUGAAAACGGAAAUAACUUCAAUUUGACAAUAUUGUUAUCCGUAUCUUUCUUCUUUUGCAUAUCAGACAAAUCAACAAAAUUGUUUAGAUGAGUAGCGGCAUCUUCACUAGGAAGGCCGGCGAAUUGAUCUUUCAUAACAAGAUUCAGCAAAGCGGUAUUGAUUUCACAAGACUCAACAUCAUUAAGAGGAGCAAUCGGAGUACUAAGGAAAUCAUUAUUAUUGGUGUUCGAGAAGUCACACAAUUUGGUAUUAUCUUGCGCCAUGGCAACAAGUAAUCCAACACACAAGCAAACAGAAAAGCGGCAAGCGAAAAAGAGAGGAGGAGAUUGGGAAAGAUAGGGCGAAUAAAACGGCAACGGUGAAGUGGGGGAGAGGAAAACGAGAGGAAACUGGAAAUUAAUGUAAAUGCGAGGGAGAUGGGUUUGUGAUGGGUACUUGGUAUGUCUUGACUUGAGCGAAGACCUCCCCGGCAACGGCGCCAGAAAUCCUUCUUGCUACGUCUUGAGCUUGCUUUGGUUUUCCUCGAAGAGGAGAGGGUGAUGCAGCAAAGUGUAGCGUAAGUAUUUCCAUCAGUUUUGCGAACCAAGGUAUCAAUCCAGUAGGAGGCUCCUCAAAAGUCCCACGCACCUACACAAACAACUAAGAACUCGCAACCAACACAAUAAAGGGGUUGUCAAUCCCUUCACGGCCACUUGCGAAAGUGCGAUCUAAUAAAGAUAGUAUGAUAAGAUAAAUAUAUUUUUGGUAUUUUAUAAUAUAGAUGCAAAAAGUAAAGAUGCAAAUAAAGAUAUAUUGAAAGAAAAUAUGAUAAGAGAUAGACCCGGGGGCCAUAGGUUUCACUAGAGGCUUCUCUCAAGAUAGCAUAAGUAUUACGGUGGGUGAACAAAUUAUUGUCGAACAAUUGACAGAAAAGCGCAUAGUUAUGAGAUUAUCUAGGCAUGAUCAUGUAUAUAGGCAUCACGUCCAUAACAACUAGACCGACUCCUGCCUGCAUCUACUACUAUUACUCCACACAUCGACCGACUCCUGCCUGCAUCUAGAGUAUUAAGUUCAUAAGAACAGAGUAACGCAUUAAGCAAGAUGACAUGAUGUAGAGGGAUAAACACAUGCAAUAUGAUAUAAACCCUAUCUUGUUGUCCUCGAUGGCAACAAUACAAUAUGUGUCUUGCAACCCUUUCUGUCACUGGGUAAGAACACCGCAAGAUUGAACCCAAAGCUAAGCACUUCUCCCAUGGCAAGAAAAACCAAUCUAGUAGGCCAAACCAAACUAAUAAUUCGAAGAGACUUGCAAAGAUAACUCAAUCAUACAUAAAAUAAUUCAGAGAAGAUUCAAAUAUUAUUCAUAGAUAAAAUUGAUCAUAAACCCACAAUUCAUCGGAUCUCGACAAACACACUGCAAAAAGAGUUUACAUCGAAUAGAUCUCCAAAAGAGAGGGGGAUAACAUUGUAUUGAGAUCCAAAAAGAGAGAAGAAGCCAUCUAGGUAAUAACUAUGGACCCGUAGGUCUGUGGUAAACUACUCACAACUCAUCGGAGGGGCAAGGAUGUUGAUGUAGAAGCCCUCCGUGGUUGAUUCCCCCUCCGGGAGAGUGCCGGCGAAGGCUCCAAGAUGAGAUCUCGCGGAUAUAGAAGGUUACGGCGGUGGAAAUUGUGUUUCGUGGUGCUCCUGGAUGUUUUCGGGGUACGUAGGUAUAUAUAGGAGGAAGAAAUAUGUCGGUGGCCGCCCGAGGGGCCCACGAGACAGGGGGGCGGCCCGCUAUCUCGUGGGGCCCUCGAGAGCCUCUUGGCUUGCACUCCAAGCUCUCCGGAUCAGAUUUGUUCCAAAAAUCACGCUCCCGAAGGUUUCAUUCCGUUUGGACUCCGUUUGAUAUUCCUUUUCUUCGAAAUACUGAAAUAGGCAAAAAAACAGCAAUAUGGGCUGGGCCUCCGGUUAGUAGGUUAGCCCCAAAAAUGAUAUAAAUGUGUAAAAUAAAGCCCAUAAACAUCUAAAAGGGGUAAUAUAAUAGCAUGGAACAAUCAAAAAUUAUAGAUACAUUGGAGACAUAUCACUACUAAGAAAGUCAUUACCCUUUACCGUUUAUUGAUCAAAUGCUAGAAAGACUAUCCAAACAUACACAUUUCUGAUUUCUAGAUGGUUAUUCUGGCUUCUCUCAAAUACCUAUGUCAGCGGAGGAUCAAUCAAAAACUACUUUUACUUGCCCUUUCGGCACUUUUGCUUAUAGACGUAUGCCUUUUGGUUUAUGUAAUGCACCUGCUACCUUUCAAAGAUGCAUGAUGGCUAUAUUCUCUGACUUUUGUGAAAAGAUUUGUGAGGUAUUCAUGGAUGACUUCUCCAUUUAUGGAUGCUCUUUUGAUGAUUGCUUGAGCAACCUUGAUCAAGUUUUGCAGAGAUGUGAAGACACUAGUCUCGUCUUGAAUUGGGAAAAGUGCCACUUUACGGUUAAUGAAGGCAUUGUCUUGGGGCAUAAAAUUUCUGAAAGAGGUAUUGAAGUUGAUAAAGCUAAAGUUGAUGCUAUUGAAAAGAUGCCAUGUCCCAAGGACAUUAAAGGUAUAAGAAGUUUCCUUGGUCAUGCCGGUUUUUAUAGGAGGUUCAUUAAGGACUUUUCUAAAAUAUCUAGGACUUUGACCAAUUUAUUGCAAAAAGACAUUCCUUUUGUCUUUGAUGAUGAUUGUGUAGAAGCAUUUAAAAUACUUAAGAAAGCUUUGAUCACUGCACCUAUUGUUCAGCCACCUGAUUGGAAUUUACCCUUUGAAAUUAUGUGUGAUAAUAGUGAUUAUGCUUGUUGGGGAACAUAGUAAUUUCAAAAACAUUCCGACACACACGAAAGAUCAUGGUGAUGCAUAGCAACGAGAGGGGAGAGUGUGUCCACGUACCCUCAUAGACCGAAAGCGGAAGCAUUAGCACAACGCGGUUGAUGUAGUCAAACGUCUUCACGAUCCGACCGAUCAAGUACCGAACGCACGGCACCUCCGAGUUCUUGCAAACGUUCAGCUUGAUGGCGUCCCUCGAACUCCGAUCCAGCCGAGCUUUGAGGGAGAGUUCUGUCAGCUCGACGGUGUGGUGACGAUGAUGAUGUUCUACCGACGCAGGGCUUCUUCUAAGCACCGCUACGAUAUUAUCGAGGUGAACUAUGGUGGAGGGGGCACCGCACAUGGCUAAGAGAUCUCAAGGAUCAAUUUUUGUGUCUCUAGGGGGUGCCUCCCUCCCCGUAUAUAAAGGAGUGGAGGAGGGGGAGGGGGCCGGCCACCCUUGGCGUGCCCCAUGAGGAUUCCUACUCCCACCGGGAGUAGGACCCCCCCUUCCUUGUUGGAGUAGGAGAGGAGAGGGAAGGAGAGAGAGGGGGAAAGGAAAGGGGGGGCACCGCCCCCUCCUUGUCCAAUUUGGACUUGGGGGGAGGGGCGCGCGGCUGCCCCUUGGCCGCCUCUCCUCUUCCACCACUUGGGCCCAUGAGGCCCAUUAACCUCCGGGGGGGUUCCGGUAACCCCCGUACUCCGGUAUAUAUCCGACAACCCCCGGAACCAUUCCGGUGUCUGAAUAUAGUCGUCCAAUAUAUCAAUCUUCAUGUCUCGACCAUUUUGAGACUCCUCGUCAUGUUCGUGAUCACAUCCGGGACUCCGAACUACCUUCGGUAUAUCAAAAUACAUAAACUAAUAAUAUAACCGUCAUCUAACUUUAAGCGUGCGGACCCUACAGGUUCGAGAACUAUGUAGACAUGACUGAGACACGUCUCCGGUCAAUAACCAAUAGCGGAACCUGGAUGCUCAUAUUGGCUCCUACAUAUUCUACAAAGAUCUUUAUCGGUCAAACCACAUAACAACAUACGUUGUUCCCUUUGUCAUCGGUAUGUUACUUGCCCGAGAUUCGAUCGUCGGUAUCUCAAUACCUAGUUCAAUCUCGUUACCGGCAAGUCCCUUUACUCGUUACGUAAUGCAUCAUCCCGUAACUAACUCAUUAGCUACAUUGCUUGCAAGGCUUAUAGUGAUGUGCAUUACCGAGAGGGCCCAGAGAUACCUCUCCGACAAUCGGAGUGACAAAUCCUAAUCUCGAAAUACAUCAACUUAACAAGUACCUUCGGAGACACCUGUACAACACCUUUAUAAUCACCCAGUUAUGUUGUGAUGUUUGGUAGCACACAAAGUGUUCCUCUGGUAAACGGGAGUUACAUAAUCUCAUAGUCAUAGGAACAUGUAUAAGUCAUGAAGAAAGCAAUAGCAACAUACUAAACGAUCAAGUGCUAAGCUAACGGAAUGGGUCAAGUCAAUCACAUCAUUCUCCUAAUGAUGUGAUCCCGUUAAUCAAAUGACAACUCAUGUCUAUGGUUAGGAAACUUAACCAUCUUUGAUUCACGAGCUAGUCAAGUAGAGGCAUACUAGUGACACUCUGUUUGUCUAUGUAUUCACACAUGUAUUAUGUUUCUGGUUAAUACAAUUCUAGCAUGAAUAAUAAACAUUUAUCAUGAUAUAAGGAAAUAAAUAAUAACUUUAUUAUUGCCUCUAGGGCAUAUUUCCUUCAGUCUCCCACUUGCACUAGAGUCAAUAAUCUAGAUUACACAGUAAUGAUUCUAACACCCAUGGAGCCUUGGUGAUGAUCAUGUUUUGCUUGUGGAAGAGGCUUAGUCAACGGGUCUGCAACAUUCAGAUCCGUAUGUAUCUUGCAAAUCUCUAUGUGUCCCACCUGGACUUGGUCCCGGAUGGAAUUGAAGCGUCUCUUGAUGUGCUUGGUUCUCUUGUGAAAUCUGGAUUCCUUUGCCAAGGCAAUUGCACCAGUAUUGUCACAAAAGAUUUUCAUUGGACCCGAUGCACUAGGUAUGACACCUAGAUCGUAUAUGAACUUCUUCAUCCAAACUCCUUCAUUUGCUGCUUCCGAAGCAGCUAUGUACUCCGCUUCACAUGUAGAUCCCGCCAUGAUGCUUUGUUUAGAACUGCACCAACUGACAGCUCCACCGUUCAAUAUAAAGACGUACCCGAUUUGCGAUUUAGAAUCGUUCGGAUCAGUGUCAAAGCUUGCAUCGACGUAACCAUUUACGACUAGAUCUUUGUCACCUCCAUAAACGAGAAACAUUUCCUUAGUCCUUUUCAGGUAUUUCAGGAUGUUCUUGACUGUUGUCCAGUGAUCCACUCCUGGAUUACUUUGGUACCUCCUUGCUAAACUAAUAGCAAGGCACACAUCAGGUCUAGUACACAACAUUGCAUACAUGAUAGGGCCUAUGGCUGAAGCAUAGGGAACUUCUUUCAUUUUCUCUCUAUCUUCUGCAGUGGUCGGGCAUUGAGUCUGACUCAAUUUCACACCUUGUAUUACAGGCAAGAACCCUUUCUUUGCUUGAUCCAUUUUGAACUUUUUCAAAACUUUAUCAAGGUAUGCACUUUGUGAAAGUCCAAUUAAGCGUCUUGAUCUAUCUCCAUAGAUCUUGAUGCCCAAUAUAUAAGCAGCUUCACUGAGGUCUUUCAUUGAAAAACUUUUAUUCAAGUAUCCUUUUAUGCUAUCCAGAAUUUCUAUAUCAUUUCCAAUCAAUAAUAUGUCGUCCACACAUAAUAUUAGAAAUGCUACAAAGCUCCCACUCACUUUCUUGUAAAUACAGGCUUCUCCAAAAGUCUGUAUAAAACCAUAUGCUUUGAUCACACUAUCAAAACGUUUAUUCCAACUCCGAGAGGCUUGCACCAGUCCAUAAAUGGAUCGCUGGAGCUUGCACACUUUGUUAGCAUCCUUUGGAUCGACAAAACCUUCUGGUUGCAUCAUAUACAACUCUUCUUCCAGAAAUCCAUUCAGGAAUGCAGUUUUGACAUCCAUUUGCCAAAUUUCAUAAUCAUAAAAUGCAACAAUUGCUAACAUGAUUUGGACAGACUUAAGCAUCGCUACGGGUGAGAAAGUCUCAUCGUAGUCAACCCCUUGAACUUGUCGAAAACCUUUCGCAACAAGUCAAGCUUUGUAGACAGUAACAUUACCAUCAGCGCUAGUCUUCUUUUUGAAGAUCCAUUUAUUCUCGAUGGCUUACCAAUCAUCCAGCAAGUCAACCAAAGUCCAUACUUUGUUCUCAUACAUGGAUCCCAUCUCAGAUUUCAUGGCCUCAAGCCAUUUUUUGGAAUCUGGGCUCAUCAUCGCUUCCUCAUAGUUCGUAGGUUCGUCAUGGUCAAGUAACAUGACCUCUAGAAUAGGAUUACCGUACCACUCUAGUGCGGAUCUUACUCUGGUUGACCUAUGAAGUUUGGUAGUAACUUGAUCUGAAGUUUCAUGAUCAACAUCAUUAACUUCCUCACUAAUUGGUGUAGUCGUGACAGGAAACGGUUUCUGUGAUGAACUAUUUUCCAAUAAGGGAGCAGGUACAUUUACCUCAUCAAGUUCUACUUUCCUCCCACUCACUUCUUUCGAGAGAAACUCCUUCUCUAGAAAGGAUCCAUUCUUGGAAACAAAGGUCUUGCCUUCGGAUCUGUGGUAGAAGGUGUACCCAACAGUUUCCUUUGGGUAUCCUAUGAAGACACAUUUCUCCAAUUUGGUUUCGAGCUUAUUAGGUUGAAGCUUUUUCACAUAAAUAUCGCAGCCCCAAACUUUAAGAAACGACAACUUUGGUUUCUUGCCAAACCACAGUUCAUAAGGCGUCGUCUCAACGGAUUUUGAUGGUGCCCUAUUUAACGUGAAUGUAGCCGUCUCUAAAGCAUAACCCCAAAAUGAUAGCGGUAAAUCAUUAAGAGACAUCAUAGAUCGCACCAUAUCUAGUAAAGUAUGAUUACGAUGUUCGGACACACCAUUACAUUGUGGUGUUCCGGGUGGCGUGAGUUGUGAAACUAUUCUGCAUUGUUUCAAAUGUAGACCAAACUCGUAACUCAAAUAUUCUCCUCCACAAUCAGAUCGUAGAAACUUUAUUUUCUUGUUACGAUGAUUUUCAACUUCACUCUGAAAUUCUUUGAACUUUUCAAAUGUUUCAGACUUAUGUUUCAUUAAGUAGAUAUACCCAUAUCUACUCAAAUCAUCUGUGAAGGUGAGAAAAUAACGAUAACCGCCGCGAGCCUCAAUAUUCAUUGGACCACAUACAUCAGUAUGUAUGAUCUCCAACAAAUUAGUUGCUCGCUCCAUAGUUCCAGAGAACGGUGUUUUAGUCAUCUUUCCCAUGAGGCAUGGUUCGCAAGUACCAAGUGAUUCAUAAUCAAGUGAUUCCAAAAGUCCAUCAGUAUGGAGUUUCUUCAUGUGCUUUACACCAAUAUGACCUAAACGGCAGUGCCACAAAUAAGUUGCACUAUCAUUAUCAACUUUGCAUCUUUUCGCUUCUGAAUAUGUGUAUCACAACUAUCGAGAUUCAUCAGAAAUAGUCCACUCUUUAAGGGUGCAUGACCAUAAAAGAUAUUACUCAUAUAAAUAGAACAACCAUUAUUCUCAGAUUUAAAUGAAUAACCGUCUCGCAUCAAACAAGAUCCAGAUAUAAUGUUCAUGCUCAACGCUGGCACCAAAUAACAAUUAUUUAGGUCUAAAACUAAUCCCGAAGGUAGAUGUAGAUGUAGCGUGCCGACGACGAUCACAUCGACUUUGGAACCAUUUCCCACGCGCAUCAUCACCUUGUCCUUAGCCAGUGCCCGCUUAAUCCGUAGUCCCUAUUUCGAGUUGCAAAUAUUAGCAACAGAACCAGUAUCAAAUACCCAGGUGCUACUACGAGCUCUGGUAAGGUACACAUCAAUAACAUGUAUAUCACAUAUACCUUUGUUCACCUUGCCAUCCUUCUUAUCCGCCAAAUACUUGGGGCAGUUCCGCUUCCAGUGUCUAGUCUGCUUGCAGUAGAAGCACUCAGUCUCAAGCUUAGGUCCAGACUUGGGUUUCUUCUCUUGAGCAGCAACUUGUUUGCCGUUCUUCUUGAAGUUCCUCUUCUUCUUCCCUUUGCCCUUUUUCUUUAAACUGGUGGUCUUAUUGACCAUCAACACUUGAUGCUCCGUCUUGAUUUCUACCUCUACAUCCUUUAGCAUUGCGAAGAGCUCGGGAAUUGCCUUGCUCAUCCCUUGCAUAUUAUAGUUCAUCACGAAGCUCUUGUAGCUUGGUGGCAGUGAUUGAAGAAUUCUGUUAAUGACACUAUCACCCAGAAGAUUAACUCCCAGUUGAUUCAAGUGAUUGCAAUACCCAGACAUUUUGAGUAUAUGUUCACGGACAGAACCAUUCUCCUCCAUCUUGCAGCUGUAGAACUUAUUGGAGACUUCAUAUCUCUCAAUCCGGGCAUAUUCUCGAAAUAUUAACUUCAACUCCUGGAACAUCUCAUAUGCUCCAUGACGUUCAAAACGUCGUUGAAGUCCCGGUUCUAAGUCGUAAUGCAUGGCACACUGAACUAUCGAGUAGUCAUCAGCUUUGCUCUGCCAGACGUUCUUAGUCGUCAGUUGCAUCUACAGCAGGCCUGGCACCCAGCGGAGCUUCCAGGACGUAAUUCUUCUGUGCAUCAAUGAGGAUAAUCCUCAAGUUACGGACCCAGUGCGUGUAAUUGCUACCAUCAUCUUUCAACUUUGCUUUCUCAAGGAACGUAUUAAAAUUUAACGGAACAACAACACAGGCCAUCUAUCUACAACAAACAUAGACAAGCAAAAUACUAUCAGGUACUAAGUUCAUGAUAAUUUAAGUUCAAUUAAUCAUAUUACUUAAGAACUCCCACUUAGAUAGACAUCCCUCUAAUCAUCUAAGUGAUCACGUGAUCCAAAUCAACUAAACCAUAACCGAUCAUCACGUGAAAUGGAGUAGCUUUCAAUGGUGAACAUCACUAUGUUGAUCAUAUCUACUAUAUGCUUCAUGCUCGACCUUUCGGUCUCAGUGUUCCGAGGCCAUAUCUGCAUAUGCUAGGCUCGUCAAGUUUAACCUGAGUAUUCUGCGUGUGCAAAACUGGCUUGCACCCGUUGUAGAUGGACGUAGAGCUUAUCACACCCGAUCAUCGUGUGGUGUCUGGGCACGACGAACUUUGGCAACGGUGCAUACUCAGUGAGAACACUUUUAUCUUGAAAUUUAGUGAGAGAUCAUCUUAUAAUGCUACUGUCAAUCAAAGCAAGAUAAGAUGCAUAAAAGAUAAACAUCACAUGCAAUCAAUAUAAGUGAUAUGAUAUGGCCAUCAUCAUCUUGUGCUUGUGAUCUCCAUCUCCGAAGCAUCGUCAUGAUCACCAUCGUCACCGGCGUGACUCCUUGAUCUCCAUCGUAGCAUCAUUGUCGUCUCGCCAACUAUUGCUUCUACGACUAUCGCUACCGCUUAGUCAUAAAGUAAAGAAAUUACAUGGUGAUUGCAUUGCAUACAAUAAAUCGACAACCAUAUGGCUCCUGCCAGUUGCCGAUAACUCAGUUACAAAACAUGAUCAUGUCAUACAAUAAAAUAUAGCAUCAUGUCUUGACCAUAUCACAUCACAACAUCCCCUGCAAAAACAAGUUAGAUGUCCUCUACUUUGUUGUUGCAAAUUUUACGUGGCUGCUACGGGCUUAGCAAGAACCGUUCUUACCUACGCAUCAAAACCACAACGAUAGUUCGUCAAGUUAAUGCUGUUUUAACCUUCUCAAGGACCGGGCGUAGCCACACUCGAUUCAACUAAAGUUGGAGAAACUGACACCCGCCAGCCACAUGUGUGCAAAGCACGUCGGUAGAACCAGUUUCGCGUAGGCGUACGCAUAAUGUCGGUUCGGGCCGCUUCAUCCAACAAUACCGCCGAACCAAAGUAUGACAUGCUGGUAAGUAGUAUGACUUGUAUCGCCCACAACUCACUUGUGUUCUACUCAUGCAUAUAACAUCAACGCAUAAAACCAGGCUCCGAUGCCACUGUUGGGGAACGUAGUAAUUUAAAAAAAAUUCCUACGCACAUGCAAGAUCAUGGUGAUGCAUAGCAACGAGAGGGGAGAGUAGGUCCACGUAGCCUCAUAGACCGAAAGCGGAAGCGUUAGCAAAAUGCGGUUGAUCUAGUCGUACAUCUUCAUGAUCCGACUGAUCAAGUACCGAACGCAUGGCACCUCUGAGUUCUUGCACACGUUCAGCUCGAUGACGUCCCUCGAACUCCGAUCCAGCCGAGCUUUGAGGGAGAGUUCCGUCAGCACGACGGCGUGGUGAUGAUGAUGAUGUUCUACCGAUGCAGGGCUUUGCCUAAGCACCGCUACGAUAUUAUCGAGGUGAACUAUGGUGGAGGGGGGCACCGCACACGGCUAAGAGAUCUCAAGGAUCAAUUGUUGUGUCUCUAGGGGGUGCCUCCCUCCCCGUAUAUAAAGGAGUGGAGGAGGGGGAGGGGUCCGACCACCCUUGGCGCGCCCCAUGAGGAGUCCUACUCCCACCAGGAGUAGGACUCCCCCCUUCCUUGUUGGAGUAGGAGAGGAGAGGGAAGNNNNNNNNNNNNNNNNNNNNNNNNNNNNNNNNNNNNNNNNNNNNNNNNNNNNNNNNNNNNNNNNNNNNNNNNNNNNNNNNNNNNNNNNNNNNNNNNNNNNNNNNNNNNNNNNNNNNNNNNNNNNNNNNNNNNNNNNNNNNNNNNNNNNNNNNNNNNNNNNNNNNNNNNNNNNNNNNNNNNNNNNNNNNNNNNNNNNNNNNNNNNNNNNNNUGAGGCCCAUUAACCUCCGGGGGGGUUCCGGUAACCCCCCGGUACUCCGGUAUAUAUCCGAUAACCCCCGGAACCAUUCUGGUGUCCAAAUAUAGUCGUCCAAUAUAUCAAUCUUCAUGUCUCGACCAUUUCAAGACUCCUCGUCAUGUCCGUGAUCACAUCCGGGACUCCAAACUACCUUUGGUACAUCAAAACACAUAAACUCAUAAUAUAACCGUCAUCUAACUUUAAGCAUGCGGACCCUACGGGUUCGAGAACUAUGUAGACGUGACCGAGACACGUCUUCGAUCAAUAACCAAUAGCGGAACCUGGAUGCUCAUAUUGGCUCCUACAUAUUCUACGAAGAUCUUUACCGGUCAAACCGCAUAACAACAUACGUUGUUCCCUUUGUCAUCGGUAUGUUACUUGCCCGAGAUUCGAUCAUCGGUAUCUCAAUACGUAGUUCAAUCUCGUUACCGGCAAGUCUCUUUACUCGUUACGUAAUGCAUCAUCCCGUAACUAACUCAUUAGCUACAUUGCUUGCAAGGCUUAUAAUGAUGUGCAUUACCGAGAGGGCCCAGAGAUACCUCUCCGACAAUCGGAGUGACAAAUCCUAAUCUCGAAAUACAUCAACUCAACAAGUACCUUCGGAGACACCUGUAGAGCACCUUUAUAAUCACCCAGUUACGUUGUGACGUUUGGUAGCACACAAAGUGUUCCUCCACUAAACGGGAGUUACAUAAUCUCAUAGUCAUAGGAACAUGUAUAAGUCAUGAAGAAAGCAAUAGCAACAUACUAAACGAUCAAGUGCUAAGCUAACGGAAUGGGUCAAGUCAAUCACAUCGUUCUCCUAAUGAUGUGACCCCGUUAAUCAAAUGACAACUCAUGUAUAUGGUUAGGAAACUUAACCAUCUUUGAUUCACGAGCUAGUCAAGUAGAGGCAUACUAGUGACACUCUGUUUGUCUAUGUAUUCACACAUGUAUUAUGUUUCCGGUUAAUACAAUUCUAGCAUGAAUAAUAAAGAUUUAUCAUGAAAUAAGGAAAUAAAUAAUAACUUCAUUAUUGCCCCUAGGGCAUAUCUCCUUCAAUGUUGUAGGUGCUGCUCUAGGGCAAAGAGUUGAUAAGAAAUUAAAUGUUAUCCAGUAUGCUAGUAAAACUCUUGAUACUGCCUAGAGAAAUUAUGCUACUACUGAAAAAGAAUUCUUAGUAGUUGUAUUUGCAUGUGAUAAGUUCAGACCUUAUAUUGUUGAUUCUAAAGUUACUAUUCACACUGACCAUGCUGCUAUUAAAUAUCUUAUGGAAAAGAAAGAUGCUAAGCCUAGACUUAUUAGAUGGGUUCUCUUGCUCCAAGAAUUUGAUUUGCAUAUUAUUGAUAGAAAGGGAGCUGAGAACCCCGUUGCAGACAACUUGUCUAGGUUAGAGAAUGUUCUUGAUGACCCACUACCUAUUGAUGAUAGCUUUCCUGAUGAACAAUUAGCAGUCAUUAAUGCUUCUCGUACUGCUCCAUGGUAUGCUGAUAUGCUAAUUACAUUGUUGCUAAAUUUAUACCACCAAGUUUCACAUACCAGCAAAAGAAAAAGUUCUUUUAUGAUUUAAGACAUUACUUCUGGGAUGACCCACACCUUUAUAAAGAAGGAGUAGAUGGUGUUAUUAGACGUUGUGUACCUGAGAGAGCAGUAACAGAUCCUACGCAAGGGUCACUCCGAGCCAUAUGGAGGACACCACGCUGGAGAUAGAACUGCACAUAAGGUAUUGCAAUCCGGUUUUUAUUGGCCUACUCUCUUCAAAGAUGCCCGUAAGUUUGUCUUGUCUUGUGAUGAAUGUCAAAGAAUUGGUAAUAUUAGUAGACGUCAAGAAAUGCCUAUGAAUUAUUCUCUUGUUAUUUAACCAUUUAAUGUUUGGGGCUUUGAUUAUAUGGGACCUUUUCCUACCUCUAAUGGAUAGACACAUAUUUUAGUUGUUGUUGAUUAUGUUACUAAGUGGGUAGAAGCUAUUCCAACUAGUAGUGCUGAUCAUAACACCUCUAUUAAAAUGCUUAAAGAAGUUAUUUUCCCGAGGUUUGGAGUCCCUAGAUAUCUCAUGACUGAUGGUGGUUCACAUUUUUAUUCAUGGUGCUUUUCGUAAAAUGGUUGCUAAGAAUGAUGUUAAUCAUAGAAUUGCAUCUCCUUAUCACCCACAGUCUAGUGGUCAAGUAGAAUUGAGUAAUAGAGAGCUCAAAUUAAUUUUGCGAAAGACUGUUAAUAGAUCUAGCAAGAAUUGGUCCAAGAAACUUGAUGAUGCAUUAUGGGCUUAUAGAACUGCAUAUAAAAAUCCUAUGGGUAUGUCUUUGUAUAAAAUGGUUUAUGGAAAAGCAUGUCACUUACCUCUCGAACUUGAACAUAAGGCAUAUUGGGCUAUUAAAGAGAUCAACUAUGAUUUCAAACUUGCCGGUGAGAAGAGGUUAUUUUAGAUUAGCUCACUUGAUGAAUGGAGAACCCCAAGCAUAUGAGAAUGCCAAGCUGUUCAAAGAAAAAGUUAAAAGAUGGCAUGACAAAAGAAUACAAAAGCGAGAUUUUAACGUAGGUGAUUAUGUGUUGCUAUUCAACUCUCGUUUAAGAUUUUUUGCAGGAAAACUUCUCUCUAAAUGGGAAGGUCCUUACGUUAUCGCGGAGGUCUAUCAUUCCGGUGCCAUAAAAAUCAACAACUUGGAAGGCACAAAAUCGUGGGUGGUGAACGGUGAAAGAAUCAAACAUUAUAUCUCAGGUAAUCCUAUCAAUGUUGAAACUAAUAUAUGGAGACCGUAACCCCGGAGGAAUACAUAAGGGACACCUUUCAGAACGUUUCAGACUCCGAAAAAGAAUAGGUAUGUGGUACGGUAAGUAAACCUACUACAAAACAGUUCUAAUGGCAUUUUUUUCUCCGUUUUGGAAUAUUUAAGAAUUUUGGAAAGCAAGAAGUAAUCCGGGAAUGACACAAGGCCUCCACAAGGGUGGACGGCGCCCCCCCUUACUGGAUGCGCCCCCCUGUCUUGUGGGCACCUCGUGUGCCUCCCGGACUCCAUUUUCUUGCACGUUACUUCUUUUGGUCACUAAAAAUUCAUUAUAUAAUCUCCCAAAAGUUUUGACCACCGUAUCACGCAAAAAUCCUCUGUUUUUGUUUCGAGUUGUUUCUGUUACAGAUUUAGAGCAAGAUGUGUCCUCCCAAGAGUUAGUUGGGGAGAGUCGGGUGUCUCACCCGACGCCAGGUCUAGGAGCAAACAACGAUGCUUAUCACUUUGGGCCAUCAACGGAGGAUGAGAUGGAGGCCGACUUGAAAAGGAUAGAUGCCAUGGAGGAAGAUCAAGAACUUACCUCUCGCUUCCAAGCAGGAUUCAUGAUGGGGGAACUACAAAGCUCGGCUAUUCCAAAUUCGGUCAUCCCUUCCAACGUUAAAUUUCUUUCUUAUGAAAAUAUUAAAAAGGAUCUAUGCAGCAUCCUUGGGUAAAAGGAGCUUUAGCCGUCACGGGCAAGCGCCGCAAGGAAAAUAUGGACCUCAAGCAACAAGUCAAUAAACUCGAGGAUGAGAAUCAUAUCCCGAGGGGCAUCAUCACCAACAAGAUCGCAACACCAACUCUGAAGAAGGAGACAUAAUCACAUGGGUAUGGCCACUCCCCUUGGAAACUGCCAAGAUUGGGGGAGGUGCCCCGGUAUCGUAUCACCCAUUGUUGAGGAAAUCGUUAACUAGUAGCUGCUCAGUUGGUUGGUGAGUAGGGGAUUAAUCGGCUAAUCAGCAAGUUAAUCGGCCAUUUAAUCAAUUAAUUGGAUGAUUUAUCGGUUUAUAGGCUACUCGGUGACCCUACGAGUAGGGAUUAAUCAGCAAGUUAACUGGUUAAUCGGAUGAAUUCUUGAAUAGGGGUAUCACCAUCAGACUCCUAUCUUUACCGUUUUACUUAGUUUGAUCCUUUUAGCAAUAUCUUGAUCUAGUAGAAUAGAGUUUUGGUAUGAAUUAGUUAUGAGUUUUGCUUUGUGAUCUCUUUAUGUAAUCGAGUCCGUGAGCUAUAUAAUAAAGAUUAGUGUUGAGUCAAGGGCUUCGGUAUCUUGCUAUGAUCUUGAGAAAAUAGAAAGAAUAAAAAGAAAUAAAAGAGUUCAUAUUGAUCUUAUGGAUAGUAAUGACUUCACAUAUAAAGAGUAUGAGGCUUAAAAGUUGUUGAGAAUUGACAAACAUAGUUUUGGUCAUCGUUGGAAUUAAUAGGAAGUAAUAAAGAAAGAGAGGUUUUCACAUAUAUAUACUAUCUUGGACAUCUUUUAUGAUUGUGAGCACUCAUUAAGUAUGACAUGCUAAAGAGUUGAUGUUGGACAAAGAAGACAACAUAAUGGGUUAUGUUUUCUCACAUCUCAGUUAAUGUAUAUUGUCAUGGAUCAUUCCAACAUGUUGAGCUUGCCUUUCCCCCUCAUGCUAGCCAAAUUCCUUGCACCAAGUAGAGAUACUACUUGUGCUUCCAAAUAUCCUUAAACCCAGUUUUGCCAUGAGAGUCCACCAUACCUACCUAUGGAUUGCGUAAGAUCCUUCAAGUAAGUUGUCAUGUUGCAAGCAAUAAAAAUUGCUCUCUAAAUAUGUAUGACUUAUUAGUGCAGAGAAAAUAAACUUUAUAUGAUCAUGUGAUAUGGAAGUAAUAAAAGCGACAGACUGCAUAAUAAAGGUUCAUAUCACAAGUGGCAAUAUAAAGUGACAUUCUUUUGCAUUAAAAUUUUGUGCAUCCAACCCUAAAAGCACAUGAAACCUCUGCUUCCCUCUGCGAAGGGCCUAUAUUUACUUUAUGUCUUUACUUUAUGCAAGAGUCAAGGUGAUCUUCACCUUUCCCUUUUUGAUUUUAUCCUUUGGCAAGCACCUCGUGUUGGAAAGAUCCUGAUAUAUAUAUAUAUAUAUAUCCAAUUGGAUGUAAGUUAGCAUGAACUAUUAUUGUUGACAUCACCCAAAGGUGAAUACGUUGGGAGGCAACACUAUAAGCCCCUAUCUUUCUCAGUGUCCGAUUAAAACUUCAUAACCAUAAGUAUUGCGUGAGUGUUAGCAAUUGUAGAAGAGUAUAUGAUAGUUGAGUAUGUGGACUUGCUGAAAAGCUCUAUUCUUGACUCUUUCCGAUGUUAUGAUAAAUUGCAAUUGCUCCAAUGACUGAGAUUAUAGUUUUUUAGUUCUCAAUGAAGUUUAUGAUCCAUACUUGACAUUGUGAAUAGAUUGUUACUUGAGCAUAAGAAAUCAUAUGACAAUAUCUAUAUAUAUAUUGCUAUUAUAUGAAUGAUCAUGAUGCCCUCAUGUCCGCAUUUUAUUUUUAUCGACACCUCUCUAAACAUGUGGACAUAUUUCUCGAUAUCGGCUUCCGCUUGAGGACAAGCGAGGUCUAAGCUUGGGGGAGUUGAUACGUCCAUUUUGCAUCAUGCUUUUAUAUCGAUAUUUAUUGCAUUAUGGGCUGUUAUUACACGUUAUAUCACAAUACUUAUGGCUAUUCUAUCUUAUUUUACAAGGUUUAUCAUGAAGAGGGAGAAUGCCAGCAACUGGGAUUCUGGCUGGAAAAAGGAGCAAAUAUUGGAAACCUGUUCCGCACAGCUCCAAAAGUCCUGAAACUCCACGAAAGUCAUUUUUGGAAUAAAUAAGAAUUAUUGAGCGAAGAAAGUACCAGAGGGGGCCCACACCCUGGCCAGGAGGGUGGGGGCCCCCCCUACUGGGCGCACCCCCUGUCCGCUGGGCCCCCUGGUGGCCCUCCGGUGCCCAUCUUCUGCUAUAUGAAGGCUUUUACCCUGGAAAAAAAAAUCAUAAGCAAGCUUACGGGACGAAACUCCGCCGCCAUGAGGCAGAACCUUGGCGGAACCAAUCUAGGGCUCCGACGGAGCUGUUCUGCUAGGGAAACUUCCCUCCAGGAGGGGGAAAUCAUCACCAUCGUCAUCACCAACGAUCCUCUCAUCGGGAGGGGGUCAAUAUCCAUCAACAUCUUCACAAGCACCAUCUCCUCUCAAAACCCUAGUUCAUCUCUUGUAUCCAAUCUUGUAUCAAAACCACAAAUUGGUACCUGUGGGUUGCUAGUAGUUUUGAUUACUCCUUGUAGUUGAUGCUAAUUGGUUUACUUGGUGGAAGAUCAUAUGUUCAAAUCCUUAAUGCAUAUUAGUACUCCUCUAAUCAUGAACAUGAAUAUUCUUUGUGAGUAGUUACGUUUGUUCCUAAGGACAUGGGUGAAGUCUUGCUAUUAGUAGUCAUGUGAAUUUGGUAUUCAUUCGAUAUUUUGAUGAGAUGUCUGUUGUCUCUCCUCUAGUGGUGUUAUGUGAACGUCGACUACAUGACACUUCACCAUUAUUUGGGCCUAGAGGAAGGCAUUGGGAAGUAAUAAGUAGAUGAUGGUUGCUAGAGUGACAGAUGCUUAAACCCGAGUUUAUGCGUUGCUUCGUAAGGGGCUGAUUUGGAUCCACUAGUUUCAUGCUAUGGUUAGGUUUACCUUAAUACUUCUUUUGUAGUUGCGGAUGCUUGCAAUAGGGGUUAAUCAUAAAUGGGAUGCUUGUCCAAGAAAGGGCAGUACCCAAGCACCGGUCCACCCACAUAUCAAAUUAUCAAAGUACAGAACGCGAAUCAUAUGAGCGUUAUGAAAACUAGCUUAACAAUAAUUCCCAUGUGUCCUCGGGAGUGCUUUUCUCAUUAUAAGAAAUUGUCCAGGAUUGUCCUUUGCUACAAAAAGGAUUGGGCCACCUUGCUGCACCUUAUUUACUUUCAUUGCUUGUUACCCGUUACAAAUUAUCUUAUCACAAAACUAUCUAUUACCUACAAUUUCAGAACUUGCAUAGAAUACCUUACUGAAAACCACUUGUCAUUUCCUUCUGCUCGUCGUUGGGUUCGACACUCUUAGUUAUCAAAAGGACUAGAUAGAUCCCUAUACUUGUGGGUAAUCAUCUGGCACUGGCACAGCUAUAGACCUCUGUCCUGUAGGUACUCUGGAGAACACCCGUGUAGUUUCUUUGCCCUUCCUCUCAUGUGCUUCUUCCUGGAGUUCUUCAACAACUGUCUGUAUCUCAAUCACUUUCAAGUCCAUAGCAUAGAACUUUGUCUCAAUGAUCCUCUCCAAGCUCUCCUGGUUCUGAGUCAGGGUGGCCAGUCCGUUCUCAAUCCUCAAGGUUGCUUGAAUCAGAUAUCCAAGCUAGUCUUGCUUUGACUUGAGAAGGACUUCUGAAGCUUCUGCAGCACUUGGCAUCUUUGCUGCUUUUUUUUGCUUUGGCUUUCUCCUUCUUCUCAUGAGCUGCAACUAAAGUGGGAUCUUUAGCAUCCAUGACAAUUGUGUUGUCCUCAAAGUCAGGCAACAAAGGAAGAUGUUCUUUGUCCAAUAGAUAUACUCCUUGCUUCAUCUUGGAAUUGAUUAACUCUUUGAUGCGUGGAGCAUACCCACAUGAUCUCUUUUGGUCAGCUGUUGUCCUCUUAAUUGUCUCUACAAUCAAGCUCAUAACCUUGAACUUCUAUGGCACAACAUCAAAUAACUGUAGCAAGUUGAUGGAGUGGACUCUGAUCAUCCUGUGAUCUCCAGACUUGGGAAACAAAGUGUGCCUCAAUAUGGUGUUUAUGGUGGCCAAACCAGACAACAAGUUGUAGACUGACCCAAACUUAUGUGUCUCCAAGGCCUUGUCUGGAAUUUCCUUAUACAUAUUGGUCAUGGAGUUAUGAUCUUUCAUCUUCUCAGCAUAAACAUCUAUGUCAUUCUCUUCUUCUUCAGGUGCAUUUAUGAGCUUAGCCCAUUCUUCAAUUGUAAAUUGGUGUCUUUGUCCUUCUGUCAUCCACACAAUCCUUCCAUCUGGAUAAAAGUGAGCUGUUGAGUAGAAUUGCAUAAUGAGUUCAUCUUUCCACUUGGUUAGCUUCUGACCAACAAAGUCAUCAACACCAUUUGACUUGAAGCUUUCAUGCACUCCUAGGAAAUGAUCAACAUUUGCAUCAAUGUAUUUCCAGUCCACCCAUCUCAUAUCACUAAUUAUGUGUUUCUUGUCCAGCAACACUGUCUCAUAAAAAUCUUGUUGCUCUUUGGUGUGCAAUCUGUAGUCCACUGCAGUCCUCCUCCUCACAGCAUAUGGAUCUGCUUGUCUACAUUUUUGAGACCCGCAUCCUUUCUUUCCUUCAUGUUUCCAGCAACUGGGUGACUGUCAUUAUGGUCUGGAAUCUUGGGUUUGAGGUUCCUAAGCACUGGGGCUUCAACAUCAUUUGCAGCUUCAGGCACUGGGGCCUUGUUCUUCUCUGUUGUAGGUAUGUUCCUGGUGCUUCUCUUUGGAGCUUGUGCUGGAGCUUUGGGAGUUGUCUUGGGCUUUGAAGGAGCUACCCCAGACUUGAUGGCAUCCCCCAUCAGCUUCUGUGACUUAGAAGGAGGUGCUUGAGAAGCAACCUCUUCUUCCUCUUCCUCCUUGACGGUGUCCUAGACUAGGGGGUACUCACCACGUCGUCUCCCGAUCAGUUGGAUUGGGCCGAGGACCCCCAUGGCCGUAUACUCAUGGGCCAGUUCGGACAACCCCUGCCGCAUACAAGGAAGACUCCACAAGACUUGACGCCCAAGACAAGGACUCUCCUAAACCCUAGGCCUCCGAUGUCUUAUAUAAACCGAGGCCAGGCUAGUUAAUAGACAAUCUCAUAUUCAUUACUACAAUCUCGUGGUAGACACAUGUACUCUGUACUACACCCAUACGAAUACAAUCAAAAGUAGCAUGUAGGGUAUUAUCUCAUCAAGAGAGACGAAGCUGGGUAAAACCCCGUGUCCAUGUUACCAUCGCUCCAAGACGCCUAGCUUAGGACCCCUACUACGAGAUACACUGGAUAUUGAACCGACAUUGGUGCUUUCAUUGAGAGCCUGCUGGGUGUCGCCGCAUUUUGAUGGAUCUUCAGUAGAUGCCAAAUCAGGUGUUCUAGUUUCUGUUUAUUCCGUUUUACACAGAUCAAUUCUUUUGCAAAAAUAACGUUGCCAUUCUGUGCUAUUUUUUCUGCAGAUCGAAUUUACCUCCGCAUGUACAAGCUAUCUAGGCCAAAAGCCUUCGAAGAUACACCAACGCCACAUGGCGAUGAGCGCCUAGAGCAGCGGCGGUGGGAGGUGUGGCGGCCGAACCCUGCACUAGCACGGGGAAGUUUGGGAGCACUAGGGAUGCAUCGCCCCUGGCUGCCUGAUGUCCCGAUCGGGAGCAGGCCCGCACGCUGGCUGGACAGCAAAAUAUGGGACCUCCCUAAAAAAAGCUACCCGCGCAGAGUACUACCGACCCCAUGCAGAACAGGGCGUAGAGGCCAACAAGAAUCCAGAUCGCUGGAAGUACAGGGUGAUCCGAUCCCUGUUUCUCUUUCCUUCAUUAUUUAAUCCUUAGUUAAUUACAAGGCAAUCUGUGCUUUUCACCAACGAUCUUCUUUUUAUGCACUUCCCGCGUGCAAGUACCCCUCGUAGUAUUAGGACUGUUUGUGUCCAGGUAAAAGGAGCAACGCAUGUUUUUCUUGGUAUUACCGUAGCAAUAACUUCGAGAUAAGGAUCUGAAACACACAACAGGGAGAUUCCUUUCUCUUUGCUUUAUUUAAUUAUAUGUGGAGACACAAAGUGCUACCCUAGUAGUACUAAUUAAAGCACUCUUUGACAGUUCGGCUAUUCAUCUGUAGUCAGACAAACUUUAUGUCAGCUUUUGCACUAUCUGUCUUUAGUUUGGCUAGUCUCAUAUUACUACCAUGCUACCUCUUUGCACUAUUUUUAAUACCUUUUCUUCUCUCUUGAGAAUUAUUACUUCGGCCAGUGUUAUCUUUUUUACAAAGGUAAUUUAUGGCCCCAAUGAUUACGCUUGGGGAGUUCAUGGUUCAUUGCUAUGUCGUAUUGGCAUUGUCGUUCCACACGCCCUGAGUCGAUGCUGUCGGUGUCAAAACCGGUGGAUCUCGGGUAGGGGACCCGAUCUGUGCGUCUAAGGCUGAUGGUAACAGGAGGCAAGGGACACAAUGUUUACCUAGGUUCGGGCCCUCUCGAUGGAGGUAAAACCCUACUUCCUGCUUGAUUGAUAUUGAUGAUAUGAGUAGUACAAGAGUUGAUCUACCACGAGAUCAUAGAGGCUAAACCCUAGAAGCUAGCCUAUGAUGAUUAUGAUUCUGUCUCUAAGGACUAAACUCGCCGAUUUAUAUAGACAUCGAAGAGGGCUAGGGUUUACAUGGAGUCGGUUACAAAGAAGGAAAUAUAAUAUCCAGAUCACCAAGCUUGUCUUCCACGCAAAGGAGAGUCCCAUCCAGACACGGUACGGAGGCUUGAGUCUUGUAUCUUCACGCUCCAAUAGUCCAGACAAAGUAUGUAGUCCGGCUGUCCGGAUACCCCCUAAUCCAGCACUCCCUCAGUAGCCCCUGAACCAGGAUUCAAUGACGAUGUGUCCGGUGCGCAGUUUGUUCUUCGGCAUUGCAAGGUGGGUUCCAUCUCCGAAUACUCCAAAGUAAUUAUCGAACACUUAGACCGUGUCCGGAUCUGCAAGAUGAUCUUCAUAUACCACCGUAGAGAGAUAUUUCACAAAUGUAAUCUGCUGACAACUUCAGACAACGUGACAUGACACUACGGUCGGGUCAUUAUUCGAACCGUUUUCCCACAACCAGCCAUAGCGCAUAUUGCGAGGCGGUUUCCUUGACACGUCUUGUCAAAGCAGAGAUCAUGUCCCCUUAUCACAGGAUUCCAAUCAAUACGGGUAUGGGUAAUCCAACCGCGCCAUCAAUCGUGGCGCUUGGGAAAUAAGCGUCCUUCAACGGGUAAGUGGGGAGGCGCACUGCUUUCGUCGCCUCUAUAAAGGGAUAAGUAUUCCCCAUUUUCACCCACGCCUUCUUACUCCUCUGCUUAUCCAUUCUCACACCCUCGAGCUCCAGCACCCUAGUUCACGCUUUCUCCGCACAGCCAAACAUGUCCGGAGCAGGAGGUAAAUGGGUGGCCUCCACCAUGAAGUAGGAGCAUAUUGCGAAGCUCCGGGUGGCCGGAUACUUGGCCGCAGACAUCGCACACCGGCUACCGGACGAAGGGAAGAUCAUUCCAACUCCGGAACCCCACGAGAGGGUCGUGUUUCUCGCCCACUUCAUCCGUGGACUGGGAUUUCCACUUCAUCCCUUCGUCCACAGGCUCAUGUUCUACUACGGGCUAGAUUUCCAUGAUCUAGCCCCAAAUUUCGUCCUCGACAUCUCAACGUUUAUCGUCGUGUGCGAGGCCUUCCUCCGCAUCAAGCCUCACUUUGGCUUGUGGCUACGAAUCUUCUACGUGAAGCCGAAGAUCGUGAGCGGCCAGCAAGCGGAGUGUGGAGGUGCCAUGGUGGGCAAGAUGCCCAAUGUCAUCUGGCUUGAUGGCUCCUUCGCGGAGACCGUGAAAGGGUGGCAAUCGGGGUGGUUCUACAUCACCGAGCUGCACGACACCAACUGGGCGGCGGCCCCUGAAUUUCGAUCUGGAAUCCCCAUGCGGCUCACCUCCUGGGAAAAGAAGGGCCUGGCCUGGGGCGAGCCUGUGGAGCUGAUCGGACUUCAAAACUGCAUCAAAAAUAUGAAGGACAAGAAAAUCAAGCUUGUCAACAUGGUCCAAGUCAUGCUUGUCCGCCGGGUUCUUCCGUGCCAAAGGCGGACAUUUAACCUGUGGGAGUUCGUCCUGGCCGAACACCAGACGCUUCAAAAGCUCUACGGCAUGACACACAAGGGCGCAUGGAAGGCGCUAUUCAAGGCCUCCGAAAUACCUCCUCCCACAUCCGAGGACCGUGGACUUCACGCCACGCGGCUCCCCCAUAUGGUGAGUUUUCUGACUACCACCGGAUGCAGUUUUUCCCAAUGUACUCAUGGGGGAAUCUUCAGUCAUUGUGUGUAUUUGAUCAGGAGUAUGUGGAGACGGCGGGGCGGAUUGACUGUCCGACUCCACUGCCAGAAGGUCCAGUAGAUGCUCUCCUGACGGAGAUGCUAGUCCCGGCGCCCUACAAGGCGUCGGAAAAGAACGCCGAAAAGAAGGCCCCGGGGACCAGGAAGGGUCUCCGGUGAAAGGUCGUACCGGACGCUUCGUCCGAAGACGACGAGGCACACUCCUCCCCUGAAGGAGAGGAGGAAGAGGAAAGGGCCGCCCCAUCUGGAGAGGAUGAGGGGCCUGAGAAGGCGGCCCAAGGGACCAGGAAAGGUCCCCGGCGUAAGGCCGUCAUACCCUCGUCGUCUGAAGACGACGAGGCAGAUUCCUCCCGCGGAGGCGGGGGGAAACACGAGGAACCUCUGCCUCCCUGCACUGGGGAGGAGAAGAAGAGGAAAGCUGCCCCGGAGGGGGAGGCUAGGAUGCCCAAUAAGGGAAAGGCGUCCCUUCCGGAUUAUUCCACCGCGGCCGCCUAUAGCGAGGAGGAGUGGCUGCCCAGGGGGAAGCGCAUAGUAAGAUCAUGAGUACCCGCACUCCGUUGUACUUUAGUACGAUUUUUCUUUAUAGUCUGUUAUAACGCUGAACUCAUAUGCAGUCCGGCCAGGUUCCACCCCGAGGUAUCCUCUUCGGAUGGGUCCUUGAGUGAUUCAGCGAUGAACUCGCUCCCGACGGCCACUACUCUUCGGCUUGCAGAUGACACGGAGGUGUUGUCCCAAAGGCUCCCAGAACGGGGGAGGUGACUCUGGAGACGCUCCACGGUGAGAUUCCAGACACCGGGCACACAGGGUAUAAGAUCCCCACGGAUUGUGCCGACGAGUGCCGCAGCAAGCCGGGCUCUCAGCCGGAUACCAUGCCGGAACCUCCAAUGGUUCCAGAUUCGGGCAGGCAGCCCCUCGCUAGGCAGGGCGAGCCAUCCGUGCCGAUGACUUCCGUUACGCUAGAGGCGUCGGAUAGUCUGCUGGAAGCGCUUCACGACGCUUCCAUGGAUGGAGAGCACCGUACUCUUAUGAGUGCGAUGAUUCAGAAGGUUCUGUCCGCCAAGAGCGGACUAACUGAAGCCUACACCAGCCUCCUGACAGGUUUUGAGGUAAGUAAUAAAAAUGUGUGAAAUUGUCACCCGAUAGGUAGUAGCCCCUGAUACUCUGUUUGGUGUUCGGAACGAAAAGCCAAAUAGAGGGUCAAUUAUAAUCCACAGGAAUCUAAUAGUAGGUAUGCGUGUGAAUAAGCAGGCAGUGCUGCUUGCCGCUGCUGCCCGCACGGCCGAGGUCGCCGGACUCAAACGGGACCUGGAGCAGGCGCAGGGAGAGCUCGGCCUCACGAAGAGGCAGCUCGAAGAGAACAAAGGUUUGUGAUACCUCGUUCGAAUAUCAUAAAGAAUAGUCAAAAUUGGUGAUUCUGACGACAAAGCGUCGUGACUUUGAAAUAGGGGCCACAACCGAAGUGGCAUCCUUGAAGAAAGCGUUGUUCGAGGCCGAAGACAAGGUGGCCCUAGAGUGCAUCGAGAACGAAAAGCAGAAUGCAAGGGUGGGCGAGGUACAGCAAGAGCUCCAGGAGCUCGGCAAGAAGUUCGAGUCCUUGCAGCGUGACCUCAAGCCGAAGGAGUCUGAGCUUGCGAAGGCCCUUGCGAGUGUGAAGGACGCCAAGGCCGAAGACGAAAAGGCCCAGCAGGAAAUCCAGGUGGCCAAGAAGAUAGCGGCGGGUAAGACAUUCUUUAUGCAAAGCAAGCAUGUGGAGAAGGCGUUUCUUUUACUUACCCGAAUUUGGAGCUCUCCAGGGGCAUUCACAGAUCUGCCACGCAGCAUAUUAGAUGCUGCUGAGUUCUACUGUGCCGAGGAGGGGAGCUCAACGGAGAAGCUGUUCUGGUCCCAGUUGAAGGAAAUAUGCCCUAGAGGCAAUAAUAAAGUUAUUAUUUAUCUCCUCAUAUCAUGAUAAAUGUUUAUUAUUCAUGCUAUAACUGUAUUAAUCGGAAACAUGAUACAUGUGUGAAUACAUAGACAAACUUAAUGUCACUAGUAUGCCUCUACUUGACUAGCUCAUUAAUCAAAGAUGGUUAUGUUUCCUAACCAUAGACAUGUGUUGUCAUUUGAUUAACGGGAUCACAUCAUUAGGAGAAUGAUGUGAUUGACUUGACCCAUUCCGUUAGCUUAGCACUUGAUCGUUUAGUAUGUUGCUAUUGCUUUCUAAAUGACUUAUACAAGUUCCUAUAACUAUGUGAUUAUGCAACUCCCGUUCACCAGAGGAACACUUUGUGUGCUACCAAACGUCACAACGUAACUGGGUGAUUAUAAAGGAGCUCUACAGGUGUCACCAAAGGUACAUGUUGAAUUGGCGUAUUUCAAGAUUAGGUUUUGUCACUCCAAUUGUCGGAGAGGUAUCUCUGGGCCCUCUUGGUAAUGCACAUCACUAUAAGCCUUGCAAGCAAUGUAGCUAAUGAGUUAGUUACGGAAUGAUGCAUUACGUAACGAGUAAAGAGACUUGCCGGUAACGAGAUUGAACUAGGUAUUGAGAUACCGACGAUCGAAUCUCGGGCAAGUAACAUACCGAUGACAAAGGGAACAACGUAUGUUGUUAUGGGGUUUGACCGAUAAAUAUCUUCGUAGAAUAUGUAGGAGCCAAUAUGAGCAUCCAGGUUCUGCUAUUCGUUAUUGACCGGAAACAGUUCUAGGUCAUGUCUACAUAGUUCUCGAACCCGUAGGGUCCGCACGCUUAAGGUUUCGAUGACAGUUAUAUUAUGAGUUUAUGAGUUUUGAUGUACCGAAGUUUGUUCGGAGUCCCGAAUGAGAUUACAGACAUGACGAGGAGUCACAAAAUGGCCGAGACAUGAAUAUUGAUAUAUUGCAAGCCUAUAUUUGGAUGUCGGAAGUGUUCCGGGUGAAAUCGGGAUUCUACCAGAGUACCGGGAGGUUAUCGGAACCCCCCGGGAGCUUAAUGGGCCUAUAUGGGCCUUAGUGGAAAUAGAGGGCAGAAAGGGGGUGUGGGGCGCACCCCCCAAGGCCCAAACCGAAUUGGUUUAGGGCAAGGGGGGCCGGCCCCCCUCUUUCCUUCUCCUCCUCUCCCUUUCCUUCCCCUCUCCUAGUCCAACAAGGAAGGAGGGAGUCCUACUCCCGGUGGGAGUAGGACUCCCCAUGGCGCGCCCCCUCCUAGGCCGGCCGCCCCCUCCCCCCUUGCUCCUUUAUAUACGGGGGCAGGGGGGCACCUCUAUGACACAACAAUUGAUGUCACAUCCCUAGCUGCUGGUAGUGCUCUAGGCUAGCUUCAUGUGUGCAUCAUGUCUAUAUUUUCGAAACUUGAACUGAGGAAUUUUGGAAGCCUCAAAAACUUAAAUAAAAGAGGGGCAAAAACCCUAGAAAUCUCAUUCAUUGCUCCAAAAAUGCCCCUUUUAAAUGUUUGAUAAUUUUGGUAAGGGUUCUGGUCCCAACCAAAAUAUUGAACAUUUUUAAGGAAUUAUUUUUGGGACUUUGGAUUUAAUUCAUUAGCUAUUUGAAUUUGAAUUAUAUUCAUAUAAUUAGAAUAUAAUUUCAAAUACCCCCUGAAAUAUUUUAUAAGCUUUUGGAAAAGUCCAUCUAGCAAUAUAAAAUAUUUAGAGGAGUUUUUGGCAUUGUUUGAAUUAUUUUAAAUUCAAAACAGUGGCAAAAUAAAUAAAAUAAAAUAAAACAAAACAAAACAGAAAUAAAAGACAGAGGAGAGAAACCUUACCUGGACUUACCUCUGCAGCCCACCAGGCCCACCUGGCCAGCCCAGCCCAUCUCCACACCCCCUGUCGUCUUCCUCCCUGCCAGGAGGACAGACACCGCGACGCCGCCGCGUGCGCCACCUCCUGCUUCCCUGGCCACCUCCUGCUUCCUCCCCGAGCCCUCUAGCGACGCCACGGAGUCGUCCCCGACCGCUAUCCCUCCCUCUGCUCGCUCUGGCUCUCUCCCUCUCCCGAUUUGGAGCACCACCGAGAGCCACCGGAGGGCGCCGCCGUCGCAUCCAUAGCCACCGGCCACCCCUCGCCCUUCCGAUGAGCUCAGGAGCUCCGUUCCGACCCCAUGGAGCUGCACACCGACGCACGCGACCAGAGGAGGCCCCAGUCGACCGGAGCAUCGUCGUCUUCAUCCCCGGUGCCCGGAGAUCGCCGUCGUCAAUUCGCCGUUGCAGAGGCUUCCCCGAGCCCACCGAGCUUCUCUCCCGACCCCUUGUGAGCUCCUACGCCUUUCCCCUCUCUCCCUGAAGUCUAACUCACCCUCUAGCACUAGCGCUGCCGCGCCCGAGAGCUUGCUGCCGCCGUCCAUGGCGCCGCCACGGCCACAGCUGCUGCCACUCGUGUCCGAGCAUUGCCGCGUGCUCAGCACGCUCCCAGGAGCCGGGCGCGCCCACCUGUUCGACCUACCGUUCCCCCUAGCGCCAACCCGCAUCAACCCCGAGCUCCGGCCGCCGCCGCGAGCUCGAUUCCGGCGAGCCCGUUCGACCUCAGCCCCUCCCGUUUGCCUAGAUGGAUGCGGCUGAGCGCCAGCUACGCGUAGAUGAUCGCUGCCGCUGUUUUGGUUGCCGGAGGACGUUUCCCGAGCCCCUCCGCCGCGUCUGGACUCGCCGGCGGUUAAACGCCGGCGACCGUUGACCCUUGACCGGCGUGGGUUGACCCCACUGCCCGAUUUGACCCUCCCCUCUCUCAGCCCCCCUGUUUAAUUAGUACCAGGUUAAGUUAGUGUUAACUAACUUAGUUAAGUAGAUAGGACACUGACAUGCGGGCCCAGGCUCUAAUUAAACUUAGGUUAGUUAACUGUGUCACUGACGUGUGGUCCCCACACGUCAGGUUUGACCGGACCAGCCCCUGUUGACCUGUGACGUCAAGGUGAUGUCAUGCUGACGCAAUAUUCAUUUUCUGGAAUUUAGUUUAUUUUAUUAUAUUCAGGAAAUUCCAGAAAAUAGCUAAAACUUCUAAAAAUCAUAGAAAUUCAACCGUAACUCCAAAUUAAAUAAUUUAUAUAUGAAAAAUUAUCAGAAAGAUUCAAGGAAUCCAUCUGUACCAUUUUCAUGCAUGUUAGAACAACUUAUAGCUGCUGUUUAGCACAAAUCAAUUAAAGGGCAUUUGAAUAAUCACAUAUGGAGUUUGAAUUUGAAUCUUGUAUUCAAACCAACUUCAUUUAAUCUAUUGCUAGUUGCAUUAGCUCAUAACACAUUCAUUUUGCCAUGUCAUGAGCAUGCAUCAUAUUGUGCAUUGCAUUGAUUGUAUUUCUUCCUUGUUGCCGGUAUCUGUUCCCUUCCGGUAGACGAUGUUCCGACGUUGUGAUCGUUGACACUGAUGAAGACUCAAUGUUAUCUUCAGAAGUGCCAGGCAAGCAAAACCCCCUUGUUCAUUCCGAUACAAUCCUACUCUCUCGCUCCUGCUCUCUUUUAAUGCAUUAGGAUAACACCGAUCCAUCUGUUACUUGCUGCGGUAGAUGAACCCCUUUAUCCUUUGCAUGACCUGUCAUUGCCACAGUAAAUAGAUGAAACCCACUAGCAUGAGUAGGAGUUGUUUGAGCCCUGUUGUGCCUACUCAUUCAUGUUUGUUUGUCAUGCCUGCUACUGCUUAGAGUUGAGUCAGGUCUGAUUCAUCGGGGAUGAAUCAGAGGUGUGUGAACAUGUCCUACUGUGUGUGAGCUAAGUGUGUGAACAUGAUUUGGUAAAGGUAGCGGUGAGAGGCCAUGUAGGAGUACAUGGUGGGUUGUCUCAUUGCAGCCGUCCUCAGGAACUGAGUUCUGUGUUUGUGAUCCAUGAUUCAGCUACUACCAUACAUUGGGCCCUGAAAUAUGACCCCGCUCGACUUCUUAUUCACCCUCGUCCUCUGUCCAGGAGUUGCAAGUAGAUUCUGGUGUUUGUAGUAUGCUGGAGGCCGUGGACAGCGCUGACCGUAGGGGUGGGCUGUGAUGCGGUAGGCACGUGGCCGGGUAUACUGGGCGCCCGUUUGGUGUCACGGAACCCUGUUCACAUCGUUUGGGGCUGUGAGCGAAACUCCGGCCGGAUCUCCUCAUGGAUGGAACCCGAAUAGGCGAUAAACCUGGACUAGAGACUUGAGUGUUUAGGUAGGUCGUGGUCUACACCCACGUCGGCUUUCGCUUGAAGUCUGCCGAGCACAUGUCGUGUGCAGACGCUAAGUGGUGGAAACAUGUAUGAAGAAGUACACCCCUGCAGGGUUAACAUCAUCUAUUCGAAUAGCCGUGUCCGCGGAAAAGGACUUCUGGGUUGCUUAUAUCAGUUCAUAGACAAGUGAAAGUGGAUACUUUAAAAUGCGCAAGAUAAGCGUGAGUGCUAUGGAUGGCGUUCUCGUAGGGAGACGGGAGCGGAUCCAUAGUGGUGUAUUGAUAUGGUGAAUAUGUGGACUCGUGUGCGCCACCUCAAAAGAGUUACAUUGCAGUCGUAGUUCAGGAUAGCCACCGAGUCAAAGCUGGCUUGCUGCAGUUAAACCCCACCAUCCCCUUUGUUGAUAAUGAUGCAUAUGUAGUUAGUUCUGAUGUAAGUCUUGCUGGGUACAUUUGUACUCACGUUUGCCUAUUUUAUGUUUUUGCAGAGAGACUUCGGUCUCACUAGUAGUUCCACGUGGACUCCCACGUUUAGCUUGUUACCUCAGCUACGAUCUUGUGCCCUCGGCAGGAUCUGGUAGAUAGUCAGGCUUCUCAGCCUUUUUCAUUUAUAGAUGUCUGUACUUAGACAUGUUAAGCUUCCGCAUGUGCUUUGACUUGUAUGCUCUGAUUGUUGGGUCAUGAGACCCAUGUUUGUAAUAUCUCGCUCCUCGGAGCCUAUUGAAUAAAUUACUUGUGUCGUAGAGUCAUGUUGUGAUGCCAUGUUGUAUUUGCACAUAUCGAGCAUAUGUGUGUAUGUUAUUGAAAUGCUUGGUAUGUGUGGGAUCUGGCUAUCUAGUUGUUUAUCCUUAGUAGCCUCUCUUACCGGGAAAUGUCUCCUAGUGUUUCCACUGAAUCAUGGUAGCUUGCUACUGCUCCGGAACACUUAGGCUGGCCGGCAUGUGUCCUUCUUCGUUCUUGUGUCUGUCCCUUCGGGGAAAUGUCACGCGAUGAAUACCGGAGUCCUGUUAGCCCGCUACAGCCCGGUUCACCGGAGUCCUGCUAGCCCAGUGCUACAGCCUGGGUUCACUCGCUGAUGACCGACACGUUCGAUGCUGGGUCAUGGAUGUCUGUCCCUGUAAGUUUAUGCCACUUUGGGUUUGCGACUAGCCAUGUCAGCCCGGGCUCCUUAUCAUAUGGAUGCUAGCGACACUGUCAUAUACGUGUGCCAAAAGGCGCAAACGGUCCCGGGCAAAGGUAAGGCGACACCCGUGGGAAUACCGUGCGUGAGGCCGCAAAGUGAUAUGAGGUGUUACAUGCUAGAUCAAUGUGGCAUUGAGUCGGGGUCCUGACAGCGUUGGUAUCAGAGCUUGACUGCCUGUAGGAUUACCAAGCCAAACUGGUCGAUGUUGAGUCUAGAAAUUCUUUAGUUAUAUGUAGGGGAAUUGAUUGUGGGAUGGAACGUAAGGCUCUUUUUACUCCUUAUACCUCAUGGCCUUCUGAUCUGAGUCAUCAUCUUCUCUUCUACGGGGAUUAAGAACUAGGCUAUCUCUUCUUUCUAUUAGGAUCACGUGUUACUAAUCAGUGGACUUAUAAGAUUGUUGGAUUUAAGUCUCAGUUCAGUUCCUACUACUUCCGCAUGUGAAUUGUUGAUCUCGAAACCUUGAUAUUGUGCUUCUGAGUGGUUAUGCCACCAUUUUUGUGAAUGUCUCAAAUCUUUUCUGAGCAUUUACAGCCGUUAUGCUGUCCGAGUCAUCCCAGGUUUCUAAGUAGUCUGAUGCAUUUGCAAAUCCUUUCUUCCCGUUUCAAUGUUCCCAUGGGCCAGAUUAACCACACUAAUCAGUGAGUUGAGGUACUCCGUUACCUUGACAUAUAUGUUGGAGAUAUUAUUAUGACCCUAGGUGUCUUAGGGGAUCAUCUAGUAAUUUAGCCAUGAUUUGUGUUACCAGUGUGAUGAUUCUGGCCAUCAUUCUCGAAAGCAUCCCGUGAUGCUACUUAGUAAUAGGUAUUCUGUUCCUGGGUUCUUGAACCCGAGAUUCACUCUACCUACUUCAUGUUGAUAGUAAUUGCUAGUGCCUUUAGGAUAUUAGUAACCUUUGCGAUAGUCCUUGAAGUCCGUGGUAUCUUCUUCUUCCAAAUACCAUGAACUACUUAUGGCAGAAGUUCCUCGUUGAACUGAAAUAUCACAACAGGAUUAUUCUUGAUGAGUUCUCCAUUAUAUAUUGUGGCUCUGCCAGUUCUACCUUUCUGCAUGGGUUAUCUGGAAGAAAUAUGUUAAACUUCGUUCGACAUGCUAAUCCAUGCAUCCACAACUCAGAAAAUCAUAUGUUCUUUUGAGUUGUCCCAUCUUAGUUGUUUCCGACCCUCGCCUAUCAAUUGAUAGUCAAGAGUAUGCGUGCAUUCGUUCGUCGAUGCCUAUUACCCUUGUGGUCCGCCAAGCCAUUCUAUUUCAGAAUGAAUAGGAGAAACAAACUCCAGAAUCUCAUCCAUAUCUAGGAUUGGGUCAAAGCAAUUGUAUUCCGCAGAUCAAAAUGCCAAUCCAGCUUCUGGUCUGUUCUACCUUGAAGUAUUACCAUCUUUAUAUCAGGAAUAUCAUGGGAAUUGCACACCAUCUUAUGAAUUCUUGACGCAGUAAUACUUCUGAUCAUCAUUGAUAAUUUCUCGGUUUCCGUGUUAUUGUAACCGGAAUGCCGACAAAUGAAUCAUGGCGUGUGAAAUCAAUACUGCUAGCAACUCCAUUGCUUGGUAGUUAAAUGGACGAUAACCUCAUUCUUAGCGUGUUGAUUAUUGAAUCGUCACCCUAAGGUUGAUUGUGCUACCUAGUCCUUAUUUCUGGUGCACUCUCCGAUCAGUGAGUUAGGAUAGUGCCAAUCCUUGCUUAUUUGAUCAUAUCGUCUUGCCCUGAAAAGUAAGAUUGUUCUCGAGCUUAGUAACAUACCGGUGGUUCAUGAUAUUCCAAAUUUCUUCUCGGAAGUAUCACCCGGUUGUCGCCUGACCGCUAUGUUGAUCUCGUGAUCAAGUUGGGUUCUUGUGAACCACCUUCUCUCCAAAAAUCGGUGUUAGAUAUCCCUGAGCUAGUUAGUUAAGCUAGACAACAACUUGGAGAGUUGGAAGAUAAAAGCUUGCCUGACUUAGUUCGUUCCAAAGGGAUAUUCUUGUGUAGGGUGUGCUGAAGAAAGAUGAUAUCUUCAUCGAUUGGUCCUUGUGAUCAGUUGCUGGAACUAUUGUCUUAUCAAUCCUUGAUUUGAGUGUGGGCUAUCGUCAAAUCAAAUCAGUACCAACGAUGUUCGUAAUGUUGUCUUACUCGUGGUUGAUCCCUCGAGCAUACACCAUUACAUCUUUGGUCUGACCAAUGCUAUCACCGUGUUCACUUAACUAUGGAAUUCCUUUUAAAAGGAAACCUAGAUGAAUUGUUGUUGAGCCCAUUGGCAACAUCCUUAUCUCCUCCAUGAUGUUGUUGAACAUUAAGCUAGUGUUGGAAACUUUUGAAAGCAUUUUCUUCAUGCUAGCUCAUGAAGUAUUGUUUGAUGGAAGGAGUGACUUCCUCUUAUACACGUGCAUUUGGUGAAAGUUGCCGCCGUGAAUUUGAGAAAGAUUGUUUUGUUUCCUUUGGAAUCAUCCCAAAUCAGUCAUGCACACGUGCGAAGUAUUCUGUAGUCUGGAGACUUGCAACCUUCGUUCUAUAUGUGUCCCUAGCACACUAAGCCACUGAUUGACUUGUUCAAGGAAAAGAAGUCUAUGCUUGGGAUCUAAUCCAUGGACUUGCGUAAAGACUUCGAUAUCCUCGAUUAUGGUUCCCCACCCGAACUCGGUAGUGUUUGAUUAUAAGACUACUACGUGGCCAUGCUUGUCUGGGACAACGUGUUCACAUGCUAGUAGCAGAACCAGCUCAUGUUUGGAGCUUGCUAUCGUAGUUCAUUCCCGAGAAUCUCGCAACGUCAUCUCAUCGAUCUGUGUUGCAAACUUUCGUUUUUCUUCCUAGACUCGAUGAGUCUGGAAUAUCCUGACACCAACCAGAUCUGAAUCUCAGGCAGAUAUGAUGGUUUGGAACAUUUCCCAAGAACUAUAAUAUCGGUCCCUCGAAAACCGGUAAAGUGGAUGUCGUGGCCAACACACCCAUCCGGUAGACCUGUUAUUAUAAUAUCUUGAUUGAGGAAGUUGGCCACCUCCCCAUAAGGAUUUCGUAGGAUUUACCUCCCUAGUUGUUCCUUAUGGAUUCUUGUGCUCCCGAAGUCCGACCUUUACUUGAUGUUCUAGAUAUCAAACCAUAUCUAUGAAUGGGUUACACUAGCACAUCAAGAAGAACAUUAGAAGCGGAGUGCUAAAUGUCUCUCGGUCGAUCAUCCAGAUUUUUUUUCCUUGGCCUCGCUAAGAUGAAAUCUGAGAAGUGUUAUCUUCCUUUGCAUCUGCAUCAUCCAUCAUCAUUCAUCGUGGUAGCAAGUUGUGUUGCCAGGAUCCUUGACACGGAUAUUGGUAAAACCUUGAUGAAUGUGGAAAUGCUCAAGUUCUUGAGAGCACGCACAAGCACUACGUGUUAUCAUCGGCACUAACUGGGUUUGCUCUCAGUUCCCUCGGCAAUGCUAUGACCUUCUCAAACAGUGAAUUCACUCUCUAUUGUUGGGUUCUCCCCAGUUACUAGAAUCAUUCCCAUCAUUUGCAUUUUGUUCCCAGCUUGCACCGCCAAUGUGCCAUUCUACCAUGGGUCUCUUCCAUUUCCGGUGAUAAGCAAAUUCAUCCAUUGCGUUGUCUUCAACAAGGUAAUCCACAUCAUCCAAGUCUGAGUAUGCCAUUCUACUGACCCCCUCCAAACGAUCGCUUGAGAAUUGCCUUAGGCUGGUAUAAAGGUUUUCAAUGAUCUCUGAAUCAAAGGUAAUUCUUUUUGCCACUUAAGGAAAUAAUCUACGAAUCACCCUCCUCCAGGAUGUUUCGUCGUGGUAUCAUAGCAACUCAACUCCUCGCUACGUGGACAAUCGUUUACCACCUUCUUAAGUGUGGAAUUGUUGUCUACCUAGUGAACCUUCGUCAUCCGUCUCUUUUCACCCCUCUUGAUGUGUAUCUCGUGUCUCAACCCGAGAGAUGGUCCUAUGUCUCAUUCCGUGAGUUGUUCGAUCUUCGAGAAGAUCGACCCUGCUAGAGUCUCCUUCUUUCCUCCAUGUCAUGUUGACAGGAUUUUUCAAGGCAAGACUUCAAGACAAUGAUGGUGAAUGAAUCAACGUUCAACUGAAGUGCACCCUGGAUCGUGAAGAUUAUACUAGUCUGCGUUACCCUUCACUUUACCCUACGCUUGAAUCUCGAGACGAGAUUCUUGUUUAGUGGGGGUGAGUUGUCACAUCCCUAGCUGCUGGUAGUGCUCUAGGCUAGCUUCAUGUGUGCAUCAUGUCUAUAUUUUCGAAACUUGAACUGAGGAAUUUUGGAAGCCUCAAAAACUUAAAUAAAAGAGGGGCAAAAACCCUAGAAAUCUCAUUCAUUGCUCCAAAAAUGCCCCUUUUAAAUGUUUGAUAAUUUUGGUAAGGGUUCUGGUCCCAACCAAAAUAUUGAACAUUUUUAAGGAAUUAUUUUUGGGACUUUGGAUUUAAUUCAUUAGCUAUUUGAAUUUGAAUUAUAUUCAUAUAAUUAGAAUAUAAUUUCAAAUACCCCCUGAAAUAUUUUAUAAGCUUUUGGAAAAGUCCAUCUAGCAAUAUAAAAUAUUCAGAGGAGUUUUUGGCAUUGUUUGAAUUAUUUUAAAUUCAAAACAGUGGCAAAAUAAAUUAAAUAAAAUAAAACAAAACAAAACAGAAAUAAAAGACAGAGGAGAGAAACCUUACCUGGACUUACCUCUGCAGCCCACCAGGCCCACCUGGCCAGCCCAGCCCAUCUCCACCCCCCCUGUCGUCUUCCUCCCUGCCAGGAGGACAGACACCGCGACGCCGCCGCGCGCGCCACCUCCUGCUUCCCUGGCCACCUCCUGCUUCCUCCCCGAGCCCUCUAGCGACGCCACGGAGUCGUCCCCGACCGCUAUCCCUCCCUCUGCUCGCUCUGGCUCUCUCCCUCUCCCGAUUUGGAGCACGACCAAGAGCCACCGGAGGGCGCCGCCGUCGCAUCCAUAGCCACCGGCCACCCCUCGCCCUUCCGAUGAGCUCAGGAGCUCCGUUCCGACCCCAUGGAGCUGCACACCGACGCACGCGACCAGAGGAGGCCCCAGUCGACCGGAGCAUCGUCGUCUUCAUCCCCGGUGCCCGGAGAUCGCCGUCGUCAAUUCGCCGUUGCAGAGGCUUCCCCGAGCCCACCGAGCUUCUCUCCCGACCCCUUGUGAGCUCCUACGCCUUUCCCCUCUCUCCCCGAAGUCUAACUCGCCCUCUAGCACUAGCGCUGCCGCGCUCGAGAGCUUGCUGCCGCCGUCCAUGGCGCCGCCACGGCCACAGCUGCUGCCACUCGCGUCCGAGCAUUGCCGCGUGCUCAGCACGCUCCCAGGAGCCGGGCGCGCCCACCUGUUCGACCUACCGUUCCCCCUAGUGCCAACCCGCAUCAACCCCGAGCUCCGGCCGCCGCCGCGAGCUCGAUUCCGGCGAGCCCGUUCGACCCCAGCCCCUCCCGCUUGCCUAGAUGGAUGCGGCUGAGCGCCAGCUACGCAUAGAUGAUCGCUGCCGCUGUUUUGGUCGCCGGAGGACGUUUCCCGAGCCCCUCCGCCGCGUCUGGACUCGCCGGCGGUUAAACGCCGGCGACCGUUGACCCUUGACCGGCGUGGGUUGACCCCACUGCCCGAUUUGACCCUCCCCUCUCUCUGACUGACGUGUGGGCCCAGCCCCCCUGUUUAAUUAGUACCAGGUUAAGUUAGUGUUAACUAACUUAGUUAAGUAGAUAGGACACUGACAUGCGGGCCCAGGCUCUAAUUAAACUUAGGUUAGUUAACUGUGUCACUGACGUGUGGUCCCCACACGUCAGGUUUGACCGGACCAGCCCUUGUUGACCUGUGACGUCAAGGUGAUGUCAUGCUGACGCAAUAUUCAUUUUCUGGAAUUUAGUUUAUUUUAUUAUAUUCAGGAAAUUCCAGAAAAUAGCUAAAACUUCUAAAAAUCAUAGAAAUUCAACCGUAACUCCAAAUUAAAUAAUUUAUAUAUGAAAAAUUAUCAGAAAAAUUCAAGGAAUCCAUCUGUACCAUUUUCAUGCAUGUUAGAACAACUUAUAGCUGCUGUUUAGCACAAAUCAAUUAAAGGGCAUUUGAAUAAUCACAUAUGGAGUUUGAAUUUGAAUCUUGUAUUCAAACCAACUUCAUUUAAUCUAUUGCUAGUUGCAUUAGCUCAUAACACAUUCAUUUUGCCAUGUCAUGAGCAUGCAUCAUAUUGUGCAUUGCAUUGAUUGUAUUUCUUCCUUGUUGCCGGUAUCUGUUCCCUUCCGGUAGACGAUGUUCCGACGUUGUGAUCGUUGACACUGAUGAAGACUCAAUGUUAUCUUCAGAAGUGCCAGGCAAGCAAAACCCCCUUGUUCAUUCCGAUACAAUCCUACUCUCUCGCUCCUGCUCUCUUUUAAUGCAUUAGGAUAACACCGAUCCAUCUGUUACUUGCUGCGGUAGAUGAACCCCUUUAUCCUUUGCAUGACCUGUCAUUGCCACAGUAAAUAGAUGAAACCCACUAGCAUGAGUAGGAGUUGUUUGAGCCCUGUUGUGCCUACUCAUUCAUGUUUGUUUGUCAUGCCUGCUACUGCUUAGAGUUGAGUCAGGUCUGAUUCAUCGGGGAUGAAUCAGAGGUGUGUGAACAUGUCCUACUGUGUGUGAGCUAAGUGUGUGAACACGAUUUGGUAAAGGUAGCGGUGAGAGGCCAUGUAGGAGUACAUGGUGGGUUGUCUCAUUGCAGCCGUCCUCAGGAACCGAGUUCUGUGUUUGUGAUCCAUGAUUCAGCUACUACCAUACAUUGGGCCCUGAAAUAUGACCCCGCUCGACUUCUUAUUCACCCUCGUCCUUUGUCCAGGAGUUGCAAGUAGAUUCUGGUGUUUGUAGUAUGCUGGAGGCCGUGGACAGCGCUGACCGUAGGGGUGGGCUGUGAUGCGGUAGGCACGUGGCCGGGUAUACCGGGCGCCCGUUUGGUGUCACGGAACCCUGUUCACAUCGUUUGGGGCUGUGAGCGAAACUCCGGCCGGAUCUCCUCAUGGAUGGAACCCGAAUAGGCGAUAAACCUGGACUAGAGACUUGAGUGUUUAGGUAGGUCGUGGUCUACACCCACGUCGGCUUUCGCUUGAAGUCUGCCGAGCACAUGUCGUGUGCAGACGCUAAGUGGUGGAAACAUGUAUGAAGAAGUACACCCCUGUAGGGUUAACAUCAUCUAUUCGAAUAGCCGUGUCCGCGGAAAAGGACUUCUGGGUUGCUUAUAUCAGUUCAUAGACAAGUGAAAGUGGAUACUUUAAAAUGCGCAAGAUAAGCGUGAGUGCUAUGGAUGGCGUUCUCGUAGGGAGACGGGAGCGAAUCCAUAGUGGUGUAUUGAUAUGGUGAAUAUGUGGACUCGUGUGCGCCACCUCAAAAGAGUUACAUUGCAGUCGUAGUUCAGGAUAGCCACCGAGUCAAAGCUGGCUUGCUGCAGUUAAACCCCACCAUCCCCUUUGUUGAUAAUGAUGCAUAUGUAGUUAGUUCUGAUGUAAGUCUUGCUGGGUACAUUUGUACUCACGUUUGCCUAUUUUAUGUUUUUGCAGAGAGACUUCGGUCUCACUAGUAGUUCCACGUGGACUCCGACGUUUAGCUUGUUACCUCAGCUACGAUCUUGUGCCCUCGGCAGGAUCUGGUAGAUAGUCAGGCUUCUCAGCCUUUUUCAUUUAUAGAUGUCUGUACUCAGACAUGUUAAGCUUCCGCAUGUGCUUUGACUUGUAUGCUCUGAUUGUUGGGUCAUGAGACCCAUGUUUGUAAUAUCUCGCUCCUUGGAGCCUAUUGAAUAAAUUACUUGUGUCGUAGAGUCAUGUUGUGAUGCCAUGUUGUAUUUGCACAUAUCGAGCAUAUUGUGUGUAUGUUAUUGAAAUGCUUGGUAUGUGUGGGAUCUGGCUAUCUAGUUGUUUAUCCUUAGUAGCCUCUCUUAUCGGGAAAUGUCUCCUAGUGUUUCCACUGAGCCAUGGUAGCUUGCUACUGCUCCGGAACACUUAGGCUGGCCGGCAUGUGUCCUUCUUCGUUCCUGUGUCUGUCCCUUCGGGGAAAUGUCACGCGAUGAAUACCGGAGUCCUGUUAGCCCGCUACAGCCCGGUUCACCGGAGUCCUGCUAGCCCAGUGCUACAGCCUGGGUUCACUCGCUGAUGACCGACACGUUCGAUGCUGGGUCAUGGAUGCCUGUCCCUGUAAGUUUGUGCCACUUUGGGUUUGCGACUAGCCAUGUCAGCCCGGGCUCCUUAUCAUAUGGAUGCUAGCGACACUGUCAUAUACGUGUGCCAAAAGGCGCAAACGGUCCCGGGCAAAGGUAAGGCGACACCCGUGGGAAUACCGUGCGUGAGGCCGCAAAGUGAUAUGAGGUGUUACAUGCUAGAUCAAUGUGGCAUUGAGUCGGGGUCCUGACAAUUGAUCUCUUGAUCUCUUAGCCGUGUGCGGUGCCCCCCUCCACCAUAGUCCUCGAUAAUAUUGUAGCGGUGCUUAGGCGAAGCCCUGCGACGGUAGAACAUCAAGAUCGUCACCACGCCGUCGUGCUGACGGAACUCUUCCUCGACAUUCUGCUGGAUCAGUGUCCGGGGAUCGUCAUCGAGCUGAACGUGUGCUUGAACUCGGAGGUGCCGUAGUUUCGGUGCUUGAUCGGUCGGGCCAUGAAGACGUACGACUACAUCAACCGCGUUGUUCUAAUGCUUCCUCUUUCGGUCUAUGAGGGUACGUGGACAACACUCUCCCCUCUCGUUGCUAUGCAUCACCAUGAUCUUGCGUGUGCGUAGGAAUUUUUUUGAAAUUACUACGUUCCCCAACAGUGGCAUCCGAGCCAGGUUUUAUUCAUAGAUGUUAUAUGCACGAGUAGAACACAAGUGAGUUGUGGGCGAUAGAAGUCAUACUGCUUACCAGCAUGUCAUAAUUUGGUUCAGCGGUAUUGUUGGAUGAAGCGGCCCGGACUGACAUUACGCGUACGCUUACGUGAGACUGGUUCUACCGAUGUGCUUUGCACACAGGUGGCUGGCAGGUGUCUUUUUCUCCAUCUUUAGUUGAACCGAAUGUGGCUACGCCCGGUCCUUGCGAAGGUUAAAACAACAGUAACUUGACGAACUAUCGUUGUGGUUUUGAUGCGUAGGUAAGAACGGUUCUUGCUCAGCCCGUAGCAGCCACGUAAAAUUUGCAACAACAAAGUAGAGGACGUCUAACUUGUUUUUGCAGGGCAUGUUGUGAUGUGAUAUGGUCAAGAUGUGAUGCUAUCUUUUAUUGUAUGAGAUGAUCAUGUUUUGUAACCGAGUUAUCGGCAACUGGCAGGAGCCAUAUGGUUGUCACUUUAUUGUAUGAAAUGCAAAUGCCCUGUAAUUGCUUUACUUUAUCACUAAGUGGUAGCGAUAGUCGUAGAAGCAAUAGAUGGCGUAACGACAAUGAUGCUGCGAUGGAGAUCAAGGUGUCGCGCCGGUGAUGAUGGUGAUCAUGACGGUGCUUCAGAUAUGGAGAUCACAAGCACAAGAUGAUGAUGGCCAUAUCAUAUCACUUAUAUUGAUUGCAUUGAUGUUUAUCCUUUAUGCAUCUUAUCUUGCUUUGAUUGAUGGUACCAUUUUAAGAUGAUCUCUCACUAAAUUAUCAAGAAGUGUUCUCCCUGAGUAUGCACCAUUGCGAAAGUUCUUCGUGCUGAGACACCACAUGAUGAUCGGGUGUGAUAGGCUCUACGUUCAAAUACAAUGGGUGCAAAACAGUUGCACACGCGGAAUACUCAGGUUAAACUUGACGAGCCUAGCAUACACAGAUAUGGCCUCGGAACACGAAGACCGAAAGGUCGAACGUGAAUCAUAUAGUAGAUAUGAUCAACAUAGUGAUGUUCACCAUUGAAACUACUCCAUCUCACAUGCUGAUCGGACAUGGUUUAGUUGAUUUGGAUCAUGUAAUCACUUAGAUGACUAGAGAGAUGUCUGUCUAAGUGGGAGUUCUUAAGUAAUAUGAUUAAUUGAACUUAAAUUUAUCAUGAACUUAGUACCUGAUAGUAUUUUGCUUGUCUAUGUUUGUUGUAGAUAGAUGGCUCGUGCUGUUGUACCGUUGAAUUUUAAUGCGUUCCUUGAGAAAGCUAAGUUGAAAGAUGAUGGUAGCAAUUACACGGACUGGGUCCGUAACUUGAGGAUUAUCCUCAUUGUUGCACAGAAGAAUUACGUCCUGGAAGCAACGCUGGGUGCCAGGCCUACUGCAGAUGCAACUGACGACGUUAAGAACGUCUGGCAGAGCAAAGCUGAUGACUACUCGAUAGUUCAGUGUGCCAUGCUUUACGGCUUGGAACUGGGUCUUCAACGAUGUUUUGAACGUCAUGGAGCAUAUGAGAUGUUCCAGGAGUUGAAGUUAAUAUUUCAAGCAAAUGCCCGGAUUGAGAGAUAUGAAGUCUCCAAUAAGUUCUAUAGCUGUAAGAUGGAGGAGAAUAGUUCUGUCAGUGAACAUAUACUCAAAAUGUCUGGGUAUAAUAAUCACUUGAUUCAACUGGGAGUUAAUCUUCCUGAUGAUAGUUUCAUUGACAUAAUUCUUCAAUCACUGCCACCAAGCUACAAGAGCUUCGUGAUGAACUAUAAUAUGCAAGGGAUGGACAAGACUAUUCCCGAGCUCUUCGCAAUGCUAAAAGCCGCGGAGGUAGAAAUCAAGAAGGAGCAUCAAGUGUUGAUGGUCAAUAAGACCACCAGUUUCAAGAAAAAGGGCAAAGGGAAGAAGAAGGGGAACUUCAAGAAGAACAACAAACAAGUUGCUGCUCAAGAGAAGAAACCCAAGUCUGGACCUAAGCCUGAGACUGAGUGCUUCUACCGCAAGCAAACUGGACACUGGAAGCAGAACUACCCCAAGUAUUUGGCGGAUAAGAAGGAUGGCAAAGUGAACAAAGGUAUAUGUGAUAUACAUGUUAUUGAUGUGUACCUUACUAAUGCUCGCAGUAGCACCUGGGUAUUUGAUACUGGUUCUGUUACUAAUAUUUUCAACUGAAAACAGGGACUACGGAUUAAGUGAAGAUUGGCUAAGGACGAGGUGACGAUGCGAGUGGGAAAUGGUUCCAAAGUCGAUGUGAUCGCGGUCGGCACGCUACCUCUACAUCUACCAUCGGGAUUAGUUUUAGACCUAAAUAGUUGUUAUUUGGUGCCACCGUUGAGCAUGAACAUUAUAUCUGGAUCUUGUUUGAUGCGAGAUGGUUAUUCAUUUAAAUCAGAGAAUAAUGGUUGUUCUAUUUAUAUGAGUAAUAUCUUUUAUGGUCAUGCACCCUUGAAGAGUGGUCUAUUUUUAUUAAAUCUCGAUAGUAGUGAUACACAUAUUCAUAAUGUUGAAGCCAAAAGAUGCAGAGUUGAUAAUGAUAGUGCAACUUAUUUGUGGCACUGCCGUUUGGGUCAUAUUGGUGUAAAGCGCAUGAAGAUACUCCAUAUUGAUGGACUUCUGGAAUCACUUGAUUAUGAAUCACUUGUUACUUGCGAACCGUGCCUCAUGGGCAAGAUGACUAAAACGUCGUUCUCCGGAACUAUGGAGCGAGCAACUGAUUUGUUGGAAAUCAUACAUACUGAUGUAUGUGGUCCAAUGAAUAUUGAGGCUCGCGGCAGGUAUCGUUAUUUUCUCACCUUCACAGAUGAUUUGAGCAGAUAUGGGUAUAUCUACUUGAUGAAACACAAAGUCUGAAACAUUUGGAAAGUUCAAAGAAUUUCAGAGUGAAGUGGAAAAUCAUCGUAACAAGAAAAUAAAAUUUCUACGAUCUGAUCGUGGAGGAGAAUAUUUGAGUUAUGAGUUUGGUUUACAUUUGAAGCAAUGCGGAAUAGUUCCGCAACUCACGCCACCCGGAACACCACAGCGAAAUGGUGUGUCCGAACGUCGUAAUCGUACUUUACUAGAUAUGGUGCGAUCUAUGAUGUCUCUUACUGAUUUACCUCUAUCAUUUUGGGGUUAUGCUUUAGAGACGGCCGCAUUCACGUUAAAUAGGGCACCAUCAAAAUCCAUUGAUAUGACGCCUUAUGAACUGUGGUUUGGCAAGAAAUCAAAGUUGUCAUUUCUUAAAGUUUGGGGCUGCAAUACUUAUGUGAAGAAACUUCAACCAUGUAAGCUCGAACCCAAAUCGGAGAAAUGUGUCUUCAUAGGAUACCCAAAAGAGACUAUUGGGUACACCUUCUAUCACAGAUCUGAGGGCAAGAUUUUUGUUGCUAAAUUCAGAUCCUUUCUAGAGAAGGAGUUUCUCUUGAAAGAAGUGAGUGGGCGGAAAGUAGAACUUGAUGAGGUAAUUGUACCUGCUCCCUUAUUGGAAAGUAGUUCAUCACAAGAACCGAUUCCUGUGACUACUACACCAAUCAGUGAGGAAGCUAAUGAUAUUGAUCAUGAAACUUCAGAUCAAGUUACUACCGAACCUCGUAGGUCUACCAGAGUAAGAUCCGCACCAGAGUGGUAUGGUAAUCCUAUUCUGGAAGUCAUGUUACUUGACCAUGGCGAACCUACGAACUAUGAGGAAGCGAUGAUGAGCCCAGAUUCCACAAAAUUGCUUGAGGCCAUGAAAUCUAAGAUGGGAUCCAUGUAUGAGAACAAAGUAUGGACUUUGGUUGACUUGCCCGAUGAUCGACAAGCCAUCAAGAAUAAAUGGAUCUUCAAGAAGAAGACUGACGCUGAUGGUAAUGUAACUGUCUACAAAGCUCGACUUGUUGCAAAAGGUUUUCGACAAGUUCAAGGGGUUGACUACGAUGAGACUUUCUCACCUGUAGCGAUGCUUAAGUCUGUCCGGAUCAUGUUAGCAAUUGCCGCAUCUUAUGAUUAUGAAAUUUGGCAAAUGGAUGUCAAAACUGCAUUCCUGAAUGGAUUUCUAGAAGAAGAGUUGUAUAUGAUGCAUCCGGAAGGUUUUGUCGAUCCAAAAGGUGCUAACAAAGUGUGCAAGCUCCAGCGAUCCAUUUAUGGACUGGUGCAAGCAUCUCGGAGUUGGACUAAACGCUUUGAUAGUGUGAUCAAAGCAUAUGGUUUUAUACAUACUUUUGGAGAAGCCUGUAUUUACAAGAAAAUGAGUGGGAGCUCUGUAGCAUUUCUGAUAUUAUAUGUAGAUGGCAUAUUGUUAAUUGGAAAUGAUAUAUAAUUUCUGGAUAGCAUAAAGGGAUACUUGAAUAAAAGUUUUUCAAUGAAAGACCUCGGUGAAGCUGCUUACAUAUUGGGCAUCAAGAUCUAUAGAGAUAGAUCAAGACGCUUGAUUGGACUUUCACAAAGCACAUACCUUGAUAAAGUUUUGAAAAUGUUCAAAAUAGAUCAGGCAAAGAAAGGAUUCUUGCCUGUAUUACAAUGUGUGAAGUUGAGUCAGACUCAAUGCCCGACCACAACAGAAGAUAGAGAGAAAAUGAAAGAUGUUCCCUAUGCUUCAGCCAUAGGCUCUAUCAUGUAUGCAAUGCUGUGUACCAGACCUGAUGUAUGCUUAGCAAUAAGUUUGGCAGGGAGGUACCAAUGUAAUCCAAGAGUGGAUCACUAGACAGCAGUCAAGAAUAUCCUGAAAUACCUGAAAAGGACUAAGGAUAUGUUUCUCGUUUAUGGAGGUGACAAAGAGCUAGUCAUAAAUGGUUACGUCGAUGCAAGCUUUGACACUAAUCCGGAUGAUUCUAAAUCACAAACCAGAUACGUGUUUAUAUUGAACGGUGGAGCUGUCAGUUGGUGCAUGUCUAAACAAAGCGUCAUGGCGGGAUCUACAUGUGAAGCGGAGUACAUAGCUGCUUCGGAAGCAGCAAAUGAAGGAGUCUUGAUGAAAGAAUUCAUUUCCGAUCUAGGUGUCAUACCUAGUGCAUCGGGACCAAUGAAGAUCUUCCGUGAUAAUACUGGUGCAAUUGCCUUGGCAAAGGAAUCCAGAUUUCACAAGAGGACCAAGCACAUCAAGAGACGCUUCAAUUCCAUCCGGGACCAAGUCCAGGUGGGAGACAUAGAGAUUAGCAAGAUACAUACGGAUCUGAAUGUUGCAGACCCAUUGACUAAGCCUCUUCCACGAGCAAAACAUGAUCAGCAGCAAGACUCCAUAGGUGUUAGAAUCAUUACUGUGUAAUCUAGAUUAUUGACUCCAGUGCAAGUGGGAGACUGAAGGAAAUAUUCCCUAGAGGCAAUAAUAAAGUUAUUAUUUAUUUCCUUAUAUCAUGAUAAAUGUUUAUUAUUCAUGCUAUAAUUGUAUUAACCGAAAACAUGAUACAUGUGUGAAUACAUAGACAAACUUAAUGUCACUAGUAUGCCUCUACUUGACUAGCUCAUUAAUCAAAGAUGGCUAUGUUUCCUAACCAUAGACAUGUGUUGUCAUUUGAUUAACGGGAUCACAUCAUUAGGCGAAUGAUGUGAUUGACUUGACCCAUUCCGUUAGCUUAGCACUUGAUCAUUUAGUAUGUUGCUAUUGCUUUCUUCAUGACUUAUACAAGUUCCUAUAACUAUGAGAUUAUGCAACUCCUGUUUACCGGAGGAACACUUUGUGUUCUACCAAACGUCACAACGUAACUGGGUGAUUAUAACGGAGCUCUAUAGGUGUCACCAAAGGUAGAUGUUGAGUUGGCGUAUUUCGAGAUUAGGUUUUGUCACUCCGAUUGUCGAAGAGGUAUCUUUGGGCCUUCUCGAUAAUGCACAUCACUAUAAGCCUUGCAAGCAAUGUAGCUAAUGAGCUAGUUACGGAAUGAUGCAUUACGUAACGAGUAAAGAGACUUGCCGGUAGCGAGAUUGAACUAGGUAUUGAGAUACCGACGAUCGAAUCUCGGGCAAGUAACAUACCGUUGACAAAGGGAACAACGUAUGUUGUUAUGCGGUUUGACCGAUAAAGAUCUUCGUAGAAUAUGUAGGAGCCAAUAUGAGCAUCCAGGUUCCGCUAUUGGUUAUUGACCAAGAAUAGUUCUAGGUCAUGUCUACAUAGUUCUCGAACCCGUAGGGUCCGCACACUUAAGGUUUCGAUGACAGCUAUAUUAUGAGUUUAUGAGUUUUGAUGUAUCGAAGUUUGUUCGGAGUCCCGAGUGAGAUUACGGACAUGACGAGGAGUCUCGAAAUGAUCGAGACAUAAAGAUUGAUAUAUUGGAAGCCUAUAUUUGGAUGUCGGAAGUGUUCCAGGUGAAAUUGGGAUUUUACCGGAGUACCGGGAGGUUACCGGAACCCCCCGGGAGCUUAAUGGGCCUAUAUGGGCCUUAGUGGAAAUAGAGGGCAGCAAGGGGGUGUGGGGCGCGCCCCCCAAGGCCCAAACCGAAUUGGUUUAGGGCAAGGGGGGCAGGUCCCCCUCUUUCCUUCUCCUCCUCUCCCUUUCCUUCCCCUCUCCUAGUCCAAAAAGGAAGGAGGGAGUCCUACUCCCGGUGAGAGUAGGACUCCCCAUGGCACGCCCCCUCCUAGGCAGGCCGCCCCCUCCCCCCUUGCUCCUUUAUAUACGGGGGCAGGGGGCACCUCUAUGACACAACAAUUGAUCUCUUGAUCUCUUAGCCGUGUGCGGUGCCCCCUCCACCAUAGUCCUCGAUAAUAUUGUAGCGGUGCUUAGGCGAAGCCCUGCGACGGUAGAACAUCAAGAUCGUCACCACGCCGUCGUGCUGACGGAACUCUUCCCCGACAUUCUGCUGGGUCGGAGUCCGGGGAUCGUCAUCGAGCUAAAUGUGUGCUAGAACUCGGAGGUGCCGUAGUUUCGGUGCUUGAUCGAUCGGGCCGUGAAGACGUAUGACUACAUCAACCGCGUUGUUCUAAAGCUUCCGCUUUUGGUCUACGAGGGUACGUGGACAACACUCUCCCCUUUAGUUGCUAUGCAUCACCAUGAUCUUGCGUGUGCGUAGGAAAGUUUUUGAAAUUACUAUGUUCCCCAACACAAGUAUGCUGGAGCCGAACACCCAAUGCCUUUGAGUGACCAACUGAAGCAGUUGGUUGAACUCCACAGGGCGGCCGAAGUGGCUAUGAAGUAUUUCAUAGUCCGGAUGUGGCCUGGUGAGCCCCUGCCCGCUAGGUACUUCGGCCUGAUAAAGCGGAUGCUAAAUGCCUGUCCGCGGCUUGAAGUGAUCAAGCCAUCCGUCGGGCCUUUGCCCGUGCGAAGGUGCAUUGGGGCAAGCUGGAUGCGGAGAAGCUGGUGAAGGACGGACCACCAGAGGGCAAGGCGCAUCGCUGUCCCGAAAAAUAUUAUGAUAGCGUUAUGAAGGACGCUCGCCUCGUGGCCGAAGAAUGUACCAAGAACACGAUCAUUGAAUGAAUGUACUUCUGUCGUUUUUGUAAUAUAAAGACGAAGUUAUUUGUGUUAUAUAGCGCUUUCUUUUGAUUUAAAAUAUUACCUUCUGUGCGGCUAUUUAUAAAAUUCUAAAAGUAGGCCAGUCAUCGGCUUCCGCCCCCACGUAACCAGUACCGGGGUGUUCGUGGAAAACCCAAAACACUCUUUUAUCCAAAUUUUGGUCCAUGAAGGAGGAGUUUGGCGCAGCGAACAAGGCAAUCGGACUAUGCAACUUUAUAGCUUUCACUUAGCCAUAGAAGUCUACAAUUUUAAAUUUCGGCGAAGCCCCUAUGUCGGUGUCUAAACCGGCGGAUCUCGGGUAAAGGGGUUCCGAUCUGUGCGUCAAGGGUGAUGGUAACAGGAAGCAAGGGACACAGAUGUUUACCCAGGUUCGGGCCCUCUUGAUGGAGGUAAAACCCUACUUCCUACUUGAUUAAUAUUGAUGAUAUGGGUAGUACAAGAGUAGAUCUACCACGAGAUCGUAGAGGCUAAACCCUAGGAGCUAGCCUAUCAUGGUAUGAUUGUAAUUGUGAUCGUCCUUCUAAGGACCAACCACUCCGGUUUAUAUAGACACCGGAGAGGGCUAGGGUUUACAUGGAGUCGGUUACAGGAAGGAAAUAUAAUAUCCGGAUCACCAAGCUUACCUUCCAUGCCAAGGAAAGUCCCAUCCGAACACGGGCCGAAGUCUUGAGUCUUGUAUCUUCACGCUUCAAUAGUCCAGACGUUGUACACAGUCCGGCUGUCCGGAUACCCCCUAAUCCAGGACUUGAUGCUAUCAAGCAAUCAGUCUACAUAGAAGGCACGUGUAUGGCGUUUUCCCGUGCUAAAGUGCAUUGGGGGAGGCUUGACGCGGAGAAGCUGAUGACUGAGGGGCCGCCGAAGGGUAAGGAGCACCGCAAGCCCGAGCUGUAUUAUGAAGGUGUGAUGAAAGGGGCCCGCCUUGUGGCGGACAAGUGUGCUAAAGACAUCAUAUUUCCCUGAGGGCAUUUGUGCCACUUGUUGUAAUAUGGGAUAAUGGCAUGUUUAUUAUAUAUUGCCUGUUUUAUUUGAACAUAUGUUCUUCCUGUGCGGCUGUUUAUUUUAUGCAAAUUCUGGGAGUUGGCCAGUCGUCGGCUUCCGUCCCCUCAUAAAAAAGGAUACGGGGGUGUUCGGGAUAUAUCUGAACGCUCUUUAUCCAAUAGUUGGGUCCUUUUAAGGAGGUGUAUCUUUCCGCGAACCAGGCAAUCGGACUAUAGAGCUUUAUUACUCUCACUUAUCCAUAGGAAUUCGAGUAUGGUCGGCGCAGCCCCUAGUGUUCGGAAGGCCGAACUAGGGGCUCUAUUGGCGCCUGAUCAGAAGACCAAUCCGUCACACUUAGCAUUUAUAAUGGCGUUGUCCGGAAUGAAUCUUUAAGGAUUUUAUAACCUCUCGAACAGCGGACCGGCUCUCGCUUCAUCAUGAUAGUCGGUUUUCGGCUUUCUCUACUAAGGUGCUCGUCGGCUGAACCGGGACACAAUCGCAGUAGUUCUCCCAGCGCUACCUUAGCCGAUAGAAUGGAAUGUAAGGUACCAAAACAUGGGAGCCGGGCAAACCCAACCAAUGACCCAAGACAUGAUUCGGAGUAGAUGCAUAUAGUGCUAUAAGUUCGGGGUGCCGAAUGACCAAAAAGGUGGUCGUACUUUAUUGCCGUACUAUGGAGCCCCUGGUAUAACCAGGUGAACGUGAAGCGUGGCUGUCAUUUUCGGCAAAGAGGCGUCGGUGAUAAACGACAGCCGGUAAUUGCUAUUUAAGUCUACGCAUUGCAGUAGGAUGAUAUGUCUAUGCAUAUGAGUAUGAUGUAUGGAAAGAGGUGUUAUUUGGCGGAACCUGUUGUGCCGGACUGGAGGGGGUUGUGAGUGGAUCGAGAAUGAAUCCGAACUGCCUUCUACCUGCAUGUUCCUUCCUUUUUGUGUCUGGGAUAAUUCCAUGCCGCCAUUCCUGUUCUGCGUCAAUCGUUAGUUUGCAAAUGCGAAAUGCUUGAAGGCAGCUAGGUGUCCUCUUGUUGUUGCUCCCAGGGUCCCCAAUCGGGCCCUGGUGUGCCCAGCCAUUAGACCGUGAGGUAGUGCAUACUCCACAAUGGAUGUCCAGAUGGUUGGCCUAGGCAAUUUACCAUGUGGAAUCUAGUCGACGUGGUUUUUCCCGUUAGCAUACGGUAAACUAUCGUAUGGUGGGGAGGUGCCGAGGAUUUAUUCUUUGGCGUAGCAUUUUUUGGGUGAUCCGAAGACAACCGUUUAGAGUGGUGGGCCAAUAAAACUUGGCCUUUGCACCUUACAUCUUUUAGGAGAUGUUUUUCGUGGCGUCAUACCCUUGUGGGCUUUGUGUGUUAUGGAGCCCCCGGACUACUAGGUCUAGAGGCACUGCAAUUGACUUGUUGUGGUUUAUGUGGUCCUGGGCGGUCGGCCGUACUGUUACGCUCUGGGGAGGGGGUCUUGACGAGGUAUCUCCCCUUAUUGCUUCCGACGUGCGACGAGCCGCUUUGUUUUGAGGAUCCUCCAUUCUCUAUUGGUAUGCUUUGCCGUCCUUCUGGGGGUACCGUGAAUUUCACACGGCUGAUCCAGCGUGUGGCUUUGGUCGAGUAGGCUUGUGUUGUUCUUUGUCCGUUUAGCGGAUGGAGCGUUGCCGGACUUGGCACCAGCUUCCUUGUCUUGAUGUUUAUGACCUUUGUGUCGAGGCCUGAGGGUGCCUCUUUGUGUCUGCUUCUUGCUGCCUUGGACCGUAGUGAUGCAUGGGCAUUUGUGUGCGUGCCCGUGGUUUUCUUGCUCGAGUUGAGGUAGCCAGUUGUACCGUGUGUGCCCUUUAUUGGGGUUGUCGAGUUCGUACUUUUCGGCGGCCAGUAUCUUGGUCCACCUAUCCUCUAGCACGUCUUGGUCAGCUGUAAGCUGCUCUUGCUUCCUUUGCAGGCUCCUUGCGGUAGCCAUGAGCUGUCGCUUGAAGCGAACUUGUUCCAUUGGGUCUUCUAGUACGCCGAAUUCGUCAUUGCCAAGGCCUGGCUCAUCGUCGGAGGGGGGUGUGUGAUUGUCCCUCUCCAAGCAUCCCAUCAUCAUUGGUCCGGCCUGCUUAAGUGUAGGCUGACUAGGGUUGUAUUCCUCUUUGGCACCGUCCAGAGUGCUCUCGUUUCCGGGGCCGUUUUUGAUGUGGCGGGGCUUGGAGUGGUGCCGAUAAUGCACAUGUUUUGCUUUUCUCCCUGAGGGGUUAUCCUUCGUUGCCUCACCGCCACUGGUUUCCAUUGGGGUGUCCACCAUAUAUAUAUAUAUAUAUAUAUAUAUAUAUAUUGUAUGAGGAGGUGGCCGCCCACCACCCUGUACGCGGUGGUUCCUGUAGUCCUCUUGCAUCGUCGUCCAUACCGUCGAUGUUUUCGGAGUCAAAGUCAAGCACGUCGGUUAAAUCGUCAAUCGUGGCAAUGAAGUGGGUGGUGGGUGGGCAACGAAUUCCAUCAUCGUCUGCUUCCCACUCAAGCCGGACAUAGUUCGGCCCAGAGUCUCCUGACAAAGAGAGAGACUUCAAUAAGUUCAGCAUGUCGCCAAAGGGCAAGUGUUGAAAGACGUCCACCGCAGUGAACUCCAUCACCGGAGCCCAGCCAGGCUCGGCGGGCUCGGGGACGUGCGGACUGGAACCUGCAUCCGGAUAUGAAUCCGGGGGUCCGGAGUCACAGGCUCCCUUAGAGGUGAGACCUGUGUUCGGCUCCAUCGCUGAUGAGGGUAUGACCUGCGGGGCAGGGUCCAGCCCUCCGUCCUUAGGCGAAGCAACCUGUCCCGGAUUUAGAUCCGAGGCUUCUACCGGGGUGAUAUCCCGAGCAACGUCCGACAGCGGGUCUAAGCCGUGCUCAUCGUGACUGUUCGGCGCUUCUGGCGCUGGCCCGAAUACGUCAAAGAUCAAGUCUCCGCGGAUAUCCGCCGUGUAGUUCAGGUUUCUAAACUUGAUUUCAUGGCCGGGGGCAUACCUAUUGAUCUGCUCCAGGUGGCCAAGCGAGUUGGCCCGCAGCGCGAAGCCGCCGAACGCGAAGAUCUGUCCGGGGAGGAAAGUCUCACCCUGGACAGCGUCGUUGAUGACGAUUGAAGGAGCCAUCGAGCCUGACAGCGACGACACAGAGGAACUCUUAAUUAAAGCACCAAUGUCGGUGUCAAAACCGGCGGAUCUCGGGUAGGGGGUCCCGAUCUGUGCGUCAAGGCUGAUGGUAACAGGAAGCAAGGGACACAGAUGUUUACCCAGGUUCGGGCCCUCCCGAUGGAGGUAAAACCCUACUUCCUGCUUGAUUAAUAUUGAUGAUAUGGGUAGUACAAGAGUAGAUCUACCACAAGAUCAUAGAGGCUAAACCCUAGGAGCUAGCCUAUGAUUGUAUGAUUGUAAUUGUGAUCGUCCUUCUAAGGACCAACCUCUCCGGUUUAUAUAGACAUCGGAGAGGGCUAGGGUUUACAUGGAGUCGGUUACAAGGAAGGAAAUAUAAUAUCCGGAUCGCCAAGCUUGCCUUCCACGCCAAGGAAAGUCUCAUCCAGACACGGGCCGAAGGCUUGAGUCUUGUAUUUUCACGCUUCAAUAGUUUGGACGUUGUACACAGUCCGGCUAUCCGGAUACCCCCUAAUCCAGGACUCCCUCACCCUAGAAUUCGGUAAGCUGAAUUGGGGCGCUAUAUAUGCCUAAAUCGUACAAGGCCGAUUCCUCGCCUAAAGCGGAAAAAAUCUUUAAGAAUUUUAAGACAUCUCAAACAGCGACCAGCUCUCGUCGUAUCAUGCUGGUCAGUUUCCCACUUUCUCUACUGAGGUGCUCAUCUAGAAGAACCGGGACACAAUCGCAGUAGUUCUCCAUGCGCUACCUUAGCAAAGGAAAUAUGCCCUAGAGGCAAUAAUAAAGUUAUUAUUUAUUUCCUUAUAAUCAUGAUAAAUGUUUAUUAUUCAUGCUAGAAUUGUAUUUUCCGGAAACAUAAUACAUGUGUGAAUACAUAGACAAACAGAGUGUCACUAGUAUGCCUCUACUUGACUAGCUCGUUAAUCAAAGAUGGUUAUGUUUCCUAACCAUGAACAAUGAGUUGUUAUUUGAUUAACGAGGUCACAUCAUUAGUAGAAUGAUCUGAUUGACAUGACCCAUUCCAUUAGCUUAGCACCUGAUCGUUUAGUAUGUUGCUAUUGCUUUCUUCAUGACUUAUACAUGUUCCUACGACUAUGAGAUUAUGCAACUCCCGUUUACCGGAGGAACACUUUGGGUACUACCAAACGUCACAACGUAAAUGGGUGAUUAUAAAGGAGUACUACAGGUGUCUCCAAUGGUCGAUGUUGGGUUGGCGUAUUUCGAGAUUAGGAUUUGUCACUCCGAUUGUCGGAGACGUAUCUCUGGGCCCUCUCGGUAAUACACAUCACAUAAGCCUUGCAAGCAUUACAACUAAUAUGUUAGUUGUGAGAUGAUGUAUUAUGGAACGAGUAAAGAGACUUGCCGUUAACGAGAUUGAACUAGGUAUUGGAUACCGACGAUCGAAUCUCGGGCAAGUAACAUACCGAUGACAAAGGGAACAACGUAUGUUGUUAUGCGGUCUGACCGAUAAAGAUCUUCGUAGAAUAUGUAGGAGCCAAUAUGGGCAUCCAGGUCCCGCUAUUGGUUAUUGACCAGAGACAUGUCUCGGUCAUGUCUACAUUGUUCUCGAACCCGUAGGGUCCGCACGCUUAAGGUUACGAUGACAGUUAUAUUAUGAGUUUAUGCAUUUUGAUGUACCGAAGGUUGUUCGGAGUCCCGGAUGUGAUCACGGACAUGACGAGGAGUCUCGAAAUGGUCGAGACGUAAAGAUUGAUAUAUUGGAAGCCUAUGUUUGGACAUCGGAAGUGUUCCGGGUGAAAUCGGGAUUUUACCGGGUUACCGGGAGGUUACUGGAACCCCCCGGGAGCCAUAUGGGCCAUCAUGGGCCUUAGUGGAAAGGAGAAAGGGGCAGCCCAAGGUGGCUGCACCUCUUUCCCCUCCCCUAGUCCUAUUAGGACUAGGAGAAGGUGGCCGGCCCCCCUCUCUCCCUUCCCCUCCGAGGAAUCCUAGUUGGACUAGGAUUGGGGGGAGGAAUCCUACUCCCAGAGGGAGUAGGACUCUCCUGCGCCUCCCUCUUUGGCCGGCCAGCCUCCCCUCCUCUCCUCCUUUAUAUACGGAGGCAGGGGCACCUCUAAACACACAAGUUGACACAAGUUGAUCCACGUGAUCGAUUCCUUAGCCGUGUGCGGUGCCCCCUGCCACCAUAUUCCUCGAUAAUACUGUAGCGGAGUUUAGGCGAAGCCCUGCUGCUGUAGUUCAUCAAGAUCGUCACCACGCCGUCGUGCUGACGAAACUCUUCCCCGACACUUUGCUGGAUCGGAGUCCGGGGAUCGUCAUCGAGCUGAACGUGUGCUCGAACUCGGAGGUGCCGUAGUUUCGGUGCUUGAUCGGUUGGAUCGUGAAGACGUACGACUACUUCCUCUACGUCGUGUCAUCGCUUCCGCAGUCGGUCUGCGUUGGGUACGUAGACAACACUCUCCUCUCGUUGCUAUGCAUCACAUGAUCCUGUGUGCGCGUAGGAAAAUUUUUGAAAUUACUACGAAACCUAACAAGAACAUCCUAAAAUACCUGAAAAGGACUAAGGAUAUGUUUCUCGUAUAUGGAGGUGACAAAGAGCUCACCGUAAAAGGUUACGUUGAUGCAAGCUUUGACACUGAUCCGGACGAUUCUAAAUCGCAAACCGGAUACGUGUUUACAUUAAACGGUGGAGCUGUCAGUUGGUGCAGUUCUAAACAAAGCGUUGUAGCGGGAUCUACAUGUGAAGCGGAAUACAUAGCUGCUUCGGAAGCAGCAAAUGAAGGAGUCUGGAUGAAGGAGUUCAUAUCCGAUCUAGGUGUCAUACCUAGUGCAUCGGGUCCAAUGAAAAUCUUUUGUGACAAUACUGGUGCAAUUGCCUUGGCAAAGGAAUCCAGAUUUCACAAAAGGACCAAACACAUCAAGAGACGCUUCAACUCCAUCCGGGAUCUAGUCCAGGUGGGAGACAUAGAGAUUUGCAAGAUACAUACGGAUCUGAAUAUUGCAGACCCGUUGACUAAGACUCUUCCACGAGCAAAACAUGAUCAGCACCAAAGCUCCAUGGGUGUUAGAUUCAUUACAGUGUAAUCUAGAUUAUUGACUCUAGUGCAAGUGGGAGACUGAAGGAAAUAUGCCCUAGAGGCAAUAAUAAAGUUAUUAUUUAUUUCCUUAUAAUCAUGAUAAAUGUUUAUUAUUCAUGCUAGAAUUGUAUUUUCCGGAAACAUAAUACAUGUGUGAAUACAUAGACAAACAGAGUGUCACUAGUAUGCCUCUACUUGACUAGCUCGUUAAUCAAAGAUGGUUAUGUUUCCUAACCAUGAACAAUGAGUUGUUAUUUGAUUAACGAGGUCACAUCAUUAGUAGAAUGAUCUGAUUGACAUGACCCAUUCCAUUAGCUUAGCACCUGAUCAUUUAGUAUGUUGCUAUUGCUUUCUUCAUGACUUAUACAUGUUCCUACGACUAUGAGAUUAUGCAACUCCCGUUUACCGGAGGAACACUUUGGGUACUACCAAACGUCACAACGUAAAUGGGUGAUUAUAAAGGAGUACUACAGGUGUCUCCAAUGGUCGAUGUUGGGUUGGCGUAUUUCGAGAUUAGGAUUUGUCACUCCGAUUGUCGGAGAGGUAUCUCUGGGCCCUCUCGGUAAUACACAUCACAUAAGCCUUGCAAGCAUUACAACUAAUAUGUUAGUUGUGAGAUGAUGUAUUACGGAACGAGUAAAGAGACUUGCCGUUAACGAGAUUGAACUAGGUAUUGGAUACCGACGAUCGAAUCUCGGGCAAGUAACAUACCGAUGACAAAGGGAACAACGUAUGUUGUUAUGCGGUCUGACCGAUAAAGAUCUUCGUAGAAUAUGUAGGAGCCAAUAUGGGCAUCCAGGUCCCGCUAUUGGUUAUUGACCAGAGACAUGUCUCGGUCAUGUCUACAUUGUUCUCGAACCCCUAGGGUCCGCACGCUUAAGGUUACGAUGACAGUUAUAUUAUGAGUUUAUGCAUUUUGAUGUACCGAAGGUUGUUCGGAGUCCCGGAUGUGAUCACGGACAUGACGAGGAGUCUCGAAAUGGUCGAGACGUAAAGAUUGAUAUAUUGGAAGCCUAUGUUUGGACAUCGGAAGUGUUCCGGGUGAAAUCGGGAUUUUACCGGGUUACCGGGAGGUUACCGGAACCCCCCGGGAGCCAUAUGGGCCAUCAUGGGCCUUAGUGGAAAGGAGAAAGGGGCAGCCCAAGGUGGCUGCGCCUCUUUCCCCUCCCCUAGUCCUAUUAGGACUAGGAGAAGGUGGCCGGCCCCCCUCUCUCCCUUCCCCUCCGAGGAAUCCUAGUUGGACUAGGAUUGGGGGGAGGAAUCCUACUCCCAGAGGGAGUAGGACUCUCCUGCGCCUCCCUCUUUGGCCGGCGAGCCUCCCCUCCUCUCCUCCUUUAUAUACGGAGGCAGGGGCACCUCUAAACACACAAGUUGACACAAGUUGAUCCACGUGAUCGAUUCCUUAGCCGUGUGCGGUGCCCCCUGCCACCAUAUUCCUCGAUAAUACUGUAGCGGAGUUUAGGCGAAGCCCUGCUGCUGUAGUUCAUCAAGAUCGUCACCACGCCGUCGUGCUGACGAAACUCUUCCCCGACACUUUGCUGGAUCGGAGUCCGGGGAUCGUCAUCGAGCUGAACGUGUGCUCGAACUCGGAGGUGCCGUAGUUUCGGUGCUUGAUCGGUUGGAUCGUGAAGACGUACGACUACUUCCUCUACGUCGUGUCAUCGCUUCCGCAGUCGGUCUGCGUUGGGUACGUAGACAACACUCUCCUCUCGUUGCUAUGCAUCACAUGAUCCUGUGUGCGCGUAGGAAAAUUUUUGAAAUUACUACGAAACCUAACAAGAACAUCCUAAAAUACCUGAAAAGGACUAAGGAUAUGUUUCUCGUAUAUGGAGGUGACAAAGAGCUCACCGUAAAAGGUUACGUUGAUGCAAGCUUUGACACUGAUCCGGACGAUUCUAAAUCGCAAACCGGAUACGUGUUUACAUUAAACGGUGGAGCUGUCAGUUGGUGCAGUUCUAAACAAAGCGUUGUAGCGGGAUCUACAUGUGAAGCGGAAUACAUAGCUGCUUCGGAAGCAGCAAAUGAAGGAGUCUGGAUGAAGGAGUUCAUAUCCGAUCUAGGUGUCAUACCUAGUGCAUCGGGUCCAAUGAAAAUCUUUUGUGACAAUACUGGUGCAAUUGCCUUGGCAAAGGAAUCCAGAUUUCACAAAAGGACCAAACACAUCAAGAGACGCUUCAACUCCAUCCGGGAUCUAGUCCAGGUGGGAGACAUAGAGAUUUGCAAGAUACAUACGGAUCUGAAUAUUGCAGACCCGUUGACUAAGCCUCUUCCACGAGCAAAACAUGAUCAGCACCAAAGCUCCAUGGGUGUUAGAUUCAUUACAGUGUAAUCUAGAUUAUUGACUCUAGUGCAAGUGGGAGACUGAAGGAAAUAUGCCCUAGAGGCAAUAAUAAAGUUAUUAUUAUUUCCUUAUAAUCAUGAUAAAUGUUUAUUAUUCAUGCUAGAAUUGUAUUUUCCGGAAACAUAAUACAUGUGUGAAUACAUAGACAAACAGAGUGUCACUAGUAUGCCUCUACUUGACUAGCUCGUUAAUCAAAGAUGGUUAUGUUUCCUAACCAUGAACAAUGAGUUGUUAUUUGAUUAACGAGGUCACAUCAUUAGUAGAAUGAUCUGAUUGACAUGACCCAUUCCAUUAGCUUAGCACCUGAUCGUUUAGUAUGUUGCUAUUGCUUUCUUCAUGACUUAUACAUGUUCCUACGACUAUGAGAUUAUGCAACUCCCGUUUACCGGAGGAACACUUUGGGUACUACCAAACGUCACAACGUAAAUGGGUGAUUAUAAAGGAGUACUACAGGUGUCUCCAAUGGUCGAUGUUGGGUUGGCGUAUUUCGAGAUUAGGAUUUGUCACUCCGAUUGUCGGAGACGUAUCUCUGGGCCCUCUCGGUAAUACACAUCACAUAAGCCUUGCAAGCAUUACAACUAAUAUGUUAGUUGUGAGAUGAUGUAUUAUGGAACGAGUAAAGAGACUUGCCGUUAACGAGAUUGAACUAGGUAUUGGAUACCGACGAUCGAAUCUCGGGCAAGUAACAUACCGAUGACAAAGGGAACAACGUAUGUUGUUAUGCGGUCUGACCGAUAAAGAUCUUCGUAGAAUAUGUAGGAGCCAAUAUGGGCAUCCAGGUCCCGCUAUUGGUUAUUGACCAGAGACAUGUCUCGGUCAUGUCUACAUUGUUCUCGAACCCGUAGGGUCCGCACGCUUAAGGUUACGAUGACAGUUAUAUUAUGAGUUUAUGCAUUUUGAUGUACCGAAGGUUGUUCGGAGUCCCGGAUGUGAUCACGGACAUGACGAGGAGUCUCGAAAUGGUCGAGACGUAAAGAUUGAUAUAUUGGAAGCCUAUGUUUGGACAUCGGAAGUGUUCCGGGUGAAAUCGGGAUUUUACCGGGUUACCGGGAGGUUACUGGAACCCCCCGGGAGCCAUAUGGGCCAUCAUGGGCCUUAGUGGAAAGGAGAAAGGGGCAGCCCAAGGUGGCUGCACCUCUUUCCCCUCCCCUAGUCCUAUUAGGACUAGGAGAAGGUGGCCGGCCCCCCUCUCUCCCUUCCCCUCCGAGGAAUCCUAGUUGGACUAGGAUUGGGGGGAGGAAUCCUACUCCCAGAGGGAGUAGGACUCUCCUGCGCCUCCCUCUUUGGCCGGCCAGCCUCCCCUCCUCUCCUCCUUUAUAUACGGAGGCAGGGGCACCUCUAAACACACAAGUUGACACAAGUUGAUCCACGUGAUCGAUUCCUUAGCCGUGUGCGGUGCCCCCUGCCACCAUAUUCCUCGAUAAUACUGUAGCGGAGUUUAGGCGAAGCCCUGCUGCUGUAGUUCAUCAAGAUCGUCACCACGCCGUCGUGCUGACGAAACUCUUCCCGACACUUUGCUGGAUCGGAGUCCGGGGAUCGUCAUCGAGCUGAACGUGUGCUCGAACUCGGAGGUGCCGUAGUUUCGGUGCUUGAUCGGUUGGAUCGUGAAGACGUACGACUACUUCCUCUACGUCGUGUCAUCGCUUCCGCAGUCGGUCUGCGUUGGGUACGUAGACAACACUCUCCUCUCGUUGCUAUGCAUCACAUGAUCCUGUGUGCGCGUAGGAAAUUUUUUGAAAUUACUACGAAACCCAACAGUGGCAUCCGAGCCUGGUUAUUGAUGUUGAUGUUAUAUGCACGAGUAGAACACAAGUGAGUUGUGGACGAUACAAGUCAUACUGCCUACCAGCAUGUCAUAUUUUGGUUCGGAGGUAUUGUUGGACGAGACGACCCAGACCAACCUUACGCGUACGCUUACGCGAGACCGGUUCCCUCGACGUGCUUUGCACAGAGAUGGCUUGCGGGCGACUGUCUCUCCAACUUUAGUUGAACCAAGUAUGGCUACGCCCGGUCCUUGCGAAGGUUAAAACGGAGUCUAUUUGACAAACUAUCGUUGUGGUUUUGAUGCGUAGGUGAGAUUGGUUCUUACUUAAGCCCGUAGCAGCCACGUAAAAAAUGCAACAACAAAGUAGAGGACGUCUAACUUGUUUUUGCAGGGCAUGUUGUGAUGUGAUAUGGUCAAGGCAUGAUGCUGAAUUUUAUUGUAUGAGAUGAUCAUGUUUUGUAACCAAGUUAUCGGCAACUGGCAGGAGCCAUAUGGUUGUCGCUUUAUUGUAUGCAAUGCAAUCGCGAUGUAAUGCUUAACUUUAUUACUAAACGGUAGUGAUAGUCGUGGAAGCAUAAGAUUGGCGAGACGACAACGAUGCUACGAUGGAGAUCAAGGUGUCGCGCCGGUGACGAUGGUGAUCAUGACGGUGCUUCGGAGAUGGAGAUCACAAGCACGAGAUGAUGAUGGCCAUAUCAUAUCACUUAUAUUGAUUGCAUGUGAUGUUUAUCUUUUUAUGCAUCUUAUCUUGCUUUGAUUGACGGUAGCAUUAUAAGAUGAUCUCUCACUCAAUUAUCAAGAAGUGUUCUCCCUGAGUAUGCACCGUUGCCAAAGUUCGUCGUGCCCAGACACCACGUGAUGAUCGGGUGUGAUAAGCUCUACGUCCAUCUACAACGGGUGCAAGCCAGUUUUUGCACACGCAGAAUACUCAGGUUAAACUUGACGAGCCUAGCAUAUGCAGAUAUGGCCUCGGAACACGGAGACCGAAAGGUCGAGCGUGAAUCAUAUAGUAGAUAUGAUCAACAUAAACGAUGUUCACCAUUGAAAACUACUCCAUCUCACGUGAUGAUCGGUUAUGGUUUAGUUGAUUUGGAUCACGUGAUCACUUAGAGGAUUAGAGGGAUGUCUAUCUAAGUGGGAGUUCUUAAAUAAUAUGAUUAAUUGAACUUAAAUUUAUCAUGAACUUAGUACCUGAUAGUAUCUUGCUUGUUUAUGUUGAUUGUAGAUAGAUGGCUCGUGCUGUUGUUCCGUUGAAUUUUAAUGCGUUCCUUGAGAGAGCAAAGCUGAUGACUACUCGAUAGUUCAGUGUGCCAUGCUUUACGGCUUAGAAUCGGGACUUCAACGACGUUUUGAACGUCAUGGAGCAUAUGAGAUGUUCCAGGAGUUGAAGUUAAUAUUUCAAGCAAAUGCCCGGAUUGAGAGAUAUGAAGUCUCCAAUAAGUUCUAUAGCUGCAAGAUGGAGGAGAACAGUUCUGUCAGUGAGCAUAUACUCAAAAUGUCUGGGUAUAAUAAUCACUUGAUUCAAUUGGGAGUUAAUCUUCCGGAUGAUUGCGUCAUUGACAGAAUUCUCCAAUCACUGCCACCAAGCUACAAGAGCUUCGUGAUGAACUAUAAUAUGCAAGGGAUGAACAAGACUAUUCCCGAGCUCUUCGCAAUGCUAAAAGCUGCGGAGGUAGAAAUCAAGAAGGAGCAUCAAGUGUUGAUGGUUAACAAGACCACUAGUUUCAAGAAAAAGGGCAAAGGAAAGAAAAAGGGGAACUUCAAAAAGAACGGCAAGCAAGUUGCUGCUCAAGAGAAGAAACCCAAGUCUGGACCUAAGCCUGAAACUGAGUGUUUCUACUGCAAGCAGACUGGUCACUGGAAGCGGAACUGCCCCAAGUAUUUGGCGGAUAAGAAGGAUGGCAAGGUGAACAAAGGUAUAUGUGAUAUACAUGUUAUUGAUGUGUACCUUACUAGAGCUCGCAGUAGCACCUGGGUAUUUGAUACUGGUUCUGUUGCUAAUAUUUGCAACUCGAAACAGGGACUACAGAAUAAGCGGGCACUAGCAAAGGACGAGGUGACGAUGCGCGUGGGAAACGGUUCCAAAGUCGAUGUGAUCGCGGUCGGCACGCUACCUCUACAUCUACCUUCGGGAUUAAUAUUAGACCUAAAUAAUUGUUAUUUGGUGCCAGCGUUGAGCAUGAACAUUAUAUCUGGAUCUUGUUUAAUGCGAGACGGUUAUUCAUUUAAAUCAGAGAAUAAUGGUUGUUCUAUUUAUAUGAGUAAUAUCUUUUAUGGUCAUGCACCCUUGAAGAGUGGUCUAUUCUUACUAAAUCUCGAUAGUAGUAAUACACAUAUUCAUAAUGUUGAAACCAAAAGAUACAGAGUUGAUAAUGAAAGUGCAACUUAUUUGUGGCACUGUCGUUUAGGUCAUAUCGGUGUAAAACGCAUGAAGAAACUCCAUACUAAUGGACUUUUGGAACCACUUGAUUAUGAAUCACUUGGUACUUGCAAACCGUGCCUCAUGGGCAAGAUGACUAAAACACCGUUCUCCGGUACUAUGGAGAGAGCAACAGAUUUGUUGGAAAUCAUACAUACCGAUGUAUGUGGUCCGAUGAAUAUUGAGGCUCGUGGCGGAUAUCGUUAUUUUCUCACCUUCACAGAUGAUUUGAGCAGAUAUGGAUAUAUCUACUUAAUGAAGCAUAAGUCUGAAACAUUUGAAAAGUUCAAAGAAUUUCAGAGUGAAGUUGAAAAUCAUCGUAACAAGAAAAUAAAGUUUCUACGAUCUGAUCGUGGAGGAGAAUAUUUGAGUUACGAGUUUGGUGUACAUUUGAAAAACUGUGGAAUAGUUUUGCAACUCACGCCCCCCGGAACACCACAGCGUAAUGGUGUGUCCGAACGUCGUAAUCGUACUUUACUAGAUAUGGUGCGAUCUAUGAUGUCUCUUACAGAUUUACCGCUAUCAUUUUGGGGAUAUGCUUUAGAGACGGCCGCAUUCACGUUAAAUAGGGCACCAUCAAAAUCCGUUGAGACGACGCCUUAUGAACUAUGGUUUGGCAAGAAACCAAAGUUGUCGUUUCUUAAAGUUUGGGGCUGCGAUGCUUAUGUGAAAAAGCUUCAACCUGAUAAGCUCGAACCCAAAUCGGAGAAAUGUGUAUUCAUAGGAUACCCAAAGGAAACUGUUGGGUACACCUUCUAUCACAGAUCCGAAGGCAAAACAUUUGUUGCUAAGAAUGGAUCAUUUCUAGAGAAGGAGUUUCUCUCGAAAGAAGUGAGUGGGAGGAAAGUAGAACUUGACGAGGUAACUGUACCUGCUCCCUUAUUGGAAAGUAGUUCAUCACAGAAAACUGUUUCAGUGACACCUACACCAGUUAGUGAGGAAGCCAAUGAUAAUGAUCAUGAAACUUCAGAUCAAGAUACUACUGAACUUCGUAGAUCAACCAGAGUAAGAUCCGCACCAGAGUGGUACGGUAAUCCUGUUCUGGAGGUCAUGCUACUAGAUCAUGAUGAACCUACGAACUAUGAAGAAGCGAUGGUGAGCCCAGAUUCCGCAAAGUGGCUAGAAGCCAUGAAAUCUGAGAUGGGAUCCAUGUAUGAGAACAAAGUAUGGACUUUGGUUGACUUGCCCGAUGAUCGGCAAGCGAUUGAGAAUAAAUGGAUCUUUAAGAAGAAGACUGACGCUGAUGGUAAUGUUACUGUCUACAAAGCUCGACUUGUCGCAAAAGGUUUUCGGCAAGUUCAAGGAAUUGACUACGAUGAGACCUUCUCACCCGUAGCGAUGCUUAAGUCCGUCCGAAUCAUGUUAGCAAUUGCUGCAUUUUAUGAUUAUGAAAUUUGGCAAAUGGAUGUCAAAACUGCAUUCCUGAAUGGAUUCCUGGAAGAAGAGUUGUAUAUGAUGCAACCAGAAGGUUUUGUCGAUCCAAAGGGAGCUAACAAAGUGUGCAAGCUCCAGCGAUCCAUUUAUGGACUGGUGCAAGCCUCUCGGAGUUGGAAUAAACGUUUUGAUAGUGUGAUCAAAGCAUUUGGUUUUAUACAGACUUUUGGAGAAGCCUGUAUUUACAAGAAAGUGAGUGGGAGCUCUGUAGCAUUUCUGAUAUUAUAUGUGGAUGACAUAUUACUGAUUGGAAAUGAUAUAGAAUUUCUGGAUAGCAUAAAGGGAUACUUGAAUAAAAGUUUUUCAAUGAAAGACCUCGGUGAAGCUGCUUACAUAUUAGGCAUUAAGAUCUAUAGAGACAGAUCAAGACGCUUAAUUGGACUUUCACAAAGCACAUACCUUGAAUUAAUUUUGAAGAAAUUCAAAAUGGAUCAAGCAAAGAAAGGGUUCUUGCCUGUGUUACAAGGUGUGAAAUUGAGUAAGACUCAAUGCCCGACCACUGCAGAAGAUAGAGAGAAUAUGAAAGAUGUUCCCUAUGCAUCAGCCAUAGGCUCUAUCAUGUAUGCAAUGCUAUGUACCAGACCUGAUGUGUGCCUUGCUAUAAGUUUAGCAGGGAGGUACCAAAGUAAUCCAGGAAUGGAUCACUGGACAGCGGUCAAGAACAUCCUGAAAUACCUGAAAAGGACUAAGGAUAUGUUUCUCGUAUAUGGAAGUGACAAAGAGCUCAUCGUAAAAGGUUACGUUGAUGCAAGCUUUGACACUGAUCCGGACGAUUCUAAAUCGCAAACCGGAUACGUGUUUACAUUAAACGGUGGAGCUGUCAGUUGGUGCAGUUCUAAACAAAGCGUCGUAGCAGGAUCUACAUGUGAAGCGGAAUACAUAGCUGCUUCGGAAGCAGCAAAUGAAGGAGUCUGGAUGAAGGAGUUCAUAUCCGAUCUAGGUGUCAUACCUAGUGCAUCGGGUCCAAUGAAAAUCUUUUGUGACAAUACUGGUGCAAUUGCCUUGGCAAAGGAAUCCAGAUUUCACAAAAGGACCAAACACAUCAAGAGACGCUUCAACUCCAUCCGGGAUCUAGUCCAGGUGGGAGACAUAGAGAUUUGCAAGAUACAUACGGAUCUGAAUGUUGCAGACCCGUUGACUAAGCCUCUUCCACGAGCAAAACAUGAUCAGCACCAAGGCUCAAUGGGUGUUAGAAUCAUUACAGUGUAAUCUAGAUUAUUGACUCUAGUGCAAGUGGGAGACUGAAGGAAAUAUGCCCUAGAGGCAAUAAUAAAGUUAUUAUUUAUUUCCUUAUAAUCAUGAUAAAUGUUUAUUAUUCAUGCUAGAAUUGUAUUAACCGGAAACAUAAUACAUGUGUGAAUACAUAGACAAACAGAGUGUCACUAGUAUGCCUCUACUUGACUAGCUCGUUAAUCAAAGAUGGUUAUGUUUCCUAACCAUGAACAAUGAGUUGUUAUUUGAUUAACGAGGUCACAUCAUUAGUAGAAUGAUCUGAUUGACAUGACCCAUUCCAUUAGCUUAGCACCUGAUCGUUUAGUAUGUUGCUAUUGCUUUCUUCAUGACUUAUACAUGUUCCUACGACUAUGAGAUUAUGCAACUCCCGUUUACCGGAGGAACACUUUGGGUACUACCAAACGUCACAACGUAAAUGGGUGAUUAUAAAGGAGUACUACAGGUGUCUCCAAUGGUCGAUGUUGGGUUGGCGUAUUUCGAGAUUAGGAUUUGUCACUCCGAUUGUCGGAGACGUAUCUCUGGGCCCUCUCGGUAAUACACAUCACAUAAGCCUUGCAAGCAUUACAACUAAUAUGUUAGUUGUGAGAUGAUGUAUUAUGGAACGAGUAAAGAGACUUGCCGUUAACGAGAUUGAACUAGGUAUUGGAUACCGACGAUCGAAUCUCGGGCAAGUAACAUACCGAUGACAAAGGGAACAACGUAUGUUGUUAUGCGGUCUGACCGAUAAAGAUCUUCGUAGAAUAUGUAGGAGCCAAUAUGGGCAUCCAGGUCCCGCUAUUGGUUAUUGACCAGAGACAUGUCUCGGUCAUGUCUACAUUGUUCUCGAACCCGUAGGGUCCGCACGCUUAAGGUUACGAUGACAGUUAUAUUAUGAGUUUAUGCAUUUUGAUGUACCGAAGGUUGUUCGGAGUCCCGGAUGUGAUCACGGACAUGACGAGGAGUCUCGAAAUGGUCGAGACGUAAAGAUUGAUAUAUUGGAAGCCUAUGUUUCGACAUCGGAAGUGUUCCGGGUGAAAUCGGGAUUUUACCGGGUUACCGGGAGGUUACCGGAACCCCCCGGGAGCCAUAUGGGCCAUCAUGGGCCUUAGUGGAAAGGAGAAAGGGGCAGCCCAAGGUGGCUGCGCCUCUUUCCCCUCCCCUAGUCCUAUUAGGACUAGGAGAAGGUGGCCGGCCCCCCUCUCUCCCUUCCCCUUCGAGGAAUCCUAGUUGGACUAGGAUUGGGGGGAGGAAUCCUACUCCCAGAGGGAGUAGGACUCUCCUGCGCCUCCCGCUUUGGCCGGCCAGCCUCCCCUCCUCUCCUCCUUUAUAUACGGAGGCAGGGGCACCUCUAAACACACAAGUUGACACAAGUUGAUCCACGUGAUCGAUUCCUUAGCCGUGUGCGGUGCCCCCUGCCACCAUAUUCCUCGAUAAUACUGUAGCGGAGUUUAGGCGAAGCCCUGCUGCUGUAGUUCAUCAAGAUCGUCACCACGCCGUCGUGCUGACGAAACUCUUCCCCGACACUUUGCUGGAUCGGAGUCCGGGGAUCGUCAUCGAGCUGAACGUGUGCUCGAACUCGGAGGUGCCGUAGUUUCGGUGCUUGAUCGGUUGGAUCGUGAAGACGUACGACUACUUCCUCUAUGUCGUGUCAUUGCUUCCGCAGUCGGUCUGCAUUGGGUACGUAGACAACACUCUCCUCUCGUUGCUAUGCAUCACAUGAUCCUGUGUGCGCGUAGGAAAAUUUUGAAAUUACUACGAAACCCAACAUGAUCCUCGAACGGUCGAUGCCCAUUUUGUGCACUGUGUCCUGAAAAUGUAGGUUCAGGAUGUUGCCGCCAUCCAUAAGGACUCGCGUAAGGUGGAAUCCGUCGAUGAUUGGGUCUAGGACCAAUGCGGCUGAAGCACCGUGACGGAUGCUGGUAGGGUGAUCCCUACAAUCAAAGGUGAUCGGACAGGCUGACCAUGGGUUAAAUUUUGGGGCGACUGGCUCCAUCGCAUAGACGUCCCGUAGUGCUCGCUUCCGUUCCCGUUUGGGAAUGUGGGUGGCGUAGAUCAUGUUGACCGUUUUCACCUGGGGAGGGAAUUUCUUCUGUCCCCCCGUGUUCGGACACCGGGGCUCCUCGUCAUCGUUGCUGUGCAGCCCCUUGUCCUUGUUUUCGUCGUUUAUUUUUCCGGCCUGUUUGAACACCCAGCUGUCUCUAUUAGUGUGGUUUGCUGGCUUAUCCGGGGUGCCAUGAAUAUGGCACAAGCGAUCAAGUAUGCGGUCCAGACUGGACGGUCCUUGAUUGUUUCUUUUGAACGGCUUUUUCCGCUGACCGGAUUUCGAGCCACUGAAUCCGGCGUUGACUGCCGUGUCUUUAGUGUUGUCACUGUUGUUCCGUCGCUUAUGUCUAUUGCGCCGUGGCUUGCCGUUACUGUCGCGACCGUCUGGAGUGCCAGAGUUCAUUGGUGUGGUGCUACUACGAGCCAGCUAGCUGUCCUCGCCCGCGCAAAAGCGGGUCGUGAGUGUCGUGAGGGCCGCCAUGGAUUUUGGCUUUUCCUGGCCGAGGUGUCGGGCGAGCCACUCGUCAUGGAUAUUAUGCUUGAAGGCCGCCAGGGGUUCGGCGUCCGGACAGUCGACUAUUUGGUUGUUUUUGGUUAGGAACCAAGUCCAGAAUUUCAUGGCUGACUCUCCGGGCUGUUGGGUAAUGUGGCUAAAGUCAUCGGCAUUUGGUGGUCGCACAUACGUGCCCUGGAAGUUGUCGAGGAAUGCGUCCUCCAGGUUUUCCCUACUGCCAAUGGAAUUUGCCGGCAGGCUAUUUAGCUAGUGCCUUGUCGGUCCUUUGAGUUUAAGGGGAAGGUACUUGAUGGCGUGUAGAUCAUCACCACGGGCCAUGUGAAUGUGGAGAAGGAAGUCCUCGAUCCAUACUGCGGGGUCUGUUGUGCCAUCGUAUGAUUCGAUGUUUACGGGUUUAAACCCUUCUGGGAAUUCAUGAUCCAUCACUUUGUCAGUGAAGCAGAGGGGGUGAGCGGUGCCUCUGUGCCAGGCUAUGUGGCUACGCAGCUCGACUCAGUACGGUUGGCUGUAUUCGGCCGGGCCGGACUUGCCGGUGGUGUAUCCGGCGUAACGAUCAUCAUUACGUGUUGGGGUGCGCCCCCGCGAUCCGUAGAUCGAUCUUGGAUGUCCUGCCUUGUUUUCCAGUAUAUCUUGCAGGUCCUGCCUAUUGCCCCGAGCCGUAGUGUAUUGGCGUGGGGGUACGGGCUGGUAUGCCAUUUUGUCCCGGCCACGAGGUGGCCGGUCAGCCGUCUGGCACUUGGGUCUGUAGUCCUCAGCUGCCAGGACUUCAGUCCAUCUGUCUAUGAGCAGGUCUUGGUCAGCUUGAAGCUGCUGCUGCUUCUUUUUCAGGCUUCUCGCAGUGGCCAUAAGUCGGCGCUUGAAGCGCUCCUACUCCACGGGGUCCUCAGGCACGCCGAACUCAUCGUCGCCGAGGCUAAUCUCAUCUUCGGAGGAGGGCAUGUAGUUGUCCUCCUCCGAAUAUCCGUUCGUCGGCUGUUCAUCUGGGUUGUCCUGCCCAACUUCCUGUUCGGCCUGCUUGAAGGCAGGCUGAUCGCGGUUGUAUUCAUCUUCGGCACCAUCCGGACCGUUUUCGUCACCUGUGCUGGUAUUGCUGUGGCGGGGCUUGGAGCGGCGCCGAUGACGCCCAUGCUUUGUUUUCUUCCUUGAGGGGUUAUCCUCCAUUGCCUCAUCACCAUUGGUUUCUUUUGGAGUGUCCACCAUAUUUAUAUCAUAUGAGGAAGUGGCUGUCCACCGCCCCGUGGGCGGUGGUUCCUGUUCUUCUCCUGCAUCGUCGUUCACACCGUCAAUGUCUUCAGAGUCGAAGUCAAGCACGUCGGUUAAAUCAUCGACCAAGGCAAUGAAGUGGGUGGUGGGUGGGCAACGAAUUCCUUCGUCGCCUGCUUCUCACUCGAGCCGGACAUAGUUCGGCCAAGAGUCUCCUAACAAAGAGAGAGACUUUAACGAGUUCAGCACGUCGCCAAAGGGCGAGUGCUGGAAGAUAUCCGCAGCGGUGAACUCCAUUACCGGUGCCCAACCAGAUUCGGCGGGCUCGGGAGUGCGCGGACUGGAAGCUACAGCCGGAUACGAGUCCGGGGGUCCGGUGUCAUAAGCUUCCUUGGGGGUGACGCCUGUGUUCGGCUCUACCGCCGAUGAGUGUGCGGCUUCCGGGGCGGGGUCCAUCCACCCGUCCUUGGGUGACGCAAUCUGCUCCGGAUUUAGGUUCGGAGCUCCAGCAGGGGCGAUAUCCCGAGCAUAGUCCGACAGUAUGUCUAAGUCGUGCUCAUCGUGACUGUCCGGUGCUCCUGGCGCAGGCCCGAAUCCGUUGAAUAUCAAGUCUCCGCGGAUAUCGGUUGUGUAGUUCAAGUUUCCGAACCUGACCUGAUGACCAGGGGCGUAGCUGUCGAUCUGCUCCAGACGGCCAAGCGAAUUGGCCCGCAGUGCGAAGCCACCGAACACGAAGAUCUGUCCAGGGAGAAAAGUCUUCCCCUGGACCAUGUUGUUGGUGAUGAUUGAAGCAACCAUCAAGCCUUGCAGCGGAGACACAGAGGAACUCUCAAUGAAAGCACCAAUGUCAGUGUCAAAACCGGCAGAUCUCGGGUAGGGGGUCCCGAUCUGUGUGUCUAAGGCUGAUGGUAACAGGAGGCAAGGGACACAAUGUUUACCCAGGUUCGGGCCCUCUCGAUGGAGGUAAAACCCUAGUUCCUGCUUGAUUGAUAUUGAUGAUAUGAGUAGUACAAGAGUUGAUCUACCACGAGAUCGUAGAGGCUAAACCCUAGAAGCUAGCCUAUGAUGAUUAUGAUUCUGUCUCUAAGGACUAAACUCUCCGGUUUAUAUAGACAUCAGAGAGGGCUAGGGUUUACAUGGAGUCGGUUACAAAGAAGGAAAUAUAAUAUGCGGAUCGCCAAGCUUGUCUUCCACGCAAAGGAGAGUCCCAUCCGGACACGGGACGGAGUCUUGAGUCUUGUACCUUCACGCUCAAAUAGUCCCGACAAAGUAUAUAGUCCGGCUGUCCGGAUACCCCCUAAUCCAGGACUCCCUCAGAUGCCCCGCGGGUUCGGACCAACAACGAUGUCGUCGUCGCGUCACUCCACCAACCGCGUUGUGUCAUCACCCAGGCCUUUAUUCCUUUAAACAAUAUGUUUGCAAAAAUUAAUUACGCAAAGAUGUUUAUCAUUAUUAAUAUUUCUUCUGGCCUGUGCAAUUUACACAUGGGCAGGAAAUCUACUUUGUGUGCACCACCUUGGCGAGCAUCGCUGCCGCAUCGUCUAUUUUGUUUGUUGUCAAAUCAGAGAAGAAAAUAAAGAUGAUGACGCCCGCCGUCAGGCGGUACAUCGGAUCCGGACUCUGCUGCGGCGACGCGCAGCACACCCAACUCAUGGAAACAUUCUACCCCGCGCGUCUUGGCAAUUCUUGGAGAAGCGAGCGAUCCAGCCGAGGGGACCAGGCAUGUGCAACUUUGCGCUGACGAACAUUAAGCCCGAUAGCAGCACACAUCAGGGAGACUUCGUUCUUUUCCUUUUUCAUAUUUGGCAUCUAGUCGGCCCCUGGUUCUCUGCUACUUUCUACUAAAAAGACAUCAGGAAAUCUACUUCUUCUGCUUCACUUCGGCAAACCAACGUCAUCGUCCCAAUCGGCUUGUGUGAUCACCUUGUUGGUUGAAUUGCUAUACCAACAUGUUAGGUCGCCUCGGGGACUUCGGCAUCGCUGAGAGAGCUCUACCUCAACGAGUGUUUAGCACAAGGGCCAUAUUUCUCUUAUUACUCAUUUUGCGUAAAUUAUUUAUUAUGCUAUGAUUUUUUACUAUUAAUUCUGGCUUGCACUAUUUUCUGUGCACAGAUAAAUGGUCCGGGUUAGGCAGCGCUGUCACCUCAGCAUAUCGACGUACCACAUCACCUCGGCUGGACCGGGGCUUCACCUCUUCGGAGUGUCGAGCUCUUCGCUCGGCCACAUUGGGCUUGGGGGCUGAGACCUUGUCCCGCACCAAGCUCGGACUGCAUCAUCAAUGCCAAACACAUUAACCAGCUAAGUCGCUUUCAUGCUCAAAAACUCCCAGUUUUAAAUUUUGUUCGGUUCGACCAAGCAUUAUAAUUUUCUGGCAAAAUGUUGCUUGCGAAAAACUUCCUUGUCAAAACUUUGUUUGUGACACACAAAUUCAAAUACCCCAUUUAACCGGGGGCUUCCUUUAUGAAGCCUUUCCUCUUGCAUAUGAUUAUACUUGUACAGCUUCGUUCCUUGUUCGUGUAUUAUGCCACAAUAUGCACCAUGUUGACUUAAGCGACUUGCAAGCUGGGUUGCCUUGCUCCUGUGUUUACCCCUACAUUCCCGAUUGUUUGGCUAGGGAGUAAAGGGAGUACCUCUGCGAUUGUCACAAUCGGGUCAUCCGAGCUCGGACCUCAGACUGGGUGAAGCCGAAAGCUAGCGCUCUUAUUGUUUCCAACAAUGGUCGGCACACAACAGAACUUAUGAGUACAAAAAAUCUAUUGCACAAGUCUCAUAAGUAACAAUGAGCAACCGAAGAAAGGUAUCAGUGGAGGUACUAUUUUCUUCGAAGAUGCUUCUUACACUUUGUCAGUAAUAUAGCAUAAGUUCCCUGAGCGCGCUUUGUCUGUUACAGCCUUAUGGCCUGAUUGCCUGGUUAUCGGAAACACCGUCGAUAUUCUCGACAGGUGGAGUACAUAACACUUUUCGGCCCUUGGCCGAAGAGGGAGAAGCCGACGGUUGGUUAAGACGCGUUUAAAGUUUGGGUGAACGCAUAUAUGAUGCAAGCACUUCGGUACAUGCAAUCAUUAUACAUAAAAUUCUUUUACCCAAGUCACUCGGGGGCUCUUAUGUGAGCUGUUUUAUAAUAAGUGUUCUUCUUCAUAGUCGUUGCAAAAUCUUUUUUCUAUCACCCCUUUUUUCGACGCGAGUGUGUGGUCAAUAGCCAGGGAGCCUAGUUUCUCUCUCAAAGCCGCUAAAGUUUGCUAAACUAGCCUAACAGGAAGUACUCCGCCUUCGGGAUAGGAGGUUGAAGCCGUAGGAUGACCCGCUUGAAGUCUUGAGAUAGGAUGUGUCAUGUUAAAGCACGACAUAAUCACAAUUUUUUUCUAAGACCAAUUUUCUGAUUGGCACCGAACAAUUCUAGUUCGGACGUCGAGUUUUUCUUGACGUUUUUUUGGUUUUCCAAUCCUAUGGCACUUUUCAACUAUUUAUGUGUUUUCCGCAUAAGUCUCGAGUGCAACGCCGGAAACCUUUAGAGAUUCGGCAAAAAUUCUCGGAUAUUGCUAUAUAUGCAUCAGUUUCGAAUUGUGUUUUCGGUGAAUAGUUGGGUUGCCCGGCUCCUGUGCUUGCCUCCUAUGUUCCGCUUUGUUCGACUAGGUGUGCAAAGGGAGAACCACUGCGAUUGUGAUUCCAUCUCGCAUGGUUAAGCACCGCAGUGGAGAAAGCCGAAAACUAACUUUCACAAUAAGCGUAAACUGGUCAGUGGUCUGAUGACUAUAUUAAAUCACGGGUCGUUCAUAACAUUGGCUGAAGUGUUUACGGCUUGACCUCAGCUGUCGCCGAACACUAACCAGGGGGCUACUUGCUGGCCUCCCAACUUUAAGCUCCUAUGACUAAGUGAAAGUUAUAAAGCCCGCAUAUCUGAUCGCCUCGUUUUCGCCAACACAACCGCCUUCGCGCACCGAGACGUUGGUUAAGGGUUGUUUUGUUAUCGAAAACACCCUGCGUAGCAUUUACAAGGGGGUAGAAGCCGACGAUGGGCCACUUUCAGAUUAUAAACGGUCGCAACGGAAGUGAAAAUUUGGGUUCAUUUAGACCAUAGAGUUUGGAAGCUUUCCCCGAACUAAAUCCUCAGUAUUUUCCUCCCACAUUGAUUGGAGCUGAGGUUUCAUGAUCAUGCUUAGCAUGACAACCCAAAGAAAGGGACCGAUAGCGGGACUAUUUCCUUUGGACGAUGUUUCUUGUGUUAAACAAUAACAUAACAUGUCGCUCUGCGUACCUUUGUUUAUAAAACCGUAUGGCCGGAUUGCCUUGUUUGCCGUAAAUCUUUGCCCUCAUAAAGGCUUUAUAAAGUAGGACAAACAAUCCUCGGCUGCUGGCCGAGGAGGUUGAAGCCGAUGGUCAGUCAACAAAUUUUUGUACAAUGCAGAUCCGAGCAUUAAUGAUGUAAAGUACUUGGAUACAUAGAGCCAUUACACAUAAUUUGUGAUUUUACUAUGGAUAUCGAUCCUUAAUUCGGCCUCUCGUGCCCGCAUUAAGACCCGGGGGCUACUAGGCUUCGGGCUUAUUAUUUACAAGUAUUAAAAGGGCACAUCGAUCCCCUGAUCUGGUGUUGCCACCCGACCAGUGUCUUGGGGGCUACUGCAUUGACAAUCCAAUGCAGAAAAUUUAAAGUGCAAUAUAGUUUUCGAGGAGAUUAUUAUCCUCAGGUUGGUCGGCCGCACCCAACCUGAGUCUCGAGGACUUUGCACACCGAGUUUCUAUUCCUAAGUAUGCUGCUGAGCUGGGAAUUGAUCCUAAGACUGAUUUUAUGAAUCGACCUGAGUCUCAGGGGCUACUAGGGUCAGCGGUUUGAUUUUUUCCUUCAGGUGCAUCCCGGAUAUUAGGCCAACACGCACCUUGAGGGCUACUGGCUAUACAUCCCGGCAGAGAUUACAUUGCAUAAUUCGGAAUUAAAUUCAUAAAAAGCAGCCCAUGGCCGAGGUGGUGCACCACCUCGGAUAUAGUCCGGCGUUGGUGCUCAACUACAAUAGACACCCCAGAAGCAGUCCGGCAUAAAGCUCGGCCGCCAGUGGCUGGCUCCAUAGAGGGCAUUCUCGGCAUUAAGCUCGGCUAAACUCCUUCAACUUUUUUGAACCAAGGUGAUCUAUGACACCUCGAAUAUAGUCCGGCGUUGGAGCUUGGACAUAGUCCGUGGAGCUUGGACAUAGUCCGGCGUUGGAGCUCGGAUACAGUCCGGCGUUGGAGCUUGGACAUAGUCCAACGUUGGAGCUCGGAUACAUUCCGGCGUUGGAGCUCGGAAGCGGUCCGGCGUUGGUGCUCGACUGCUAAAGAUACCUCGAAUGUAGUCCGACGUUGGAGCUCGGACGCAAGAGGACGUUGCCGCUCGGGAACAACUUCAAACCCGAGGUAUGGCAUAAAAGUAACAAGGCAUUGAUAAAGGCCGGAAACUUAAAGGGGCUCCUCGGAUACCCGACGUGUAAACUCUUCGGAGUCACCUUGGUGAUCCUCAAGAUGAAAGACGAGAAGAUUUGUUGAACCAAUUUUCAAGACCAACGACCGAAGGUGAAGAAUAGUUCAGAAGAAUCGAGGAGCGUCCCCAACUUGAAAACCGGUUCAGGGGGCUACUAACAGUGUCCUGGACUAGGGGGUACUCACCACAUCGUCUCUCGAUCAGUUGGAUUGGGCCGAGGACCCCCAUGGCCGUAUACUCAUGGGCCAGUUCGGACAACCCCUGCCGCAUACAAGGAAGACUCCACAAGACUUGGCGCCCAAGACAAGGACUCUCCUAAACCCUAGGCCUCCGGUGUCUUAUAUAAACCAAGGCCAGGCUAGUCAAUAGAAAAUCUCAUAUUCAUUACUACAAUCUCGUGGUAGACACAUGUACUCUGUACUACACCCAUAUGAAUACAAUCAAAAGCAGCAUGUAGGGUAUUAUCUCAUCAAGAGUGCCCGAAGCUGGGUAAAACCCCGUGUCCAUGUUACCAUCGCUCCAAAGCGCCUAGCUUAGGACCCCUACUAUGAGAUACGCUGGAUAUUGAACCGACACUCCUCACUAGCAGAAUCCUUCCUCAUAGAUGGAUUUCCAAGCACUCUAGCUGUAGUUUUUCUGACCCUCUUCUUGCCUUCUUCACCUGAUCUUCUCUCAAGUGUUAAAACCAUAGUUCCUUGAGUUGAUGCUCUGGCCUUUGACAUAGGAAUUCUCUUGGCAGGUGCCUUCUUGUGCAUACCAGGUUUUGUUGCAGCUGCAGUUCCAUAUUCCUUCUUCAACACUUUCUUCUUGGAGCUUACUUCCUCCUCAGCAGCCACAUAGUCCUCAUCCUCUGAGUCUGAGUUUCUCUUUCUCCUUGUCCUUGUAGCUUCCUUGGGCAAAUUGCUUGGAGUGCUCCUGCUGCCAUCAUCAGAGUUGCUAGAUGGACUAAUGAAGGAAAUAUGCCCUAGAGGCAAUAAUAAAGUUAUUAUUUAUUUCCUUAUAUCAUGAUAAAUGUUUAUUAUUCAUGCUAGAAUUGUAUUAACCGGAAACAUAAUACAUGUGUGAAUACAUAGACAAACAGAGUGUCACUAGUGUGCCUCUACUUGACUAGCUUGUUGAUCAAAGAUGGUUAUGUUUCCUAACCAUAGACAUGUGUUGUCAUUUGAUUAACGGGAUCACAUCAUUAGGAGAAUGAUGUGAUUGACAUGACCCAUUCCGUUAGCUUAGCACACGAUCGUUUAGUAUAUUGCUAUUGCUUUCUUCAUGACUUAUACAUGUUCCUAUGACUAUGAGAUUAUGCAACUCCCAUUUACCGGAGGAACACUUUGUGUGCUACCAAACGUCACAAUGUAACUGGGUGAUUAUAAAGGAGCUCUACAGGUGUCUCCAAAGGUACAUGUUGGGUUGGUGUAUUUCGAGAUUAGGAUUUGUCACUCCGAUUGUCGGAGAGGUAUCUCUGGGCCCUCUCGGUAAUGCACAUCAAUUAAGCCUUGCAAGCAUUGCAACUAAUGAGUUAGUUGUGAGAUGAUGCAUUACGGAACGAGUAAAGAGACUUGCCGGUAACGAGAUUGAACUAGGUAUUGAGAUACCGACGAUCGAAUCUCGGGCAAGUAAUAUACCGAUGACAAAGGGAACAAUGUAUGUUGUUAUGCGGUCUGACCGAUAAAGAUCUUCGUAGAAUAUGUGGGAGCCAAUAUGAGCAUCCAGGUUCCAUUAUUGGUUAUUGACCGGAGACGUGUCUCGGUCAUGUCUACAUUGUUCUCGAACUCGUAGGGUCCGCACGCUUAAAGUUACGAUGACAGUUUCAUUAUGAGUUUAUAUGUUUUGAUGUACCUAAGGUUGUUCGGAGUCCCGGAUGUGAUCACGGACAUGACGAGGAGUCUCGAAAUGGUCGAGACAUGAAGAUUGAUAUAUUGGAAGUCUAUGUUUUGACAUCGGAAGUGUUCCGGGUGAAAUCGGCAUUUUACCGGAGCACCGGGAGGUUACCCGAACCCCCCGGUAACUUAAUCGGCCUUAAUGGGCCUAGUGGAGGAAGAGGAGAGGAGGCCAUGGGGCAGCCGUGCACCCCUCCCCCCCAAGUCCUAAUUGGACAAGGAGGGGGGCGGCGGCCCCCCUUUCCUUUCCCCUCACUCUCUCCUCCCCCCCUAAGUCCUAGUCCAACAUGGAAAAGGGGGGGAGUCCUACUCCCAGUGGGAGUAGGACUCCUCCUGGCGCGCCCUCCUCUUGGUCGGCCGCACCCCCCUUGCUCCUUUAUAUACAGGGGCGGGGGCACCCUAGAGCACAACAAUUGAUCCUUGAGAUAUCUCAGCGGUGUGCGGUGCCCCCCUCCACCAUGGUCCUCGAUAAUAUUGUAGCAGUGCUUAGGCGAAGCCCUGCGACAAUAGAACAUCAAGAUCGUCACCACGCCGUUGUGUUGACGGAACUCUCCCCCGACACUUUGCUGGAUUGGAGUCCGGGGAUCGUCAUCGAGCUGAACGUGUGCUAGAACUCGGAGGUGUCGUAGUUUCGGUGCUUGAUCAGUCGGGCCGUGAAGACGUACGACUACAUCAACCGUGUUGUUAUAAUGCUUCCGCUUUCAGUCUACGAGGGUACGUGGACAUACUCUCCGCUCUCGUUGCUAUGCAUCACCAUGAUCUUGCAUGUGCAUAGGAAUUUUUUUGAAAUGACUACGUUCCCCAACAGUGGCAUCCGAGCCUGGUUUUAUGCGUAGAUGUCAUAUGCACGAGUAGAACACAAGUGAGUUGUGGGCGAUAUAAGUCAUACUGCUUACCAGCAUGUCAUACUUUGGUUCGGCGGUAUUGUUGGAUGAAGCGGCCCAGACCAACAUUACGCGUACGCUUACGCGAGACUGGUUCUACUGACGUGCUUUGCACACAGGUGGCUGGCGGGUGUCCGUUUCUCCAAUUUUAGUUGAAUCAAGUGUGGCUACUCCCGGUCCUUGCGAAGGUUAAAACAACACCAACUUGACAAACUAUCAUUAUGGUUUUGAUGCGUAGGUAAGAACGGUUCUUGCUAUGGUCAAGACAUGAUGCUAAAUUUUAUUGUAUGAGAUGAUCAUGUUUUGUAACAGAGUUAUCGGCAACUGGCAGGAGCCAUAUGGUUGUCGCUUUAUUGUAUGCAAUGCAAUCGCCCUGUAAUGCUUUACUUUAUCACUAAGCGGUAGCAAUAGUCGUAGAAGCAUAAGAUUGGCGAGACGACAACGAUGCUACGAUGGAGAUCAAGGUGUCGCACCGGUGACGAUGGUGAUAAUGAUGGUGCUUCGAAGAUGGAGAUCACAAGCAUAAGAUGAUGAUGGCCAUAUCAUAUCACUUAUAUUGAUUGCAUGUGAUGUUUAUCUUUUAUGCAUCUUAUGUUGCUUUGAUUGACGGUAGCAUUAUAAGAUGAUCCCUCACUAAAUUAUCAUAGUAAAAGUGUUCUCCUGAGUAUGCACCAUUGCAAAAGUUCUUCGUGUUGAGACACCACGUGAUGAUCGGGUGUGAUAGGCUCUACAUUCAAAUACAACGGGUGCAAAAUAGUUGCACACGCGGAAUACUCAGGUUAAACUUGACGAGCCUAGCAUAUAACAGAUAUGGCCUCGGAACAUGGAGACCGAAAGGUCGAGCGUGAAUCAUAUAGUAGAUAUGAUCAACAUAUUGAUGUUCACCGUUGAAACUACUCCAUCUCACGUGAUGAUCGGACAUGGUGUAGUUGAUAUGGAUCACGUAAUCACUUAGAGGAUUAGAGGGAUGUCUAUCUAAGUGGGAGUUCUUUAGUAAUAUGAUUAAUUGAACAUAAAUUUAUCAUGAACUUAGUACCUGAUAGUAUCUUGCUUGUCUAUGUUGAUUGUAGAUAGAUGGCCCGUGUUGUUGUUCCGUUGAAUUUUAAUGCGUUCCAUGAGAAAUACAAAGUUGAAAUAUGAUGGUAGCAAUUACACGGACUGGGUCCGUAACUUGAGGAUUAUCCUCAUUGCUGCACAGAAGAAUUACAUCCUGGAAGCACCGCUGGGUGUCAGGCCUGCUGCUGGACCAACACCAGAUGUUAUGAACGUUUGGCAGAGCAAAGCUGAUGACUACUCUAUAGUUCAGUGUGCCAUGCUUUACGGCUUAGAACCGGGUCUUCAAUGACGUUUUGAACGUCAUGGAGCAUAUGAGAUGUUCCAAUAGUAGAAGUUAAUAUUUCAAGCAAAUGCCCGGAUUGAGAGAUAUGAAGUCUCCAAUAAGUUCUAUAGCUGCAAGAUGGAGGAGAACAAUUCUGUCAGUGAGCAUAUACUCAAAAUGUCUGGGUAUAAUAAUCACUUGAUUCAACUGGGAGUUAAUCUUCCGAAUGAUAGCGUCAUUGACAGAAUUCUCCAAUCACUGCCACCAAGCUACAAGAGCUUUGUGAUGAACUAUAAUAUGCAAGGGAUGGAAAAGGCUAUUCCCGAGCUCUUCACGAUGCUAAAAGCUACGGAGGUAGAAAUCAAGAAGGAGCAUCAAGUGUUGAUGGUUAACAAGACCACUAGUUUCAAGAAAAAGGAGAAAGGGAAGAAGAAGGGAAACUUCAAUAAGAACAGCAAGCAAGUUGCUGCUCAGGAGAAGAAACCCAAGUCUGGAACUAAGCCUGAAACUGAGUGCUUCUACUGCAAGCAGACUGGUCACUGGAAGCGGAACUGCCCCAAGUAUUUGGCGGAUAAGAAGGAUGGCAAGGUGAACAAAGGUAUAUGUGAUAUACAUGUUAUUGAUGUGUACCUUACUAAUGCUCGCAGCAGCACCUGGGUAUUUGAUACAGGUUCUGUUGCUAAUAUUUGCAACUCGAAACAGGGACUACGGAUUAAGCGAAGAUUGGCUAAGGAUGAGGUGACGAUGUGCGUGGGAAAUGGUUCCAAAGUCGAUGUGAUCGCGGUCGGCACGAUACCUCUACAUCUACCUUUGGGAUUAGUUUUAGACCUAAAUAAUUGUUAUUUGGUGCUAGUGUUGAGCAUGAACAUUAUAUCUAGAUCUUGUUUGAUGCGAGACGGUUAUUCAUUUAAAUCAGAGAAUAGUAGUUUUUCUAUUUAGAUGAGUAAAAUCUUUUAUGGUCAUGCACCCUUUACGAGUGGUCUAUUUUUUAUUGAAUCUCGAUAGUACUGAUACACAUAUUCAUAAUGUUGAAGCCAAAAGAUGCAGAGUUGAUAAUGAUAGUGCAACUUAUUUGCGGCACUGCCGUUUAGGUCAUAUCAGUGUAAAGCGCAUGAAGAAACUCCAUACUGAUGGAGUUUUGGAACCACUUGAUUAUGAAUUACUUGGUACUUGUGAACACGUGCCUCAUGGGCAAGAUGACUAAAACACCGUUCUCCGGUACUAUGGAGAGAGCAACUGAUUUAUUGGAGAUCAUACAUACAGAUGUAUGUGAUCCAAUGAAUGUUGAGGCUCGUGGCGGAUAUCGUUAUUUUCUCACCUUCACAGAUGAUUUGAGCAGAUAUGGGUAUAUCUACUUAAUGAAACAUAAGUCUGAAACAUUUGAAAAGUUCAAAGAAUUUCAGAGUGAAGUUGAAAAUCAUCGUAACAAGAAAAUAAAGUUUCUAUGAUCUGACCGUGGAGGAGAAUAUUUGAGUUACGAGUUUGGUCUACAUUUGAAACAAUGUGGAAUAGUUUCGCAACUAACGCCACCCAGAACACCAUAACGUAAUGGUGUGUCUGAUCGUCGUAAUCGUACUUUACUAGAUAUGGUGCGAUCUAUCAUGUCUCUUAUAGAUUUACUGAUAUCAUUUUGGGGUUAUGCUUUAGAGACGGUUGCAUUCACGUUAAAUAGGGCACCAUCAAAAUCCGUUGAGACGACGCCUUAUGAACUAUGGUUUGGCAAGAAACCAAAGUUGUCAUUUCUGAAAGUUUGGGGCUGCGAUGCUUAUGUGAAAAAGCUUCAACCUGAUAAGCUCGAACCCAAAUCGGAGAAAUGUGUCUUCAUAGGAUACCCAAAGGAGACUGUUGGGUACACCUUCUAUCACAGAUCCGAAGGCAAGACGUUUGUCGCUAAAUUCGGAAACUUUCUGGAGAAGGAGUUUCUCUCGAAAGAAGUGAGUGGGAGGAAAGUAGAACUUGAUGAGGUAACUGUACCUGCUCCCUUAUUGGAAAGUAGUAUAUCGCAGAAACAGGUUUCUGUGACACCUAUACCAAUUAGUGAGGAAGAUAAUGAUGAUGAUCAUGAAACUUCAGAUCAAGUUGUUACUGAACCUCGUAGAUCAACCAGAGUAAGAUCUGCACCAGAGUAGUACAGUAAUCCCGUUCUGGAAGUCAUGUUACUAGACCAUGAUGAACCUACGAACUAUGAAGAAGCGAUGGUGAGCCCAGAUUCCGAAAAAUGGCUUGAGGCCAUGAAAUCUGAGAUGGGAUCCAUGUAUGAGAACAAAGUAUGGACUUUGGUUGACUUGCUCAAUGAUUGGUAAGCCAUCGAGAAUAAAUGGAUCUUCAAGAAGAAGACUAGCGUUGAUGGUAAUGUUACUGUCUACAAAGCUUGACUUGUUGCGAAAGGUUUUCGACAAGUUCAAGGGGUUGACUACGAUGAGACUUUCUCACCCGUAGCGAUGCUUAAGUCUGUCCGAAUUAUGUUAGCAAUUUUUUGCAUUUUAUGAUUAUGAAAUUUGGCAAAUGGAUGUCAAAACUGCAUUCCUGAAUGGAUUUCUGGAAGAAGAGUUGUAUAUGAUGCAACCAGAAGGUUUUGUCGAUCCAAAGGAUGCUAACAAAGUGUGCAAGCUCCAGCGAUCCAUUUAUGGACUGGUGCAAGCCUCUCGGAGUUGGAAUAAACGUUUUGAUAGUGUGAUCAAAGCAUAUGGUUUUAUACAGACUUUUGGAGAAGCCUGUAUUUACAAGAAAGUGAGUGGGAGCUUUGUAGCAUUUCUAAUAUUAUAUGUGGACGACAUAUUAUUGAUUGGAAAUGAUAUAGAAUUUCUGGAUAGCAUAAAAGGAUACUUGAAUAAAAGUUUUUCAAUGAAAGACCUCGGUGAAGUUGCUUAUAUAUUGCGCAUCAAGAUCUAUGGAGAUAGAUCAAGACGCUUAAUUGGACUUUCACAAAGUACAUACCUUGAUAAAGUUUUGAAGAAGUUCAAAAUGGAUCAAGCAAAGAAAGGGUUCUUGCCUGUAAUACAAGGUGUGAAAUUGAGUCAGACUCAAUGCCCGUCCACUUCAGAAGAUAGAGAGAAAAUGAAAGAAGUUCCCUAUGCUUCAGCCAUAGGAUCUAUCAUGUAUGCAAUGAUGUGUACCAGACCUAAUGUGUGCCUUGCUAUAAGUUUAGCAGGGAGGUACCAAAGUAAUCCAGUAGUGGAUCACUGGACAGCGGUCAAGAACAUCCUGAAAUACCUGAAAAGGACUAAGGAUAUGUUUCUCAUUUAUGGAGGUGACAAAGAGCUCAUCGUAAAUGGUUAUGUUGAUGCAAGCUUUGACACUGAUCCGGACAAUUCUAAAUCGCAAACCGGAUACGUGUUUACAUUGAACGGUGGAGCUGUCAGUUGGUGUAGUUCUAAACAAAGCGUUGUGGCGGGAUCUACAUGUGAAGCGGAGUACAUAGCUGCUUCAGAAGCAGCAAACGAAGGAGUCUGGAUGAAGGAGUUCAUAUCUGAUCUAGGUGUCAUACCUAGUGCAUCGGGUCCAAUGAAAAUCUUUUGUGACAAUACUGGUGCAAUUGCUUUGGCGAAGGAAUCCAGAUUUCACAAAAGAACCAAGCACAUCAAGAGAUGUUUCAAUUCCAUUCGGGAUUUAGUCCAAGUGGGAAACAUAGAAAUUUGCAAGAUACAUACGGAUCUGAAUGUAGCAGACCCGUUGACUAAGCCUCUUCCACGAGCAAAACAUGAUCAGCACCAAGGCUCCAUGGGUGUUAGAAUCAUUACAGUGUAAUCUAGAUUAUUGACUCUAGUGCAAGCGGGAGACUGAAGGAAAUAUGCCCUAGAGGCAAUAAUAAAGUUAUUAUUUAUUUCUUUAUAUCAUGAUAAAUGUUUAUUAUUCAUGCUAGAAUUGUAUUAACCGGAAACAUAAUACAUGUGUGAAUACAUAGACAAACAGAGUGUCACUAGUAUGCCUCUACUUGACUACCUUGUUGAUCAAAGAUGGUUAUGUUUCCUAACCAUAGACAUGUGUUGUCAUUUGAUUAACGGGAUCACAUCAUUAGGAUAAUGAUGUGAUUGACAUGACCCAUUCCGUUAGCUUAGCACACGAUCGUUUGGUAUAUUGCUAUUGCUUUCUUCAUGACUUAUACAUGUUCCUAUGACUAUGAGAUUAUGCAACUCCCAUUUACCGGAGGAACACUUUGUGUGCUACCAAACGUCACAACCUAACUGGGUGAUUAUAAAGGAGCUCUACAGGUGUCUCCAAAGGUACAUGUUGGGUUGGCGUAUUUCGAGAUUAGGAUUUUUCACUCCGAUUGUCGGAGAGGUAUCUCUGGGCCCUCUUGGUAAUGCACAUCACUUAAGCCUUGCAAGCAUUGCAACUAAUGAGUUAGUUGUGAUAUGAUGUAUUACGGAAUGAGUAAAGAGACUUGACGGUAACGAGAUUGAACUAGUUAUUGAGAUACCGACGAUCGAAUCUCGGGCAAGUAACAUACCGUUGACAAAGGGCACAACGUAUGUUGUUAUGCAGUCUGACCGAUAAAGAUCUUCGUAGAAUAUGUGGGAGCCAAUAUGAGCAUCCAGGUUCCGCUAUUGGUUAUUGACCGGAGACGUGUCUCGGUCAUGUCUACAUUGUUCUCGAACCCGUAGGGUCCGCACGCUUAAAGUUACGAUGACAGUUUCAUUAUGAGUUUAUAUGUUUUGAUGUACCGAAGGUUGUUCGGAGUCCCGGAUGUGAUCACGGACAUGACGAGGAGUCUCGAAAUGGUCGAGACAUGAAGAUUGAUAUAUUGGAAGUCUAUGUUUGGACAUCGGAAGUGUUCCGGGUGAAAUCGGCAUUUUACCGGAGCACCGGGAGGUUACCGGAACCCCCGGUAACUUAAUGGGCCUUAAUGGGCCUAGUGGAGGAAGAGGAGAGGAGGCCAAGGGGCAUCCAUGCGCCCCUCCCCCCAAGUCCGAAUUGGACAAGGAGGGGGGGCGGCGCCCCCCUUUCCUUUCCCCUCUCUCUCUCCUUCCCCCCAAGUCCUAGUCCAACAUGGAAAAGGGGGGAGUCCUACUCCCGGUGGGAGUAGGACUCCUCCUGGCGCGCCCUCCUCCUGGAUAGCCGCACCCCCCUUGCUCCUUUAUAUACGGGGGCGCGGGGCACCCUAGAGACACAACAAUUGAUCCCUGAGAUCUCUCAAUCGUGUGCGGUGCCCCCCUCCACCAUAGUCCUUGCUAAUAUUGUAGGAGUGCUUAGGCGAAGCCCUGCGGCAGUAGAACAUCAAGAUCGUCACCACGCCGUCGUGCUGACGGAACUCUUCCCCGACACUUUGCUGGAUCGGAGUCCGGGGAUCGUCAUCGAGCUGAACGUGUGCUAGAACUCGGAGGUGUCGUAGUUUUGGUGCUUGAUCGGUCGGGCCGUGAAGACAUACGACUACAUCAACCGCGUUGUUAUAACGCUUCCGCUUUCGGUCUACAAGGGUACUGGACAUAUUCUCCCCUCUCAUUGCUAUGCAUCACCAUGAUCUUGCGUGUGCGUAGGAAAUUUUUUGAAAUGACUACGUUCCCCAACAACUAAUGCCCUCACUCAUGUCCACUUGCUCUUUUGAUUUGUUUUGGCUAUCACUCUGGUCAAACAUACUGGCAAAGCAAACUGAUAGCAGAACCUGUUAAUAGAUAUACAUGAGGUAGAGUAGAUGAGCAUCACAAAGUGCAGAGUUUUUGCAAAAAGGAUGAGUCAAAAACUUAGUUUUAGUUUUCUACAGGAAGCAUUUCGGAGCUACCGAUUUGAAAAACUCGGUGACACUGAAGCAACUUUGGAGUCUAAACAUGUGGAAUCCGUCAGACUGAGACACAAUUCGGUGAAUCCAAGUUUGCUAGGGUUUCACAAACCCUGUUAUCGGUCACACCGAUUUGCAACUUUCGGUUAGACUGAAAAUCACUUGUGCAUUGGCCUAAGCCAAAUCGGUGGAACCGAUUCCUACAAUUCGGUCAGUCCGAGAUGAGUCCGGCGGAAACCUAACCCUAAAUUUUCAACUCAAAUCUAAUCUAAAGGAUGUUUUCUCUGGAUAGAUUGAUCUCAUACAUGGUAAAGAACAUGGCAUUGACCUUGUGCUCGGAAUCGGAGGUAAAAAGAAUGCACAAGGGGUCGAACUCAUACCCUGGUUCGGCGGUGAGUUCACUACGGUGGCAACGGCGGCGGAGACCAACGGUGGGAGGUCCCUGGUGACAAGAAGACGAUCCGGAGACCCAGGCAGCAGAGUAGGACACGUGCGGGCAAAGAGGUUUUGGAGAAAUUUCCAAAUUCUGACUCAUCAGUAUAUAUAUCAUGGCACUGUCGGUGUGACCGAGUGGAACAACUCGGUGGCACCGAGACGCAAAAUCGUAAGCGGUUACUGCAACUCGGUGAGAUCAAAAUGUUCUAAUUGGUUGCACCGAGAUUGAAAACUUGAUCAACCCAGUGAACUCGGUGUGACCGAAAUGGAGGAGUCGGUCAGACCGAAAUACACAGAGAGGUUUUGGAAAUUUUAAGUCAAUGAGAAAACAGGAAUCCGAGUGCUCCUCACAUAGAGGGUUUGAAUUUGACUUAGAUCAAACUUUGCGAUGUAGCAUGAAUAGAAUUUGAGAAGAGAAAAGCAUAGAUAGCUAGAGGGAGUUAUUAGGCAUUCUUGUCCAUCCAUUUGGCAAAAAUAAGAAACUCCAAACAAUCAAAGCAACAAAUGGAUGUCCUUGAAUGAGAAAAAUAUGCAAUCAACAUGCUCACACAAUAAAAUAGCAAAGGAAAUAUGUGGCAAAGCAUGCACAAUCACUCUAGAAUCUAUCAAGCAAUUUGCGAUGACUAGGUCAUCUAUAUAUGAGUAUAUUGACUUAGGAGUCAAAUGAGAACAUGUGAUCAUAGGUCAUACUCAUCGUUUAAGCACAAGUAGGGUUACCACUUUUACAUAAAGCAUUGUUGUGUUCACACCAUUAGAGUUGCUUUAGCUCAAUUCGUAGAGUAAAGCUCCCCCUAGAUGUGAUAUCCCCCCUAAUAGGGAUGAACUAACCUUGGGUUUUGUCGAUGAUGACUUCGUGUAGAUAUCGAAGAUGUGGAUGCUCAUUGUUGAUGUAGAUCAUUUGAAGCAACCCAUUGGAGUGAGUAGCACUUUCAAUACCUACAUGGGUUAGUCCCACAAGGAACAAACAAGGAUAUCCACGGACAAAGAGUAAAACACACACAUGAUGAUGUCCAUGAUAGCAUUAGGUUACCUUGUCCCUUGUAUUACCAACAAGAGGGUUUGUGACUCCUUGAGCUAGUGCAAGAUGUGGAAGUUGUUUGCACCUGUCCUUGCCAAAAUGAAUAUAAGUGAUGUAUGUUGGCGGAGUCACCCUCAAGAACUCUCUAGUUCUUCUUCUUCGGGAUCCACAUCAUCUUGAUGGGAAUCCUUGGAGUUGUAGAUGUACUUGAUGAAGUAGAACUUGAUGUAGUCUUGGGAACCCACUUGACCAAGGCCUUCAGAGCAUCUUCAAAUGCAUCAAUCUCCUCUUGAAGCUUGUCCUUGCCUUUUAGCUUGUGGUCUUGUGGUGGAAGAUCAUCCUGAGCUUGUGUCCCUUUGAAGGAAGUAGGUUCAUACUUCUAUUGUUGAGGAACAAACUUCGUCUUGGGGUAUUGAUCUUCUUCCCAAUCAACUCCAUUGGCAUUGAACUUUCAUUCAAAACCAACACCUUGAUUCUUCCGGUGCCUUCCUUGCUUCCGUAGAAUUUCCUCAAAUUGCUUACUUUCGGCAAGGCUUUUGUAAACAGCUUUCUCUAUAAUUCCCUUCAAUAAGCUAUUUUCUUACUCAAGUAUAACUUGGCUAAGAGAUUCAUUAUUGGAAUCAAGAGAACUACUAGAAGCAACAAUAUUGGAUUUAACAUGAUUAUUGUUACUGCUAGAAGAAGAAUCUUUCUUGUUCUUGUUGCUAGAUUUUACUUGUGGCAUGUAAGUAGACAAGAGUAAACGCUUAGCAAUGUAAUAAGAACUUUUCUCCUGAAGAUCAUCAUUGAUGGCCUUUAAGAACCCAUGCUCUUGUUCAAGAUUGAGCUUUUCGAAGCGUAACUUCUCAUGAGCUUUUAAAAGUUCUCGAUGAUCUUCUAAAUUGUUUAAUGAGCUAACUUAAGAGUGUUUAGUUCUUUAGUUAGAUGCUCAAUCUCCUUCUUAUCAUUGUCAUUCGUUUUAUCUUGAUUAUCAUGAUUAAUUAACAUUUCGUCAUAGUAUUCAUCACUAGAGUUGUCAACAAGUAAAUCAUCAUCACCUAGGAAAUCAUCUUCAUCACUAUUGAAAUCAACAUACUCGGGGUGUGAUACCUUGGGGCCUUUAGCCAUGAAGCAUCGUCCAAUUCCUUCAUUAUGUGAGUCAAGUAUGUCAUGGGAGUUGGUUGACACAAGUGCUAGACCGGAAACACCUUCAUUUUGAGUAUAUUCAGAGUUGGAGUGAUAACUUCUCUCAUAGUGGUGGUCAGAGUCAGAGCCGGAUACCCAUUCACCAACAUGAGCUUGAUGUCUUUGUUUUGUGUAGCUCCUUGAUGUCUUAUCCUUCCUUUCUGAAUCCUUGCUUCUUCGAGAGGUUCUUUGUUCAUAGCGAUCAUCUCUACUCCUUCUCUCUCUUGGAGGUGAUUCUUCCCUUUUGCUUCUUCUUUUAGGUGAGUCUUCUCUUCUUUUGUAAGGAGCCCUACACUCAUUGGAGUAGUGUCUGGGUCUUCCACAAUUGUAGCAGUUUCGCUCACGACUAGAAGAUCUUUUGUCAUUGUAGGACCUUGACUUGGAACUUCUUUCCUUGCUUCUACUCUUGUAGAAUUUGUUGAAGUUCUUCACCAUUAAGCUUAAUUAUGGCUUGUUUCUCAUUUGAUGAUGUAGGAGCAUCACAUGAGGCUUUGUAAGCACCACUAGACUUGUUGCGAAGCUCUUCUUUGUCCUUGAGUGACAUCUCAUGAGCAACAAUUCUUCCAAUGACUUUGGUUGGCUUGAGAUCUUUGUAAUUUGGCAUCAUUUGGAUCAAUGUGCACACAGUAUCAUAUUUUCCAUCCAAGGCUCUUCUUGAUGAUGAAUUUGUUGGUCAUAUCUUCACUUCCUAAGCCGGCAAUCUCAUUUGUGAUGAGAGCAAGCCUAGAGUACAUUUCAGCGACACCUUCACCAUCCUUCAUUUUAAACUUGUCAAGUUGACUUUGGAGUACAUCCAACUUGGAUUCCUUGAUAGAGUUGGUACCUUCAAGCAUAUCAGUCAAAGUAUCCCAAAUUUCCUUUACAUUCUCAAGACGACUGAUUUUGUUGAAUUCUUUGGGGCACAAUCCAUUGAAGAGGAUAUCACAAGCUUGAACAUUAUAUUGCAACAUCUCCAAUUCUUCUGCGGUAGCCUCACGGUUUGGUUCUCUCCCAUCAAAGAAUUCACCUUGCAAACCAAUACACACAAUAGCCCAAACGGCGGGGUUAUGUCCAAGAAUAUGCAUUUUCAUCUUAUGUUUCCAACUAGCAAAAUUAGUACCAUCAAAGUAAGGACCUCUACGGUGGUAAUUUCCCUCGCUAGACGCCAUACUCUCCUAGGUUGUGAAACCAAGGCUAGGAUCACCAAAGCUAUGGAAAUCAAGGCAAAAGGAGACCCAAGGCUCUGAUACCACUUGUAGGAUCGAAAGUAUGUCUAGAGGGGGGUGAUUAGACUACUUGACCAAAUAAAUACUUAUCCUUUUCCCAAUUUUAGUUCUUGACAGUUUUUAGCAACUUAGCACAAGUCAAGCAAUCUUAAUACAAUUCAAGCAAGCAUGCAAAGAGUAUAUAGGCAGCGGAAAGUAAAGCAUGCAGCUUGCAAGAAAGUAAACGGGAGGAGUUUGGAGGGAGCAAACGCAAUGUUGACACGAAGAUUUUUGGCGUGUUUCCGAUAGGUGGUGCUAUCGUACAUCCACAUUGAUGGAGACUUCAACCCACGGAAGGUAACAGCUGCGCGAGUCCAUGGAGGGCUCCACCCACGAAGGGUCCACGAAGAAGCAACCUUGUCUAUCCCAUCAUGGCCAUCGUACACAAAGGACUUGCCUCAUUAGGGUAGAUCUUCAUGAAGUAGGCGAUAUCCUUGCCCUUACAAACUCCUUGGUUCAACUCCACAAUCUUGACGGAGGCUCGCAAGUGACACCUAACCAAUCUAGGAUACACCACUCUCCAAAAGGUAAUAGAUGGUGUGUUGUGGAUGAACUCCUUGCUCUUGUGCUUCAAACGAUAGUCUCCCAACACUCAACUCUCUCUCACAGAUUUGGCUAUGGUGGAAAGAUGAUUUGAGUGGAAAGCAACUCGGGGAAGGCUAGAGAUCAAGAUUCAUAUGGUAGGAUAGGAAUAUCUUGGUCUCAACACAUGAGUAGGUGGUUCUCCCUCAAAAAAUGAGUAGUGGAAGUGUAGAUACGUUCUGAUGGCUCUCCUCUGUAAUGAGGAAUGGGUGGAGGGGUAUAUAUACACUACAAAAAAAAGACACAUCCGUGACAUUUUGGGCCGAACGAAUUUUUUUUGUCAUACAUAUGACACUUCUAUGACGAUAAUUUUGACAAAACCCGGUAUCAUCAUAGAUGUGGUGGGCUCCUACUUCUAUGACAAAAAAUCAUGACAGAAAAUGGGCUUUUCGUCCUGGGCGGGCCAGAGACGCAGCUGCAUGACAUUCUUUGGGCCGUCCAUGAUGGAAAAAACCGUGGUAGAAGCGAGAGGGAGGAAAAUUUCGGGGAGUUGCCGGUUACGGUGGGAGGUCGGGGGUCGAGCGAUGCACGUUAAUCUCGUACACAUACGCGUGUGUGUGAACCCAAGUGAGGCGUUGGGCUCUAACUCAACCCGAGCGAUUGCACCGCAGGCUACGCAUUACUGAACCCGAGCGAUCGAUCGAUGGCUGUUAACUGAACCAGAUCGAGCGAUUCCUUCACUACUGCUGCUAACUGAAGCCGAUCGAUGCUGCCUCUNNNNNNNNNNNNNNNNNNNNNNNNNNNNNNNNNNNNNNNNNNNNNNNNNNNNNNNNNNNNNNNNNNNNNNNNNNNNNNNNNNNNNNNNNNNNNNNNNNNNNNNNNNNNNNNNNNNNNNNNNNNNNNNNNNNNNNNNNNNNNNNNNNNNNNNNNNNNNNNNNNNNNNNNNNNNNNNNNNNNNNNNNNNNNNNNNNNNNNNNNNNNNNNNNNNNNNNNNNNNNNNNNNNNNNNNNNNNNNNNNNNNNNNNNNNNNNNNNNNNNNNNNNNNNNNNNNNNACAGGACCCCGUGGUGUGGUGGGCUGGAUGAACAGUAGAUGGUGGAGGGGUGCCCGUGGAAGGGUGGUUGAACAGGACCCCAUGGUGUGGAGGGCUGGAUGAACAGUAGAUGGUGGAGGGAUGCCCGUGGAGGGGUGGUUGAAUAGUAGCCGAUGGAGUAGCGCGCGGUGGAGGCUGGAUGAACAGGAGCGCGUGGAGGCUGGAGGAAGUCGACGGUAGCCCGUGGAGGCUGGAGGAGGUCGACGGUGGAGAUGAACAGCAUCCCGUGGAGUCCCAUUUUGCGGUACGCCACACCCCUCCCGAUGAACAGGACCCCCGUUUCGACCGUAGCGCUCCAACACAAGUCUGUUUCGUCCGUUUUGCGGUACACCACACCCCUCCUGAUCAACAGGACCCCCGUUUCGAUCGUAGGAGGUCCGUUUCCUCCGUUUUGCGGUACGCCACAUCCCUCCCGAUCAACAGGACCCCCGUUUUGACCGUAGGAGGUCUGUUUCCUAUGUUCUGCGGUACGCCAAGCCCCUCCCGAUCAACAGGAUCCCGUUUUGAACAUGGCCGGUCGAACACAAGGCCGUUUCCUCCGUUGUGCCAUACGCCAGGCCUCGUUUCCAUCGCCUAUUCCAUCCAAGCCCUCCCGAUGAACACGAACACGCAUUCCUUUCCGCCCCAGCCGGUUGGUUCCCCAUGAACACAACGAUGAUGUUGUUUCUCCGUUCCGACCCAGCCAUGUACGUAUGCGCGAGUAGGCAUUCGAGACCCUGCCCGUAUGUACGUACGUGGCCGUAUUUUCUUUCUUGCACCCUCGCCGUUGUACGUACGUGUACAUGCUACGUGCGCGCCUCUACUACGACACGUGCGCGCCUCUACAUCGACCAGUAUGUACGUACAUGUUUGCGACCAGAAUGACAACGCUACGUACGCUUCGACCAGGUGGGUCCCGACUGUCAGGCACUUCCUUGCCUACGAAGAUGUAGCUGGUGGGUCCCAGCAGUCUGGGGGGGGGGCGAAUUGUUUUUUUUCGGACGCACUUCCUUGCGUGCGAAGAUGUAGCUGGUGGGUCCCAGCAGUUAGGGGGGGAAUCGUUUUUUUUUUUGCCCNNNNNNNNNNNNNNNNNNNNNNNNNNNNNNNNNNNNNNNNNNNNNNNNNNNNNNNNNNNNNNNNNNNNNNNNNNNNNNNNNNNNNNNNNNNNNNNNNNNNNNNNNNNNNNNNNNNNNNNNNNNNNNNNNNNNNNNNNNNNNNNNNNNNNNNNNNNNNNNNNNNNNNNNNNNNNNNNNNNNNNNNNNNNNNNNNNNNNNNNNNNNNNNNNNNNNNNNNNNNNNNNNNNNNNNNNNNNNNNNNNNNNNNNNNNNNNNNNNNNNNNNNNNNNNNNNNNNNNNNNNNNNNNNNNNNNNNNNNNNNNNNNNNNNNNNNNNNNNNNNNNNNNNNNNNNNNNNNNNNNNNNNNNNNNNNNNNNNNNNNNNNNNNNNNNNNNNUUUUUGCCCGAACAUACUUCCUUGCGUGCGAAGAUGUAGCUGGUGGGUCCCAGCAAUCAAGGGGGCGAAUCGUUUUUUUUGCCCGGACGCACUUCCUUGCGUGCGAAGGUCUAGCUGGUGGGUCCCAGCAGUCAGGGGAAACGUUUUUUUUGCGAAAUACGGUGGCCCGUCCGGUGGGUCCCCGCUGUCAGGUGGAGGAAUAAUUAUUUUCCGUGUAAUAAGGAGGCACUUCCUUGCUGCGGCCGUGGACCCAGCUGUCAGCCUCUCCACAUACAGUCCAUGUUCGAUGGAAGUCGUUCCUUGACCACGUUGACCACGCCGCACUGAGAGCACCAGUGCGGUGGAUGACGGCGAGGCCUAGGAAGGGGACAACGGGGAGCCGGGGAAGACGCUGAAGUGGAAGCCCACGCGGAGAGGAGUACAAGGGUUCACUAGUUCGGCUGCGGUGUGAGGCUGCCGUCGCCGCAGGGCCUCACCAACGAUGGGAAUAGUAGGGGGCGGUGAGGCCUCCGCGGCAGCACAUCCGGCCACGGGAGGCAGGAGCAUGCGGCACGACCGGCGCUGCUUUGGGCGGCUAGAGCAAGAAGACCAGAGGUUGAAGAAGAACUACGGCCGUUGGAUGGACAUCGUACGGUCAUUGGAGCUAGAAUCGUUUAUAUUGACUAAGUUGAAAAAGCCCUCCGUCCCCGUCAACUUAGUAGGCCCACAAGUAAGCCUCCCACCAAGGUGGGUCCCAGCUAGUAGGGGGUAUUCAUUUUUUGUGCGUAAUAAGGAGGCACUUCCGGUGGGUCCGAGCUGACAGCAGGGGGAACGUUUUUUUCACGAAAUACGGUGGUCCGUCGGGUGGGUCCCAGCAGUCAGGGGCAAACAUUUUUUUUGCAAAAUACUGGUGGCCCGUCUGCUGGGUCCCUGCUGUCAGGUGGAGGAAUAAUUAUUUUCCGCGUAAUAAGGAGGCACUUCCUUGCGGCUGCCGUGGACCCAGCUGUCAGCCUCUCCACAUACAGUAUUCUUCCGAUGGAAUUCGGUCGUUGACCACAUUGACCAUGCCGAGCCGAGAGCACCACGGCGGUGGACGACGGUGAGGCCUAGGAAGGGGACGAUGUGGAGCCGGGGAAGACGCGGCAGUGCAUGCCCACGCGGAGAGGAGUACGAGGGUUCACUGGUUCGGCUGUGAUGCCGUCACCGCAGAAUAACAGGGGGUGUGGGUGACUGGACUAGAGGGAUGGCCUGGCCACCGGUGGGAGUAGUAUGGGGGCGGUGAGGCCUCCGCAGCAGCACAUCGGCCACGGGAGGCAGGAGCAGGCAACACGACCGGCGCUGCUUUAGGCGGUUGGAGCAAGAAGACCAGAGGUUGAAGGAGCACUACGGCCGUUGGAUGGACGUCGUACGGUCAGUCGAGCAAGAACCGUGCAUAUUGACUAAGUUGACAAAGCCCUUCGUCCCCGUCAACUUAGUAGGCCCACUAUAUUGGGUCCCAGCUAGCAGGGGGAGUAUUCUUUUUUUGGGCGUAAUAAGGAGGCACUUCCUUGCGUGCGAAGAUAUAGCUAGUGGGUCUGAGCUGUCAGCGGCGGUAAUGUUUUUUUCGCGAAAUAUAGAGGCCCUUUCGGUGGUUCCCAGAUGUCAGGUGGAGGAAUCAUUAUUUUGCGCGUAAUAAGGAGGCAUUUCCUUGCGUGCGGCCGUGGACCCAGCUGUCAGCCUCUCCACGUACAGUCCACUUCAGAUGCAUGUCGGUCGUUGACCAUGUUGACCACGCCACGCCAAGAGCACCAGGGCGGUGGACGACGGUGAGGCCUAGGAAGGGAACGACAUGGAGGCAGGGAAGACUCGGCAGUUGUUUCCCACGCGGAGGGGAGUACGACUGUACGAGGGUUUACUGGUUCGUCUGCCGUCACCGGAGAAUAACAGCAGGUGUGGGACUGUUGGUGAGUAGAGGGAUGGCUAGGCCAGCGAUGGGAGUACGGUGGGGCGGUGAGGCCUGCGUGGCAGCACAGCCGGCCGCAGGGAGGAGGGAGCAGGCAGUCCCGCCGGCGCUUGUUUGAGCGGCUAGAGCAGGAAGAGCAGAGAUUGAAGAAGCACGACGGCCGUUGGAUGGACAUCCAAUAGUAUACAGGCCAUCUGUGGAAAGCCUCAAAUCUGUGGAAACAGCAUACAGCCCAUCUGCCAUUAUUUCAAAUAGUUUACAACCCAUUUGCUAAUUCUUACGGUUUUUUUGGAGCGCAUAUUCUUUUUGUUAGCAUUACAGCCCAUAUUGUGGCCACGGUUAAAAAAUUAUGCGAAAUUUGGCAUAUGUCAGUGCAGUCUGAACUGUUUUUAAUCCUGAAAUUUCGAGUCACAUUUAGACUAAUUUUAAAAAUAAAUGUAUAUCAAUAUAAAAUCCAAUAAAUUGUCCACGCAUAAAAAUCAAUGCAAUUUAAAAUCUCGAAAUGAAAAAAAGAUAUUUGAAACUAAUUGUCGGUUUGAUGUGUUUUAAAAAUGUACAGCCCAUUUCUCAUUACUGAUUGGCCAUUUUCUGGGCCAGCCGAAUGAAGCUCUCCUCGUCUUGAAAGAUUUGCAGCCCAAUAGGCCUGAUAAAGCGACUUACUUGACAAAUCACAAAAAACUUGGCUAGCCAUUUUCAAAAAGAAAAAAAAUAUUGGGCUGGUCUGUGGUAAACAUAAAAGAAAAGGUUGUCUAGACAGGCGAGAGUGUCCCGCACAACCCAGGUUGACACCCUGCUUCCGUCUCAAAAACAAAUUUGAUAAAUGCCACUCCAAUUAUGGUGAUUCAUAAAAAUGCCACUGCAAUUUCCAAACAUUGAAAAAUGCCACUGCAACUUUUGCAAACUUUGAAAAACGCCACUGCAGUUUGCAAACUUUGAAAAACGCCACUCCAGACUUCAAAAAAUGCCACUAGAAAUGGCAUGAAAUGGCAUUUUUUAAAGUUUGGAAAUUGCAGUGGCAUUUCUCGGAGGCAUUUAUCAAAUUAACCCAAAACAAAAAUAACUGGGCGAGCUGUUGGGUCCCUGGUGUCAGCCGCUCGUUGUGCAAUUCUCUCGUUUAUUGACUACAUUGACAAUGGCAUGGGACCCAGAUGUCAGAAAUCCACUAGGAGGAGCCAUUUUUUUAUUGGCUUGAAAUGAGGCACUUGCUUGCGUACUGCCAUGACCUUGGCGGGUCCCUGCUGUCAUCCUCUCCAUGUACAAUCAUCUCCUGAUUGUGUACGCGUCAACUCGCUAGGCCCACAAGUCAGUCGCUAAACCCGUGGAGGACAAUACAACCCAUUGAAAAAAAUAGGGUCAUUUGCAUUACUGCCCCUAACUUGAACCACCUACUCACAUUUGCCCCUAAUUUCAAAGCAUGCUCAAAUUUUCCCCUUUGCUGUUAAGUCACUACUUAGAAAUGCCCUUCCGUCCAGUCAAAGGCCUUUGACCGUCAAAGCCCCAUGUGUACUGUAGCAGACGGAAAGUGCUACAGUAUUGGACGGAAAGUGCUACAGUAUUGUAUGGAAGGGCAUUUCUGAGUAGUGAAUUAACAGGGGAGGGGUAAAUUUGAGCAUGCUUCAGAACUAGGGGAAAAUCUGAGUAGUGGAUUCGAGUUAGGCGCACAGAUGUAAAUGUCCCAAAAAAAUAACAGCCCAUUCCAUACGUUCAAACAGAAAGUUCAACAUUCAGAGCAAAGUAACAGGUCUGAUCCACAUAUAGAGUACUGAACUUCCACGUUGACAACCAUCAUAGCCAAGUUAACUAUCUACUCCCACUAGACAAGUACUAACUUACUCUUAGCUAACUAGACAAUGCCGGCCGCCAUCUGCGGUACAGGCUAAACGCCGGCACCGGCGUCCUGCGCCUCGCCUCGGACUUGCUAGAGGUGCGAUAGGGCGCGUUGCUCGCGUGUGUUGGCCCUUUCCAUGCCGGCGUGGUCCACUGAAGCUUCGGCUUCCAAGUGGGAAACCCACUUGAUGAGCGGGUAGUAAAAAUCGGUGGCACGAACGCGUGCGUGCCCGACAGCCUCCAGGGCUAUUUGCCGGGCGCCGACCUCCAGGUAGUCGGCCCAGUUGCGGGCGCUCUGCUCGCGACUCAGAGCGUCGGUGCGCUACUGCUCCAUGUCCUGCUGGCGGCGCAAAUCGGUGAUACGCUGCUCCUCCGCCAGGCGGUCGCGCUCCAAUAACUCCUGCUCCUCUGCCAUGCAGUCGUGCUCCAACAACUCCUCGAUCUGCGCAUUGCCAUCUAAAGACAGAUAGAAUGCCUCCUCCCUCUGUCUGCCUUCCGGUGAAAAGCCAAACACUAGUUCCGGCGGUGACCGCCUCCGGCGUCGCCUACCGCGGACGGGCGGUGGCAUGGCGGACGUGGCGAGCAACGUCGGGCCGGUGGGGGCUUAUGAGUAUAUGGUGAGUUGGGUCACGGUGGCACUAGAGAAGGCUGGGAAAUAGUACUUAUAGGGGGAAGGUAGCGCGACGGUCAUUGGAAUUCAAUGCAUAAUGGCUUAGCGCGCCAGCUUGCCGUGGAAAACUAGGGAAACUGAAAUAAUGACUGUGCCAUCCCGUCCCAUCUGGGUCGCACGGCGGCAUGGCGGUCAAACGAGUGCACUCGAAUCAUCUCCCUCCUUGUCAAUAAUGAUUUCACGGAUUUAAAAAGCCCGCAACAAUUAAAGCGUAUCUUUUUCGCAUCAGUUAGCUGCCUUAAUUACGGCGGCUGCAUGCAGGCACUCAGAAUCGCUCGCAGGCAGUACGCGAAGCAGCAUGCAACAAGUCGUAGCCGAGGGCACGCAUGCAGCCACUUAAAUCACUGGAAUUAAUUAGGCUUAAACUUCUGCAUGCCGUUAAUUAUUUCCAUGCCUUGGUCUUGCUUCUUUGCUCACGGGACUAAUAAACCCAGACGGAGGGAGUACCUUGGUUGGUGAGAGGUUUGAAUUAAGCCCUGCAAACUGGAAAGGAGGUACUAGUACAUGUGUGAUCCGCUAUUUAUUCGUGUAGGAUCGAGUAGGUCGUUUCUUGAAUUGAGCCCUGCAAACCGGAAAGGAGGUAGUACAUGUGUGAUCCGCUAUUUAUCCGUGUAGGAUCGAUAGUGUAGCUUGUCAGUUUCUUCAGAGGUAGGCAUUUUUAUUCGUGUAGGAUCAAUAGUGUAGCUUGUCAGUUUCUUUAGAGGUAGGCAUUUUUAUUCAAAAAACUGCCACUUCGCAUCUUGCGUCGCAAAUAAAACUUCCAGGAGUGCAUUUGUAGGCUAGCUAGUGAUUGAUCAGUAACUUGUAAACACUGAGCGAACAGAAAUAAGUAACUGUUAAUGCAUCUCAAUGAUUCACAGAUCAUAUACAAAUAUGUAGCUCCAAAAGCAAAGAUCAGCCACUUCGGAUCUUGCGUUGCAAAUAAAACUAACUAGUAUGAUUCCCAUACAUAAGAUCAACAUGUUAAUGCAUCUCAAUGAUUCACAGACCAUAUACAAAUAUGUAGCUCCAAAAGCAAAGAUCUAGAAAAAAACAUCUGUUCUUCCUACGAACAUGGAUGCUUCUCUUGGCCAACAUUCAGUACAGACUGAAAGACAAAUUUGUUUGUGAAGUCUACAAUUCCUCUUGCAAACAUAAGUGGUUUCACCAACAGCUGGAACCAUGAGAAUGAACCACACAUGAUGGAGGAACAUCCACUGCAAUAUGAUUUGGUCUUCUCUCGAUCACACCGUGAGACUAUUUUCGGAAUACAAACUUUAACUUAGGGAAAAUGAUGCCCAUUGUAUAAUCAGACCAAAGCAAUGAAGCACCUAGUGUUGGCCAGUAAAUAGUACAAUACUACUUUUCUGCAGUCCAUGAAGUGACUAUCCAAUCUUUGUGUCUAUUUUCAAAUGGCACUGCAUGUAGUGACUAUACUAUUCUCUUGUGCAGUUCAACCAAAAUUGCGGACACUUUGUUUGUUUGCCAAAUAGCAAUGGGCAGACAUCUCUGUCUGCACAAAUAUCAAGCAGCUAGUAAACAUAUACCACACCAUGUUCGCAGUGAUGGAAGAGGUGAAAUCGAUACAACCAAAAUUGAGCAUCCAAUCAUUGAAUCCUGUCCUGCACCUCCAAUGUAGGUCCACCCUGCCAAUAAAUUCACAUGCAAACCACUAGUAUUACUAUCUAAUGACAGUACAAAAAGAGUAGUAAGAUAGUAGCAAACCAUGUACCUUCGUAAUGAACAGCUCAUAGUGCCACCAAUUGGAUAUAAAGGUUUGGAAAAAAACAUGCUCCUAAUGUUGAACCAGUUGGACUUUUUGUGCAGUUCCACUAAAAUCGAGCAUCCCUGUUUGCAUAGAUAUUAAAAGUGUGAUUACUAUAAAAGUGGCACUAGUUGAAGCAUAGACUCACAAAUGUAAGCAUUCCAGUUUCUUAAUGGGAAAAGGUAGCAAGACUGUUUCUAACCAACUGUUUGAAGGAAUAAAUAAAGCAACAGCGGCUGAUGUCAGGAAGGCAUACAUAGUUUUUUCUGAAAAACUGAGCCAUUCCUGACCUUUCCUCUUCUUUUAAGCAAAUUUUGUGCAGUUCUACUAAAAAUAAUGCCAUCACCACCUUGACAAUUCAGUGACACUAUACAAAAGGAAAUGACUUAACAUUACAUCAUGAUGUCAGGUAUGUAGUCGACAGGCAUUAGAGACAAACAUACGGACCUCCUCCGAUAACAUAAUGAACAUUCAUUUUAACAACGGUGUGACUAGCUUUACCGGGAUAAUUUGAGUGAAUUCUACACCCUCUGUUCCUUAAUAUAAGACGUUUUGCGGUCCAAUUUAAAGUACCCAAACGUCUAGUAUUUAGAAAAACAGGUAGUAGUUUUCUUGAGCACAUAUCUGGGAAAGCUUGCCACACUUUAUUUAUGUCCAUACGCUAAUGCAACACCAUUCGAAUACUACAAAUAUACACUAAUCCAGUGGCUAGUGCAACAGUAGAGUAGUUAGUUUAUUACAGGGUACAGUACAAUGGUUUUACUAAACAGAUUUCAAUAAACUCUAGCACUGGAAGGUUUCUAUAAGUAUUAACAAUACAAAAUGUAAAGGUAACAAGUUUCAGCAUUGGUAUACUAGCUGUGCAUGAGCAUUAAACCAAAUACAGAAGUCUGGAGGUAACUAGCAUUAUUAACUAAUGACAGUAUAAAAAAUUGCAAACCAUGUACCUCGAAGGUAAAUAUCAUUUCAAACUCGGGGGUACCUUAAAAAUCGUUAUCCCAAUCUUGAUAAUCGAUCAAACAUAAAAAACUUGAUCGAAUGAAUCAAGAGAACAGCCGGAGGAGGAGGUGCCCACUCUUGACCUUUCCUCAUGUCUUCAUAAUUGUCUGUGCAGUUUAACCAAAAUAAAAUGACAUCAGCGCCUUGGCAUUUUGGUGACACUGUACAAAAAAAUUAACUUAUCUCAUGAAAGUGAGCUAUGUAAUCUAUAAGCAUUAACAGUGCAAAAAUCUGAAGGUAGUAACAAGUUUCAUCGUUGGUAUACUGGCUGUGCAACAGCAUUAAUGCCUUAGCUGAAAAAUCUUUAAUACAUCCACAAUCAACAGCUAACCCUGAAAUGAUCCAGUGACAUUAAAUUGCACUGCUUAAAUUUAUCGGUGGCAUUAGACUGAGAGCGGCAUUAGUUAAAUGUGGCAUCACUUUAGCAGUAGCAUUGCUUGACUUGACUGCUGGUGUUAUACUAACAGCAAAAAAGUGGCAAUAAGAGCAUGGGAGGCCCAUUCGGACAGUGGGCGCACCAGUACGAUGUACCUCCACGGACGCAGGGUGGUGAGGGAGGUAUGGUUGCCCAGAGCAACAAAUAUCCAGGCAGCAUAUGUGGAUUAUGUCCCAUUUUUGUUCUCUUUAGCCACCUUUUUCCUAUGUGAGGACAACAAACCGAUCGACCUAGUCAUUCUCUAUUGCGUUGCCAUGCCUUUCUACCCUUCUUCAACCAAGAGACGCGAGACUUGUUCCUUAGCUACUGAUUUUCCCCUUUUCAACCUAGAUGCGGGUUCGAUGCCUACUCUCUUGGACAGUACAGUCUCCCUUCCUUUCCUUAUUCAAACCAGACAUGGAUUGGUCUGCAUGAAGUAGGGUUUCCUUUGAUAGUGCAAAUCAUGGUUUUCGUCUGUGUGGCCAGCAGAGCAGAGGAUAGCAAAUUGGGAAGAUGGUGGAGUGGAAAAAGACCCACAUGCAAUGACGUGCCAGAUGGGGCAAUAGAACAAGGGCAUGGUUCGAAAAGAGGUAGCAUACCUGAGGGUCGGCGGGAAGUGGCUUCGCUCAUGGUCGUCGUCCUCCGCACACACUACGGCAACAAGCUUGGGGACGGAGGCCAUCCCGCGCGGGCGCUAGGUCUGAGAGGACGGCCUUGUCGUCAGUGCGUGACCUCGCUCGCCGAUGACGAGUGCGUCAAUGCUGCACGUCCUUUUCUUCCCCGGCGGAUUUGUGACCGCCGAUGAGGAGGGGAGAGGGGUCGUCUUUUUUAGAUCUGGAGAGAGGGUGGUAGUGUGAGAAGCAAGUGGGCAGCCCUUGGCAAGAAAGCGCUGAAACUCCAGCCUAUAUAUCUUCUUUAUACUGGGUGUGGGUGACUGGACUGGAGGGAUGGCCUGGCCAGUGGUGGGAGUAGUAUGGGGGCGGUGAGGCCUCCGCAGCAGCACAUCGGCCACGGGAGGCAGGAGCAGGCGACACGACCGGUGCUGCUUUGGGCGGCUGGAGCAAGAAUACCAGAGGUUGAAGGAGCACUACGGCCGUUGGAUGGACGUCGUACGGUCAGUCGAGCUAGAAUCGUGCAUAUUGACUAAGUUGACAAAGCCCUUCGUCCCCGUCAACUUAGUAGGCCCACUAUACUGGGUCCCAGCUAGCAGGGGGAGUAUUCUUUUUUUGGGCGUAAUAAGGAGGCACUUCCUUGCGUGCGAAGAUAUAGCUGGUGGGUCUGAGCUGUUAGCGGCGGUAACGUUUUUUUCGCAAAAUACAGAGGCCCUUUUGGUGGGUCCCAGAUGUCAGGUGGAGGAAUCAUUAUUUUGCGCGUAAUAAGGAGGCAUUUCCUUGCAUGCGGCCGUGGACCCAGCUGUCAGCCUCUCCACAUACAGUCCACCUCAGAUGCAUGUCGGUCGUUGACCAUGUUGACCACGCCACGCCAAGAGCACCAGGGCGGUGGACGACGGUGAGGCCUAGGAAGGGAACGACAUGGAGGCAGGGAAGACUCGGCAGUUGUUUCCCACGUGGAGGGGAGUACGACUGUACGAGGGUUUACUGGUUCGUCUGCCGUAAACGAAGAAUAACAGCAGGUGUGGGACUGUGGGUGAGUAGAGGGAUGGCUAGGCCAGCGAUGGGAGUACGGUGGGGCGGUGUGGCCUGCGCGGCAGCACAGCCGGCCGCAGGGAGGAGGGAGCAGGCAGUCCCGCCGGCGCUUGUUUGAGCGGCUGGAGCAGGAAGAGCAGAGAUUGAAGAAGCACGAUGGCCGUUGGAUGGACAUCCAAUAGUAUACAGGCCAUCUGUGGAAAGCCUCAAAUCUGUGGAAAACAGCAUACAGCCCAUCUGCCAUUAUUUCAAAUAGUUUACAACCCAUUUGCUAAUUCUUACGGUUUUUUUGGAGCCCAUAUUCUUUUUGUUAGCAUUACAGACCAUAUUGUGGCCACGGUUAAAAAAUUAUACGAAAUUUGGCAUAUGUCAGUGCGGUCUGAACUGUUUUUAAUCCCAAAAUUUCGAGUCACAUUUAGACUAAUUUUAAAAACAAAUGUAUAUCAAUAUAAAAUCCAAUAAAUUGUCCAUGCAUAAAAAUCAAUGCAAUUUAAAAUCUCGAAAUGAAAAAAAGAUAUUUGAAACUAAUUGCCGGUUUGAUGUGUUUUAAAAAUGUACAACCCAUUUCUCAUUACUGAUUGGCCAUUUUCUCGGCCAGCCGAAUGAAGCUCUCCUCGUCUUGAAAGAUUUGCAGCCCAACAGGCCUGAUAAAGCGACUUACUUGACAAAUCACAAAAAACUGGGCUAGCCAUUUUCAAAAAGAAAAAAAAUAUUGGGCUGGUCUGUGGUAAACAUAAAAGAAAAGGUUGUCUAGACAGGCGAGAGAGUCCCGCACAACCCAGGUUGACACCCUGCUUCCGUCUCAAAAACAAAUUAGAUAAAUGCCACUGCAAUUUCCAAACAUUGAAAAAUGCCACUGCAACUUUUGCAAACUUUGAAAAACGCCACUGCAGUUUGCAAACUUUGAAAAACGCCACUCCAGACUUCGGAAAAUGCCACUAGAAAUGGCAUGAAAUGGCAUUUUUUAAAGUUUGGAAAUUGCAGUGGCAUUUCUCGGAGGCAUUUAUCAAAUUAACCCAAAACAAAAAUAACUGGGCGAGCUGUUGGGUCCCUGGUGUCAGCCGCUCGUUGUGCAAUUCUCUCGUUUAUUGACUACGUUGACAAUGGCAUGGGACCCAGAUGUCAGAAAUCCACUAGGAGGAGCCAUUUUUUAUUGGCUUGAAAUAAGGAGGCACUUGCUUGAGUACUGCCAUGACCUUGGCGGGUCCCUGCUGUCAUCCUCUCCAUGUAUAAUCAUCUCCUGAUUGUGUACACGUCAACUCGCUAGGCCCACAAGUCAGCCUCUAAACUCGUGGAGGACAAUACAACCCAUUGAAAAAAAUAGGGUCAUUUGCAUUACUGCCCCUAACUUGAACCACCUACUCACAUUUGCCCCUAAUUUCAAAGCAUGCUCAAAUUUUCCCCUUUGCUGUUAAGUCACUACAUAGAAAUGCCCUUCCGUCCAGUCAAAGGCCUUUGACCGUCAAAGGCCCAUGUGUACUGUAGUAGACGGAAAGUGCUACAGUAUUGGACGGAAAGUGCUACAGUAUUGUACGGAAGGGCAUUUCUGAGUAGUGACUUAAUAGGGGAGGGGUAAAUUUGAGCAUGCUUCAGAACUAGGGGAAAAUCUGAGUAGUGGGUUCGAGUUAGGGGCACAGAUGUAAAUGUCCCAAAAAUAUAACAGCCCAUUCCAUACGUUCAAACGGAAAGUUCAACAUUCAGAGCAAAGUAAUAGGUCUGAUCCACAUAUAGAGUACUGAACUUCCACGUUGACAACCAUCAUAGCCAAGUUAACUAUCUACUCCCACUAGACAAGUACUAACUUACUCUUAGCUAACUAGACGAUGCCGGCCGCCAUCUGCGGUACAUGCUAAACGCCGGCACCGGCGUCCUGCGCCUCGCCUCGGACUUGCUAGAGGUGCGAUAGGGCGCGUUGCUCGCAUGUGUUGGCCCUUUCCAUGCCGGCGUGGUCCACUGAAGCUUCGGCUUCCAAGCGGGAAACCCAGUUGACGAGCGGGUAGUAAAAAUCGGCGGCACGAACGCGUGCGUGCCCGACAGCCUCCAGGGCUAUUUGCCGGGCGCCGACCUCUAGGUAGUCGGCCCAGUUGCGGGCGCUCUGCUCGCGACUUAGAGCGUCGGUGCGCUGCUGCUCCAUGUCCUGCUGGCGGCGCAAAUCGGUGAUACGCUGCUCCUCCGCCAGGCGGUCGCGCUGCAAUAACUCCUGCUCCUCCGCCAUGCGGUCGUGCUCCAACAACUCCUCGAUCUGCGCAUUGUCAUCUAAAGACAGAUAGAAUGCCUCCUCCCUCCGUCUGCCUUCCGGUGAAAAACCAAACACUAGUUCCGGCGGUGACCGCCUCCGGCGUCGCCUACCGCGGACGGGCGGGGGCAUGGUGGACGUUGCGAGCAACGUCGGGCCGGUGGGGGCUUAUGAGUAUAUGGCGAGUUGGGUCACGGUGGCACUAGAGAAGGCUAGGAAACAGUACUUAUAGGGGGAAGGUAGCGCGACGGUCAUUGGAAUUCAAUGCAUAAUGGCUUAGCGCGCCAGCUUGCCGUGGAAAACUAGGGAAACUAAAAUAAUGACUGUGCCAUCCCGUCCCAUCUGGGUCGCACGGCGGCAUGGCGGUCAAACGAGUGCACUCGAAUCAUCUCCCUCCUUGUCAAUAAUGAUUUCACGGAUUUAAAAAGCCCGCAACAAUUAAAGCGUAUCUUUUUUCGCAUCAGUUAGCUGCCUUAAUUACGGCCGGCUGCAUGCAGGCACUCAGAAUCGCUCGCAGGAUGUACACGAAGCAGCAUGCAACGAGUCGUAGCCGAGGGCACGCAUGCAGCCACUUAAAUCGCUGGAAUUAAUUAGGCUUAAACUUCUGCAUGCCGUUAAUUAUUUCCAUGCCUUGGUCUUGCUUCUUUGCUCACGGGACUAAAAACCCGGACGGAGGGAGUACCUUGGUUGGUGAGAGGUUUGAAUUAAGCCCUGCAAACCGGAAAGGAGGUACUAGUACAUGUGUGAUCCGCUAUUUAUUCGUGUAGGAUCGAGUAGGUCGUUUCUUGAAUUGAGCCCUGCAAACCGGAAAGGAGGUAGUACAUGUGUGAUCCGCUAUUUAUCCGUGUAGGAUCGAUAGUGUAGCUUGUCAGCUUCUUCAGAGGUAGGCAUUUUUAUUCGUGUAGGAUCGAUAGUGUAGCUUGUCAGUUUCUUUAGAGGUAGGCAUUUUUAUUCAAAAAACUGCCACUUCGCAUCUUGCGUCGCAAAUAAAACUUCCAGGAGUGCAUUUGUAGGCUACCUAGUGAUUGAUCAGUAACUUGUAAACACUGAGCGAACAAAAAUAAGUAACUGUUAAUGCAUCUCAAUGAUUCACAGAUCAUAUACAAAUAUGUGGCUCCAAAAGCAAAGAUCAGCCACUUCGGAUCUUGCAUCGCAAAUAAAACUAACUAGUAUGAUUCCCAUACAUAAGAUCAACAUGCUAAUCCAUCUCAAUGAUUCACAGAUCAUAUACAAAUAUGUAGCUCCAAAAGCAAAGAUCUAGAAAAAACAUAUGUUCUUCCUACGAACAUGGAUGCUUGUCUUGGCCAACAUUCAGUACAGACUGAAAGACAAAUUUGUUUGUGAAGUCUACAAUUCCUCUUGCAAACAUAAGUGGUUUCACCAACAGCUGGAACCAUGAGAAUGAACCACACAUGAUGGAGGAACAUCCACUGAAAUAUGAUUUGGUCUUCUCUCGAUCACACCGUGAGACUAUUUUCGGAAUACAAACUUUAACUUAGGGAAAAUGAUGCCCAUUGUAUAAUCAGACCAAAGCAAUGAAGCACCUAGUGUUGGCCAGUAAGUAGUACAAUACUACUUUUCUGCAGUCCAUGAAGUGACUAUCCAAUCUUUGUGUCUAUUUUCAAAUGGCACUGCAUGCAGUGACUAUACUAUUCUCUUGUGCAGUUCAACCAAAAUUGCGGACACUUUGUUUGUUUGCCAAAUAGCAAUGGGCAGACAUCUCUGUCUGCACAAAUAUCAAGCAGCUAGUAAACAUAUACCACACCAUGUUCGUAGUGAUGGAAGAGGUGAAAUCGAUACAACCGAAAUUGAGCAUCCAAUCAUUGAAUCCUGUCCUGCACCUCCAAUGUAGGUCCAUCCUGCCAAUAAAUUCACAUGCAAACCACUAGUAUUACUAUCUAAUGACAGUACAAAAAGAGUAGUAAGAUAGUAGCAAACCAUGUACCUUCGUAAUGAACAGCUCAUAGUGCCACCAAUUGGAUAUAAAGGUUUGGAAAAAAACAUGCUCCUAAUGUUGAACCAGUUGGACUUUUUGUGCAGUUCCACUAAAAUCGAGCAUCCCUGUUUGCAUAGAUAUUGAAAGUGUGAUUACUAUAAAAGUGGCACUAGUUGAAGCAUAGACUCACAAAUGUAAGCAUUCCAAUUUCUUAAUGGAAAAAGGUAGCAAGACUGUUUCUAACCAACUGUUUGAAGGAAUAAAUAAAGCAAUAGCGGCUGAUGUCAGGAAGGCAUACAUAGUUUUUUCUGAAAAACUGAGCCAUUCCUGACCUUUCCUCUUCUUUUAAGCAAAUUUUGUGCAGUUCUACUAAAAUAAAAUGCCAUCACCGCCUUGAAAAUUCAGUGACACUGUACAAAAGGAAAUGACUUAACAUUACAUCAUGAUGUCAGGUAUGUAGUCGACAGGCAUUAGAGACAAACAUACGGACCUCCUCCGAUAACAUAAUGAACAUUAAUUUUAACAAAGGUGUGACUAGCUUUACCGGGAUAAUUUAAGUGAAUUCUACACCCUCUGUUCCUUAAUAUAAGACGUUUUGCGGUCCAAUUUAAAGUACCCAAAUGUCUAGUAUUUAGAAAAACAGGUAGUAGUUUUCUUGAGCACAUAUCUGGGAAAGCUUGCCACACUUUAUUUAUGCCCAUACGCUAAUGCAACACCAUUCGAAUACUACAAAUAUACACUAAUCCAGUGGCUAGUGCAACAGUAGAGUACUUAGUUUAUUACAGGGUACAGUACAUUGGUUUUACUAAACAGAUUUCAAUAAACUCUAGCACUGGAAGGUUUCUAUAAGAAUUAAAAAUACAAAAUGUAAAGGUAACAAGUUUCAGCAUUGGUAUACUAGCUGUGCAUGAGCAUUAAACCAAAUACAGAAGUCUGGAGGUAACUAGCAUUAUUAACUAAUGACAGUAUAAAAAAAUUGCAAACCAUGUACCUCCAAGGUAAAUAUCAUUUCGAACUCGGGGGUACCUUAAAAAUCGUUAUCCCAAUCUUGAUAAUCGAUCAAACAUAAAAACUUGAUCGAACGAAUCAAGAGAACAGCCGGCUGAGGAGGUGCCCACUCUUGACCUUUCCUCAUGUCUUCAUAAUUGUCUGUGCAGUUUAACCAAAAUAAAAUGACAUCAGCGCCUUGGCAUUUUGGUGACACUGUACAAAAAAAUUAACUUAUCUCAUGAAAGUGAGCUAUGUAAUCUAUAAGCAUUAACAGUGCAAAAAUCUGAAGGUAGUAACAAGUUUCAUCGUUGGUAUACUGGCUGUGCAACAGCAUUAAUGCCUUAGCUGAAAAAUCUUUAAUACAUCCACAAUCAACAGCUAACCCUGAAAUGAUCCAGUGACAUUAAAUUGCACUGCUUAAAUUUAUCGGUGGCAUUAGACUGAGAGCGGCAUUAGUUAAAUGUGGCAUCACUUUAGCAGUAGCAUUGCUUGACUUGACUGUUGGCGUUAUACUAACAGAAAAAAGUGGCAAUAAGAGCAUGGGAGGCCCAUUCGGACAGUGGGCGCACCAGUACGAUGUACCUCCACGGACGCAGAGUGGUGAGGGAGGUAUGGUUGCCCAGAGCAACAAAUAUCCAGGCAGCAUAUGUGGAUUAUGUCCCAUUUUUGUUCUCUUUAGCCACCUUUUUCCUAUGUGAGGACAACAAACCGAUCGACCUAGUCAUUCUCUAUUUCGUUGCCAUGCCUUUCUACCCUUUUUCAACCAAGAGACUCGAGACUUGUUUCUUAGCUACUGAUUUUCCCCUUUUCAACCUAGAUGUGGGUUCGAUGCCUACUCUCUUGGACAGUACAGUCUCCCUUCCUUUCCUUAUUCAAACCAGACAUGGAUUGGUCUGCAUGAAGUAGGGUUUCCUUUAAUAGUGCAAAUCAUGGUUUUCGUCUGCGUGGCCAACAGAGCAGAGGAUAGCAAAUUGGGAAGAUGGUGGAGUGGAAAAAGACCCACAUGCAAUGACGUGCCAGAUGGGGCAAUAGAACAAGGGCAUGGUUCGAAAAGGGGUAGCAUACCUGAGGGUCAGCGGGAAGUGGCUUCGCUCAUGGUCGUCGUCCUCCGCACACACUGCGGCAGCAAGCUUGGGGACAGAGGCCAUCCCGCGCGGGCGCUAGGUCUGAGAGGACGGCCUUGUCGUCAGUGUGUGACCUCACUCGCCGACGACGAGUGCGUCAAUGCUGCAUGUCCUUUUCUUCCCUGGCGGAUUUGUGACCGCCGAUGAGGAGGGGAGAGGGGUCGUUUUUUUAGAUCUGGAGAGAGGGUGGUAGUGUGAGAAGCAAGUGGGCAGCCCUUGGCAAGAAAGCGCUGAAACUCCAGCCUAUAUAUCUUCUUUAUACUACUAGUACUGGAGGUGGAGUAGUGCUAGAGUAGUUUAUAUUUUCUCUGUGUACAAUACCAGUUAGUCGUGCUUCAAAACUGAACGGCACGCCAUUAAAAAAUAAAGGUCGAUAACUAAUGCGGCACCUCGGGCCAAUGCGGCCAGAUCGCAUUUUGCACGAGAAAUUACACACCAUGUUUCGUUGACAUGUGGUCCCGUUCCAACAUAUCAGUGAGACGACGGCGAGUAGUAGGAGUAUUUCCGAACCACGUGUAGGCCGGGGCGCCCCUUCGUGAACCAUGGCAAACUGGCAACCGUCCACCGACUCUUCGCCUUUCCCUCUCGAUUUGGAACUGUUGUCGCACGCUCUUCCUCUCCCUCCUCCAUUUUCCUUCAGCCCUUCACCCUUUCUUCUGCCAUUGUUCGAUCGUCUUCUCCAUGGAGGGAACAGGACAGAAACGACCCCGUUAUUCUUGCCCCGAUCUAAAAGAUGACGUGGUGGAGGAGCUCAUUGAUCGGUGCGACGUCAUCACCUCGGCUAGCAUGGCAGGUUCGUUCAACCCCAUUCUCGACUCAACUAAUAACAUCAAUACAAGGAACCCAAGAGUAAAGGAGCGGUUUGAUCUCCCCUAUCUUCUUCGCCGUAACCCUGAUAACUGGCGCCGUCACGACAGAGGCCUCGCCCUGUGCAAGUUGAUGCCGCUUGAUAAUGAUACAUAUGAUGUUAAGAUGCCAUCGCUUGAGGGCAAGGCUUGGGCAGGCGCAAAUGGAUAUUGGGUUGUUUACAUUGGGUCCAACUGCGAGUGGGAACUUGUGAAUGUGUACACUCGUGACCGGGUUCCACUUCCAAAAAUCUCAGCAGAAUGCCUAGAGGUUGAGCACACCGUUAUUGUACGCAUGUUCAAAUACAAUCAUGGUGACUGUCUUCUAUGGAAGAUAGCAAUUUCUCGAGUUCGCAACCGCUCUUGGAAUUACAACAACUAUGAAGUUGUUGCUAUCUUCGACAAGCUUGUUGCCGUCCACAGUGGUUUGACUGGAUGGAUAUUGCUCAAAAAUCAGUUUCUAUACACGGAUGAGUAGUGUGAUGCAAUUCAAUACGAGGGCCUUGUGUUUGCUGCCACCACUCGUGGCACUGUUUUUGCAUGGCAUCCUCAUUGUUUCGGUACGUUUGUCUUCCACCGUAAUUAUAAUUGUUUCAUCCACAUGCAUGCGGGUUAGCAAGUUUCCCUUUAGGCUGGUCAUAGUGGGGAGUAACUUGGACUAGUAACAUGCAUAUGUUACUAGUUUAUGUUACUACCUCUAUAGUGCAUAGUAUCUUAGAUUAGUAUCAUCAGUGGUCUCAUUUAUUGCCAUGCAUGACACAUAGUAGCAUCACAUUUAUUAUGUUACGGUAUCUACCUAUGUUACUAUAACCAUCUCUCUUCCUUAAUUGCCUGCCACAUAAGCAUGUUUGUGAGUCCCAAGUGCAUGAUACUACUUAUGUUACCCCCAUUAUGGCCAGCCUUACUAAUUAACCUUCUUCUUGUGUUUCCAAGGUCCUGUGAACAUUCCACCGCCUAUACUUGAAGAUUUUUAUAACCAAGGGGGAGAUGAUGAUAGUGAUGAUCACGAGCAUGAGGACGAGCAGCGCCCAUAUACUAUUUGGUGCCUAGCAACUAAUUCCGAUGGAUCACCUCUUCUCGUGUGUAUACAGCCCACUGAUGAUGUUACUGCUAAGGAAGCAGGUGUAGUCUCCCAUGGUCGCACUCUCCGGACCUAUUCCAACACCCGUUGCAUGGUAUUCGGGAUGGAUACUAGUGUGCUAGCACCAACUCCUUCUUCCUGGUACAGAAUUGAUAGUCUUGGAGAAAACUCGCUCUUCCUUGGACAAAACUAUCCAAUGAUGGUGAAAGGCGAUCCAACUGUUGUUGACACAACGUUACUACCAUUUAUGAGAAGCAACUGUGUCUAUACCUCGGACAUUUGGGUGGUUCCCUAGCCUGGUACUGAUAUAGUAGGCCGCUUCAGCCUGGAUGAUCAGUCCUGCGUUGGUGUCCAGAUCGACAAUGGAUGGCCCGUCCCAGAAAAUCACUUGUGGUUCAAAGCAAGCAUUUCCAGCGCUGAGGAAUGGUUGAGUUGAAGUUCAUCUCAUUGCUUCUUAUUUGUUGUGUGGUGAAAACUUUAGUAUUUAUAAUGUAUCCUCGUUGUCGAUGUGGGUUGAUGACCUGUUGUAUGUAAUAAAAUGAUAUGCAUGUGAUAAACUUACUAAAUUUAUGAAUGGCUUUCGAGUUGCUUUUGUGAGUGAGUGGUGCGACGAGGCAAAAAUAUAUUUUCCGAAUACAUAAUUGUACAUGCAUUGCAACAGGUUAUCGGAUGAGGCCAAUCAACAAUAGUAGUACACUAUUUGUACUAGCUUCACAUGCUUCGUGCGUCGUGCGGGUGUUUUUACUGUAGCCAUAUUGUACUAUGUAAUCAGCACCUCGAAUCCUUGAUACUAGUAGUACUAUAUAGUAAGUAGUGGGAGUAGUAGGGUGGCAUGGGCCAGAACAAGCAUUCAUGUCCAGGAGUACGACACACGCCACCAGCACGACUUCCAUCUGACACCAUAUUUCUUGGAGUCCAUGCUAGAGCAAUCUCUUCAACCUCAUCGUUUCUCUAACUCAGCCAUCACGUGGCGGGCGAGGUGGGGGUUUGCCGAUAGUUGGUUUCCUUAACUGCGGUCCCACUUGUAAGGCCAACUGCAACGCACGACCCCAAACCGACCUCCGUUUUGCACGAACUGCAAUGAUAAUUUUGACUAGAAAAGCAAGACCAAAGGAAACAAGAACCACAAGAAUACAUUUUACUACUCCUGUAAGUUGGAUUAGUGCCUUAUUUAUUGCAUUCAUUGUUGAUUUGCAGAGGCUCGAUCUUGCGUGCUUCUUUCUUCUUCGAGUGUAAAGAAGUAGACGUUGCUUCCUCACAUCUAGUCUCAUGUCUAGCCUCUAUUCUAGUACUCCCUCCGGUCUGUUUUUCUCCGCGUCUAAGCAAAAACAUGCAUACCAAGUAGGAGUAUCAACAAGUGCACUAAUCUCAUCUAUAGCCUCUAUGCUAGCUAAAAGUGAUAGAACAUCUACUAAAUUGCGCUCUAUCAAUAUAUGGAUGUACUCUUCUUCCCAAUACAAAAACUUGCAUCCAUUCUACUCCCUCCGCUGCACAAUACAUGCCUUCUAUUUUUCAAAAUAUAUAUGUAUCUAGACAUGUUUUAGUAUAUAGGUACAUCCAUUUUUGGACAAAUGGAAGUCAAGUAUUUUGGAACGGAGGGAGUACACAAUAAAUUUUUUAAGUUAGCACAACUAGUCUAGUCCAAGAGCACAACCGAAGAUUUGGUCGGGUUCUUCCUCCUUUUGCUGACACGUGGGACAUCCAGCAUCCAGGUCGUGUCAUGAAAGAAAAUAGAGUGGUAGUUGAAGCCACGAGAUGUGCAUCUUGGGUUAAACUGUAAAUAGAAUCUUACUACUCUUGAGUAACUCCAAAAGCGGCCACCGAAGAUCUUUCUUGGAUUUGUUUUUCAUCACCAGCACGUUGAGGUGAAAGAUGUGCAAGUUCAGUGGGUCCGCUUGCGUUUUCACUGACAUGUGGGACCGCAUGUGAGCAAACAGACGAUGGGCUCUGCGCGUCCGCUGGCUGGCUGAGAAGAGAGAUAGAGGAGGGCUGAGCACGGACUGCAGGAAAUUUGUUCUACGUACCUCGAUAUAGCCUCGAUAUAGUGGGGUGGCAUGGGCCAUAAGUAGCAUUCACGUCUAGCAGUACGGCACACGCCACCCACACGAGUCCCAUCCGACACCAAUUUUCUUGGAGUCCGUGCUACAGCCAUCUCUUCUCCCUCCUGUUUUCUCAGCCAUCGCAUGGUGGGCGGGGUGGGGGUUUGUCGAUAGUCGGUUUGCUCAACUACGGUCCCACUUGUAAGUGAAAAUGCAACACCGCACGCAUUCCCGCUUGAGCGGUGUGCCGGACCAACCGUGUGGGGGUGCGACGCGAACACGGCAGGCUUUUCCUUUUGAACUCAUAACUUGUAAAAUUUGGUUUUGCUCCAUGGCGCGAUCGAUAGAUAGAAAAUAACUAUUUUGCCUAGAGUAAUGAGAAGUUUGGUUCUGGCGCCGUUCAUGCAUGGAGUACAUACAAAAAAUAUGAAGUUGAUGUGAAAGGUAAGAUAAUUACUGUAGUAUCAUAUACUACUACAUGGAUUUGACGGAAAGAUGAAAAUACAUAUGGAUCCAUCAACGACAUCCUCACGCCCUAGUGCGCCGGGUCACCAACCGACGUGUGAGGAGCAGCGGCGUUGGUGGCGAGCUCAACGUGCUUCUGAAAAGUGUCGUCCAAGGUUGCCCUGCGGUCCAAGAAGGCCAGCGUCCUAUCGUCCUCCUCUUGCAUGUAGUAGUCCUUGUGGACGAUUUGCGCGUAGACGUGGGUGAUUAUGUCGAUGGUGUCUUGCUGCGCCAGGCGCUGCGUGGCGAGCGCGACCUCGAGGUGGACAUUCUCCGGCGCGACGGCGGGCAGUCACAGGGACACCAGUGCGUCGAAGAGGUUGUCACCAUAGUGGCCGUUGAGGGUGGCGGGCAUCGCAGAGCCUAGGCACGUUGGCUGGAGGCUUACGUCAAAGUCGUCCGCGAGCUUCUUGACGAUGGUGAACUUGUCAAGGAAACCGACGAGGACCUCGUCGAACAAGGAGACGAAGUUGUCGUCCAAGCAGCCCCUCGCCCUGGCGGCCUCAAGCAAUACUACCUGGAGACGUUCCUCCUUGCCGGGCCGCAGGCCAGCGUCGUGGACCAUCUGGCACAGCCGGCUGAUGCUCGCGCUCAUGUUUACGCAAAUGUUAUUUAUAUCUACAAUACCAAAGAUACAUCAUACAAAACUACAUCUCAUGGUGAAUCUAAUGGUAUAUGUUUGUCGUACUAAUUCUUUUUCUCCACGUACAUGGUCAAACUUUGUGAUGUUGGACUUUUCAAUAAAUCUAUAUGCUAUGGGCGGAGGAGAGUGCCUCAGUCGAGACAGAUCAAGUGUGUGUGAAGGAGAAUGAGUAAGUGUGCAAAAAGAGUAUGUGUGUGAAAGAGAAAGUGACAACAAAUGAUAAAUUAGAGAGAGUGUGUGUUUUUUCAUUUCUUAUGCGGACAUAUCAUGCAUGCACCUCCGAGAUGGAAAAGCGAGGCGAGGAGAUACACGAAGAUAGCUAGUGUGUGAUUGUUUGCAACGGAGAGAGACACCCCUGUAGCACAUGUCCAAUAGAGGUCUGGCCAACAAGGAAAAAGGUCGGGAGGGACACAUGGAUGGCAUGGACGCAUGGGGAGGGAGAGAGGGUGUGUUUGUGAUAGAGAGAUCCCCUCGAGAUCGUGAGGGGACUAUAUGGGUGGGAUAUCGAGGAGUGCGUGCGCGAUAGAAAGAUGCCCCGAGAGAAAUCGAGAUAGACCAUGCACAUGUUUGUGAUGGAGACUAAGAUUAGCUAGUCAUAUACAUAUAGGGGGGACUGUGUGUGCCUCCAAUUGAGUGAGAGACCAUCAUACAUGGCUAGUUGGGCAUGAGAUUGUGUGUGUGUGUGCGUGUGAGAUGGAGAGAGAACGAGGGAGGGAGAUAGAGUUUUAGAUGGGCCUAUCAAGUGCGAGUGAGAUAAGCAUGUGUAUGUGUGACCCAGGUGGAUGGAGAGUUUGAGAGAGGGGGGAAGAGCUCCGAGACGACAUAGUCGUGCGUGAGAGAGUUACAGGCAAAGAGCCAAGGAAUUUGUGUGCGUACGAUGAGUGCACCCAAGAUAUCUAGCUUGGACUAGCUAGAGUAUCAUACAUAGUGUGCGAGAGAGACCUAUAGAUGGUGUAUAUAUGCAUGCGAACUAGAAAGACCCCCCCCACACACACACACACACAAAGAGAGAGAGAGAGAGAGAUGGAGAGAAAGGGAGAGGAACCAACAAGGUUUUUGUGUCGGAUGCGUGCGACAUAAUUGAAGAUUGUAGGAGAGAGAGAGGAGAGAGAGAGAGAGAGAGAGAGAGAGAACGGGAGUCCGGGAGAGGGGGAGGUCACGUUUUAUGCAUCAAAGACUGAUAUAAGCCAUGUUUCGAUAUAAACUUGCAUUCAAAUAUUUAAAUUGGAGAACAUGUUGUCUGCAAUCCACACAUAAACGGAUAUACGCGUAUAUCAAACAAGUUCAUUAAUUUGACUUUCAACAUGUUCAUGGAGUUCUAUAAUACUGUACAACAUGCUACUCGAUUGAGGUGUUCAAUUUUGGAUUUAGUUCACUAUUUUGACCUACUGAAUGAGCUAUUUCAUUGAAUCGAGAUAUUUCAUUUUGGGUUUGAUUCGCGUUUUUGAGUGGGUCAACUAUUUGUCAUAUAGUAAAUCGCUAGCAACGAGCAUGUAAAAACACAUUACUCCCGAGCAUCAUCUCUCCAUCUAAAAAAGAAGUGGCAAGCUAAUAUUUCAAAAUUUGAUUCGAAUCGACUUGGCAAGGUAGACGUGGAUGCUCGUUCUCCCAAAAUUUGAAUGAACCGUUAAACAUCCUCUCUGCUCGGUGGAAUUCGCCCGAGCAAAUAAAUGGGAGACACGAAAUUACCGUCCUAUGUGGGACACGCAUCAAUUGGCCCGUUGUACAUCGAGGGUAGGUUCGUAACUUCAUCCAAGCGCGCCUUCUCCUCGGCCGAAAUGACAUGUGCCAAGUAAUUCAUAAACUAUGGUCGGCAAAACACGCUCUCCUCGCCCAAAAUAGCUCGCGCCCACUAUUUCAAAACACGUUCUCCUUGCCCGAAAUCGCUCGCGCCCACUAUAGUUCAAAACACGCCCUCCUCGCCCAAAAUCGCUCCUGCCCACUAUUUGGGGAGAAGCAAAGUUACUCUACUAUCCCCGACCCUCAAUACACAGACCCAAGCCGAGAAGCCUAUAGGCAAGGGUAGAACUGUAACUCCCCCUCACAUUUCAGACAAAUGCGUCCGUAAGACAUGGUUCCACUCCCCUCCCAAUUCCCCCCCUCCCGCCCCCAUUCAUACCUCGUGGGCGCCAAAUCACCUUCUCCCCUGGAAGCUCCCUUCUCCUGAGCCGCGAAACCUCAGCCCCACCUCCAUGGCGCCCCCCACCGCACCAAUUUCACAGCCUCCCUCCUCCCUAAUGCCGGAGACACUGUCCAAUAUCCGUCGUGCACUGGGCCGUGUGCCUCUUACUCUGUGCUGCUGGUGCUGCCUCGACGACGACCGUGUGAACCGUACCGGAGCCGAUUCACCCCCGCCGUUGUUCACGGUGCCGGAGUGGCUCCAACUUCGGAUUCGUCCAGAGUCCUGGCGCUGCUUCACGUAGCCAUCGACCGUCGUGACAUCGCUCUUUCCCUGUCGUCAGUCGCCACCGCAACCGCGCCGGCCUCAUCGACUCGGCAGCUGGACCUGCCUACUUCACCAUACCGCCAGAUAGGUCGCACCCUCAUCUCAAAUCACUUUAUUUAGGCGUCAGUUGUCUAAAUUUUUAUUUUGGGCCAAUCGAUUCCCAAUGGGAAGCAGCACCCUUCGAGGCAGCGGAGCUCCUAGGCUGCCGGUUGGCUGGUGUCUAACGUAAGGGUGCGGGGCCGCAAGUUCGCCGCGAAAGCAGCGCUUAGAUGGCUAUCUUUUAGAGUUGCAUGGGUUGAAGGUACUGCCGCCGCCGGAUCUAGAUGACGGGGAGUCUUUGUGGAUUGGCCCAGGGGCGGCGCAACCACGGCAGUGCGGUGGGGCGGUGAGUGGGGUUUUGGUCGGGUCCACGGACGGCGGAGGCAGGCUGCUCUGCCGUUGGUCGCUGGCUCUUCGGGGAAGAUUCCGAACAGUGUCAGCCGGGAGGCACAAGACGGCCAUCAAGCCAUCCGGCGUAGAUCGGACAGUACCAAAAUAAAAUAAAAUCAUGUGACCCCAAUUUUGUCUUCAGUCAACAGACGUGUGACCACUCUCAUACCUUGUUGUUGAUCUCUUAGUAUAUUUCUUUAGAUCAAAGAGAUAUGUUGUUCUUAACAUUAUGCGUUAUCUGCAUCUUCAGACACACCGUCUUCCGACUCACCACAGCUGCUCCAACAAGGGAAGCAUACACCAGAAGGGAGCUAUAGUCCCCACUCAACAAUUCCCUGCAUCGAAUGCGCAUGCCCGACAUGGACAGCCACAACAACUGCAGGGCCAUCGACAAGUCAGCACAUGAUGCUCACUCCUAUGGAUGGCAGCCAGAUAGGUUGUACCCUCAUCUUACUUGUGUGCAACAUUUAUGGCUUUGUUAUUCAUCUAAGCAUGGAAAAUAGAUCAUCACAUUUCACUAUAUAUUCAUGCUGAUCUCUUAGGGGUCUUGUUCAGGAGUUCACGUUGUUCCAUAGUUCAGCUAAGAUACUUGUUCUUUAGGUAACGUUAUUCCAUAGUUAUCAUCCAUCAGCCAAUGCUAUCCCAGAGGCUGGUGAUUAUAGUAUUAUACCACUUCUAGUAUUACCUAUGUUGUUCUUUAAUACUUUUGUGUGCCAUCUAGUUAAUCUCGAGUACAAACGAUACAUAUUAUGUAGCUUUCAUCUGUGUUCUCCCUUUAGUUUAUGAGACCUGUUGGUGCUAGUUAACCCCAGUCCUAAUAUUUAUGUUGUCUCCUACAGGCACUCAUUACAUAAAUCUAACUACUAGUUGUCUUCCAUGCAUGUCAGAUAUAAUUGCGCACACUGAUAUAUCCACAAGAACCUCACGGAGCAAUGUAAAGGCCAAUAAACUUGAUGUCAAUGAUACCCAAUAUGAUGGAACAUGUAAAGGCAGUUCUUCAGAAGACUUGAAGAAAGAUGAUGAAUCCUCUUCACCCCACAAGGUCCUUGCUCUAACUUUGCAUGUGAUAUGGGUACAACAUGCAUAUAAUGUCCUGGAGUGUAUCUACUCUGUUGCAAUGCCAUGUGCUUAGCAUGCUGAUCAUGCAUGUAAAUAUGUCAUGCCUUCCUGUUUUUUAGUACCUAUUCCAUUCAUGAUAACAUGUUUUCAAAUUCAAGUACUAUCAUUCUACUCUAUCGUAGUGCCCUCUGCUUAAUUUGGACAUCAUGCUUCUGAAUAUCUUAUGCAUUGUUAUUCAUCAGUAUGUACUUCAUUUGUCUGCCAUACCAUGUUUUUUGACAUUGAAGUGUUGUUCUAGUGCUCUGUUGCAAUGCCAUCUUAUUUUCCCAAUCAUACACGUGUAUGUUGCCUUAGUUAUUUCUGUAUGUAUUCUGCUAGCAUAUAGUUUUACAUUCAACUAGUGUUUUAUUUUACUGUGUUGUCCUGUCAUAUCCCUAGCUCUUACACUAUACUCCCUCCGUCCGGAUUACAUGUUGCCGAAAUGGAUAAAAAAGGAUGUAUCUAGAACUGAAAUACGCCUAGACCCAUCCAUUUUUUUCUAGAUGGAGGGAAUACAUGUCAAUAUGGCAUGUCUUUUUAUUCUUCAGUACCUAUUCCAUCUCUCUGCUGUCGCAUGUUUUAUAAUUAAAGCACCAUUCUUCUAUACAAGGCAUGCAAGGGGAAGAUGACUAUGUUAGAAUCUGAAGGGUUACAAACAAGGCCUUUGCAAAAGAUCCAAACGCCAGGAGAUAAUAAACCAACCCCAGUUUUUAUAGAUACUGCUCCAGCACAGAGAAACCCAACUCCUACUGAUAAUAAGCAGAUUCCAGUGGCCAAAGAACUAGUCUGCUCCAGUCCAGCAAAAAUAUGUCAACUCAAUUCUAAGAAGUGUGUGUGUAUCCUUGCAUCAUGAAAUUUUAUAGCAUGCUGAUCAUAUUUUCUACAUGUUUCUUCCCCAUCUCUCUUUUAGAAAAUAAGCUUAACAGAUAGAAGAAUUUCUGCAAUGGUAUCGUUUAUGAGGAAAGAUUCUUGCAGGAAUUCUCUGUGCUCCAAUGUAGAUGUAACUACCUGUUGUAUAUCACUAUAUUUUUACAUCAGCAUGUAUUUUGUUAAUCGGCGUGAAUCCAAACUUUAACUAAUCUAAAUUUAGUUGUAGCAAAAUGUAUGAUUAAAGGCCACAAUGUUGAUUUUUGUAAGGAAAACUGCCUGGUAGUUUUGCAUCCUGAGCUGCAUGAGUGUACUAUCUCAUAUCAGUGGGUUUGAAUACUUUGGUUCUGCAGUGGGUUUUUUAGUGUUUUUUUACUGUGUUGUCCUAUCGUAUCCCUAGCUCUUACAUCAUACUCCCUCCGUCCGGAUUAAAUGUCGUAGAAAUGGAUAAAACUGGAUGUAUCUAGAACUGAAAUACGCCUAGACCCAUCCAUUUAUUUCCUGAUGGAGGUAAUACAUGUCAAUAUGUCAUGCCUUUCUAUUCUUCAGUACCUAUUCCAUCUUUGUUGUAGCAUGUUUUAUAACUGAAUCACCAUUCUUCUAUAUAAGGCAUGCAAGGGGAAGACGGCUAUGUUAGAAUCUGAAGGGUUACAAACCAGUUCUUUGCAAAAGAUCCAAACGCCAGGAGAUAAUAAACCAACUCCAUUUUUCAUAGAUACUGCUCCAGCACAGAGAAACCCAACUCCCACUGAUAAUAAGCAGAUUCCAGUGGCCAAAGAACUAGUCCGCUCCAGUCCAGCAAAAGAAUGUCAACUCCAUUCUAAGAAGCGUGUGCGUAUCCUCGCAUCAUGAAAUUUUAUUGCAUUCUGAUCAUAUUUUCUACAUGUUUCUUACCCAUCCCUCUUUUAGAAAAUAAGGUUAAACGAUAGAAGACUUCCUCCAUUGGGAUCGUAUUCGAGGAAAAUAUCUUGCGAGAAUUCUCUGUGCUCCAAUGCUGAUGUAAGUACAUGUUGUAUAUCACUAUAUUUUUACAUCAACAUGUAUUUUGUUAUUCGGCGUGAAUCUAACCUUUAUCUAAUCUAAAAUUAGUUGUAGCAAAAUGUUAAAGGCGCCAAUGUUGAUUUUUGUAAGGAAAACUGCCUGGUAGUUUUGCAUACUAAGUUGCAUGAAUGUACUAUCUCAUAUCACGCACAUUACUGAAUUGUAGUGCUUCUUUGGUUGCCCAUUCAUUCAUUGUGUCAAUGUUGCUUUCGUACUACCUUACCUGGCUGAUGAUAGCUAUGCCAUAUUGUGUUAAUUUGGUGUAGGCUAGUUGCCUAAACGUUCAUUGUGUCAAUGUUGCUUUCCUAUUAUCUGACUUGGCCAAUGAUAGCAAUGCUAGUGUGUUAAUUUUGUGCAGGCUGCUAAAGAUAAGAAGACAAACUCUGAAAACAGCAAGGUAACCCCAUUGUUUCUUUCCAGUAAAUCUAGGCCAGGUAAUAUGGCAAUAACUCAUGAUUAAUCUGUUUGGUUCCCGUCCUAAUUUAUGUUAUGAUGCAGUGGUCGAAACACUCUCCACUAUCAAUAAUACAAGCCUGCCAAAAUCGCCAUCUGAAUCUAUUCAGUAUACUCUGUCUCGGAUGCAAUAGAAUAAAUGUAUGUUUGUGAACCAAUUAAUCGCUGAAGCAAUGAUGGAAAUGGUGGAUGAAUCAGAGGUGCAGAGUCGUGCGACACAACAACUGAUCAAUGUUUUCAGAGACAGUAUAGCAAAGCAGCAAGAACUUGCCCACAUGCUUAUGGGCGUCAUCUCUGCUGAGGUUGCAGAUUGUGAUGUUGUAGAUGGUUAGAUUCUGCUCAUUUAUUUGCACUGGCAUCAAUCUUUGAUUGCCCAGUGGAUGUAAUUUCCUGUAAUAUAUGCUGGAUGUGCAACGUUAUUCCCUGUAUGCCAUACCUUUGCUUGAUCGGUUUUUGUCCUGUGCAUAAUUGCUCAUCGUAAUGGGCUCAAAUUAUCUAAUUUGGCCUAAAGACAUGUACGAACUUUAGUGGGCCCAUUAAGUUAAUGGGCCGUUACUAGGCCGAAAGUAAAUGGUCGGCCCUCUUACCUCCCGGGUCAUUAACAGGCCGACAUCAAAGCGGGCAACAGGUGGCCCCAAUUUAUUUCACGGGCCGUUAACAGGACGUUACUAAGUUUGGGCUACAUAUGGCCCAACUAUACUGUAGGCCUUUAGCAGGCCGAAAGAGACAGCGGGCUUGUACUGGACCAUGAAGACCAUGGGCCGCUAAGAGGACGAAAGUCAGGUCGUAUUGUAAAUGGCCCAACUGUGUUGUGGGCCUUUAGCAGGCCGAAAGAGAAAUCGGGUUGGUACUUGACCAUGAAGGGCAUGGGCCGUUAAAAGGCCAAAACUAAGGUCCGACUACAAAUGGCCCAACUCAUUUAUGGCCCGUUAACAGACCGAAAGGCACAUAGGGCCGGGAAUUGGCCCAACACUUAAAUGGGUCGCUAAAAGGCCAAAACUCAGGUCCAACUACAAAUGGCCCAACUGAUUUAUGGGCCGUCAACAGGCUGAAAGUGACAUCGGGACAGAAAUUGGCCCAACACUUAAAUGGGCCGCUAAAAGGCCGAAACUCAGGUCCGACAACAAAUGGCCCAUCAGAUUUAUGGGCCAUCAACAGGCUGAAAGAUAGACCGGGCCGGAAAUUAGCCCAACAUUUAAAUGGGUCGCUAAAAGGCCGAAAGAUGUACAUCCUGAAAAUUGGCCCAUCCAUUAAAUGGGCCGUUAACAGGCCGAAAUCUCAUCGGGCCGAUAUUGAGCCCAAAUAUAUAGCGCGUUGUUAACGGGCUCGAACGGACGAUGGGAUGCAAUGGUGUCAAAUCUUUAAUGGGUUGUUGACGGGCCGAAUUGGCACAUCUCGUAUGGGUCAUGGGCUUAAAUGGACCUGACACAAGUAGGCCUUAUAUGGGCCGGCCUGCUAAUUUUUACUGGGCCAGCCUUUUUCAUCAGAAUGGGCCACUGUUGGGCCGUGCCAUGUGUUGACCUAUCAUAGGCGCCUCCUGUCCAAUGAGUGGAUGGCAUCUGUCUCAACGGUGAGGCAACACGUGUUUCCUGCGGCCAAUGAUGAUUUUACACGUGGAAAAUCCCCAUUGGUCCAGGCUGUUAACGGGUUAUCGGAUCCAAAACCGGACCCAAUAGCUUAACGGCGUUCCGUUACGGUGGAUGCCACGUGUCGGUCACCCUUGACGAAAGCACUUCUGUGAUGCGCGAUUUAUUGUCAUGGAAGUGGACACUUCCGUGAUGAUAAUUUUGGUAAUGUCAUGGAACACUUCUACGACAGCACAUGUAUGACUAUCUUGAUUCCAUCAUAAAAUCGUCAUGGAUGUACAUGCAUGACAAAAAAACGUGACCUACUAUGACAAACACGUAUCAUCACGGAAGUGUUUUUUUGUAGUGAUAGCCUCCACACAAUGUCUAACGUUACACACAGAUUCCCAAACUCGGUGGGACUGAAUCAGCAAACUUGGUCAUACCGAUCCAGGUAAAAAUAUGAAUGUUAGAGUUUUUGAUGGGACCGAUAUAGUCAUCCCAGUGAGACCGACAUGCUAGGGUUUGGGCAUAACGUAAUCUCGGUGUGACCGAUCGCAUAAACUCGGUGGGACUGAUUUCAGCAAUAGGUACACAGAGGGUUGGUCAGGCAAACUCGAUGGGAUCGAUUCGCUCACUUCGGUGGGACUGAAGUGAUACGAAAAGGAAACAGGGAGUUUGCAAUGUAUACUCGGUGGGACCGAUUUUCUCAUUUCGGUGAGACCGAAAUGUUACAAAAAGUAAAUCGAGAGUUUGUAAUCCCAUCUCGGUGAGACCGAGAUCCCUAUCGGUGAGACUGAAGUAACUAGGAUUUGUGGCAGUGGCUAUGUCAAAUGAAACUUGGUGGCGCCUGAUAGAUCAAAUCGGUGGGGCCGAAUUUGACUUUUAGGUUUAGGACAUAUGUGGAAAUGAGAAAGUGGUUGAGGGUUUUGGAGCAUAUCACUAAGCAUUUUGAGCAAGUAAGCCAUUAAGCAACACCUCAUCCCCUUUUAAUAGUACUGGCUUUCAUAUGGACUCAAUGUGAUCUUGGAUCACUAAAAUGAAAAUGUAGAGUCUUGAGCUUGUUGCCAAUGUAUGUCCUUUGCAUUUUGAGGGGUCCACAUCUCUAGUCCAUGCCAUGCCAGUCAUUGAACUUUCUGAAAUGAUCAUCUUGAAAGAGCAUUAGUUCAAUGAACUAUAUGUUGUUAAGAAUUACCAAAACCACCCAGGGAUUAGUUGCACUUUCAUGUUUACAUAGUGUUGCUUGGUUCUCCUACUGGAUUGAUAACCUUGGUUCCAUAACUGAGGGAAAUACUUACUAUUGUAGUGCUGCAUAAUGCUCUCCUCUUUGGGGAAUUACCAACGCAGAUACAAGCAAUCAGCGUCUUCAGUCAUCGUGUAAGAGAAGGCCCUAGGGUAAGCUUUGCCAUAAAUUGUUUGGUUCCAGUUAUCCUUCCAGAAAAAGGGUGAGGAUCCACUACCAACUUGAAUUUUGGUCACACCACGGUAGGGGUGCAUAAGUUGGAUCAGAUCCUUCCACCAAAAGGAUCCGCAUGGGUGAGGGUGUUCUGGAUUAAGGGGUCCUCGGACAACCGGACUAUAUACUUUGGCCGGACUGUUGGACUAUGAAGAUACAAGAUUGAAGACUUCGUCCCGUGUCCAGAUGGGACACUCCUUUGCGUGGAAGGCAAGCUUGGCAAUUCAGAUAUGUAGAUUUCCUUCUCUGUAACCGACUCUGUGUAACCCUAGCCCCCUCCAAUGUCUAUAAACCGGAGGGUUUAGUCCGUAGGACAACAACAAUCAUAUUCAUAGGCUAGCUUCUAGGGUUUAGCCUCUACGAUCUCGUGGUAGAUCAAAUCUUGUAAUACUCAUAUCAUUAAGAACAAUCAAGCAGGAAGUAGGGUAUUACCUCCAUCGAGAGGGCCCGAACCUGGGUAAAACAUUGUGUCCCCUGCCUCCUGUUACCAUUAUCCUUAGACGCACAGUUCGGGACCCCCUACCCGAGAUCCGCCGGUUUUGACACCGACAUUGGUGCUUUCAUUGAGAGUUCCACUGUGUCGUCGUGGUAAGGCUAGAUGGAUCCUUUGAUCAUCUUCAAUGAUGCGGUCCAGGGGGAGGUUUUCCUUCCCGGACAGAUGUUUGUAUUCGGCGGCUUCGUACUGCGGGCCAACUCGCUUGGCCAUCUAGAGCAGAUCGAUAGCUACGCCCCUGGCCAUCAGGUCAGGUUUGGAAGCUUGAACUAUACUGCCGACAUCCACCGAGACUUGAUCUUUGACAUAUUCGAGCCCAUGUCAGGCGCGCCGGACGGUCACGGCGGGCAUGACUUUGAUCUGCCAUCGGACAAUAUUCGAGAGAUCGCGCCUGCGGCGGCGGCGGGAGUCAAUCCGGAGCAGAUCUUGCCCUCCGAGGAUGGGUGGAUGGACCCCGCCACGAAGGCCGCGCACUCAUCGACGCUGGAGCCAAACACUGACCCCACCUCCCGUGAGGGUGGUGUCAUCGGACCCUCGGACUUGUCUCCGGCUACAGGAUCCGAACCGCGUGUGUUCGUGCCUAUCGAAUCUGAUUGGGCACCGGUCAUGGAGUUCACCACCGCGGAUAUCUUUCAGCACUCGCCAUUGGGUGACGUGCUGAACUCAUUAAGGUCUCUUUCCUUGUCGAGAGAUUCUUGGCCGAACUAUGUCCGGCUCGAGUGGGAAGCGGACGAUGAAGAAAUUCGUUCGCCACCCACCACCCACUUAAUAGCCACUAUUGAUGACUUAACCGACGUGCUUGACUCCAAUUCUAAAGACAUCGACGGUAUGGAUGACGAUGCAGGAGAGGAAGAGGAACCACCGCCUAUAGGGCACUGGAUAGCCACCUCAUCAUACGAUAUAUAUAUGGUGGACACCCCUAAAGAAACCAAUGGCAAUGAGGCAACGAACGAUAACCCCUCGGAGGAGCAAUCUAAGCACCGCCGUCAUAGGCGCCGCUCCAAGCCCCGCAAUAGUAGAAAUAGCGAUACCGACACAAGAGAUAACAAUCCGGAUGGUGCUGAAGACGAAAACAAUCCUGCCCAACCAGGCUUCGAGCAAGCCGAGCAAGAGGAUGGGCAAGCUAGCCCUAAAGAACAGGCAACAGAUGGAGAAUCACAGGAUGAUAAUUACAUGCCUCUCCCCGAAGAUGAAGUGAGCCUUGGCAAUGAAUAAUUCAUCGUGCUUGAGGAUCCCGUCGAGCAGGAGCGCUUCAAACACCGGCUUAUAGCCACUGCCAAAAGCCUGAAGAGAAAACAGCAACAGCUUCAAGCUGAUCAAGAUCUGCUAACUGACAGAUGGACCGAGGUCCUGGCUGCCGAGGAAUACGAACUCAAGCGCCCUACCAAAAGUUACCCAAAGCGCAGGUUGCUACCUCAACUCGAGGAGGAGGCAUUAAAGCCCACACUACCAGUGCAUGAUGCGGCUGACCGGCCACCCCGUGGCCGCAACAAAGCAACGUACUAGCCCGAAGUCCAGACCGCACCCCAUCGCCAAUCAAACGAUAAUACUAAGGCCCGGGGCUACAUGAAGGACCUGCGAGAUGUAUUGGAAAACAAAGCAGGACAGUCAAGAUCGAUCUACGGAUCACGGGGGCGCGCCACAAGACGUGACGAUGACCGUCACGCCGGAUACAAUAAAACAAAGUUCGGCCGGGCCGAAUACAAUAGACCGGAUUCAUUUGAACUACGUCGAGAUGUAGCCCGGCAUAGAGGCGCCGCACAUCCCCUAUGCUUCACUGAUGAAGUAAUGGAUCAUGAAUUCCCGAAAGGGUUUAAACCCAUGAACAUUGAAUCAUACGAUGGUACCAUAGACCCCGCAGUAUGGAUAGAAGAUUUUUUCCUCCACAUUCACAUGGCCCGCGGAGAUGAUCUACACACCAUCAAGUACCUCCCACUAAAACUAAAGGGACCGGCUUGGCAUUGGCUGAAUAGCUUGCCGUCAAACAACAUCGGGAGUUGGGAGAACCUGACAGACGCAUUCCUUGACAACUUCCAGGGCACUUAUGUGCGACCACCGGGUGCUGAUGAUCUAAGUCACAUAACCCAGCACCCCGGAGAGUCGGCCAGGAAAUUUUGGACCCGGUUCCUAACCAAAAAGAACCAAAUUCUCGACUGUCCGGAUGCCGAAGCCCUAGCAGCCUUUAAGCAUAACAUCCGUGACGAGUGGCUUGCCCGACAUCUCGGCCAGGAAAAACCAAAGUCCAUGGCAGCCCUCACAACACUCAUGACCCGCUUUUGCACGGGCGAGGAUAGCUGGUUGGCUCGUAGCAACAAUACAGCAAGCAAUCCUGGCACAUUGACAGCCAAGGAUAGCAAAGACAAACCACGGCGCAACAAACACAAGCGCCGCAAAAAUGGUGAUAGUGCCGAAGACACGUCAGUCAAUGUCGGAUUCAGCGGCUCCAAGUCCGGUCAGCGGAAGAAGCCAUUCAACAAAAACAAUUCAGGCCCGUCCAGUUAUGACCGCAUACUCGACCGUCCAUGCCAAAUUCAUGGCACCCCAGGAACACCGGCCAACCACACCAAUAGAGAAUGCUGGGUCUUCAAACAAGCCAGCAGGUCGGAUGCCGAAAACAAGGGGAAGGGGUCUCAAAGCGACGAUGACGACGAUCACCUAAUACAGGAGGACAGAAGAAAUUCCCUCUCCAGGUGAAAACGGUGAAUAUGAUAUGUGCAAGCCACAUUCCCAAGUGGAAACGUGCACUAAGGGAGGUCUAUACAAUUGACCCAAAGUUUAACCCAUGGCCCUCUUGUCCGAUCACUUUCGAUCACAGGGACCAUCCUACCAGUAUCCGUCAUAGCAGUUCGGCCGCACUGGUCCUCGACCCUAUCAUUGAUGGAUUCCACCUCACAUGAGUCCUUAUGGACGGAGGUAGCAGCCUGAACCAGCUGUACCAGGAUACAGUGCGCAAAAUGGGCAUCAACCCCUCAAGGAUCAAGCCCACAAAAACCACCUUCAAAGGUGUCAUACCAUGUGUAGAGGCCUGUUGCACGGGCUCAAUCACACUGGAAGUGGUAUUCGAAUCUCCGGACAAUCAUCGUACCAGAGAUUUAGUCUUCAACAUCGUCCCCUUUCGUAGUGACCAUCAGGCACUGCUCGGACGAACCGCGUUCGCUCGGUUCAACGCGGUGCCACAUUAUGCCUACCAUAAAUUAAAGAUGCCCGGUCCAUGCGACGUCAUCACGGUUAAUGGCAGGUCCGAACUCCCCCUCAUUGCCGAAGAGUCUACCACCUCUAUAACAGUAAGAACAACGGAUGGCACCUUCCAACCGGACCUCGAGUCGACGAACAAGUUCCCGGACACCAUCAAAGGAGUCCGGACUACUGCGCGGCAGGAUAGCCCGAUUUGCCCGGAGCUUAAUUAAAAACACUCCGCAAAAAGAUAAUACAAGCCACAUACUGCGGCUCAACCGCCCUGAGGCGCAAAACAAUUUCUUGCAUUUUUUUGCAGGUUCACCUGUACAUAGGCCAGGAUGGAUGGCGUGGAAACAAUUCGAGCGUGUAAGGGAAUCUCUAGAUAUUCCCCUCUAUGAUCAUCCGACUACACCCCGGGUCCGAGCACAAUUUCCUCACACCCGGUAUCAGUAGGUUCCACAAUCAUAUUUAUCACAUCAUCUGUACUCAUACGCAUUAAGCUAUUAUUCAAGUACAACAUGUGGAUUUAUGUGAUGCUCAUCUGUUGCUAUUUCUUAUUUAAAACUCUUCUGUUAAAAGGCGGCUGCUUAUCACGAUAUGCCUUAAUAUGCCAGGGACUUCAUCAUGCCCAUACUACAGCAAAAAAGUCCGAACACCUUCAUGGUAGUUUGGCACCCCGAACUUAUAGCAUUAUAUGCAUCAGCUCUGAAUCAUGUCUUGGGUCAAUAGUUGGGUUUGCCCAGCUCCUAUGUUUUGGUACCUUACGUUCCGCUAUAUCGGCUAAGGUAGCACCGGGAGAAGUACUGCGAUUGUGUCCCGGUUCUUCCGGACGAGCACCUCAGUAGAGAAAGCCGAAAACUGACUGUCAUGAUGUAGCGAGAGCUGGUCAGCUGUUCGAGAGGUUCUAAAAUCUUUAAGGAUUUCUUCCGCAUAAUGCCAUAACCAAUGCAGCGUGCGACGGAUCGGCCUUUUCUGAUCAGGUGCUUAUAGAGCCCCUCGUGCGGUCUUCCGAACACCAGGGGCUGCGCCUACCUUCCUCGAAAAACCUCCCAUGGCUAAGUGAGAGCGAUAAAGCCCUAUAGUCCGAUUGCCUGGUUUGAUGUGCUGAACACCUCCUUUAGGGACCCAAAACUGGGAUAAAAAGUGCUCAGGUUUAUCUCGAACACCCCCAUACUCACUACGUGGGGGCGGAAGCCGACGACUGGCCGACUCUCAGGAUUAUUAUAAAAAACGGCCGCACAGGAGGAAAAACUUUCAUACGACAAGUAAUAAAUAAUGACCUUGUUCAAAUAUUACAAAGGAAAACAUGACCGUAUUCACAGAAAUAUAAUGUCCUUGGUGCAUUGCUUCGCCGCAAGGCGGGCCCCUUCCAGGACACAUUCAUAAUACAGGUCGGGCUUGCGGUGCUCUUUCCCCUCUGGUGGUCCCUCGUUCAUUAGCUUUUAUGCAUCCAUCUUCCCCCAAUGCACCUUUGCAUGGGCGAAGGCCAUUCGCGCACCUUCUAUGCAGACCGACCGCUUGAUGACUUCGAGUCGAGGGCAGGCACUCGCAAUCUGCUUCACGAGCCCGAAGUAACUGCUUGGAAUCGGCCCGGCAUGCCACAGCCGGAUAAUCAAAUCCUUCAUGGCUAUCUCGGCCGCCUUAUGCAGUUCGACCAGCUGUUUCAGCUGAUCGGAAAACGGCACCGAAUAAUUUGACGCUAGAUACUACAUCCAGAAGAGUUUAUCCGCGGUAUUCCUCUCUUCGGCUCGGUAGAAUUGGGCGGCGGCAGAUAUGCUGCGUGGCAGCUCCGCAAACACCCCUAGAAAAAUCAAAAUUUAAACUCUCAACUUGAUUUUCUCCUUUCAAAUACUCGCUUUGUACAGAAAAAGCCUUACCAGCCGCAAUCUUCCUUGCCUCCUGGAUUUCCUUCAGGGCACCUUUUGGGCCUCCCCCCGGGCAUCAUUUGCGGCUUGGUGAGCCUGGGAGAGUUCGGAUUCUUUACCUGCUAAACUCUUCUCCAAGGUCUCGCAUUUCUGCACGGCCUCUUGAAGCUCUCGCUCAGCCUCAAUAACUCUAGCCUCAUGUUUCUCAUGAAGAGCCUACUCUGCAGCUGCCUUCUUCUCGGCUUCGGCCACAACCUUCCUGAGAGCCUCAAUUUCAGCCGUCGCUCCUAGAGCAUGUUAUAAAAAUAUUUUCAUCAUGCACACUUAUUCAUUUGUGCUACAUAAACAAGGUUUCUACAUACCUUGAUUCUCCUCCAGCUGUCUCUUCACUUGGCCAAGUUCUCCUUCGGCCCGCUCCAGACUAUGCCUCAAUUCGGAUACUUCCACAGCAUGAGAGGCGGCAGUCGCUAUAGAUGCCUGCUGGUUAAAAAGAGUGAUAAAUGUCAUCAAGUGAGUCUCCUGGGAGCAUGAAUUUGAUCCUCUGUCCGGUUCUUUCUUUCACCGAACAGUGUAGGGCUACUAUCUAUACCAUGACACUCUCCCAAAAACUCAUAAAAAAUACCUCAAAGCCUCUUAUGAGGCUAAUACAGGAUUCAUUCAGUCCACUCUCAGCGGACUGAAUCUUCUCAAUCACCGUACCCAUGAGGGCACGGUGUUCAUCAACGAUGGAGGCACCCUUCAGCGCCGCUAAUAAAGUAUCCGGCACCUCUUGUUGGACAGAGGCGGCUGGUGGAGCAGGCAUACCUCCUCCAGUUGGCAGAGGCCAUUUGUCUGACUCGGGGACCUUAUGGGUCUCUAGAAUUGUGUCCAGCUUGUGUCCGGAUUCAAGAUGACCCCCGUCGUCGACACCCACGAGAGCUUUCUCUCCCGUGUGUCCGGCCCCUGAAGUAUGGCCUCCUGGCUCCGCCUUUGUGACCUUCUCCCCUCCUUCGUGGACUAGGUCCUUCUGGGACAAAACCUCGGUUUCAUUCCUACGUUUGGAGGAGGAGGCCUUCAGGGGUGUCCCCCUCUCCAUAGCGUCCAAACCCAGCAGAUCUUCUGACGAGGACUGUUCGGUGCGGGGCUUCACCGGACUGAAAAAAGCACGGCUCAGAUUAGAAUAUGAUGCCAUGACAAAUCCGGACGCAUGAGUGUGUUCGGAUUUUAUACUCAUGAGUUCACCAGGGGCUCGGCCCUGGGAUCCCACUCCGGGCUGCUAUCGGUGGCACCGGUGGACUCCUCUUGUAGAGGAGUUUUUCCCCUCUUAGGUGGCUCGCCCUCCAAGGAUGUGGAGGCCUUCCUUUUCUUUCUUCCCCCCGCGGCGGAUUCGUCUCCUUCCUCCUCCUCAUCCUCUUCGGAGGAAGAAUGGGCAUUGGACUCUUCGGAUCUUGCGUCCGAAGCGCCACGACGACGGAGGCUGCCCCUGGUCUUCUUGGCCUCAUUUCCGGCCUUCUUCUUCGGUGCCUUGUAAGGCGCCGUGACCAGCAUCUUCAUCAGAAGCGGGCCGGCUGGUUCUUCUGGUAGCAGGACCAGACAGUAGAUCCGCCCCGCCUUCUUCACCCAGCCCUAGGAAAUUUGGGGGAAACACUUCAGGCAUUUUCUUAAAAAAUAUGCGAAUGAAACAUACGAACUGUCAACAAGCGAUCCCUUACCGAACUUGCCGGGCGGGACAGUUGGUACCCGCGGUCCUCGGCAGAGUCCGGCCAUGAUUUGUCGGACUUGAAAAGCACCUUCCAUAUGUCCUUAUGCGAAGAGCCAAAGAGCUCUAACAAGGUCUGGUGCUUGGCCGGGUCGAACUCCCAUAGAUUGCAAGCCCGGUGUUGACAAGGUAGAAUCCGGUGAACUAACAUCACUUGGACUACAUUGACGAGCUUGAUGUCCUUUUCUUCCAUAUCUUGGACGUGCGUCUGGAGCUCUGAUAGCUCAUCAGACGAAGCCCAGUCCAAGCCCUUCUUGGGCCAGGACAUAAGCCACAGGGGGGCGCCGGAUCUGAACUCUGGGGCGGUGGCCCAUUCCUUACCAUGCGGCUCUGUGAUGUAGAACCACUGCUGCUGCCACUCCUUGACGGAAUCAUUGAAAGCACCCGUUGGCCAUGUAACGUUGGGCAUCUUACUCACCAUGGCACCUCCGCAUUUGGCAUGCUCGCCACUCACUACCCUGGGCUUCACAUUAAGAACCUUUAUCCAUAAGCCAAAGUGCGGCGGGACAAGGCCUCGCACACGAUGAUGAAUGUCGAGAUAUUGAGGAAAGAAUUGGGAGAUAGAUCAUGAAAAUCAAUCCCAUAAUAGUACAUGAUGCCGUGAACAAAUGGGUGGAAGGAAAACCCUAGCCCGCGGACAAAAUGAGGGAGAAAUACCACCCUCUCGUGGGGUUCCGGGGUGGGGACGAUUUGUACCGCCGUCGGAAGACGGUGGCUGAUUCUCUUGGCCAAAUACCCUGCCCCCCGAAGCUUUUUGAUGUCCUUCUCCUGGACGGUAGAGGCCAUCCACUUGCCUCCUACUCCGGAUCCAGACAUUUUUGGGAAACCUUUUUGAUGGAGAAGGUGGACGCUUGAGCGCUAGGGCUUGAGCAAGAAGGGACGAAUGCGCAAUGGAAGAAGGCGCGGGUGAAAGAGGGAGUUCUUAUCCGCCUAUAAAGGAAGCAGGGAUCCUGCGCCUCCCCACUUGCCCGUUAAAAUCGCUUAUUCCCCAAGCGCCACGUUUGAUGGCACGGUUGGGUUACCCACGUCCGUAUUGAUGAGGAUCCCGUGAUAAGGGGACACGAUCUCUACUUCGAAAAGACGUGCCGAUAAAACCACCUCGCAAUAUGUGCGGUGGCUGGUUGUGAAAAACGGUUCGAAUAAUGACCGGACAGUGGCGUGAUGUCAUGCUAUAAAAAGUUGUCAGCAGAUUAGAUUUGUGGAGUAUUGUACUCUCUACAGUGGUAUGUGGAAUUUGUUUUGCAGAGCCGGACACGAUCCUUGUGUUCUAAAUCUUCUAUGGAGUAUUCGGAGAAGGAACCCGCCUUGCAAUGCCGAAGACAAUCUACGCGCCGGACUCAUCGUCAUUGAAGCCUGGUUCAGGGGCUAAUGAGGGUGUCCUGGAUUAAGGGGUCCUCGGACAGCCGGACUAUAUACUUUGGCCGGACUGUUGGACUAUGAAGAUACAAGAUUGAAGACUUCAUCCCGUGUCCGGAUGGGACUCUCCUUUGCGUGGAAGGCAAGCUUGGCAAUUCGGAUAUGUAGAUUUCCUUCUCUAUAACCAACUCUGUGUAACCCUACCCCCUCUAGUGUCUAUAUAAACCGAAGGGUUUAGUCCAUAGGACAACAACAAUCAUAAUCAUAGGCUAGCUUCUAGGGUUUAGCCUCUACGAUCUCGUGGUAGAUCAACUCUUGUAAUACCCAUAUCAUCAAGAUCAAUCAAGCAUGAAGUAGGGUAUUACCUCCAUCGAGAGGGCCCGAACCUGGGUAAAACAUCGUGUCCCCUACCUCCUGUUACCAUUAGCCUUAGACGCAUAGUUCGGGACCCCCUACCCGAGAUCCUCUGGUUUUGACACCGACAACGGGUCCUUUGCAUGCGGGACUGAGCUCCCAUAGUAAGACUCCCAGAUCAAGUUCACCCAAGGUAUAUCCUGCCUAUUAUAAAAUUUAUGAAGAAAUUUGAGUAGCAAGGCAUCAUUUUGAACUCGCAAGUUAAUGAUCCUCAAACCCUCGCUCUUCUUGGAUCUGCACACCAUGUCCCAGGCCGCGAGCGAGUUGCACUUGAUACCAUCAUCAGUCUUAUUUCUCCACAAGCAAUGUCAUCUGAUCUUGUCCAGUUGGGUUACAAUUUUUGGUGGUAAUCUAAUGGUGCCCAUUGGAAACAUAAUUAGUGAUGUGAUCAAGGAGUUCAUGAGGGAUUGUUUGCCGACGUACGACAUGAAGGACAUGGCUGUUGUGAUGUUUCUUUCUGCUUUGUAUACCAAUGGUGUCAGUCUCAUGUCUUGAACUGAUGGUCUUGUGAUGCCCAAGGGGAGCCCUAGGUACAUGAAUGGCAUGGCAGCCACAGAGAAACCAAAAAGGACAACAAGACCGUUGCAUUUUUCAGUUGGGGUGUUGAUUGGGACCAACGUUGACUUAUGGAAGUUAAUCUUGAGCCCAAUAGACAUGGCAUAGUCGGCUAGGAUCUCUUUGAUCUUAUUGGCUUGAUUCAGGCAGGCUGGCAUGAUUAUGAUAGUGUCAUCUGCGUAUUGUAUGACAGGGUAAUCUCCAUUAUCGGAAGAGCAAAUGGGAUAAUCCAGUAGAUUCCUACACAAAGCAUCAUUGAUUGUUGUUUGAAGAAGAUCCGCGGCAAGGACAAAUAUCAGGGGGGCAACGGGUCGCCUUGUCUGACACCACGUUUGCAGUGGAAGAUUUUUCCCGGGGUGCUAUUUAAGAGGACAAGGAUUUGCCCGAUGAGAAUAUACAUUGAAUCCAUUGGAUCGAUUUGUCAUUGAAGCCCAUGUUCUUCAUAAUUUGCAGCAUGGCAGAAUGUUGGAUAGUGUCAAAGCCUUUGGAGAAAUCAAGUUUAAACAAAACCACCUCUUUUUGUGAUGUCUGACAUUGAUGUAUGUACUCGAAUGCCCAUGCUAGGCAGUCAUGUAUAGAUCUUCUAUGUAGAAAAUCGUAUUGGUUGCGGUGCACAAUUUGCAGGAUGAUUUUCUGUAGUCGGUUGGCCAAGAGUUUGGUGAUCAUUUUAAGACAACAGUUGAGCAAUGGGAUCGGACGAAAUUCAUUGACCAUUUCUUGUACAUUGUUUUUGAGUAUUAAUGUGAUGUAUCCAUUUUUCAAACACUCUAGAUUGAGCUCUCCAUGAUGGAAUUCGUCACAUAAUCUAUAGAAGUCGAAUUUGACGAUAGGAAAACAUGCUCUCAGAAAUGCCCCAUUAAAAUCAUCAGGGUCGGGGGCCCUAUCAGGGGGCAUCGUUGAUCGCCGCGUCAACCUUAGCAUGUGAGAAGGGUGUGCUGAGACUAUCAAAGUCCACAUGCUGCCUGAGAAGAGCCGAUAGAUUAAAUUUCAUGUUCAGAGUGGUGCACGUACCCAAGUGUUGUUUAAAUGCUUCUAGCAGAAUGGAUUCUUUGCCCGUGUGGUUGUCGACAAGCACCCCCUGGUUAGUUUUCAGAGUUGCAAUGUAGUUACGCCUGUAUCUCUCUGUGGCAACAGUCUGGAAAAAUUUAGUGUUCUCGUCGCCAAAUUUAAUCCAUCGAAUUGUGCAUCUUUUCUUCCAAUACUCCUUUUGAUAGUGGAGUAAUCUAAUGAGGUGAUGUUUGAGAAUGUUCCUAAAGUUGCCUUCGGGUAAGAUAAAGGUUCGAUGCUCUUCAAUCUAGUCUAGCUCCAAAAUAGCUUUAUAUGUGUUGUCAAUAGCUACCUUGAGACGAGAGAUUUUCUUACUCCAGUGACUUAAAUCCUGACGCACAGCUUUCAGUUUUUGAUGGAGUAUGGAAGCAGCCUUAUUAUUUUUCCCAAACUUGAUUGGCUUGUUCCAGGCACUUUCAACAACUUCCAUGAAGCCCGGGUGUGCAAUCCAAUAUGAUUCAAAUCUGAAUAUUUUGCUUUUAGGUAUCUAGGUCUGUAUAACAAUUGUGCAAGGUAUGUGAUCAGAUAUAGGACGUCCAAGAGGGUUUACCAUUGUAUUGGGGAAGGAGGUGGUCCAAUUUAGAGUGGUAAAAAAACCAAUCAAGCUAUUCGAGGAGAGGUUUUGCUGCAUGUUGGACCACGUAUAGGCCCUACCUUUGAUAGGAAGUUCAGUGAGUUCUUGGUCUCGAAUAAAAUCAUUAAAGGUGAACAUAUCUUGUGUGUUUCCUCCAGGCAUGCUACGAUUAUCAUGUGAACGAAUAUAAUUGAAAUCACCGAGAAGUAACCAAUCUUCAGUAGAGGGAAUGUCAAGAUCAAAUAACUGAAGGAAAUAUGCCCUAGAGGCAAUAAUAAAGUUAUUAUUUAUUUCCUUAUAAUCAUGAUAAAUGUUUAUUAUUCAUGCUAGAAUUGUAUUUUCCGGAAACAUAAUACAUGUGUGAAUACAUAGACAAACAGAGUGUCACUAGUAUGCCUCUACUUGACUAGCUCGUUAAUCAAAGAUGGUUAUGUUUCCUAACCAUGAACAAUGAGUUGUUAUUUGAUUAACGAGGUCACAUCAUUAGUAGAAUGAUCUGAUUGACAUGACCCAUUCCAUUAGCUUAGCACCAGAUCGUUUAGUAUGUUGUUAUUGCUUUCUUCAUGACUUAUACAUGUUCCUACGACUAUGAGAUUAUGCAACUCCCGUUUACCGGAGGAACACUUUGGGUACUACCAAACGUCACAACGUAAAUGGGUGAUUAUAAAGGAGUACUACAGGUGUCUCCAAUGGUCGAUGUUGGGUUGGCGUAUUUCGAGAUUAGGAUUUGUCACUCCGAUUGUCGGAGACGUAUCUCUGGGCCCUCUCGGUAAUACACAUCACAUAAGCCUUGCAAGCAUUACAACUAAUAUGUUAGUUGUGAGAUGAUGUAUUACGGAACGAGUAAAGAGACUUGCCGUUAACGAGAUUGAACUAGGUAUUGGAUACCGACGAUCGAAUCUCGGGCAAGUAACAUACCGAUGACAAAGGGAACAACGUAUGUUGUUAUGCGGUCUGACCGAUAAAGAUCUUCGUAGAAUAUGUAGGAGCCAAUAUGGGCAUCCAGGUCCCGCUAUUGGUUAUUGACCAGAGACAUGUCUCGAUCAUGUCUACAUUGUUCUCGAACCCGUAGGGUCCGCACGCUUAAGGUUACGAUGACAGUUAUAUUAUGAGUUUAUGCAUUUUGAUGUACCGAAGGUUGUUCGGAGUCCCGGAUGUGAUCACGGACAUGACGAGGAGUCUCGAAAUGGUCGAGACGUAAAGAUUGAUAUAUUGGAAGCCUAUGUUUGGACAUCGGAAGUGUUCCGGGUGAAAUCGGGAUUUUACCGGGUUACCGGGAGGUUACCGGAACCCCCCGGGAGCCAUAUGGGCCAUCAUGGGCCUUAGUGGAAAGGAGAAAGGGGCAGCCCAAGGUGGCUGCGCCUCUUUCCCCUCCCCUAGUCCUAUUAGGACUAGGAGAAGGUGGCCGGCCCCCCUCUCUCCCUUCCCCUCCGAGGAAUCCUAGUUGGACUAGGAUUGGGGGGAGGAAUCCUACUCCCAGAGGGAGUAGGACUCUCCUGCGCCUCCCUCUUUGGCCGGCCAGCCUCCCCUCCUCUCCUCCUUUAUAUACGGAGGCAGGGGCACCUCUAAACACACAAGUUGACACAAGUUGAUCCACGUGAUCGAUUCCUUAGCCGUGUGCGGUGCCCCCUGCCACCAUAUUCCUCAAUAAUACUGUAGCGGAGUUUAGGCGAAGCCCUGCUGCUGUAGUUCAUCAAGAUCGUCACCACGCCGUCGUGCUGACGAAACUCUUCCCCGACACUUUGCUGGAUCGGAGUCCGGGGAUCGUCAUCGAGCUGAACGUGUGCUCGAACUCGGAGGUGCCGUAGUUUCGGUGCUUGAUCGGUUGGAUCGUGAAGACGUACGACUACUUCCUCUACGUCGUGUCAUUGCUUCCGCAGUCGGUCUGCGUUGGGUACGUAGACAACACUCUCCUCUCGUUGCUAUGCAUCACAUGAUCCUGUGUGCGCGUAGGAAAUUUUUUGAAAUUACUACGAAACCCAACAGUGGCAUCCGAGCCUAGGUUAAUGAUGUUGAUGUUAUAUGCACGAGUAGAACCCAAGUGAGUUGUGGACGAUACAAGUCAUACUGCCUACCAGCAUGUCAUAUUUUGGUUCAGCGGUAUUGUUGGACGAGACGACCCGGACCAACCUUACGCGUACGCUUACGCGAGACCGGUUCCCUCGACGUGCUUUGCACAGAGAUGGCUUGCGGGCGACUGCCUCUCCAACUUUAGUUGAACCAAGUAUGGCUACGCCCGGUCCUUGCGAAGGUUAAAACGGAGUCUAUUUGACAAACUAUCGUUGUGGUUUUGAUGCGUAGGUGAGAUUGGUUCUUACUUAAGCCCGUAGCAGCCACGUAAAACAUGCAACAACAAAGUAGAGGACGUCUAACUUGUUUUUGCAGGGCAUGUUGUGAUGUGAUAUGGUCAAGGCAUGAUGCUGAGUUUUAUUGUAUGAGAUGAUCAUGUUUUGUAACCAAGUUAUCGGCAACUGGCAGGAGCCAUAUGGUUGUCGCUUUAUUGUAUGCAAUGCAAUCGCGAUGUAAUGCUUUACUUUAUUACUAAACGGUAGUGAUAGUCGUGGAAGCAUAAGAUUGGCGAGACGACAACGAUGCUACGAUGGAGAUCAAGGUGUCGCGCCGGUGACGAUGGUGAUCAUGACGGUGCUUCGGAGAUGGAGAUCACAAGCACAAGAUGAUGAUGGCCAUAUCAUAUCACUUAUAUUGAUUGCAUGUGAUGUUUAUUUUUUUAUGCAUCUUAUCUUGCUUUGAUUGACGGUAGCAUUAUAAGAUGAUCUCUCACUAAAUUAUCAAGAAGUGUUCUCCCUGAGUAUGCACCGUUGCAAAAGUUCUUCGUGCUGAGACACCACGUGAUGAUCGGGUGUGAUAGGCUCUACGUUCAAAUACAACGGGUGCAAAACAGUUGCGCACGCAGAAUACUCAGGUUAAACUUGACGAGCCUAGCAUAUGCAGAUAUGGCCUCGGAACACGGAGACCGAAAGGUCGAGCGUGAAUCAUAUAGUAGAUAUGAUCAACAUAAUGAUGUUCACCGAUGAAACUACUCCAUCUCACGUGAUGAUCGGACAUGGUUUAGUUGAUUUGGAUCACGUGAUCACUUAGAGGAUUAGAGGGAUGUCUAUCUAAGUGGGAGUUCUUUAAUAAUAUGAUUAAUUGAACUUAAAAUUUAUCAUGAACUUAGUCCCUGAUAGUAUCUUGCUUGUUUAUGUGGAUUGUAGAUAGAUGGCUCGUGCUGUUGUUCCGUUAAAUUUUAAUGUGUUCCUUGAGAAAGCAAAGUUGAAAGAUGAUGGUAGCAAUUACACGGACUGGGUCCGUAACUUGAGGAUUAUCCUCAUUGCUGCACAGAAGAAUUACGUCCUAGAAGCACCGCUGGGUGCCAGGCCUGCUGCUGGAGCAACGCCAGAUGUUAUGAACGUCUGGCAGAGCAAAGCUGAUGACUACUCGAUAGUUCAGUGUGCCAUGCUUUACGGCUUAGAAUCGGGACUUCAACGACGUUUUGAACGUCAUGGAGCAUAUGAGAUGUUCCAGGAGUUGAAGUUAAUAUUUCAAGCAAAUGCCCGGAUUGAGAGAUAUGAAGUCUCCAAUAAGUUCUAUAGCUGCAAGAUGGAAGAGAACAGUUCUGUCAGUGAGCAUAUACUCAAAAUGUCUGGGUAUAAUAAUCACUUGAUUCAAUAGGGAGUUAAUCUUCCAGAUGAUUGCGUCAUUGACAGAAUUCUCCAAUCACUGCCACCAAGCUACAAGAGCUUCGUGAUGAACUAUAAUAUGCAAGGGAUGAACAAGACUAUUCCCGAGCUCUUCGCAAUGCUAAAAGCUGCGGAGGUAGAAAUCAAGAAGGAGCAUCAAGUGUUGAUGGUUAACAAGACCACUAGUUUCAAGAAAAAGGGCAAAGGGAAGAAAAAGGGGAACUUCAAAAAGAACGGCAAGCAAGUUGCUGCUCAAGAGAAGAAACCCAAGUCUAGACCUAAGCCUGAAACUGAGUGCUUCUACUGCAAGCAGACUGGUCACUGGAAGCGGAACUGCCCCAAGUAUUUGGCGGAUAAGAAGGAUGGCAAGGUGAACAAAGGUAUAUGUGAUAUACAUGUUAUUGAUAUGUACCUUACCAAUGCUCGCAGUAGCACCUGGGUAUUUGAUACUGGUUCUGUUGCUAAUAUUUGCAACUCGAAACAGGGACUACAGAAUAAGCGGGCACUGGCAAAGGACGAGGUGACGAUGCGCGUGGGAAACGGUUCCAAAGUCGAUGUGAUCGCGGUCGGCACGCUACCUCUACAUCUACCUUCGGGAUUAAUAUUAGACCUAAAUAAUUGUUAUUUGGUGCCAGCGUUGAGCAUGAACAUUAUAUCUGGAUCUUGUUUAAUGCGAGACGGUUAUUCAUUUAAAUCAGAGAAUAAUGGUUGUUCUAUUUAUAUGAGUAAUAUCUUUUAUGGUCAUGCACCCUUGAAGAGUGGUCUAUUCUUACUAAAUCUCGAUAGUAGUAAUACACAUAUUCAUAAUGUUGAAACCAAAAGAUACAGAGUUGAUAAUGAAAGUGCAACUUAUUUGUGGCACUGUCGUUUAGGUCAUAUCGGUGUAAAACGCAUGAAGAAACUCCAUACUAAUGGACCUUUGGAACCACUUGAUUAUGAAUCACUUGGUACUUGCGAACCGUGCCUCAUGGGCAAGAUGACUAAAACACCGUUCUCCGGUACUAUGGAGAGAGCAACAGAUUUGUUGGAAAUCAUACAUACCGAUGUAUGUGGUCCGAUGAAUAUUGAGGCUCGUGGCGGAUAUCGUUAUUUUCUCACCUUCACAGAUGAUUUGAGCAGAUAUGGAUAUAUCUACUUAAUGAAGCAUAAGUCUGAAACAUUUGAAAAGUUCAAAGAAUUUCAGAGUGAAGUUGAAAAUCAUCGUAACAAGAAAAUAAAGUUUCUACGAUCUGAUCGUGGAGGAGAAUAUUUGAGUUACGAGUUUGGUGUACAUUUGAAAAACUGUGGAAUAGUUUCGCAACUCACGCCACCCGGAACACCACAGCGUAAUGGUGUGUCCGAACGUCGUAAUCGUACUUUAUUAGAUAUGGUACGAUCUAUGAUGUCUCUUACUGAUUUACCGCUAUCAUUUUGGGGUUAUGCUUUAGAGACGGCCGCAUUCACGUAAAAUAGGGCACCAUCAAAAUCCGUUGAGACGACGCCUUAUGAACUAUGGUUUGGCAAGAAACCAAAGUUGUCGUUUCUUAAAGUUUGGGGCUGCGAUGCUUAUGUGAAAAAGCUUCAACCUGAUAAGCUCGAACCCAAAUCGGAGAAAUGUGUAUUCAUAGGAUACCCAAAGGAAACUGUUGGGUACACCUUCUAUCACAGAUCCGAAGGCAAAACAUUUGUUGCUAAGAAUGGAUCAUUUCUAGAGAAGGAGUUUCUCUCGAAAGAAGUGAGUGGGAGGAAAGUAGAACUUGACGAGGUAACUGUACCUGCUCCCUUACUGGAAAGUAGUUCAUCACAGAAAACUGUUUCAGUGACACCUACACCAGUUAGUGAGGAAGCCAAUGAUAAUGAUCAUGAAACUUCAGAUCAAGAUACUACUGAACUUCGUAGAUCAACCAGAGUAAGAUCCACACCAGAGUGGUACCGUAAUCCUGUUCUGGAGGUCAUGCUACUAGAUCAUGAUGAACCUACGAACUAUGAAGAAGUGAUGGUGAGCCCAGAUUCCGCAAAGUGGCUAGAAGCCAUGAAAUCUGAGAUGGGAUCCAUGUAUGAGAACAAAGUAUGGACUUUGGUUGACUUGCCCGAUGAUCGGCAAGCGAUUGAGAAUAAAUGGAUCUUUAAGAAGAAGACUGACGCUGAUGGUAAUGUUACUGUCUACAAAGCUCGACUUGUCGCAAAAGGUUUUCGGCAAGUUCAAGGAAUUGACUACGAUGAGACCUUCUCACCCGUAGCGAUGCUUAAGUCCGUCCGAAUCAUGUUAGCAAUUGCCGCAUUUUAUGAUUAUGAAAUUUGGCAAAUGGAUGUCAAAACUGCAUUCCUGAAUGGAUUCCUGAAAGAAGAGUUGUAUAUGAUGCAACCAGAAGGUUUUGUCGAUCCAAAGGGAGCUAACAAAGUGUGCAAGCUCCAGCGAUCCAUUUAUGGACUGGUGCAAGCCUCUCGGAGUUGGAAUAAACGUUUUGAUAGUGUGAUCAAAGCAUUUGGUUUUAUACAGACUUUUGGAGAAGCCUGUAUUUACAAGAAAGUGAGUGGGAGCUCUGUAGCAUUUCUGAUAUUAUAUGUGGAUGACAUAUUACUGAUUGGAAAUGAUAUAGAAUUUCUGGAUAGCAUAAAGGGAUACUUGAAUAAAAGUUUUUCAAUGAAAGACCUCGGUGAAGCUGCUUACAUAUUAGGCAUUAAGAUCUAUAGAGACAGAUCAAGACGCUUAAUUGGACUUUCACAAAGCACAUACCUUGACAAAAUUUUGAAGAAAUUCAAAAUGGAUCAAGCAAAGAAAGGGUUCUUGCCUGUGUUACAAGGUGUGAAAUUGAGUAAGACUCAAUGCCCGACCACUGCAGAAGAUAGAGAGAAUAUGAAAGAUGUUCCCUAUGCAUCAGCCAUAGGCUCUAUCAUGUAUGCAAUGCUGUGUACCAGACCUGAUGUGUUCCUUGCUAUAAGUUUAGCAGGGAGGUACCAAAGUAAUCCAGGAAUGGAUCACUGGACAGCGGUCAAGAACAUCCUGAAAUACCUGAAAAGGACUAAGGAUAUGUUUCUCGUAUAUGGAAGUGACAAAGAGCUCAUCGUAAAAGGUUAUGUUGAUGCAAGCUUUGACACUGAUCCGGACGAUUCUAAAUCGCAAACCGGAUACGUGUUUACAUUAAACGGUGGAGCUGUCAGUUGGUGCAGUUCUAAACAAAGCGUCGUAGCGGGAUCUACAUGUGAAGCGGAAUACAUAGCUGCUUCGGAAGCAGCAAAUGAAGGAGUCUGGAUGAAGGAGUUCAUAUCCGAUCUAGGUGUCAUACCUAGUGCAUCGGGUCCAAUGAAAAUCUUUUGUGACAAUACUGGUGCAAUUGCCUUAGCAAAGGAAUCCAGAUUUCACAAAAGGACCAAACACAUCAAGAGACGCUUCAACUCCAUCCGGGAUCUAGUCCAGGUGGGAGACAUAGAGAUUUGCAAGAUACAUACGGAUCUGAAUGUAGCAGACCCGUUGACUAAGCCUCUUCCACGAGCAAAACAUGAUCAGCACCAAGGCUCCAUGGGUGUUAGAAUCAUUACAGUGUAAUCUAGAUUAUUGACUCUAGUGCAAGUGGGAGACUGAAGGAAAUAUGCCCUAGAGGCAAUAAUAAAGUUAUUAUUUAUUUCCUUAUAAUCAUGAUAAAUGUUUAUUAUUCAUGCUAGAAUUGUAUUUACCGGAAACAUAAUACAUGUGUGAAUACAUAGACAAACAAAGUGUCACUAGUAUGCCUCUAAUUGACUAGCUCGUUAAUCAAAGAUGGUUAUGUUUCCUAACCAUGAACAAUGAGUUGUUAUUUGAUUAACGAGGUCACAUCAUUAGUAGAAUGAUCUGAUUGACAUGACCCAUUCAAUUAGCUUAGCACCCGAUCGUUUAGUAUGUUGCUAUUGCUUUCUUCAUGACUUAUACAUGUUUCUAUGACUAUGAGAUUAUGCAACUCCCGUUUACCGGAGGAACACUUUGGGUACUACCAAACGUCACAACGUAAAUGGGUGAUUAUAAAGGAGUACUACAGGUGUCUCCAAUGGUCGAUGUUGGGUUGGUGUAUUUCGAGAUUAGGAUUUGUCACUCCGAUUGUCGGAGAGGUAUCUCUGGGCCCUCUCGGUAAUACACAUCACAUAAGCCUUGCAAGCAUUACAACUAAUAUGUUAGUUGUGAGAUGAUGUAUUACGGAACGAGUAAAGAGACUUGCCGGUAACGAGAUUGAACUAGGUAUUGGAUACCGACGAUCGAAUCUCGGGCAAGUAACAUACCGAUGACAAAGGGAACAACGUAUGUUGUUAUGCGGUCUGACCGAUAAAGAUCUUCGUAGAAUAUGUAGGAGCCAAUAUGGGCAUCCAGGUCCCGCUAUUGGUUAUUGACCGGAGACGUGUCUCGGUCAUGUCUACAUUGUUCUCGAACCCGUAGGGUCCGCACGCUUAAGGUUACGAUGACAGUUAUAUUAUGAGUUUAUGCAUUUUGAUGUACCGAAUGUUGUUCGGAGUCCCGGAUGUGAUCACGGACAUGACGAGGAGUCUCGAAAUGGUCGAGACGUAAAGAUUGAUAUAUUGGAAGCCUAUAUUUGGAUAUCGGAAGUGUUCCGGGUGAAAUCGGGAUUUUACCGGAAUACCGGGAGGGUUACUGGAACCCCCCGGGAGCUAUUUGGGCCAUAGUGGGCCUUAGUGGAAAAGAGAAGGGGCUGCCCUAGUUGGGCUGCGCGCCCCCCUUCCCCUAGUACUAUUAGGACUAGGAGAGGUGGCCGGCCCCCUCCUCCUCUUUUCCCCUCCGAGGAAUCCUAGUUGGACUAGGAUUGGAGGGGGAAUCCUACUCCCAGAGGGAGUAGGACUCUCCUGCGCCUCCCCCCCUUGGCCAGCCAGCCUCCCCUCCUCUCCUCCUUUAUAUACGGAGGCAGGGGCACCUCUAAACACACAAGUUGACACAAGUUGAUCCACGUGAUCGAUUCCUUAGCCGUGUGCGGUGCCCCCUGCCACCAUAUUCCUCGAUAAUACUGUAGCGGAGUUUAGGCGAAGCCCUGCUGCUGUAGUUCAUCAAGAUCGUCACCACGCCGUCGUGCUGACGAAACUCUUCCCCGACACUUUGCUGGAUCGGAGUCCGGGGAUCGUCAUCGAGCUGAACGUGUGCUCGAACUCGGAGGUGCCGUAGUUUCGGUGCUUGAUCGGUUGGAUCGUGAAGACGUACGACUACUUCCUCUACGUCGUGUCAUCGCUUCCGCAGUCGGUCUGCGUUGGGUACGUAGACAACACUCUCCUCUCGUUGCUAUGCAUCACAUGAUCCUGUGUGCGCGUAGGAAAAUUUUUGAAAUUACUACGAAACCUAACAAGAACAUCCUAAAAUACCUGAAAAGGACUAAGGAUAUGUUUCUCGUAUAUGGAGGUGACAAAGAGCUCACCGUAAAAGGUUACGUUGAUGCAAGCUUUGACACUGAUCCGGACGAUUCUAAAUCGCAAACCGGAUACGUGUUUACAUUAAACGGUGGAGCUGUCAGUUGGUGCAGUUCUAAACAAAGCGUUGUAGCGGGAUCUACAUGUGAAGCGGAAUACAUAGCUGCUUCGGAAGCAGCAAAUGAAGGAGUCUGGAUGAAGGAGUUCAUAUCCGAUCUAGGUGUCAUACCUAGUGCAUCGGGUCCAAUGAAAAUCUUUUGUGACAAUACUGGUGCAAUUGCCUUGGCAAAGGAAUCCAGAUUUCACAAAAGGACCAAACACAUCAAGAGACGCUUCAACUCCAUCCGGGAUCUAGUCCAGGUGGGAGACAUAGAGAUUUGCAAGAUACAUACGGAUCUGAAUAUUGCAGACCCGUUGACUAAGACUCUUCCACGAGCAAAACAUGAUCAGCACCAAAGCUCCAUGGGUGUUAGAUUCAUUACAGUGUAAUCUAGAUUAUUGACUCUAGUGCAAGUGGGAGACUGAAGGAAAUAUGCCCUAGAGGCAAUAAUAAAGUUAUUAUUUAUUUCCUUAUAAUCAUGAUAAAUGUUUAUUAUUCAUGCUAGAAUUGUAUUUUCCGGAAACAUAAUACAUGUGUGAAUACAUAGACAAACAGAGUGUCACUAGUAUGCCUCUACUUGACUAGCUCGUUAAUCAAAGAUGGUUAUGUUUCCUAACCAUGAACAAUGAGUUGUUAUUUGAUUAACGAGGUCACAUCAUUAGUAGAAUGAUCUGAUUGACAUGACCCAUUCCAUUAGCUUAGCACCUGAUCGUUUAGUAUGUUGCUAUUGCUUUCUUCAUGACUUAUACAUGUUCCUACGACUAUGAGAUUAUGCAACUCCCGUUUACCGGAGGAACACUUUGGGUACUACCAAACGUCACAACGUAAAUGGGUGAUUAUAAAGGAGUGCUACAGGUGUCUCCAAUGGUCGAUGUUGGGUUGGCGUAUUUCGAGAUUAGGAUUUGUCACUCCGAUUGUCGGAGAGGUAUCUCUGGGCCCUCUCGGUAAUACACAUCACAUAAGCCUUGCAAGCAUUACAACUAAUAUGUUAGUUGUGAGAUGAUGUAUUACGGAACGAGUAAAGAGACUUGCCGUUAACGAGAUUGAACUAGGUAUUGGCGAAUCUCGGGCAAGUAACAUACCGAUGACAAAGGGAACAACGUAUGUUGUUAUGCGGUCUGACCGAUAAAGAUCUUCGUAGAAUAUGUAGGAGCCAAUAUGGGCAUCCAGGUCCCGCUAUUGGUUAUUGACCAGAGACAUGUCUCGAUCAUGUCUACAUUGUUCUCGAACCCGUAGGGUCCGCACGCUUAAGGUUACGAUGACAGUUAUAUUAUGAGUUUAUGCAUUUUGAUGUACCGAAGGUUGUUCGGAGUCCCGGAUGUGAUCACGGACAUGACGAGGAGUCUCGAAAUGGUCGAGACGUAAAGAUUGAUAUAUUGGAAGCCUAUGUUUGGACAUCGGAAGUGUUCCGGGUGAAAUCGGGAUUUUACCGGGUUACCGGGAGGUUACCGGAACCCCCCGGGAGCCAUAUGGGCCAUCAUGGGCCUUAGUGGAAAGGAGAAAGGGGCAGCCCAAGGUGGCUGCGCCUCUUUNNNNNNNNNNNNNNNNNNNNNNNNNNNNNNNNNNNNNNNNNNNNNNNNNNNNNNNNNNNNNNNNNNNNNNNNNNNNNNNNNNNNNNNNNNNNNNNNNNNNNNNNNNNNNNNNNNNNNNNNNNNNNNNNNNNNNNNNNNNNNNNNNNNNNNNNNNNNNNNNNNNNNNNNNNNNNNNNNNNNNNNNNNNNNNNNNNNNNNNNNNNNNNNNNNNNNNNNNNNNNNNNNNNNNNNNNNNNNNNNNNNNNNNNNNNNNNNNNNNNNNNNNNNNNNNNNNNNNNNNNNNNNNNNNNNNNNNNNNNNNNNNNNNNNNNNNNNNNNNNNNNNNNNNNNNNNNNNNNNNNNNNNNNNNNNNNNNNNNNNNNNNNNNNNNNNNNNNNNNNNNNNNNNNNNNNNNNNNNNNNNNNNNNNNNNNNNNNNNNNNNNNNNNNNNNNNNNNNNNNNNNNNNNNNNNNNNNNNNNNNNNNNNNNNNNNNNNNNNNNNNNNNNNNNNNNNNNNNNNNNNNNNNNNNNNNNNNNNNNNNNNNNNNNNNNNNNNNNNNNNNNNNNNNNNNNNNNNNNNNNNNNNNNNNNNNNNNNNNNNNNNNNNNNNNNNNNNNNNNNNNNNNNNNNNNNNNNNNNNNNNNNNNNNNNNNNNNNNNNNNNNNNNNNNNNNNNNNNNNNNNNNNNNNNNNNNNNNNNNNNNNNNNNNNNNNNNNNNNNNNNNNNNNNNNNNNNNNNNNNNNNNNNNNNNNNNNNNNNNNNNNNNNNNNNNNNNNNNNNNNNNNNNNNNNNNNNNNNNNNNNNNNNNNNNNNNNNNNNNNNNNNNNNNNNNNNNNNNNNNNNNNNNNNNNNNNNNNNNNNNNNNNNNNNNNNNNNNNNNNNNNNNNNNNNNNNNNNNNNNNNNNNNNNNNNNNNNNNNNNNNNNNNNNNNNNNNNNNNNNNNNNNNNNNNNNNNNNNNNNNNNNNNNNNNNNNNNNNNNNNNNNNNNNNNNNNNNNNNNNNNNNNNNNNNNNNNNNNNNNNNNNNNNNNNNNNNNNNNNNNNNNNNNNNNNNNNNNNNNNNNNNNNNNNNNNNNNNNNNNNNNNNNNNNNNNNNNNNNNNNNNNNNNNNNNNNNNNNNNNNNNNNNNNNNNNNNNNNNNNNNNNNNNNNNNNNNNNNNNNNNNNNNNNNNNNNNNNNNNNNNNNNNNNNNNNNNNNNNNNNNNNNNNNNNNNNNNNNNNNNNNNNNNNNNNNNNNNNNNNNNNNNNNNNNNNNNNNNNNNNNNNNNNNNNNNNNNNNNNNNNNNNNNNNNNNNNNNNNNNNNNNNNNNNNNNNNNNNNNNNNNNNNNNNNNNNNNNNNNNNNNNNNNNNNNNNNNNNNNNNNNNNNNNNNNNNNNNNNNNNNNNNNNNNNNNNNNNNNNNNNNNNNNNNNNNNNNNNNNNNNNNNNNNNNNNNNNNNNNNNNNNNNNNNNNNNNNNNNNNNNNNNNNNNNNNNNNNNNNNNNNNNNNNNNNNNNNNNNNNNNNNNNNNNNNNNNNNNNAUGCAUAUCUAUCAAAGCGUUUAGGGUAGAGGGACUUAAGGGUGGUGGCAUCAAACAUCAUCAUUUUUGUUUCUUGCAAGAAUAUAAUCACGCACCCACUAUUCUGGAUAGCAUUCGAUAGCGCUAACUGUUUUUGGAGGGAUUAAGUCCACGAAUAUUCCAACAUAAAACAUUCCAGUUCUUCAAAAGUACCAUUUAACUAAAAAUAAAACAAACGCGGCUCUUAAGCAGAGGAAGAGGAGCCUAUCUUGUCUUUAGUGAGCGCGACGAUGGAGAGUUCCUCCUCGGGAAUGGCACAUAACUGGGUGCCAAUGGCUUGCAUGGUGGUGAUGGCAUGCUGGUGGAGGGACUGGGUCAUUCUGCAUCUGAAGCAACAUUGGAAGUAUUGGUAGCAGCAGAAGGAAUGACAUGGGGCUUCACUUUGGACUUGUUAGGACAAGCUUCAGAGAGUGAAGAGGCACGAAAUCCAUUAUAUUUGUCAGAACGGUUGCUGCCCCUGAGUGUGGAAAUGUCAACCGGGGCCGACAACUUCUCCUUACGCUUGCUAGCAGUAGAGCUGUCAAUGAGAGUAGACUAAGAGAUUACCACAGUCGUGGAUUGCAACAAACCUGCCUAGGUUUCAGAGUGUCCGGCCACCAGACCAGUCAGAGAUGAUUCAGUAUCAACAACAGCAGGAGUGAUAUAAGUUUCAGAUAUCUCAGAGGUCUCCACAUUCACUGGUUGAGGACCAAUCAUCCUAUCAGAGACAAUAUCCAGGCCAUCAUCAAUCUCCUCGAUGAUCACUAAGGACUCCAUCACAAGUGUUGGGAGGGCAAUCUGGUUAAACUGCGGACCAUCAGGAGCAGCCAAAACCUGAACCUCAAUGUGAUAACUAUCCUGCCUAAAACCAUAGCCGAUAGACCAGGGUCCCAUCGAAUCAAUUAGUGGGCGAAGAGCAUCAAGCAAGACAUUAUUGAGCCGCUAAGGGUAUUGGAUCUGACAACAUGAUGGAUAACAAAGCAUCUCCCUGAGCAGAAAGACCAAACCGCAUACCUUGGCUAUGAAUAUCCACCAAGAUAGUUAACAUUUCUUCAGUAGAUUGGAUCAUCUGGCUGGGCUGGGAUGUAGUAGCUGAACCUUGAUCAUGGAGAGGAACAAUGACCAAGUUUGAUUGUGCAUAAGUACUAUCAUCAAAAACUGUAAUAGAAUCAUUUCAGGCUUGCAUUGGGUUGUCAGAGAUAUUGUUACCAGGCAUAAUUCCAUGCAAAAUAGUGAGACCUUGAGCUGCAAGCCAUACCUGGUAAUUCACUAGAUGAGGUGGCAUGGGAGGAGCAGGGGGUUCAGGACAGGCUCCAUAGCCCGCAUCCGGAGCAGGACCAUCAUUGGGAGUAGCAUUGUUAUGUUGAGCACCAUUGGGGGUGCCGCAUUUUGAACUACCAGUUAUGAACUUGUUGUUGAUACAACUGUUCAGCAGUAAGAUCUGGACCAAACUGUGGGUGUGGAUUACCGCCAGGUGGUGGUGGUUCCUCGCUAGCCGGAGGCACUUCUGGUAGCAAUCCAUUCCACUCAUUACUACGAAGGAUUGUGAUCUGAACUAUCCAGCAGUCACGCACACCACCCAAUUGCUAGACCACAAAGCUCUUAGGAAUCAAAUUCAUACGAAUCACCCGUGCUUUGAGAAGGAUGAACCGCCUAUCUUGUCGCGGAUUGUACCAAGAAACCAAGGAACAAUAACCCCCCAAAGCUUUGUUGAUGUAGUAGUCAGUUUGGUAAUCGUAGGGAAAACCAAAAAACAUAAGCCAAAUCUCUGGACUGAAAGAAGUGGUGUGUCUAUUCAGAGCUUCAUUGUGAGUAACAAAGGUGAUUAAUAAAUCCUCGUCUUCAAGUUCAAGGGGGUGGCAACAGCAGUAUCGCGCAUAAAAGAAUCCACAAAACCAAAAACCCCUAUGCCGAACGAAUGGUCACUGGAUUCAGUAGUGAAAAGUUGGGCUUCAUGAAGCAAACCUUCGACCAUCAUACGAAUGGCGGCCCGACGGUGGAGCAGAACGUAGUGACUUGCUUCAGCUAUGGCCAGGAAAUCGUGGUUGAGCGGCGCGAUAGGUCCGACCACCAUGCCCAACCGCACCAAACGAUCCGCUAGCCCUGGCUCCACCGCAAAGCUCGGUGGCAGGAAGGGCACGGGGUUAAUUGGGCAGUUCUCCAUGGCAGAGGAUGGGGCUGGGGUGGCAACAAUGGUGGCAGUGGCAGUUAGGACACCAUUGUGAGAGGGGGGGGGGUUGGAGUGGAGUAGGAGGGGGACGUUUGGGCAAUCGAGGUGGAAGACGGAGCGUGAGGGGUAGGAUUGUCAAUAGGAGGUGAUUUCAGGACCCAUACCCAUCUAUUCUCUCUGAUCCUACGCAAGCAGGAUCGAUCCACGUGUCCAUAGAAUCCACACGUCGUGCAUCUCACUUUAGGACGCAGCUUCUGUUUACGGUGAGAGGGAACCGUAGGUGCCAAAAUGCCAUUGUGAUUGAGGUGAUCCCCGGGGUCAGCAAAUAUUUGACCAAAAUUGGGUUGUUGCUUGAUUAUCAUGGGACAAUUAACUGCCUUGUGGUCAGGCACUGAACAUUUAGUGCAAAUGAGCCUGGCUUGACAAGAAAUCUUUUUAUGGACCCAUUGGAGGCAUCUCGAGCAUAAAGAAGCCCAAUUAGUGGCUAAUUCCAUAAUUUCCUCAGCAGAAUAUUGGGCUUGGGCCAGGUCGGCCUUGUGGUGAGUUUCGAGCAAAGGAGGCCAGUCUCAUGGGGGGGCAUAUUUGAACGUUGAGGUGAAAAAACAUUGCGGCAGUGAUGGAUAUUGGGUCUUAAUUGAGCAUUUAAAGCUGCCUAGGAGAAUAUACUCAGCUAAUUGAUUUCCCUCAAAUUGCUCCUGCCUGAGAAACAGCUCCAAUAAUGAAAAAUAAUUUGAAUAAUUCGCUUAAUGGGCUCUGGAUUCAAAUCUGACUGAACGAGUGACCGAUCUGGAACCUUGGAGCUACGGUCUUUUAGGCAGGAAGUGGAAGCUUCAGCAAAGUUUUUGUUCGAGAAAGCCAUGUGAUCAAUGCAAGCAAGCUGAAAUUUGCUUAGGACAUGAGCCGACGUGGAGACCAAAGUAGAAUUCUUUGGAGGAGAACCCAAAUGAGUUUUGACCGCUAUAGGGUCUCUCGUAGAGAUGUCUAACAAUUCCUCAUCAGCAUGCCAACAAGAAUCAGAGAUGGGAGCUCGAGUAAACCGGUCAUUGUAUAGAUGAAAGUGACACACAAAAUCCGGCCAAAUACAUUCUUCCAAACCAUAUAUGAAAUGCCCCACUUUGUUAUUGGCCACAGAGAGUCUGAAUGAACGAGAAUUGAUCUGAACAACCUUAAAACCAGAGCUUAAGCCAUCGAUGCAGCAUUAUAGAGCAAUGCCAACUGAGUCCACUGAGAGAGGGAAGAAGGCUGAGGUGAACAUGACAACCAAAAGGAACUCCUUGAAAUCCCGAGAAGGGGAAAAGUGAACCGUUGAGCCAAACUUGCGUCUCGCCUGAUCUACUAGGGCAAGGCUCGGAGCAAAAGCCCAAUGUAGAAGACCGUCCACCGAGGGUAGAACUAGAGAUCUCCAUUGGAGGUGGUGGGGAGGUGGUGAGGGAGAGGCGGUUGGGAGGAGGAAAGGGAGGAGGAGGGAGCCGUUAUGCCCAGCUCGGAUCCGAUAUGAAUUCUAUGCAUUAAUUCCGAAUGACAAAGUUUCCUUUUAAAAACCAUUACAAAUUCUUACAAAAAUAAUGAACUAUAGUACAUCUAUCUAUUUUCUAUCAUAUUUAAAUAUAUAUAAAUCUUCAAGAUCUUCUUGAUCUUCUUCAUUUUCAAAACCUGCAAAAGAAGCACCAAAGGAGAAAGAAACUAUUGUUGUUAAAAGCGCCCCCUCCUUCAUGGAGGGAUAGUAAGAUUGAGCCCCACCUCCUUCCUCUUCUCAGUUUCCCAAGGCGUCCUUCGCCUCGGUGCUCGUAUCGCAUUAGAUCUCUGUACUGAAGCCAGAUUGAGCUCGCCGUCGCUGGUGGGUUGUCGGCGUCGGACUAGAUGUUGGAGGGGCCAGUGUUUUGUGUGGCCGGGAGGGAAGGAGUGGGUUGGGUUCGUUGGUGGCUGACGUCGGCCCCGCAUCCCUCGCCUCGUGACUCGUUGUUGAUGCCGUUAUGAUGUGCCUGUCACUAGGAGUGGUUGCCUCAGCCAAACUCGUAGCUGCCUGCCACGCUAGGCCUUCUGGUGUGGAAAGAUAUUUAUGAUUCGUAAAUGGUAAAUAAAAAUAGGCAGUUAGACCGUCUAUUGAAAUGACACUAGCUGAAGGUCAACGUUUUCUAAGACCUUUUCAUAUUUCCAGAGCAAUUUAUUCAAAAGAAAAAAGUCAAUUUUACUAUCAUGAAUAAAAUGAGUGGUUUACUUUACCCCGGGUCUAUUUUUCUGCUUCUUUUACCCCCCAAACAAACCCAAACCAGACAAAACACCCCCUGGCUGGUUUUUCUCCACCCGCUGCUGAUUUGGCACUAGUCAACGACGGUUUUGACCUGGGUGGGGUCCCCUUGUCAGGUUUCUCUCACCUCUCUCUCUCUCUCUCUCUCUCUCGGUCGGUCGGAUCCGCCGCCGCCCGAAGGAGCUCGCGCUGGGCUGAUCGGGCCCGAGUCACUCGCGCCCCACCUCCCUCACCGUGUCGCCCAGGAGCCGUCGCCCUCUCCCCGCCAUCGCGUCGGCGUCCUGCCAAAGGAGCCCCGUCCCGCGCCGUCGUGGAUCGCCCUGCCCCCGCGCCGCCGCCGCUUCGUCGUCCCCGCCGGCCAUGCCAUUCCGCCGCCGCGCGAGCCCGCCCCGAGUACCCACGGCCGGUGGUUGCCACAACCACCUCGACCCGCGCGCCACCGCCUCCUGCCGACCCCGCCUGGCCCUGCUCUGCUCGCCAGCGGGUGCAGCGGCAGCUCUAUCCGACCUGGAGAGAGAGAGAGAGAGAGAAAGAGAAACCUGACAAGGGGCCCCACCUUGGUCAAAACUGCCGUUGACUAGUGCCACAUCAGCAGCGGGUGGAGAAAAAACCAGCCGGGGGGGGGUGUUUUGUCCGAUUUGGGUUUAUUUGUGGGUAAAAAAAGCAGAAAAAUAAACCAGGGUGUAAAUUGAACCACCCACUUUAUUUAGGGUAGUAAAAUGGACUUUUUCUAUCCAAAACUUAGUUACCACAGAAUUCAGAGGUCAAAGCAUGCCUGGAAGUGUCGUACUCCAUUUUUCUCUUGUUCGGAGCUACACUGAUUUAUCUACUACAGUACAUAUGGAACUUGCAGAAAUACGAGUGUAGUGACUGCGACACCAGCUUGCUGACAUGCUCUCUCUCUCUCUCUCUUUGUGUGACAGCAUGGCCGCCCUUUGUUGCUGCUGUCUGCUGGAAGCUUGCUUCUAAGUUCUAAGCGAGAGGGGACAGAUUUGGUGCAGCUAUGUGUUCCAUAUUGAAAAUUGUGAUUGGCUUGCUAAUUAGUACUCCCUCCGUCCGAAAAUACUUGUCAUCAAAAUUGACAAAAAGGAAUGUAUCCAAAACUAAAAUAGGUCUAGAUACAUCUCAUUUUAUCUGUUUUGAUGACAAGUAUUUUCGGACGGAGGGAGUAGGAGAUUAGAACUCCUUGCCGUCAUGUUCGUAUGUUCAGAUGAUUGCUGCACCUUUUCGCAAAAGAAGAGAUGAUUGCUGUACCCAGUGAACAUGAAAAAUCAAGCAUGAAAGCUCUAGCAAAGCCACAAUACCCUGAAGAAAAGGCUAAUCCACGACAUGCUGUCUGAAGAUAAAACUAAUUCAGAGUAGAAUAUACUACCGUUUAUGUCAGAGUCAGACACACACUGAUAAUAACUUUGAAAUUCACCAGGGUUUCAACAACACAACAAACUUGCUAAUCCAGCAGGAGUUCAAGAAAUUCAGCAGGGUUUCAACAACAUAACAAACUUGGAAAUUCAGCAGGGUUUCAACAACAUAACAGACCACGACAGUACCAAGGGUGUGCCACUAGUGAGCAUCCGACAGAUCACUGCUGCACACCGUUACAGCAGCAUACACACACAUACACAUAACAGAACGGAGGAGAGGCGAAAGCAUCAACUGAAGGCAGUCACUCAGUGGCAACCAGCGGCCUGUUUCUGCGGUCUGAUCCAGUCGUGCAGCACCAUGGUCACCCUGUCGUGCUGCUUCACGGAGGAGCCGUGCAGGAGCGGGGCGGCGCCGGCGAGGAAGCGGUUGUAGUGGACGUACUCCUUGUGCCGGAACCUCUCCUGCUCGGGCGGCGUCAUCUCCUCCCACUCGGCGUGCAGCUUCUCCGACAGGCUCCAGUCGAUGUUGUACCUGGUGGCGCCGAAGCACGUCUGGCUCAGGACACGCCUC
rnacentral:lncRNA from 1 species